rnacentral:lncRNA from 1 species
CAAGGGCUGCGGGCGAACAGGUUUCGCCAACCCACGCCCUUCGCCAUAGUGCCAAUAUGGCACGGCGUCAAGGGCUGCGGGCGAAGAGGUUUCGCCACACGCCAUACCCUUCGCCAUAGUACCAAUGAGGUACGGCCUCAAGGGUUGCGGGCGAGGAGGUUUCGCCCACCCACGCCCUUCACCAUCAAACCAAUGAGGUACAGCGUCAAGGGUUGCGGGUAAAGAGGUUUCGUCCACCCACGCCCUUCGCCAUAGCGCCAAUAAGGCACGGCGUCAAGGGCUGCGGGCGAACGGGUAUCGCCAACCCAUGCCCUGCGCCAUAGUACCAAUAAGGUAUGGCGCAUGGCCUUGCAGGCGAAGAGGUUACGUCCACCCACGCCCUUCGACAUAGUGCCAAUAAGGCACGGCGUCAAGGGCUGCGGACGAACAGGUUUCGCCAACCCACGCCCUUCGCCAUAGUGCCAAUAUGGCACGGCGUCAGGGGCAGCGGGCGAAGAGGUUUCGCCACAUGCCAUACCCUUCGCCAUAGUGCCAAUAUGGCACGGCGUCAAGGGCUGCGAGCGAAGAGGUUUCGCCACACGCCAUACCCUUCGCCAUAGUACCAAUGAGGUACGGCAUCAAGGGUUGCGGGCGAACAGGUUUCACCCACCCACGCCCUUCGCCAUCGAACCAAUGAGGUACGGCGUCAAGGGUUGCGGGCGAAGAGGUUUCGUCCACCCACGCCCUUCGCCAUAGCGCCAAUAAGGCACGGCGUCAAGGGCUGCGGGCGAACAAGUUUCACCAACCCACGCCCUGCGCCAUAGUACCAAUAAGGUACGGCGUCAUGGGCUUGCGAGCGAAGAGGUUUCGUCCACCCACGCCCUUCGCCAUAGUGCCAAUAAGGCACGGCGUCAAGGGCUGCGGGCGAAUAGGUUUCGCUAACCCACGCCCUUCGCCAUAGUGCCAAUGUGGCACGGCGUCAAGGGCUACGGGCGAAGAUGUUUCGCCACAUGCCAUACCCUUCGCCAUAGUACCAAUGAGGUACGGCGUCAAGGGUUGCAGGCGAAGAGGUUUCGUCUACCCACGCCCUUUGCCUUAGUGCCAAUAAGGCAUGGCGUCAAGGGCUGCGGGUGAACAGGUUUCGCCAACCCACGCCCUUCGCCACAGUGCCAAUAUGGCACGGCGUCAAGGGCUGCGGGCGAAGAGGUUUCACCACACGCCAUGCCCUUCGCCAUAGUGCCAAUGAGGUACGGCGUCAAGGGUUGCGGGCGAACAGGUUUCGCCCACCCACGCCCUUUGCCAUAGUACCAAUAAGGUAUGGCGUCAAGUGCUGGGGGCGAAAAUAAGUUGCUUCCAAGCUGGGGGGCUACGAGGACACCCUAGCCUCUGGAGCCUUUCGCCACACCCACACCCUUCACCACAGUACCCGCAAGGUACGGCGAUAAGAGCUGGGAACGAAAAUGAGUUGCUUCCAAGCUUGUCACGACCGGAAAUAACCCAACGGGCGUUCCUUACGUGCGUGUAUUAUUCCUUGUCCUAGGAGGCAAGGUACACCAAAAGUUGAUACAAUAUAGAGUUUAACAAGCGGGAGCGUAACUAGAUAAUUUAUUACAUGGGCAGCGAAGGCCCAGCACACAUGAAGACAAACGAAAAACAGCGGAAGACUAGGGCGACGACCACAGGCGCUUGAUGGCAGGCACGAGCUAGACACCAAAGCCUUCAUCUUCCAGGAACUCCUCUUCUGGGUUUGGGAAAAAUUGAGCAAGACUGAGUACAACUACCGUACUCAACAAGACACACCCAUAAGUGCAGAAUAAAUGCAAGGGAGUACAAGGGAGCCAUAAUAUAGGGGGUUAGGGUUUGCAGUAAACAGCAUUAAAAGUCACUUAGUUGCUCAAAGCUACUUUGUAAACACGAUCCUAGAGCUAUGCAAUAUUAUUAAUCAAGGCCGUGAACCCACACGAACCUGCCUUAACCCAAGGCCUACGAUGAUUCAGAUCGAACUGGCAACCCAACCCUGGGUCCCAGCUCGUCCCAAGCCAACCCAGGCCAACCAUUCCACAUUUAGUUGUUAAGCAGGUUUUAUGAAUUAAAACACUAACUUGGGUACAUUGCUCGGCUUGCCCAUAACCGAGGGCGCGGCUAUUCGAAUAGAUUAUACUCUGAUCAGAGGUGUACAUCUUUACCCACAAGACACAUCUUCCUCACGUGUAACCACGUGCCACAUACCACCACGGUAUACGGACGGAAGACGUGACAUAGUUUCUAACCCAUCCUAGCCAUAGACAAGAGUACCGACCCAACCCCACCUACGGCCGGAACCUCCGGGACAGGUAGGCAGGACUGAGCCCCUAGCAGCAGGACACCAGCCCUGUGCCAUGACAUCUCGACUACCGGGCCGUAGCUCAUGUAGCCUUCAUUUGCCCUAGAGAUGUCCAUCGACCCCCGACUUCGUCCAUCUCCAUCCGUGUACUUUUGUUUAUAACCAGACUGAGCCACAAACUAAGCCUUACCCACUAGACAUGUGGAAGUACGGUAGUGCUUUGCAACAGAGGCCCGAAGACCGGUCCUUAUAUGGCCGAGGUGCUACUAUCAAAACCAUGCACCCCGAGCCCAGCCUAAAACCAUUUUGAGGAUUUUGAGAAGAGGAGGAGGUGUGAAUCCAAUUCCACAAUAAUCCAACCAUUCCAUAGUGUCCAGGUGAUAAGAAUAUUCCCAAAGUUUAGAGUUGUAAAACCACCUAAUGUUGCCUAAUUAAGCAGCGAAGCAUCUACCUAAAUUCAUACUAGUGGUACCAUGGAUAGAGUAUCCACUAGUUGGGGUUUUAUUUAUUCUAGGGUGAACAAGGUAAUAAUAACAAUAACAAAAAUAAUAAGGUCAUAACAAAGGUAAAAAGGCAUGGCUAAAUAAAACAGUGAUAACGCGGGAAUAUAAAUAAAGCGAUAAUGCAAUAAUUUAAAUCAAAAUAAUUUUAUAAACUGGGAUUCAAUAUGUUCAAGGAUGAUGUGACUUGCCUUGCUCGCUUUCCCAAACGUCGGCUUCAACCUCCACGUAGAGCGGAUCUUCCGAAGCUGUAGCGUCUGCACGAUCAACGGAAAGAAAAAAGGCUUUUACUCUAAUAAACUCCAUAUAACAAGCAGGAACAAAGCACAAAAAUGGGUUCUUAACUUCUUAAGGAAAAAUUAGAGACUUGAACGGUCCAAUUCCGAGUUCAAAUGGCCAAGUUAUGGCCAUUUGAAGUUCAUAUGCUCUUUAAAUGAAUAUUUACGAAUAUCUUCAUUUAAAUUUUAAUUUAAAAAUGGUUUAUUGCGUCAGACGAGGGGAGAGGGCGCGCGGACCGGGUCCAUGGGAGUGGGGCCCACGCGGCAGCCUCACGGUCCACGGUCCACGGUGGCCCACUCGGCGCGCCCGAGUGCGGCUAAGCCGGCGCGGUCGGCGGGAGGCGGCGCACCCCGUGCCCCGUUGGUCGCCGCCGGCGACCACCAGCGCGGCGGAGCGGCGGCCGAGAGAGGGGAGGGAAGGGGGAAAGGAGGCGACGGUCCACGGCUCACCCCGGGGCGACGGCGGCGAUGAGGGAGGCGGCCGGAGCGGAGGGAGGCGGUGGCGCGGCUCGGGUUGAUGGGGUCGGCGGCGCUCCGGCGGUCGGCGACCGAAACGGAGAGGUGGACGAGGUCGGCGAGGAUGCGGCGAAGCCAAAGGAGGCGGCGCCGAGGUGGGAGGCGGUCCGGGGCGACGAUGUCGGCGUACAAGAGCUCGGCGGCGACGGCGGAGAGAGAAAGCUGACGUCGCGAGCGUCGAAUCCGGUCGAGGAGGAAGGGCGGCGAGAGGUGGAAACGGUCGGAGGAGGUGCGGGGAGGGUUUAAAUAGGGUUGGAAGGGGGAGAGAGUGGCCGGGGAGGUAGGAAACCGGCGCGGGAGGUCCGGCCGCCAUCAAUGGCGCCGGCGAGAUUUGCGGGGGCAAAUCCGUCCGUUUGAAACCGAGAGAGAGAGGGAAAAAUGGGGGGAAAGGAAGAGGGAAUCACGGGGAGUAUUUCCCCCCACUUUAUUGCACGCGGGGACGGCGGGAUGCGGUGGAUUCGCGGCGGCGGCGGCGCUAGGGCGCGGGCGAAGCGGCGGAAGCGGCGGGAGCGGCGGGAGGUCAGGGAUGACGGGUGGGCCCCACCCGUCAGCGAGGGUGGCGGGCAGGCUCGCCCGUCAGCGGCGCGCGCGUGGGGAGAGGCCGAGUGGGCCGCGGGGAGAGAAGAGAGAGAGAGGGGGAAGGAGAGAUGGGCCGGGCCGGCCCAAGGGAGGGAAGGGGGACUUUUAGGGUUUUUCUUUUUAUAAAACCUUUUCAACUUUGUUUAUUUCUUAAUAAUUAUUAUUUGUGCUCUGAAAAUUCCACUAAAAUUUAUUUACACAUUUUAGGCUUUUAGGGAAUAUACAAAAAUCCUCUAAGCCUUAUUUGACUUUUAACUUUGCACAUUUUAAUUGUUGGAGGCUUUCACAAGGAUUUUAAUUAUUCUAGCCAUAAUUUAAAGGAUAUAUUUUUGGGUCAUUUUGGGACGUGACAUUGAGCAUCACUUCCAGAAAUGAUCUUUUGGGACUUGGUUAGGUCAGCGACAUUCUUGAUAGCCGAUUUAAGCCUUGCUUUUUGCUCUUCGACAGAUUUUGGGAGAUCGGCUAGCUUUUUGUGCUCCAUAUCCAAUUCAGCAUUGCAUUCUUCAAGCUGUGCCAAGAGAUCGUUCUUGCGGGCUUCAAGCCAAUCGAUAUUGGAUUUGAUUGGACCUUCGGAUAGCUGAUCGAGUUUGACUUUGUCUUCAUGCACAAGCUGCCGAUUGACUUGGAUUGUGGCUUCAAUCUCUUUGCGCUCACGGCGUUCGGCUAAUCUUAGCUUGGCUUUUUCUAGUUUAAAUUGAUGCUGCUCAAGAUAAGCGGCUGCAGUUAGGACAUCGGCCAGUUCUUCAGGAAUUAGAGCUUGUACUUCGUGCAAUCGUGUCCUAAUCGAUCCACAGUCGACCACUAAGCUAUCCAGAGAAGAGGCCUCUAGCUGACACGAGAUAUCUUCAAGUGUUUUCUUUGCAUCGUCAGAUAAGGGAGCUAGAGCUUUGCUUGAAGUAUCUUCUUCUGCCUCAUCAAGAUAAUCUUUGAUAUCAAAAGAGAAGAGAUCGGCUAGAACCUGCAGGUAUAAGUUUAGAAAGUUUGAGAGCUAAGUCAAUAUAGUCGAUCUAAAUUCUUGCAUCAAAGGAAAACUUACUGGGAUAGCAGGAGCAGCCGAUUGUUCUUCUUCCACAAUAUGAUGACUCCCCACGGCCGAUGGAGCUCGGUCACUCGAUGAUUGUUGUACAGGAGAAAAAGAAGGAGCAGGCUGUAAAAAGACAAGUGUUAGAAAAAAUCGGCUGAAAUCAACUAGUAAAAUUGAGAGUGUCUUACUGGUAGAGCUGGUUUGAGAAUUGGAGCUGCCGAUUUCUUUUUUAUAGCAGUUUUCUUCUUCUGUAACUACAAAACCUAUGAGUAGUUGGUUGAAGAAUAAUGAUUAUAAAAGGGUUUGCAAGGAAAGAUGUUUUACUCUGAAGAAGUGAGUGGGGGCAGAAGGAGUUGAAGGUAUCUGCUUAGGCGAAGCCGAUGGUGUUUUUUCAGUAUCACUUACUUCGGCUGCAGCCUGAUCAACAUCAUCCUCAAUAUCUUUUUCAUCCACAGCUUGUUCAAUGGAUGGAUCCAAAGCAGGCAUGUCGUCGGUUGGCUUGGUUUUCUUAGACUUGGCCUUUUUCUUUGGAGCUAGAGUCAAGGUGCUCACAACCGAUGAUCUAGUUUUCCUUUUCUUGGUUACAUCGGUUGGUUCUCUGAUGGCGCCUUGGAGGAGGGUUGAGACCUUGGGGGCAUGAUAGCCGAUGACAGGGGGAGACAAUUCGCCUCCAUUAGGAAUCAGACCUGGGGCAUAUUCAUUGUUCCUACCAAUAUUGCUCUGAUGUGGACGGGAGGACUCUGUUGUCUGCAAAACAGGGACAAAAGAUUAGUCAAGUAAUGAAUCGACUAACCGUUAUGAAAUUUAGUGAUGACAAAGUUUACCUGGGGUAUGAUGUCAGGGAAUAGAUCUGUCAUGUACAUUGUGGCCAAUUAAUAAAAUAGAUGCAAUUUCCAUUCACCCCACCAUCUGUCAAAGUUCCUGCUCCUGAAUCUUGCUAACUCAAUAUUAUAGGGUAAUAGAAUUCGUAGGAGACUUGGAUAUUUCCUCCUUGGUGAAUACCGACAGGUAGGAUGCAUGGGCUGAUUGCAGCUGUAAAGACUUCCCUGGACGUUUGAUAUCUUUCAUGAUUGAUGUCUUCAAAUCUGAAGUCUAAUAGGAGCUCAAGGUCUGCUGAGUCUUCAUAAAGAAACCAAACCUGGGCAUCUUUCUGGAAGCCUUCAAAAAAGCUGCAGAACCAAUCUUUGAGCAGCUCAGCCGAUAGUUUUGCACCAGCAUCGGUUGGUGUGGAUGCAUAUUCUCCAUAUGACAUGGAUCUGCGAUGGGUGCGUUCUUCUCCAUUGUCUUCUACAAUUGGGUCCAACCUUGGGAAUUCAGCUUCUGUUACAGAUGGCCGAUUGACAACUUUCAUGACUACCAAGCUUAGCCAGGUCUGCAGUAGCCUCCAUGGUCCACCUGCUCCAACUAUUGAGCCGACGGCUAUCUUAGCCGAUGCAUUGUUUAACAUUUGGUAUAGAUAGCCGAGAAGGAUUUUGCCUAAGGGAAAUUGUUUCUUUGAUCCUAAGGCUUCGGCUACAAAUUGCCAAUUGGUUGUGGGACCACAGCUGGAUCCACAGAAGAGAAACUUUUCUAGCCACAUAAGCAAGAAAGCUACGUACUCCCGAGGUGUGACAGGCCCUUUGCCCAUGUAUGUCGCUACAUAACCAGACCACCCUCCUAUGCUUUUGGUCUUGAAGUCAAAUUGGUUCUUGGUGUUCAUACUCGUAGGGUUAGCUGAUGAAGUUACAUCUAAUCCAGUAAUCAUGAUAAUGUCUAUCAAAAUUGGAGUCAUCGGCCUUUGGUUAAAUAAGAAGGCAUUGAUGGUGUUGGACCAGAAAUAGGUGGCGGUAGCCAUCAGAGGUUCAUCCUUAGCAGAAUUGGCUAUGGUGAGAGCAAGCGCUUGGCCUAUCCCAAUCUCAUCCCAGUGGGCUUUCUUACUAGCCGAUAUGCGUUGGUACCAGGUGGUCCAGCUCUUAUCAGGGGUAGGCUUUUCGAGAGAUGGCCAAGACUUCCAGUGACCCAAGUUAGGGUUGGCUAGUCUAAAGGGGAUUCUGUUGGUUUCACCAAUGAUAAAAUCAGUGGGGUCAAGAUUGCCGAUUGGGCCAAGAAAAUAGUAGUUUUUGUGCGAUAGGCUGGGAAUCAUAACUAGAUUGGAAAGAUGCUGCAAAUCCAAAGGAAUCGGGAAGCAGAAAACAUAAUAAGAAAAGGAGAAAUCGAUUUCAUGCGAGGAAAAGAGAUCUAGCCGGUGAGAACUUACCUCAGCGUACUUGGCCAAUGGCGCAGUAGAUGGGCUAGUAGAAGACGACAUCGCCGUAGGCGGAGAUCUGAUCAAAAGCGAAAUCGCCUGGGGAUCGCUUUUGUGUCGGAGGAAUCGCCGGAGAGACAAAGGACAAAGUUUCGCUUGAGCGGGAAAACGGAAGUCACGGCGUGAGAUUUCUCGAGGGCAAUGGUUGGCAUUUAAAGCGAUAGAAUAACGGUCGAAAAAUGGCAGAGUGCGAAACUUGCUCGGAGUCGGUACAAGGCAAAUCCGGAACAUUAUCAAAUAUCCCGGACUUGGGGGGCAUGUGUUAACGACCAAAUUUGGUAAUAUCAGCAUCGGAAAAGGAGAUUAGAUCAAGGUGGAGUCGAAGGCGGAGAUUAAUCCGAGAACAGAGCAAGAAUCAGCUGAACUCCAGAUCGGCUACGAUUAGGAUCGGCUGGGUCUGAAUCGGACUAGGUGAGCCGAUGCAGCCGAUUCUGAUAGUAUAAUUUGGUGUAUGACAUUGGGUUGAAUUGAGGUGCUUCAAGAUGAUUGCCGCACAUGGAUAGAGUCCUGAGAAGGCAAUUGUAUCUAUUAAUUAGGAUGUUUUAUGUAACUUCCUUAGAGAUAUGUUUGGGCAAAAGUCUGCCGCAAAGACUUAUGGUAUCUUAGAGUUUGUUAGAGAUAGUGGUUGUGUCCGGUAUGGACAUAUCUUGUAAUUCUUGGGUAUAAAUAGACCCCGAGCCCUAUGUAAUUGGUAACACACACGUUCAAUACAAUUUCGGCGCAUCGCCACCUUUUUGCUUUAGUUUUGUUUCGACGAGUUCUUGCUUUUGGGUUGAGCUGCAUCGGUUUCGAUCUUGAACAAGAGGUAAAACUUGUUAUGACGACUUGCGUUCUCGAGAUUAGUGCUUCCAUCUUUAUGACACUCUAAUCUUGUCUAUAUAAUUCGUCAAGUUAUCAUAUAUCCUACAUAAUCUUUGGCAAUAUCAUCAUCUAACCUAUAAUCGGCUAAUAUCUGUUAAUAGAAGGCAGCCGAUUAGGUUAAAUAGCGACGUUGUCCUAGAUUAUAUAAGAUAUCUACCACUUUAUGAAACACCCAACGGCUUGAUUGUCUAGAUAUUGUUCUUCUUUUCAUACUUAAUGCUGCAUCAGUUGAGUUUGAUCUAUUAAGUCGUGCUUAGAAUAUCAAUCUCUAGCCUGUCCUCUGGUUGCCGAUUAGGGUAGCAUCGGAGUUUCAGCCGAUAUUAUCUGAUUUAACCAUAUUCGAUCUAUAUGCUUCAAUGACAUGUUAAAUCUGCCCUCUAUGUCAGGAUCUUAUUGCAUUUAAGUAUAUUAAGCUUUUGUUUGAUAUAUUAUACUUGUUUUGAUAUCUUUAUCUAAAGUAGUAUCGGAGUAUUAGCGGAUACAUGCUAGAUCUAUCUGAUUGGCUAUGCUAUAAACAUAUAUAAUCAUGUUAUUAAUAUAUAUUUCGAUAUAAGUGAUUUAUACUGUCUCGGCAUGGUGACCGAUCUAUCCCAAUCACUUGAUUUAAGUAUAUAUUAAUAUAAGAACUAUAUAUCGUUAAUAUCUACAGCCGAUCGAAUAGAUUUAGUUCCUUACUAUAUAUUUAUAACCGCCGAUCGAUUCACAUAUGACAUCGGCUUAAAGAUAAAUGAUAUGUCAUUGGUACCUAGCCGAUCGGCUAUCAUUUAUAGAUUUAACCACGAAUUCUUUGUCUCUAUUUCUUGUUGAUUACAGGAUCAAAUCAACUGGCACGCUCAUACAUUCGAAGGCGAGUUUUGGACCUGCACUGGAAUUAAGCAGAUCUCCCAGGCCUCGUGUUUUUUGCCAACAGUAUUGUACCUGUAUAUAAUUUGCGCAUAGUUUUGAAUAACCGAAGAUGACUGGCGUCGCGAACUAGCAGUUUGCUGAAAUCUCUGACAUAUGCAAACAAAGUCGGAAUUAUACUGGAGCGAGAAGCUCCACGACACCAUUGAACCAAACGCACUCUGUUCAUUGACUCGAUGAGAUUGAUCUAGCACUUCAACCUCUUGUCAGUGCCUCCAAAACCUACUCUGAUGAAAUCUAGCAAGAUGGUCUUUCUCCUUUUCUGUUUGAAUUGUCAUCCUCGUGUACUUAGACAUGUUGAUCUCAUUAUGCAAAGUUAAUCUCGCGAGUUAAAUGUUUGCAAGUCCAUAGUCCAGUUGGAGCAGAGUUAGUCAUUAGUUGGAGCAGAGUUAGUCAUUGAUACCCUUUCACUUCUUUCAAGAAGUAUCAGGGCCUAUGUUCUUGGAGACCAUGGGGAGUUGCUUCGACAAAAUUAAAGUAUUAGAGAGCUAACGAUUCAUAAAGAAACCCAAACUUAUAUACAAACUUUCCGGUCAGUUUUAGUCGACUUACACCCUUGAUUUUGACUGUAGGGAAUCAGGUAGAUAAAUUUGUUGAAAAGAAAAUUAUGGAUAUGUGAUCUUUUACUAAUCAUCAUUGGGCAUGUUUUCUUGAAUUCGCAAUAACCGAUGCUCAUUUGGUUUGUCUGGAAUGCAUGUUUUGUUUUUCCUCACGGUCAAACCCAUGAGCUAUCAGAGUCCCAGUUCCAUUGAUUAUAGAGAAAUUAAUGCUAGUAGUUCUGAUUUCUUAUAAUAAAUAGUACAUUGAUGUUAGAACAAAAUCCAACAUUCAUGACAAGAGCAAGUCCAACAUGUAUGGCAAGAGCAUCCCUCCAAUGAGAGGGAGCCCAAGUUUGAUCCCGUGAGAACCACGAGAGUGGAUCAGAGAGGAUGAGAAUGGAUGGAAUGGGGGAGCCAGAUCUCCCUCUCUUGCCCUUGAGGGCUUAUUUUAUUCAUAUGUCACAGGAAAUUAUAUUUAUGCUCUUGAUUUGCUAUAUAUGUACAAUAUCCUCUUGAAGGUAUUUUAGUCCUUUUAUACACCAGUUUAUACAACACUUUAAGUGUGGGGUUAUUCCCUAACAAUUGACACAAUACUCACGUAGGUCUCUAGUAGAGGUGUAAGGUAAAGAUGUACCAACAAAAAAAACAUUCAGUGAUUAUCACAGUGCACUGGUUUGUAUCACCCCGCAGUAGCGAGUUCCUGCUGUCGUGAGUUGUCAUACCAGAGGAAACAAUUCUGAAGAUGAGUAACCCAUCUUUUUAGUGUAUAUGGUGGGCCAUUUCUUCCAGAGGUUUCUCAUUCCUACCAUUAUUUCCUCAUAUAUUGCCAAUGCGAUUCUUUUGGGAGGAGAAGAAAGCAUAGUGUAUGAUCAAAUCUAUCUAUCUAUUAUAUACUAAAAAUCCAUUAAACUUUCUACAAAUACUCUCAAGCUGUCAGGCACACUUACAAACACUCCCUACAAACACUCUCAAGCUGCCACGUGGCACACCUACAAACACUCAUGGGUUGCCACAUGGCACUAUCUGAUCUUACCGUCGAUUUUCAAUUAAAUUGGUGGCCCCGAUAUUUUCAACCAUUAGAUUAGAUUUCUUAUUAAAAGGAACUGAAGUAUACGUACACAUGAUAUAUAUCCACACCUACGUACGUUAAAAACAAACAAAGCUUACCUUCUGUUCCCGAAAAGAAGAAAAAUAGUACACACGUACUUACGGAAAGAAAAAAAUAUAAAGUAGGAAAUACAUAUGUGAUAUGUACCUGUAACAGCAAUGAAAAAAAAAUCAACUACAAAAUAAGAUUUUCUACCGUCAAUCAAAUAUAUUACUUUACAAAUUUACGUAAAUAUAUACAGUUAAACUAGAUAUAUAAUAUAAAUAUAAAAUAUUCAAUCUACACUGUUUAAACGUUCAGAUUAUUUUAAAAUUAUAUAUCCACAUAGCACUAUCUAUUCUCACCGUUAAUUUUUAUCUAAAUUAGUGGCUCUAAUAUUAUAGACCAUUAGAUCUAUUAGUUAAAAAGUAAUACAUUUACCAUGUAUCCGUAUAAAAAAUAUAUCUGUAUGUACGUAUGAUUAAAGAAACCAAUAUAGCUUACCUACUAUUUGAACAGGAAGAAAAAAAAAACAGACGCGUACUUACUUAAAAAAACGAUAGAGCAAAAAAAAAUUAGGCACAUCUAAUACGCGUGGAAAAAAUCGAUGGUCUUUAAACUAGAAUUUAUUUUCUACGAUUAAUAAAAUAUAUUUCUCAAAAAAUUUAGCAAAUAUACACAGUUAAACUAGAUCUAUAAAUAUAAAUAUAAAAUAUCAAAUCAACUCUCUUUGCACGUUGUCCUAGAAAUUAUUUUAAAAUUAUAUAUCCACGUAACUCUAUAUAGUCUCGACAUCGAUUUCCACUUAAAUAUUAUUAAAAAAGUAAUAUUUUCCUCCUAUAUACUUAUACAUGAGAAAUAUAUCCGCAUGCAUUUUUGAUUAUCUUACCUGCUAUUCACAUGAAGAAAAAACAUAUGCGUACAUCUAACAUAUACCAGUGGAAAAUAAUCGACAGUCUUUGAAAUUGGAUUUUCUACAAUUGAUAAAAUAUAUUAAUUUACACAUAUAAACAAAUAUACGUAGUUAAACUAGAUCUAUAAUAUAAAUAUAAAAUAUCCAAUCAACACUCUUUAAACAUCCUAUCUUUUAAAUUAUUUUAAAACUUAUCUAUUCAAAUUACGAUCAAGUUUAAUUUAUUUAUUGCGACGAGUAAUAAAUAAAAGCACAACAAUGUGUACAAAGUUUAGCAAAUAUACACAGUUAAUCUAGAUCUAUAAAUAUAAAGUAUAAAAUAUGCAAUCAACUCUCUUUGCACGUUGUCUUAGAAAUUAUUAUAAAAUUAUGUAUCCACAUAGCAUUAUAUAGUCUAUAGUCUCACCGUUAAUUUUCACUUAAAUAUUAUUAAAAAAUUAAUAUUUUCCUCAUAUAUACAUGUACAUGAGAAAUAUAUCCUCAUAAUUUAAUUAGCUUACCUGCUGUUCACGGGAAGAAAAAACAUAUGCGUACAUCUAACAUAUACCAGUGGAAAAUAAUCGACGGUAUUUGAAAUUGGAUUUUCUACAAUUGAUAAAAUAUAUUAAUUUACACAUAUAAACAAAUAUACGUAGUUAAACUAGAUCUAUAAUAUAAAUAUACAAUAUCCAAUCAACACUCUUUAAACAUCCUAUCUUCUAAAUUAUUUUAAAAUUAUCUAUCCAAAUUACGAUCCUGUUUUAUUUUUUAGUUAAAUAUACAUUUGAUGUUUAGGGUCCUAAAUACGUCACAACACAUGAGACCAACAUGUAAUAAUAAUAAUAAUAUUAUGAGAAGUAUUUAAAUAAUUUCCAUCAUGUUUUAGGGUGUGAAAUAUAUCAUUUCACAAAUAUAAAACACUAAUUUAAAUCUACAUAUGUAAAACCAAUCAAAAAAACACAAUUUUUUUCAUGUAGAUUUGAUUUUCAAAGUUUUUUUGUUGGAUUUUUUAUAACAAUUUGAUUGCAUUUGAGAAGUGAGCAACAUAGACGUGUAAAUAUUAUCAAAAUAUUUUCAACCAAUGAACUUGCUAUAAUAGAGCCCCUUAAUCCAUCGUGAGAUUUAUGGCUAUACAUGUAUGUAUUUUCUCUUUGCCAAAUAGUUUUGAUAACAAAUAAACAAUCACAUAACAUGUGCAAUUAAAUACUUAUCAUGUAUGUUUUUAUAGUUGAGGAAGUCCUCCGUGUCAGUUAUUACCCAAAACAUGUCUAAAAUGAAGUCAAAGAAUUUUUCAAAAAUUCAAGCAAACAUUAAACAAGGUGCCCGCGUAUAUUGCAGGUCCAUUAAACUUCCUACAAACGUUCUCAGGCCAUCACGUGGCUCCUACAAACUCUCCUAAGCCGUCACGUGGCACUCUGAUAAAUUAGAGAAAUAUAAGAUAUUCCAAGAAAAAAAAACGAAAACAUCCUACCAUUGAUUUUCACUUAAUAUGGUGGACCCAUCAUUUUACACCAUUAGAUCUAUAUAUGUUAAACAAAAAUGUCACGUACAUCCAUACCUCUCCCACCUCUCCUCAUACGUACGUUCAUCCAAAUUAAGUACGUCUCCCCACCCCUCUCUUCUUCCUUUCCAUUUACAGUAGCAAAAUUUUAUAUAUAAAAACAACGUAACUAAAUAAUUAGAAUAUCUUAUAAUAUAUUCUAUUUUAAUGUGAACUAUAUUUACAUAUAUUUGCGCGUACAUAUAUAAGAAAUAUAUCAUUUGACAUAAUCUCCUUUAUAUCACAACUAAAUAGUAAUAAAAUAUUUAAAAAAUAACAUAUAUCAUGUCUCCUACUCACUUUCUUAUCCAUAUCUUCUAUAGCCAGCAGCUCAAUACGUAAACAAUAAAAAAUGCUAUAUAUUAAAAGUCCAUUAAACUUCCUACAAACACUCUCAAACUAUAACAUGGUGUUCUACAAAUACUCCUAAGAUGCCAUAUGACGCUCAAAUAAACUAAAAAAUAGAAAUUAUGAUAAAAAAAAUCGAACCAUUGAUUUUCCUUUGAAUAGAUGAACCCAAUAAUUAUAACUACUACAUUGCACAUAAAUAAAUCUGUUACCCCCACCUCCACCGCUACCGUAUGUGAGCAUGCACGUGUGAAUGUACUCCCUCCACCGUCCGACUCUCCUAUAGGAUGCAACUCUCAUCUCCUAUUUUAGCUAACACAUAAUAUAUAAAAAAUAAUAGCUAAAUGAUCAUGACUCUCAAGUUACAUGUACUUUUCUCAAUUUAUUUGAUCUAUUGUGUUAUUUAUAAUUAAAUACAUAAUUCAAGAACCAUAAUGCCUAUAUUUACUAUAUAAAAGUUAGACAAUGCUGUUGUUCUGACUACAAAUAUUUGAGCAAAAUAGCACUUUGAAAAUGACUAAGGAAUUCAAAUAUGUGAGUCUAAUGUCCAAGUUCAAUCACUACCAAGAAACUUGAAACUAUGAUGCAUACUCUGGGCCUGAACCCGAUGAAGGCGGAGCUACAAGACAUUAUUAGCGAGGUGGACAUCGACGGCAGCGGCAACAUAGACUUCCACAAGUUCAUGGGCCUAAUAGCACGCUAGAUGAUUAGGUGAAGGGCAAGGACUGAGAGGAGGACCAGAGGGAGAUGUUCCAUGUCUUCGACAAGAACUAGAAAACAGCUUCAUCUCUGCCACUGAGCCUCGCCACAUAAUGUCCACUACAUUAAGAGAGGCUCACUCAUGAGGAGGUCGACAAUGAUCCGUGAAGCUAAUGGUGACAAGCGGAUCACUACAAAGAGUUCGUAAUUAAAUUCAGAAAAAAACAAGUAAUUAGAUUAAAAUACAUAUACAAAAAAAAUCAUUAAAACCAUAGAAAAUAUAACAAGAUUCCAUAUAGAAUAUAAAAUAUGAAGAGUCCAUUUAUACAUGCAUAAGUUAUAAAUAUUUGAAAUUUGGAAUAAUAAAAUAAGUAUUAAAAGAAGAAUCCAAAUACAACAUGAUACGAGAAUAAGUACAUUUUAAAAUCCCUAAAAAAGACAAUUUAUAAUAAGAAUCACUCAAUAACUAAAUUCAAAAUACAAUAAAUAAUUUUAAAAUAAUUUUUAUAUCUUUAUUGAUUCACAUGUAUAACCAAUUGCAUAUAUAUGAAGCAAUUAAAGAGAGAGCUAGCAUGAUGGUAAAAAAACCAGUUAUUACCAAUCAAAGUUGGAAUAAUUAAAUGUCCCAAUGAAAGUUUGUUGAGAUUUCUUCACGAAAAAGAGAUAUAAUGAACACUCAAUUAAAACUAGAAAAAUACCUUAAUUUAAUUUCAAUUUGUUUUGUUAGAACUAUUUUUGAAACAAACUAAUGUGCAUGCCCGCGCGAAUGCGCGGGCUACUAUCUUCCUAGUUAAUAUAAAAGAGUGUUGGUAAGAGAUGCCGAAAGAAGUAGUAGAAUAUAUAUUCAAGUAUUCGAUCGUAUAAUCAGGACUCUAGGUUAGGUCAAUCCAUCAAUGCUCAGUGGCUUCCCUUAUUAAAAGCAAAUGACUGAAUGUUCACUUGUACUUGGUAGUUCACUAUACUGCAAAUUUGUACAUCUAUUCUCAGUUUAUAGAUUUUACAUAUGUUACAUACAAGACAGCCUUACAGUUUAUAGGAUGUGUACAAUAGGCCAGCAUAGACAAAAAAAAAUGUGAUGAAUGAAAUAAUUCAGGGUAACAUUUUUUUUUAUUCACCAGAUGUUUAAGUAAUUCAGUUAUUUUCACACCGAACAUCAUACUAACUGUACAGCUGUAUUGGAUCUUCUCUCUGCUAUCAUAAGCAGAAUCUAGGUACCUUUCAAAUUCAGCUCUCGACCAAUCUGACAUGUGACAUCUAACUCCCCAUCCAUUUUGAAACUUGUUUAGUAUUUCGAAUGUGUCAAAAUGAACAAACAAUAAUUUGCAUGACUACAUCUUAACUGAACAAUUAAAUUACACAAAUAUGUAAGAAAAAAAUAUCAUUGGCGCAUUGAACUAAUGCUUGCAGAGGAACUUUAUUUUUUUUUACUAACGGAAUGUGGAUAACCAUAAACUAAUUUGGGGAAAGAUUUUUCAUUGUUGUCACACAUUAGUUGCAAUGCCAUUAUUGAUGUGAAUAUAAAACUCCAUAUAAAAUUCAAGAUUCAAGAACAAGAAGAUCUUUCAUGUGAUGGAAUGGUCACAGGCAACAACAGGAGCCGUACCUCAUUCAUCUCAAGAGAAUUGCACAGACGCAACAAUACUCAGUUGUUCGAUACAAUGCUCCUUUCUUUCAAAUGCCACACAAAAGUAUGUUGGAAACAAUCUUGUCAUGUGGAUGAGUUGAAUUAAUCAUGUGCAUUUGUUAGUGUGGUUGAUUAGCCAUGAAUGGUGUUUUUGUGUCAUUGUAACCAGCUUGUCAAGUUGCAAAGAUAAGCAACAAAAUUAAAAUGCACUAGAAAUUGUGCGCGGUGCCACCAAAAUUAUGUGUAUCGGGUGUUCUCGUUCCAAAUGAAUGUGAAGCUGUCUCCACUAUGUUCGUGUUAAUCCUUAUAUUCCCAAGAAAGCAAAGCUAGCACAGCAUCCACAAUCGCAACGCAGUACAAAGCAAUAUGUUUUUCAACUAAAGUUUUCAAACAGAGAAGCAAAUUUUCCCUGGAAUUUUACUAAUUGAGAUUCGAGUUCCAUCAAAAGCUGAAUGCAACCGAGUGUAUAAAGAUCGAUAAUGGACCAACAUUUUUCCUUGAAGAAAUGUUCUUGGCAUGUGUGUUGUGUUGGAACAAUUUCUGCUCAGGAGGAAUGGAGGUCACAACCUACAGAACUAGGGAGAUUUACCAUGGCAAUGAUCCAUGAUUGACACCGUUGACUGCAGCGAGUCGCAGCUCUAGUGAACUGCUAUAGCAGAGGCAUCAAUUCCGAUGAAAUAUAGCCCCUCCUUUGUUUAUGGUACGCUAUUUCUUCCAGAGGCUUCUCAUUCCUAUCACUAUUUCACUUGAUCAAAGUACAGAGAAUUCUACUCAUCACAGUAAGGUAUACUACAUGCAAAAGUGAUUCUUUUGGGCCGAAGAAGAAAGCAUAGGGGGCAUGUGGGGAAUGAUAUAUUGAUCAAAGAGUGUCGUGAUAAGAGAGUAAGAGAUACCAUAAGAAGUAUAACGUAUAUUGAACUAUUUGAUGGGACAAUAUAUCAGAAGUCUAGUCAAUCUAUUACACUCAAAUGCGACCUCCCUCGUUCAAAAGUUUGGUUGAUUCAAUCCAUGCCAUUAUAAAAAAAAGGAAAAAGUACGAACCAUCUGAACAAUCUUGGCCAACCGUAUUACCCCCCUAGACUCAAAUGCCAGAUAUUUUACACCCCUCAAUUAUUCUUACCGGACGAAUUACACCCUAACACUGUUUUGAGUUAUUUUGACCGGAAGUUUGCACGCGUGGCGUCAACGUGUCAAUCCAGUCAAAAAAAAAUAAUAACAAUAAAUUUGUAGGGCUCACAUGCCAUCUAUAUCUUCUCUUCCUCAAUCUCUCCUCUCCCCCCUUCUCUUUCCCACUCUUUUCAGCUCGGGAUGGGCGGCGGCUAGAUUGAGGAAGCGGGAAAGGUAGGGCUCGGGACGGGGCCAGCGGCCGGUGGUGGAGGCGGGAGAGGCAGUGCUCAGGACAUGGGUAGCGGCCGGUGGCGGAGGCGGCUGGAGGCAGGGCUCGGGAUGGGGGCGGCUGCCAGUGGCGGAGGCAGCUGGAGGCAGGACUAGGCCCCUUCUCUUUUCCUCUUCCCGAGUAGUUGGGAAUGGGACAACGAACGCCUGGGAGUGGUUGCGCUCGGGAUGAGAGUGGCAGCCGGAGGCGAGGCAAUGAACGGGCUCGUCGGCUGGCGGCGGAGGCGUCUAGAGGUUCGGCUCGGCGCCCUCUCUUCAGCGGUUGGGAAUGGGGCCGACGGCCGGUGGCAAAGGAGGGGCUCGGGAUGAGAGCGGCGUCAAGGAGAAGGCUAGGAAUGGGGGUUGCGGAGGUGGUUCUUCCUCUGAGGCGAGGCUAGGAAUAAGUCUAUUUUGCCUCCGUCAACUCAUGCUCCAUGUUGAAUCGCAUUCCUCAACCCCUAAACUGGGUAUAACCUGUCCGCCAACUUUCAAAACCAUUGCAAAUCGAUUUCCCGGACGGUUUCAGACAUGAAUAAGUUCACCAGCCGUCCCUCAACUUUUCGGCGAGUUUGUAGGAAAUGUCUAAUCCCCAAUACGAGACAUAUUUACCCCUAAACUAUACGAAACCAUGCAAUUUGGGUCCCGUAACAAUAUGUAUCACUGGUUUCGCUGACGUAGCAUCCUAGUCAGUAAAAUAAAAAAAUAAAAAAUUAUGAGGCUCACAUGCAUGUAAAUGAGGUGGCUGGCGGGAGAUGGGGAAGGGAAGAGGCGGCCAGCGAGCCUGGGAGAGGAGGCGGCAGCGACGGCAACCACGAGAAUGGUAUAUCGACAGCAGCAUGCGAACGUCGAAAGCAGCGCCAUGGGUAAGCGCCCGCGGCAGCGGAUCACUAGUCGUCAACAACGCUGCUCCGGUGGGUGCAAACGCACGCACCCAACUACACCCAGGUCGUCGUCUUCCUCACGCUCGCUGUCUUCGGCGCCGUCCUCCUGCUCCCGACUGGGCUCCCGCUCGCUGUCUCCAUCAUCGCGCUCUGCCCAUCGUGCUGCUCACCAGCCCUAUCUAGGUGCAUGUAGCCAUCCCAGUCACAGACGAGGCAGCAGCAUCCUUCCAUGGUCAGAAAACAAGCACUGAAAACAUCGUUGCCAGGGCCAUCAUCUGCUUCAAUGAUCGAUAUGUAAGCACAUCACUGACAGUUCGUAUUCAAACUUGAGCAGUGAUUGAAACAAUUUCAGCCAAAGAAAAAGGAAAAAAGAGUUCCAGCAGAAAACGGACUCUGUUUAUGAUAUUCUGCAAUCUUGGAUGCGUGCGUUCUUGCAUUGGUGGUCGGGUGUAGAUCUACAGCGGAUGCCAGGGGACAGCACAGGCUGGGGUGGGAGGGCGUGCUGCGUGUGCCGUCGGAGGCGGAAGGAUCUGGCUUCCCGCCCCUCGGGAGUGGCGGUGGCUGAGGGGACGAGCGGCGCCGGCACGCGGAUCCAAUACCACCGCUAGCAGCAACCGCCCGUAUGGCAUCCCGCCGCCAUCGCCACACUAGCCCCUUCUCCCCUCCCCCAUCUCCCGCUGCCCGCCUCUCCCAUGACCCACCCUCUUCAGCUGGCCGCGUCGGGUUGGGACAAAAAGAGAAGAAGAGGAGGAUAGCUAUCAUGUGGGCCCACACAUACGUUUUGUUAUUGUUUUGUUGACUAGGAAGCCACGUCAGCGAGACUAGAUAUAUAUACUGUUAUAAGACCAAAAUUGCACGGUUUUAUAUAGUUUAGGGGUGAAGAUUUUUUUAUAUUGGGGAUUAGAGAUGUUGUACAAACUAGACGUAAAGUUGAGGGAUGACAUGUGAACUUAUUUCUCUCAGAGGCGAUUCCGUCCUACGUGGGACCAAACAGCCCAACAAGGGAAGUAGCGGCCCAUGAGGGCACGACGGGCCCAAAUAGCCCCAAACUCCUCAGACGGGUGGGCUCACAAUGGUUCAUGGGUAUUCAAAUGAAAACCCAAAAUUUUUUUUAAAAAAAUACACAUGUGAAGUAUAUAUUCCAUAUGUAUAUGACAUGUGAACUUAUUUCUCUCGGUAAAAAGUACAUCGAAGGUCCCUCAUGUUGUCAUCGGGUUACAAAAUCAUCCUCCAACUACAAAACCAGGUAAAUCACAUCCCUAAUCUUACAACACCGGGUCACUUUAGGUCCCUAGGUGGUUUUCACUCUGGUUUUGUCCGAUGUGGCAGCUGAGUCAGCGUGGGAUCCCACGUGGGUCCUACACAUCAGCCUCUUCUUCCCCUCCUCCUCUCUCCACGGCUGACGCCUGACGGAGGCUAGCUGUGCGCGGCAUGCCGAUGCGGCGGGAGCGGGCGCGGGCGAAGGCCGGCAGGGUGCGGGCGACGGCCGGCGGGCACGAGCGGCGGCGGCGGCGUCACCGAGCUCGGCCAAGCAUCAGCGCGCAAAGAGAGAGCGGUGGCAACAAUCCCGUGUCUGUAUCAGCCUUCUUCCCGACGGCGGGGAGCAGCUAAACUAUGGGAUGGUUGACGUCACGCCCGCAGCCUUUUUCCACCAGACGCACCACCAUCACCCCAACCUCACCGGCAACGGCAAUGAUGAACUCCCUCCACCAUUCCCCUUCCUUCCGCCAUCGCCCUCCUUCGCCUCUCCCCACCUCGCCGGCGACGACGACAACAGCAACGACACGAGCGCAAGGUAUGUGAGCACCUCCUUCCUCUCCGCCCCAAGUAUUGCCACCAUCGCCACCACAGCCGCUGGUAGCAGCCUCAGCUCCUCUUCGCCAAUGUCGCUGCUGCCUACAUCCUCUGCGCCGGCCAGCUCCUCUCCGCGGAGAGCUCCACCCGCCACCGUCACCGCGGCGCUCAAGGGCCUCCCCGAGCGUCGACUUGUGCUUCCGCCGCUCGGCGGCAUGCUCCUGCACCUCCUUCCCGGUGUGCUUCGCUGCUCCUUAGCCACCCACAACUUCCAUGAACUCUUUCAUGCGCUGCUCUUGUUCCUCAACCUUCCUUGUCAGCUCCGCCACGGCCUCGCCAUGCGCCGCAUCCCGUGCCCCCACUGCAGCGAAGACGGCGUGCAUAUGUUGUCGCACACCCCUUCCUCUCCUGCAGCGCGGGCUCUAUAUGCGGCGACCACCGGCACCGCCGCCUCCCGUCGGUCAGUCUCGUGCACUGGAAAGAGAUGGUGGAAGAGAAAGGAAAGAGGAAGAGGAGCUGAGGCUGUUGUCGGUGGCUGUGGUGGAGAUGGCGACGGUGCUCGGGGUGGUUGAAGGCGUUGGCGGAGAGGGCGAGAAAGAGCGUCGGGCGUCGCCGUCUCUGUUGCCUUCGCUGAGCACCCCUCCCCCCCGCCUCGAAGGUCUCACACACGGACAGAAAGGGGAGGAGGAGAAGGAGGAAGUGCCCAGGUCGUGGUCGGUCACGCCGCCGCCACCGCCCGCCACCCAUCUUUGCCAGCGAGCGCCGCCGAUGGCCGCCACUUGUCUUUGCCAGGGAGCGUCGCCGUCGCGCCGCGCCCUUGUUGUCAAUCGCCAAGAAGAGGACUGCAGGACGGAGGAAGAGAGGUAGAGAGAGUAGUGCAAAUAGUCGCUGACAGGUGGGCCCACAUGGGGACGACGCUAACUCAGAUGCCACGUCAUCUAAAACCGGAGACAAUACCGUCGAGGAACCUAGUUUGCAGUUUUGCACUGUUUUGUAAGUUGGAGGAUGUAUCAUGUCGGGUUUUGUGGUUCAAGGGUGAUUUUGUAAUUCAAUGACAAGACGAGGGACCUUCGGUGUACUCAUCCAAAAGAAGCCCAAACCUAUCCCUCCCACCAUCUUCCUCUCCCCACUUUUUAAGGCCCAUUGGCCCAAUAGCAAAAAAAAAUAUGGCCCAAACUCUAUCAAACCCUAUCUCCUCACCUCCUUGUUCCCAAUCCCGCCGCCCGGCGACGCCCGUCGCCCCCGCGCCAUCGCGCCGUGGCCGUCUUGCCGUUGCCCCGCCGCUCCAGUCAGCCCCUCCACGCAGUCAUCACAGUAAGAUAUACUGCAUGCAAAAGUGAUUCUUUUGGGCCGAAGAAGAAAGCAUGGGAGGCAUGUGGGGCAUAAUAUAUCGAUCAAAGAGUGUCGUGAUAAGAGAGUAAGAGAUACCAUAAGAAGUAUAACGUAUAUUGAACUAUUUGAUGGGACAAUACUCCCUUCGUCCUAUUAUAAGUACAGCCAUAAAUUUCCGUGCCCAACGUUUGACCGUCCGUCUUAUUUGAAAAAAUUAUGAAAAAAUUGUAAAAGUUAAGUCUCACAUAAAUUACUAUUCAUAUUUUACCAUCUAAUAACAAUAAAAAAACUAAUCAUAAAAAUAUUUCAAAUAAGAUAGAUGGUGAAAGUUGGGCACUGAAACCCACAACUGCGCUUAUUAUGGGACGGAGGGAGUAUAUCAGAACUCUAGUCAAUCUAUUAUACCCAAAUGCGGCCUCCCUUGUUCAAAAGUUUAGUUGAUUCAAUCCAUGCCAUUAUAAAAAAAAGGAAAAAGUACAAACUCUCUGGACAAUCGUGGCUGACCGAAUAAACCCCCCACUAAGCUCAAAUACCAGAUAUUUUACACACUCCAUUAUUCAUACUGAACGAAUUAUGCCCUAACACUGUUUUGAGUUGUUUUGACCAGGAGUUUGCACACAUGGCGUCAACGUGUCAAUCCAUUCAGAAAAAAUAAUAAUAAUUCACUCUAACAACAAAUUUGUAGGGCCUUCCAGUCAAAAGAAAAAAAUUGUAGGGCCCACUUGUCAUAUAUUUCUUCUUUUCCUCGAUCUCUCCUCUCCUCCUCUUUUCCACACUCGUCAGGUCGGGAUGGGCGGCGACUAGAUGGAGGAAGCGGGAGAGGCAGGGCUCGGGACGAUGAUAGCGGCCGGUGGCGGAGGCGGGAGAGGCAGUGCUCAGGAUAGGGGUAGCAGCCAGUGACAAAGGCGGCUGGAGGCAGGGCUCGGGAAGAGAGCAACAGCUAGUGGCGGAGGCGGGACUCGGGAUGGGGGCGGCGGCCGGUGGAGGAGGCUGCUGGAGGCAGGACUAGGCCCCUUGUCUUUCCCUCUUCCCAAGUAGCUGGGAAUGGGACAACGAAUGGCUGGAAGUGGUUGGGCUCGGGAUGAGAUUGGCAGCCGAAGGCGAGGCUAUGAAGGGGCUAGCUCGUCGGCUACCGGCGGAGGCAUCUGGAGGCUCGGGAUGAGAGCGGCGGCGUCAAGGGUGAGGCUAGGAACGGGGGUGGCGGCCGGUGGAGGACACUAGUACAGAUCCUCUCAUCUGUGACGGCCCAUCACAUGCCUAGGCAACGUGGGCCGUCAGAACGAAGUCAUCUCAAUCGGGCCUAAAUUUUUGCCGUUGUAGAUGUACUCGUCAGGGUGCAUAUUCCAAUAGCUCGUUACCGAUGACACUCAUCUAUGACAGGCUCGAAGUUAGGCCCGAUUGAGAUGACCUCCACUAUCUCAAUCGGGCCCAAAUACUAAGCCCGUCACAGAUGAGUGUCAUUGGUGACGGGCUCCAAAGAAGGCCCGAUUGAGAUGGCCUUAAUGCCCGUUACCGAUGACUCUUAUCGGUGUCGGGCUUCUAUUUGUGCCCGUUAGAGAUUAGUGUGCAGCCGUUAGAGAUGACAUUUUUUUGGCCCGAUUGAGAUAUACUUUGCACACUAUAUAUACUCCAGCAGUCCAUUGAUUGUAGUUAUCCCACUGUUCACUAUUUUGGUGGGAGGUUGGAGGGGGCGAAUUUUUGUAAUUUUUUUGCAAACAAAAACAGGAAAAUCAUAAAAGUAAGUAAAAGGGUACUAAUCAUUUCCUAUUAAUUUAGUAGUACUUAUGUUAUGAGAUGUUAACUAAUAUUUUGUUCAUUGUUCAGCGAUGGAUCAAAGUUGGAUGUACACGACUGGCUUGAGGCGUCAGUACAAGGAGUAUAGAGAUGGCGUAUUAAGUUUUAUGAAAGCCGCAGAGGAGGAUAGGAUAAGAAGAAACGACAAGUACAUGUGUUGUCCAUGUAGCGAUUGCAGGAAUGAGAUUUUAUGGGAAGAUGAAAAGGAAGUACACACUCACUUGAUACGCCGGGGAUUCAUGGAGAGAUACACAUGUUGGGUGAAGCAUGGAGAGUAAGAUCCGGGUACUGAUGGUGCACCUGCAGACGGAAGUGGUGCAGACAAUCAUGAAGAAGGAGAUGAAGAAGAGCAUGACAUGUUUGUCCCAUCUCCAGUGGGCGGUGAAAUGGUUGAUCCUGGACCCUGAUCUGCUGCAAGACAUGUUACGUGACGUUGAUGACCCAGCUAUGAACCAGAGAGAUUCCAUGAAGUUCAGUAAGUUGGUCAGUGACUCGGAGACUCCUCUAUACGCAGGAUGCAAGCCAAAGCACACCAAAUUUGUGACCAACAUUAGACCUAAUGAAGUUGAAGGCUAUUAGUGGAUGGUUAGACAAGAGUUUUACAGACUUUUGGGAAUACUAAAGGACAUGCUUCCUCAGGAGAACACAUUGCCCGAGACCACAUAUGAAGCAAAAUAGGUUCUGUGUCCCCUGGGGCUAGAGGUCCGGAGAAUUCACGCAUGUCCAAACGAUUGCAUAUUGUACCACAAGCAAUGCGCGGACUUAGAUACUUGUCAUGUCUGCAAGGCUUCUCGAUACAAGCGAAAGAAGAGCGCGGGGGAGGGAAAGAAGUCAAAGCGGGGUGGUCCGGCGAAGGUUGUGUGGUAUCUAGCAAUCAUUGAUCGUUUCAAGAGAAUAUUUGCCAACCCCAAUGAAGCAAAGUUAGUACAUUGGCAUGCCACAUAGAGAAGGAAUGAUGGUUUGCUAAGGCACCCUGCGAAUUCGAUUCAAUGGAGGAAUAUCGAUCAAAAACACAAAGACUUUGCUGCUGACCCCAGAAACAUGAGGAUAUGUUUGUGUACUGAUGGCAUGAAUCCUUUCAGAGACAUGAGCAGUUCUCACAGCACUUGGCCAGUUCUUAUGGCGAACUAUAACCUCCCGCCAUGGUUGUGCUUCACAGGAAAUUAUUAUGUUGUGCUUGUUAAUCCAAGGUCCAAGACAACCCGGAAUGAUAUCGAUGUGUUCUUGGAGCCUGUUAUCGAUGACCGUGAGAUUCUGUGGAAAGAGGGUGUGGAAACUUGGGAUGCAUAUGGUCGGGAGAACUUCACGCUACGAGUUCCAUUGUUCUGCACCAUUAAUGAUUAUCCUGCGCUGGGUAAUCUUUCUGGACAAACUGUGAAAGGAAGAAGGCAUGCUCUGACUGUAUGGAACAUACACGCAGUAGGUGGCUGAAGAAAUCAAGCAAGUUGGUUUACAUGGGUCAUAGGAGAUGGCUCCCUCAAUGGUAAGAAAGAACUUGGGUCUGCCCCUGCGGAUUUGUCCGGAGAUCAGGUAGACAACAUGGUGAAGGACAUUACUAAUGAGUUUGGGAAGAAAAGAAAACGUAACAAGGAGGACAAGAAGAGGAUGUGGAAGAAAAAAAUCCAUAUUUUGGCGGCUACCUUACUGGGAAGAUCUUGAGGUCCGUCAUUGCAUUGAUCUAAUGCACGUAGAGAAGAACGUGUGCGAUUGCUUGCUGGGGCUAUUGCUGAAUAUGCCUGGCAAGACAAAGGACGGGUUGAAUGCGCGUCUUGAUCUACAGGAGAUGAGCAUUCGCAGUGAACUUCAACCUGUUACGGAUGAGAAGACAGGAAGAGUGUACCUCCCACCAGCUUGCCACACAUUGUCGAAUGAUGAGAAGAUCGCAAUGCUAUCAUGUCUGGCAGAUAUUAAAGUUCCUUCGGGCUAUUGCGCGAGAAUAAGUAAGUACGUUAAAUUGGAGGAUCUAAAGCUGGUUGGAAUGAAGUCUCACGAUUGCCACGUGCUAAUCACACAAAUCUUGCCAGUUGCUAUCAGAGGCAUUCUACCACCACAAGUCCAUCACACGAUCCAACGGCUUUGUGCCUUCUUCAAUGCAAUCGGUCAGAAGAUUAUAGAUCUAGAAGACCUAGAUGGGUUGUAGGCCGAUAUUGUCAGUACCCUGUGUCACUUGGAGAUGUAUUUUCCACUGGCUUUCUUUGAUAUCAUGGUUCAUCUCACUAUUCACCUAGUGAAGCAAACAAAAAUAUGUGGGCCAGCUUUUAUGAGAGAAAUGUGGCUGUUCAAGAGGUACAUGGGAAUUCUGAAGUCCUACGUACGGAACAGAGCAAAACCAGAGGGGAGCAUCGUUGAAGGUUACACGACUGAGGAAGCCAUUGAGUUCUGUAUCGAUUACAUGGCCGAUACUAAUCCUAUCGGAGUUCCUACGUCUCGCCACGAAGGAAGGUUGGCAGGUGUCAACACAACUGGCAGAAAAAGAAUUAUUCCCUAUCAAGCUUCCUACGCGCAGGCUCAUUUCGCAGUGCUGCAACAUAUGGCUGAAGUAACCCCAUAUUUUGAGGAGCAUUUAGCGAAGGUCCGACGGGACAAUAUUGGUCGAUCAGAUAUUUGGAUCAAUAGAGAACAUGGUGCUCGCUUCAACGAAUGGCUCAAGGAUCGUGUAGCACGGUCGACCGAUGGCCCAAGUGAGAUAUUACAAAGGUUGGCAAGGGGUCCAUCUUGGGAUGUUGACACAUAGCAAGGGUACGAUAUCAAUGGAUACACAUUUUACACCGUCACACAAGAUGAGAAAAGCACAGUGCAAAAACAGUGGAGUCCGUAUAGAUGCAUAUCAGGAUCAGGCUGGAUCGAGCACAUACUACGGCCGCAUAGAGCAGAUAUGGGAGCUGAACUAUCUGAACUUCAAAGUCCCUUUGUUCCGUUGCAGUUGGGUGAAUAUCCGCAAUGGUGUCAAAGUCGACAAGGAAGGAUUCACAUUAAUGGACCUGGCCAAGGUUGGAUACGCAGACGAACCAUUCAUACUAGCAAAGCAGGUCGAACAGAUUUUGUACAUAAAAGACCCCGCAAACAAGAAGAUGCACGUCGUUAGGGAUGGCAAGCAAAGAAUUGUGGGUGUGGACAACGUUGUCGAUGAAGAAUAAUACAACAAGAAUCUUCAUGUGAGACCUCAGAUCGACCCUGACGAUGAUCCCGAAGACGAUGUGGCUUACGUUCGUUCAGACCAUUCGGAAGGCAUAUCACUGUAAAUGAUGUAUUUAAUUUGUAUUGGAGCCUUAAUGAAUGAAUUGCAUAUGUUUCAUGCCAUUCCAGUUAAAACUCAUUGAAGAAAUGGAUUUGUUAAUUAUGUGGUUUUAAAAAAUUAUACUUGUUAUUUUAAACUAUAUGUGAGAAAGCCAAUUGUUAAUUGUAUGAAUUUAAAAAAGUAAUAUGAACUUUAAAAUAUAUGUGAGAAAGGCAAUUGUCAAUUAUAUGAUUUUAAAAAAUUAAUAGGAAUUUUAAACUAUGUAAAUAAGACAUUUGUUAAUUAUAUGAGAUAAAUCAAAUGUAAUAGCAAUUUUAAAUCAGGUAGAAGUUAAUUAUAAAUGAUUUUUAUAACUUAAAAAUAUUUUAAUAAGUCAUCUAUGACGGGCUUUAGUACUAUGCCCGAUAGAGAUUAUUUCAUCUCUAUCGGGCUUAGUGCUAAUGCUCGUCACGGAUAGGUAUCAUCCGUAUCGGGAAGAGUACUAACGCCCGUCACGGAUGAGUGUCAUCCGCAUCGGGCAUAGUAGUCUGCCUGAUAGAGAUGAGGAUUGACUAGGGUUUACUUAGUCAAUCCUCAUCCACGGGUACUUAUCCACCGCCGAUGCCGCCUCUCACUUUCUCACACUCUCACUCUCUCAGAUCCACUGCCGCCGCCGCCUCCUCCUCCUCCGCUGCCGCCGCUGACGCCGCCUCCUCCUCCUCCAAGCCGUCGCCUCCCGACCACUGCCGCCUCCCUCCACGCCCCCCGGUUCAAGAUCCCCCGCCGCCUCCCUCCACGCCCCUGGUUCAAGAUCCAACGCCACCGCCUCCCUCCACGCCUCCCGGUUCAAGAUCCACCGCCGCCUCCUCCUCCUCAGCGCCGCCACCGCCUCCCGGUUCAAGAUCCACCGCUGCCUCCUCCCUCAUCGUCCACGAGCCCUCGUGGAUCCGGCCUUCCUGACCGCCGCAGCCGCCUCCCGGUUCAACAUCCGCCCUCCCCAACCGCCAACGCCUCCUCCACGCCCAAGACCGCCGCCGCUGGCCUCCUCUCCAAGUCCUCCGCCACUGGCUUCCUCUCCGCCAAGUCAUCAAGACCGAUGCCACGGCCGCUUCAGUGACUGACGUCAAGCCCGCCGCCAAGACCGACGUCAAGCCCGACGCCGCUGGCGUCCUCUCCAAGUCCGCCGCCGCCACCAGCCUCCUCUCUGCCGCUUCUUCUCCUCCUAGGUACACUUCCUCUCCCUCGUUUUUUUUAUGCAUUGUGGAUGCAUUGUGGAUGCAGUGUAUGGACGAAUUAGAUGUAUGGAUGCUGUGGAUGUUUUUUGCAUUAUAUAGUUGGAUGAAUUAGAUAUUGCUAUGCAGUGGAUGAAUUUUGCAUGAUUUUUGGGGGAAAUGCCAUGUUGGGAUGCAGUGGGCUGUGAUGGAAUUAAUUUGUGAUUUUUGGGGGAAAUGCCAUGUUGGCAUGAAGUGGGCUGUGAUGGAAUUAAUUUCUGAUUUUUGGGGAAAAUGCCAUGUUGGGAUGCAGUGGGCUGUGAUGGAAUUAAUUUGUCAUUUUUGGGGGAAAAUGCCAUGUUGGGAUGUUGUGGGCUGUGAUGGAUGUAUUUGUGAUGAAUGUCCAAUGAUGAUUGCUCAUAAAUAGACCCUACACACUUGUGAUUUUUGGGGUUUUUUCAAUAAGAACAGACCAUCUACACUUGUUCAUUUUAUUUGGGGGAGGGGGAGUGGCAGUAUGGGAUGUUUUGCAAAAUGGAUGCAUUUUUGGGCUGGCCUCACUCUUGGGCCAGCCUCACUCUUGUUCUUGUUUAGGUUUAAAUGUGGGUUUUUAAUGCAUAAGAACAUACCCUAUACACUUGUGAUUUUUGGGUAUUUUCAAUAAGAACAGACCAUCUACGCUGGUUCAUUUUAUUUGGGGGUGGAGUGGCAGUAUGGGAUGUUUUGCAAAAUGGAUGCAUUUUUGGGCCGGCCUCACUCUUGUUCAACAUGUGGACAGAUCCUCUACACUUGUUCUUAUAUGGCUGCUUGCAAUAUUCUUGGGAUUUUUUGGGUCCAAUGGGAUGGAUGAAUUGAUGUGAGCUAUGACGGUUGAAUUAUUUUGGGGGAAAUGUGAGUUUUGGUAUGUGACUUGUGUUUUUUAUAGCUGUUUCUUUUUUUGCAUAAGGACAGACCCUCUACACUUGUUCUUAAUUUCUUUUGGGGGUGGGGGCAGUUGCAAAUGAUGGUAAUUAAUGCAUAAUUUCUGAGCAAAACUGAGGCCAAACUUAUUAUAUGUCAAGACUUGUGUUUUUUUAGGUACAAAAAUAAUAUAUAUGUGACUUGUGUACUAUGGGCUAUUUUGGGUGAUUUUGAGGGAUAUGGGAUGGAUAUGCAUAGGGCUGUUAUUAAAUGAAGUUAGUGCAAUUAUGGCAUUUAGGAGAAUACGAAGUGUUCCGGUUGCCAAAUCUGGUUUGGUCGGGUUACUUCUUGCACGGUACCGACCAAGACAAGGAAUAAGGUCAUUUCUAGAUUGUUAUCGUUACUAAUUUCCUAGAUUGCUUUCUAGGUCAUUUCUUUCUGAAACCCCGUUCACAUAAAUUCAGUAUCCAAAGCUGGUUGUUGUAUCUAUGGAAAUAAGAGUUUCAGAAUGAAAUGAUAUUGGAUGCAAUCUAGGAGUUUGCUGACGAUAACGUUAGGGGUCUAGUGCAAUUGUAUGGUAACAAGGAUAGGAAGGGUUUUGGUUGCCUGUGUGUUCAAUCUGCGUCCGCCUCGUCAGCAGAUAUGUAGCAUCCAUGUUCCUUAAGGCCGGAGUAGACGGGAUCUCGACAUCGACAUCCAUAUCCCACUAGAACUUGCAACCGCUGCCACUAUCUUAUGGUAGUGACAUUGAUAGCAAGUUCGAGUGGGAUACUGAUAUCGAGGUCGAGUUCCCGGCUGCUCCGGCCUUAUUGAGCAUGGAUGCUAUGGUUCCGUCGACAAGGAGAACACAGGUAGGAGAUAGAGGUACAUCAACCGUGACAUAGGACAUGUCGCAGCAAGGCGAACCAAUGUCGACGACGACUACUGGGACUACUUCGAGCCAUAAUCCUAGGACCCAGAAUAAGAUUUCUAAGGAAGUCUACACCAUAACAGAGGUGGACGAUGUUGGAUAUCCGAUGGCUCCGACGAAAGCUGUCAAAAAGUUCCCUACAUUAUGCGGAGUCCUAGGGAGGCGGAACUUCACUAUUCUGAAGGACCACAUCGAUCUGGUCCCUCAAGAAGAAAAAGAAGAGGCCUGGAGGCAGUUCAAGGAAAGCUUCCAAUACCCUACAGAGGCCGAGGCAGGACUCAAGCAGCAGGCUAUCCGCAAGAUGGGGAAUUGUUGGAAAAAUUUCAAGACAACACUGGUCACGGAGUACGUCCUCAACCCCGCCCAGCCAGAACCAUUUGGGAAAUACCCAUUCAUCACCCGAACCAUGUGGGAUGAGUUCCAUGCCGCCAAAUCAACGAAAGAGUCUCGGGCAAAAAGCCAGGCCUACCGUGAUCUGCAGGCAAGGAACCUUCACCCGCACCGGCUUGGCACCGGAGGCUACGCGGGGAAACAGGCAAAAUGGGACAAGAAGGAUGAAGCUGCAGCAGAAUCUAACACCCCGCUAGUGCUUGCUGAUAUCCCGUUCCAGCGGGCAAGGAACUGGGCAAGGGUAAGGGGGAAGAAGAAUAGUGACGGAACUCUUUCGUUCUCAAAUCCCGAAGAUCAAGCGGUGUACCAGAAAAUCGUAAGUUGAACACAUAGAAUAAGGUUCAUUAUGUUGUAUCGUAUUCUUCGUCUAAUGCGUCCUAACUAUACCCAGGUCGAACUGAAUGCUGAGAGACAGGUCUCCCAAGAGGUCUGCUCACAAAGACGCGAGGAUGGCAUCCUCACGAAAGCGUUGGGAAACGAAGAACACCGUGGACGAACAAGUGGCAUUGGCUCCAAUGUUCCAUGAAAGUUUGGGUUUCCCCAAUACGUGUGGCAGUACAAGAAACACAAGCUUUCCAAGGCGCAGAAAGCUGCACGCCUUAAGGCCCAACUUCGGGUGGAGCUUAAAGAAGAGCUUAGAGAAGAGCUCACUGCCGAGCUGUUAGGUAUGGAGGCUCGGAUGGAGGUAUGCAUCAGGGAUAGGUCGACCGAUGCCACUCCCGGUCCCAUAGUACAAGUGAGCCCCACGCAGAGGCAUAGCAGCUGCGCAUCAACUGAGGCUCCAGCAGAACAACCUGAAGGCCUCGCCGCGGUGGACCACAUAAUGGUAAAAAUCAACUUAAUAACGCAUAUAUUGUAUUAGCACCACAAAUACAUUGCAACAUAUACUAAGGACACUAAUGAAUCUAUCACAGGAACCCACAUCGUGUACCCUAGUCGUUAGGGUGACACCAGGAUUUGCAAUUCCUGCCGCAGAGGGUCAAGCGUUCAAGCCUACCCCGGAGACCCGAGUGCAUGGGGCGCAGCUACUAGCCGGCAAUGCCAAAGUUCAGGUGGACUUAGUUAAGCCCGAUUGGGUUGGCUACACUAUCCCACACCCACCGAAUGAGAAGAUUCUGACCCUUGGGGCUGCACGUGGGACCUUUAUUCAAUGACCCAAGCACAGCAUUGAGAUCAAUAUAACUCCAAGGCCAGCGCCAAGUUCUCAUCCGUCGCCGACGCGUCCCCAUCCAACUUUUAUAUCUCUCCCUCCUGCCGUUGAACAAAGAGACGAAGAUCUCCAAUUACAGUAUGAUACAGAUUUUGGGGACGACGGUAUGGAGGUCGACAGCAGGCCGCACCUCCCCCCCUCCUGCCAAAAGGAGCAAGAGGGCGAAAUCUUCUCCACCCAAGCUUGAUACAAGUAGAAAAGCUGCUAGAACGGGGAGAGGAAAAAUAAAGGUGCCAUUAGCCCCAAAGAAGCUUGAUCUUGGCAAGGCGCCAAUAGCUCCUCCAAAUCAUCCAGCCGAAUUCACAUUGGGCAUGGCAUUGGUCGGAGACGAUGCCUUAUUCAAGAUGGGCCCUGCAUGCAAUGAGUUGCACGGGUACUACAUGGAGAAGUCCAACGCAAGGAGGAAGAACAGAGAGACCUCCAUGUUGGGCCAGCACGAUGGUCAGCCGUUCCUCGGGUCUACUGCCUUCAUCACCAUAGACUUCAAAGAUCAAUGGGACCUCUACAGGGUGCGAGCGAUCGACACCAACCUCCUUAAGUGCUACUCCUUAUAAGUAUUUCUGGGUACGCGAUAUGGUAGUAACUGUCCAUAAAUUAUGCUUACCCUGAUUCUUGUCUUGCUCGUAGGUUAACCUGGAAGCAUGUCCAUCGUAAAGCACCCCAUGUUGCCUUACUCGAUCCAGCUGUCGUCAACGAGACAACACUGAAAAAUGAUCGAGCAAACAUGAUGGGCUAUAUCAAGGACUGCUUAUUUGCCCGUCAAGACAAGGACUUCAUUAUUUGUGCCUACAAUCAACAGUAAGCGUGUACCGUACUUAUACUCAAAUACUCGACGCGUACAACUGUAGUAUGUAACUGGCAAUUUAAUAAUUUCGCAGGCAACAUUGGAUUCUUCUGGUAAUAACGCCGAACUGGAGUUUGGUACACUACCUUAACUCCAAUAUCAAGCCAGAAAUAUACGAUUGGUCGGCCAUCGAAUAUGCCUUGAACAAGGCAUGGGACCAAUAUGUGACAAGAGGCGGGAGGCAUAAGGAUGGGCAUCCCAAACUCGGUCACAAGAAAGACUUCCCAAUACAUCAACAAGUUGGCGAUCAGUGCGGGUUCCAUGUGUAACACCCCAGAUAACCACGUACCUAGAGUGCCACACCAAAAACACUCAAAAACUACUAACUCCCAAAAUUAUUAGAAAUUUCGGCAGUCUCCCCUGCAUAUACGGACAUCCACGACAGGCAGUUGUAAGAUAACUCAAUAACAAAAUAACCCACACAAUCCAAACCAUCCUAACUCCAUAAAUUCCAAGUGAAAAUAUGGACCAGAACUUUAAAUGACCUUUACAAGUUCUAUGCAAAACUUAUGCUUAGCAAAAACAUAGUCUAAAACUAAAUUUCAAUAGUGUGCAAUAAUAAUGUGUAGUCCAAGGGUGCUACUCCCGCCCCAUGCCGAUCAAUGUCAUUAGGUACCUAAAAACCAAAUUAAACACAAGAGUGAGUAAAGAAUACUCAGCAAGUACAAUAUUGAACUAGUAAAACAUACACAAGAUUUAUGCAUUAAGAAACCAAUAUGAAGGGUUGGGUUUACUUUAUUUAAACAACGAAGUCAGAAUAUAGUAGUUCCCUCCCGGGCAGGUAUGAAUAUCCUCUUAGCAUUACCGGUAACCCGAGCAAGCGUGAUCAGCGCUUCUCAAGGAUCAUGAAUAAAGACCCAAAUUGCACUCCCAUGACUACGCAUGGUUCUUGGAUAAUGUAAACAGAACAUCCGGAAUAAUGAAACAUGAAUAACAUCGUGAAUUUGAAUAUGGAUUGAAACACGAAUAAGUAGCAUAACAUCAGAGCCAUACGAUCAGUAAUAUCAAGCAAUUGAAUAAUAAUUAUGCAAGUAAAACCAAACAAAACAACUCAGUUUGUCCAUCACAUAAGUCCGUCUUGUACUUGUCUUAACUCCUUCGAUAAUCUGACUCAACUCCUCCAACGUUAGAACCCUCCACACUUGUGGAGCAAAACUAUACAUAAACCACUAUACUCAACUAAUGACAGUUACAAGGGAUAUUUACUAAAAUCGAUAACCUAGAACAUAUAGACUUUUUUACCAAUUUGUAUUAAAUAACCUAUAGCAGUUCCCUUUCUGUUUUAUGCAUAACUUGCAAACCGUCUAAUGGAAUCUAGCAAAUAAUAUAACUUUGGACAUCUCAACAAAAUUAUCUACAACUUUCAUGUUGAGCACAAAAUCAGAUUAUGCCUCUGAAAAUCCCAGAUUAAAGAAAACGAAUUGCUAUCCUGAUUUCUGGACCCGGUCAGCAGUACUGUUUUUUUUUUGUUUCUCCCAAACCGUUUAUCAGAAUUGAGUGAAACCAGCGGAAAGAUCGGGCCAAACAAUAGCCUUGAGUGUCUCGAGUGGUACUCAGGGUUCAGCAGUUCGAAUCUUCCUAGGCUCUGUAGGCGCUAUAGUAGCCCCGCCUGCGAAAAUAACCUCGGUGAAAAAAAAAAUCCUGCCCCCCCUCCCCAGGGUUUCAAAUCACUUUCACAAAUCUCGUCCAAGAAACAAAAUCCAAUCACAGACAUUGUAAACUUGCAACAUAAAAGCACUGGAUUCAAAUCCAUAGCAAGUUAACAUCAAUAAACAUGUAAACUUAAGAAAAAACAACAUCGUCAUCGCCAGCGAACUCCUCUGUUGCAUGCGGUGGCCGCCACCGCCUCCCUCCCCGCUCCGGCAGGAUCUAGGAGGGCAGCGAGCCAUUGAUGCGGCCGGCGCUAGUCGUCGCCGUCCUGCAGUAGUCUUCGUUGUCGCGGCCGACGCCCUCCGCCCGUGCUACCGCCGACGCCCCUCCUCUCCACCGGAUCUAGGAGGGGAGGGGUUGAGGAGAGGGGCAGCGAUGCAGCUGGUGGUAGUCGUCGUCGCGUGCAGUAGUCGUCGUCGUCGUCGCUCGGUAGGCGCCGUCGUCAUCGCUUGCUGUAGGCGUCGUCGUCGACGCGCGGUAGGCGCCGUCCCCUCCGCCCGUGCCGCCACAGACGCCAUUCGCCUCCGCUGCCACCGACCCCCUAUGCCCGCGCCGCCGCCGAUGCCCCCUCCAUCGGAAGGAAGGAAGGGGAGGGGAGGGAAGGAAUGGGGGAGCCGGAGGGAAACGAGAGAGAGAGAGAGGAGGGAAUGAGUGGUGGGGAGAGGAUAAGAUGGUAGAAGAGAUGAUAAGAUAGAACUUAGAUUUUUUUUAUGUAGACAUGAUUUUUGCAGGCAGACCACGUAAGGUUUUGCCUCUAAAAAUCAUAUUUUUUAAGGCGGACCUCUUAAGUAGUCAGCCUAAAAAAAAUUGAUUUUCGCAGGCGGAUGAUAAAAAUCGACCUUGGAUUAUAUUUUUGUAGGCGGAUAUUUGGCUCCGAGGGUCAUACCCGUCUGGAAAAAUAAAAGGCCAACAUCGCCAAAAAUCGUUUUUCUAGUAGUGCCUAAAUCACCAAAAUUUGGCCGAAAUAGAAAAUGCAAACCCUGGGUCUGUCAACAAAGACAUUAACUGGCAACUCCAUGAUUAAUAACAGCAACUGCAUAUAGUAGGAUCACAUCGUCAGAUAUACGUACCCCGUGUCAUUGCGUACGGAAAUAUGCAUUGUCUAAACAAAGAUGAUAUACUCAUUAUCUUUUGGCAUGUCUUUCCUCUUCCUUAUUGAUACCCAUUGGACAAUUGAAUUUUAUCUUUGCUCACUGUUCACAUUGUUGUUUAUUUGGAAACAAACCACAAUUUUCAUUAGUUAUUUAUUCAACUUAAUUUUUCUACGUCAUUCUCAUGCAAUAAUUAGUUCAUUGUUUGUCAUGAAUGGCUAUGUUCAGCCAGCCAAUUAAAUCAAUAUUCUUUCAACUAGGAAGGUAGCCCGCACACAUGCGCGGGCAUCUUGUUUAAUGUGUUUGAAAUUUUCUUACAAAUGUUUUUGUGUAGUUGGUUUUUUUUAUUGGAAUAUCUUUUAUACUCUAUUCAAAUUUAUUUGGGAUUUCUAUGAAUGUUGGUUAUGAUUUUCUUCUAGUUUCCCUUGCAACAUAAAAAUUUGUUAACUAACAUUGUGUGAAAGCGUGCAGUUCUGAAUUUAUAAGAAAAUAUUGUGUCAUCACCAUGAAGUUGGUUUCUAUGAAACUAUCUAUAUUUUGUACUGUGGGUAUUUCUAUACUUUAAGUAAUAAUUGCUUUUAUACUAUCUAUGUCUUUGUGGAUUUUAGGAUAAAUUAAUUUAAGAUUUUCUAUUAAACAUAUAGCUAAUAGAACUAUGUCAUAUAAUUAAAGAUAGAUUAUACUUCGUCGCAUAAAUCCGAGAAAGUUAAAUUUUGUGUCAAAAUAUAAGGGAUUUUAGAGUAGUACUACUUGUCAUAUCCAAACAACUAUUAUUUAUUGUUUACCCUAUCUUACCCUAACCUUCUUCCCACUCUCUACGUUUCUUUUAAUUAAUAAGGGGUACCAUAGUUCCUUUUUUUUCUUCCUUGUUAGCUAUUACUGUAAAUAUGAUACGAUGGUUCUUUACUACUUGUGAAAUAUAACUUGAUGUAUUUUUCCAAUUUGUUAACACACUUGGAUUAUUGUUUUUAAUCUAAAUGCUUAUUUAUAAUGUAGAAAUAAUCCGAUAGCUACGAAUAACAUGACCACUUGACUAAUGAUAAAUUACACGUAGAAUGUUGUGUCUUCAUAAGGAAAAUUUUCAAGAAUUUCUUUUAUUGAUUAUAUGCUUUAGGAGACCAAUAAAUAUAUAGAUUAUAUGCCACAUAGAUUAGUCAUUUUUUUAAUUAUAUGUAGGGUGUAUAUUAUUGAUGUCUUUUAAUUUAUGUUUUUUCAUAUUGCAGUAUACAUAUUUUUUUAUUUACAGAAAAGUCAUGAGGAUGUAGUUUUUAUUUUGUUCCAUGAGAUUAUAGACCUAAUUUAGUUAUUUGUGUUUAUGAAUGACUUAUUAUACAGCUAGGAAAGUCUGUAGGAGUCCCACGUGACAGCUUGAGAGCGUUUUUAGUAAGUUUAAUAGACGUUUAGUAUAUAAUAAUAGAUAGAUAGAUUUUUAGGAUUUGUCUGAUUUUUAUAGCGCCUCACGUGAUGGUGUAGGAGUGUUUUACUUCUAGUACAUAAUAUAAUAGAUAUAUUAUAAUCAGCUAGUUAUCUAAUGUUUGAUUUUAUUUUCGUAUGAAAUUUUGCUAGGUAGAAAAUUAAAAGAUGAAAAGAGUGAUAUAAGAUAUGCAAAUGUACGUACGUACAUUACGUAUACGUACAUGAGGGGGAGAGAUGCCUGGGAGGUGGUGGGGUAUGGGUGGGAUAUUUUUAGAUCUAACGGUGAAAAAUAAUGGGUCCACCUUAUUAACUGAAAAUGAAGGGGUAGGAUGUUUUGCUUUUUUUCUCAGAAUUUCUUUGAUUUCUCUAAUUUAUUAGAGCGCCAAGUAGAGGCUUAGGAGCGUUUGUAGAAAGUUUCACGGAGUUUUAGUAUAUAAUAACUAGGAAGAUAGCCCACGUAUUCGCGCGGGCAUGCGUAAUAGUUUGUUUUGAAAAUAGUUCUAAAAAAUAAAUUGAAAUUAAAGUAAGAUGUUUUCUAUUUUUAAUUGAGUGUUCAUUGUAUCUUUCGUCUGAAGAAAUAUCGACAAACUAUAAUUAAUGUAUUUUUCCCACCCUGACAACCCUCUCUUUAAUUGCUUCAUAUAUAUGCAAUUCGUUAUGCAUGUGAAUCAGCAAAGAUGUAAAAGUUCUUUAAAAAAUAUUUCAUGUAUUUCAAAUUUAGUGAUUCAGUCUAAUUUUGAAUUUGUAUUCAAAUCAAAUUAUUGUUUUAUUCUAAAUUUUAUUUAUAGGGAUUUUUAAUUGUACUUAAUCUCGUAUUGUGUUCUGUUUGGACUUUUCUUUUAAUACUUAUUUUAUUAUUCCAAAUUUUAGCUAUUUUCUAUAACUCAUACUUUUAUCUUACUCUUGAAAUUUUAUAUUUUACCUGGAAUCAAACUGUAUUUUUUAUAGUUUUAAUAUUUUCUUUAUUUUUUAAUGUAUAUUUUAAACAAAUUGCUUGUUUUAUUUUUUUUAUGAAUUUAGUUGCGAACUCCUUGUAGUUGAUCCGCUUGCCAACAUCGGUCUCGUUGAUCAUCUCGUCGACCUGCUCAUUAGUGAGUCUCUCAUGAUGCAUUGAACAUGAUGUGGCGGGGCUUGGCGUUAGAGAUGAAGCCAUUUUCUACUCCUUGACGAAGACGCGAAACAUCUUCCUCUGCCCCUCCUCUCGGUACUUGUCCUUUAGCAUGCCAUUAGGCCCGAGAACUCGUGGAAGUUAAUGCUACCAUUGCGUGUCCACCUGACUAAUAAUGUCUUGUAGCUCCGCUUUCAUUGGGUUCAGAGUAUGUAUCAUGGUUCCAAGCUCUUUGGUUCCAAGCUCUUUGGUGGUUAUUGAACCUAUACUUUAAACUCACAUAUUUGAAUUCAUUCAUUGUUUUCAAAGUGCUAUUUUGCUCAAAUAUUUGUAGUCAGAACAACCAAAUUAUCUAACUUUUAUAUAGUAAAUAUGGGCAAUAUGGAUCUUGGAUUUUGUAUUUAAUUAUCAAUAACACAAGAAAUCAAAUAAAUUGAGAAAAGUGCAUGUAGCUUGAGAGUCAUGAUCAUUUAGCUAUUGUUAUCUUUUAUAUAUUUUGUGUUAGCUAGAAAAUAAGAAAGGUUAGCUAGAAAAUAGGAGAUGAGAGUGGGAACCAAGAGGAGAGUAGGACGGUGGAGGAGUACGUAGAAAAUAGGAGAUGAGAGUGGGAACCAAGAGGAGAGUAGGACGGUGGAGGAGUACGUACGUGCGUGGCCACAUAUGGUGGGGGUGGAGGUGGGGGUACCGGAUUUUUUUUGAUAUAAUAGUUAAAAUUAUUGGGUUACCUAUUUAAAGAAAAAUCAAUGUUUUUAGAUUAUUUUUUUCUUUUUAAUUAUAAUUUGCAUGAUUUAUUUUUAAAUUUAUUAGAGCCCCACAUGACAUCUUAGAAGCGUUUGUAAAACGCCACGUGACAGUUUAAGAACGUUUGUAGGGAGUUUAAUAUACUUUUAGUAUAUAAUCUAAUAUAAUGUUCCCGCAAAAUUAUUUUUUUAUGAUUUAAAAUAUACUCAAAACUGAGUUUUUAAUUGUUGAUUUAAUUGUAAAGAAUAUGAUGUUUCAAACGGAUCAGAAAUCAAAUGUAUAACUUAAUACUUAGUAUAAGCGUGUAAAAGCAGGGAGGCACAUACGUAGAAUUAGAAAGAGGUAGUGCACGCGCGCUUAAAAACCACCUGAUAACCCAAAUGCCUAAAAUUAAUUAAUUUAUAUUCCAAAAGCUUUGUGAAAUUUAUAUGAAAUCAAAGAUAGCCUUGCUGCACUACUACGUGGAAUCAAAGUGAUAAGCCAGCUGUAAGGUGACAGAUCAAACAAAGAGAUGGAAGUUGCUUGCAUUGCUUAUAUUGAUACAGCAGUCGGUAGAACUGCUCCAUAUAUCGAUGAAGGAUUUUCUUUAUCUGAUUGUUUGCUUACAAAAUAUAUUAAAAACUAUAGUAAUUAUUUUGAACUCAUCGAACCGUUGAUUUCUUGAUAAAAAAAUGAUUGCUUAGAAAUAGGAAAGAGAAUAGGAGGGGAGGGGCAGCAAAAGAGAGGAGAGGAGGUGUGCGUACGGAAAUAGGCGAGGUGUACAGAUCAACCUAAUCUAAGUAGAUCUAAUCUAAGUAUCUUACGCUGGAAAUAGGUGGUUUUUGUUGUUUUCUUAUUGAGAUAAAUUUAAUGGUGCAAAAUAAUGGGUCCACCAAUUUAAAUAAAAAUUAACGGUCGGAUGUUUUACUUUUUUCUAGAAUUUCUAGUAUUUUCUCUAUUUUAUUAGAAUGCCACGUGGCGGUAUGAGAGCGUUUGUAGAAAGUUUCAUGCACUUUUAGUAUAUAAUAGACAGAAGAUAGAUAGAUAUAUGCCCUUUAUCGCUGAACCAGCAUAUAUAUAUGCAUCCUUUGUGAACCUGGUGACCAGAGCUGGCCACAAUAAACGCACAUCUUCAUCGUUAGCUAUUUACUGUAUGUAUCUUUCCAGUUGCUGCACGCACCAACACUAUAUGAACAAACCAGGACUCUUUUCUAAAAACAAAAAAAACAUUAAGUCGAGUAGCAAGCUGUAGAACUAAAAUAUGGGUGCAGUAUGCUAUCUAUAUAGGUAUAAGGGGCAUCUGGAAAAUAGGUUUGGAUUUGAGGGAUCAGAAACGUGGAUUGAGAAUGCGGGCAGCCACUGGUGAAGAAACCGUUUGUAGUCCCGGUUCGUAACUAAAGAUCGCUAUCUUUAGUCCCGGGUGAAAUAACUUGGACUAAAGAUCAAUCUUUAGUCCCGGUUGGUGUUACCAACCGGGACUAAAGAUCGAGCUGAUCUUUUUUUAUUUGCAUGGCCCUGUUACUGCAUGGUUUAUAUAUAUAUAUAUAUAUAUAUAUAUAUAUAUAUAUAUAUAUAUAUAUAUAUAUAUAUAUAUAUAUAAACCAUGCAUAUAUAUAUAUGUUUCAAUACAUAUAUAUUUAUAAUAUAUAUAUAUAUAUUAUAUUUAUAUAUGUUUCAAUACAUAUACAUGCAUAAUAUAUAUGUAUUUAUACAUAUAUAUUAUGCAAAUGCAUAUGUAUAUAUAUAUUAAAGCACUUAACAUUUUAUGUGCAUAUAUAUGACCAAAAUAUAUAUUUACACUAAAGUAAAUGUGUACAUGCAUAUAGAAAAAUAGACAUGCAUUAAUUACAAUUCAUUAUGAUGUCCUAGCUAGCUACGACUUCGACGUAGUAGUAGUCGUUAUCUCAGAAGCUAACGACCUAUGAAUUAUAUUUCCGUCGUAGUAGAAUUCACCCUCGGGAUCAAGGAUUUAUUCGUUGAUGAAUCCCAUAAGUUGUUCUUGAACCGCCGCGAUAAAUUCCUUAUGUGUGAGCUUAUCCCUCAUGUGAAUAACCUAUGAAUGUAUGAAAUUAAUUAGUAAACAACAAAUCGAUACGUACGCAAUGAAAUUUUCAAUUUAUUUGUAUGUACAUCGAGCUCUCUUGUGUUGAUGAUUUGGUCUGCAAGGCAGUGGCAAUACUCGCACACGUAGUAACCGCACAAGUUAAUUCCCUGAUCUUACUUUGCGCACUAUAUAUACAUGACAAACGGUGAGAGAUCUAAUUAAUAUACACUUGUAUUUGAAUUGGAGAUUCAAUAUAAAUGUAGAGCAUGUGUACUCACAUGAAAGUUAAACUUCCGCCUAAGUCUUUCUCUCCAUUUGCAGCGGACCAAAUGUCGGAACCGAUACCAAGCCCUACAUGGAGUUUAAAGCUAUGGUUCGUAGUAGCAAUUAAUUAUAACAAGACUCAUAAUUAACAUUGGAACAUAUGACAGUACCUGUCUAUAAGUUUCAAAAAUCUAGUCAAACGUAGACUUCUUUUUAUCUAUUGAGUCAUAUACAUUGACUACGCAGGCCUCCAAGUCGAAGAGUAAACGGACCCAGUGGAAUCUGCAAUGUGCGUCGGAUGUAUUACAUAUGAAACACUUAGCAUGUUCGUACGGGAAUGAAAUUUGGUAAGAAGACAGUAAAAACUAACUCUGUGUUGUACGGCAAUAGUAUAAACGUCUUGUAAUGCUGCGCUUUAAGGAGAUGGACGAGAUUGUCCUCUGUGGCUUGCGGAUACUGGUCGAGCAUUGCGACGUUUACUUUCCGAGGGUCGACGAAUCCAGUAUCAAAAACCCCCCCGCUGUCGGGCCCGUUGAAUCUCCAUUCUACAACGAUAAAAGGAAGUAUAUAUUAUAUAUGGUGUACUUAUAUACAAGGACCUAAUUAAUUAAAGGAGGCGUAAUAAGAAAUCUAACUGAAUGAUACUUACAAAGUCCAACAACUCAUAAUAGAGACGUCGAGAGCGUCUAGCUGGUAUAGUUCGUAGAUACCCUUAAAAUUGAUCCAGAGAAUAUCUUCCCCUUGCAUGAAGUCUGUGUCCCUGAUCCUCACUCCGAUCAUCUCUCUACUAGUGGCGCUCAUCUCCAUGUACAGUUGAUGGAAUUGGUACAUUUGUGUUGGUAGGGACUGCAGCUGCUCAGGCUUGACAAGCGGUUUACCAAGUUCGUACAUGUAUUUCACUUCCGCCUUUUCGAUUGGUGCGCCUCGUAGCAAUUGAUCCGUAGUUAGCCCGAUGUCAUUAAUAAAAUCUUGUAUCCCAAAUUCUUCAUCGGUCACCAACGGCUCGAUCUCCUGGUUUGGUUGCUCUCCAAGCUAAGGGACUGGUUUGGACUUUCCAGAAGUUGCUUUCUUAAGUGUUCGCUCAUAGUCUGAUAGCUUUAUGGCCUCCUUGGCAGGUGCAGACAUACCCCUGAAGAAGUUCUUGACACUCGGGUCUAUAGGAAUCUUAUUUUCUGGACUUCGAGGCUUCAAUUGUCUCCUGACUUCUGAUGCCACAUAAGCGUCAAGCUUCUCUUGCGUGCAAUCGUACCCCGGGUCCUUGUUUUUGGCGGCGUCAACUUUCGCCUUCUUCAUUGCCUUUGUGGGGGCAGGCGGUGGAGCUUGGGGGGCCCUUGACUUGGAAGGUGCCGGACGAGGAGCUUGCGGAGGAGUUGGUGUAGGAGCCUGAGGAGGAGUCGGUGCAGGAGCCUGAGGAGGAGACGGUGCAGGUACCUGAGGAGGAGAUGGCGGAGCCAGAGGAGAUGGUGCACGAGACGCCGCUUGUCGCCCAGGGAGGAUGAUGUACCGCUUGCACCAUAGUAUAAUGGCGUGGCUUGUGUCUUGUAGAUGCGUCUCACCGUCUCCUCCAGGGUAGUCCAACUCAAGGUCCUAGUACGCGGCUUUCACCAACUCAACUUUCACCUUGGAGUAUCCUACUGGAAUCGGCCUGCAGUGGUAAGUCUUUGAAGGGUCCGUUAGGAUGGCCAUGCCCGACGCCACCUUCACGUGGUGAGAGGUUAUUUAUUAGUAAUCAACAUAUAUAAGCAGCAACUUGCGGAAUGGACAAGUCUAAAAUCUAUAAACUACGAGCUUACCUUUAUUGAUAAGUUCUUGAAGGGAAUAUGCACCUCACAUGGUGUCCGCUGAGUGAUGUCAUCAAUGAGGCAGGUGGUUUCGUCCUGGGUUUGGAUGGCGUCCAUGCUCUGUGAUCCUACCUGCCCCGUUGAGGCGCAGCUGCUACGAUUGCCUGAAGGGCUCAUCAUUGCAGGAGGAAUGGUCGGCUGGGGAUCAUGGGACCGAUGUGCGGCCAUGCGUUCAUCCACCUUCCUUACCACCUCCUCUUGCAUGCUGAGCUCGUAGCUCGAUACCCUGUACUCAAGAUCUUCAAUCUUCGCCUCGGUAUCUCUCUUGCUCCUCAUCCGACUCCUGUACGUGUGGAUGUCCUCCUUGAAUCCAAUCUUCCAAGGAAUCACCCCUUUCCCUCGUGUUCGUCUUGGAUGCUCCGGAGUCUGUAGGGCGAGUGACAGCUCGUCCUUCUCUCUGUCGGGUCAGAACGUGCCCUGAGAAGAGGCUUCCACUGCGUCCGUUAGUCGACUCGCAGCCUCGCGUAUCUGAUCGCUGAAGACCAAGGAGCCAUCAACUGGGUUGAGCGUUCCACCGUGAGCAUAGUACCAGAACUUUGAUCGAUCCGGCCAUUUAGCGGUGACCGGUUCGAUACCUCUCUCAAGCAAGCUUGCCUCCAUCUCCUCGCACUUCGGCAUCGCGACGCUAUAGCCGCCUGACCCCAAGUGGUGAUGGUACUUCUUCUUGGCGGCAUUUUCUUUGUUUGUUUCCAUCAUAGCCUGCCCUUGUUGACCUAUCUUGUAAGCAACGAACUCGUCCCAGUGAUCCCUUAGCUUCAGGAAUGUGUUGAAGUUCGGUGUCUGCCCCUUCAGGAUGUAUUUCUGGUACAGAUCUCCCUUGAAGCUCUAAAACUGUUCUGCCAUUUUGUUUAGAGUCCACCUUUUCACUAUGUUCUCUGUACCCGCGGGAAGGGUGAAUGUCUCGAGCAUUGUGGUCCACAACAUCUCUUUCUCCGAAUCUAGGACAAAGCCCUCAUGAUCUCCGCGUGCCUUUGUUCUGCGAAUACACUGUACUGACAGGCACGUUAUCCCGCACAACCCAACCGUUGUGUCUACGUAGUUCUUGGCUGCUUCUGCCGGGGCACUAGGUCGGCCGUUGUCACGCCCAGAAACUCACGAAUCAGAAUUUCUAAGCUGAAUGUGUAUUAAACCCCUGUCCAGGACCAGCCAGGGUACACAAAUGACAAUUGUUGACAUACAGAUCCACGUCUUACAAAAAUAUAAAAGAUUAUAAAUGCAGCGGAAAAAGAUAAAAGCGAGCUGAGCCUGAAGACUUGACUCCUGCAGCGGACGACUCCAUUCCACAGGCAUCCUUAACGGCAGCGACGAAACCAACCUCUUCGAGACAUCUUCAACUGAGAAGGACUUCAACUCUGGUGUGGGGGAAAAGAGAGCAAGACUGAGUACUACCCACUGUACUCAGCAAGUCAUACCGGAAGAGGAGGUAUGAUGCAGGGUAUAUCCAAGGGAGGCUAAAGGUUCUUUUGCAUAAAGCUAGAAUUUAAAAGCAGUUGUUGAAAGCAGUAAAACAAUUGCAGUAAUUAAUCAAUAUUAACCACUCACUGUCCAACGCUACACCACGUUGCAACAGGCCCAACCAACCACCUGAACUACGCCAGAUCAUUAGCUAACUAGGGGUGAGACUAAUCACGGUGAAUCUGGUCGACCGCCCAUAACCGCGGGCACGGCUAUUCGAAUAGUUUUACUCUGAUCAGAGGUGUACAACUGUACCCACAAGACACAGCCCCACGACACAUUCCCGUGCGCCGACAUGCUACCACGACAUACCGGAAAGAGGCCGUGACAGGACCCUUCGCAUAACCCCCUCUAACCGAUCGCACCACACCUUAGGGUUCGCCCCGUCCCCAGCAGGCAACGGGCAGGCCCCCCUUUCAUGCCGCAGUGAAUCCGGAAGCCGAUCAACUGGACACCCCGGUCGACCCAACUCCAUCACGCCCACCCUCGCUGGGUACCGUNGGCUAGAGAAAAGCUACACUACAAGCCCAGCCCGUUGCCCACGAUGGCUUGUGGNAAGUACGAUAAGUUCUUCCAGGGCAUCCCGCGAACCGGUCCUUAAUCGCCAUGGGCACCAACUAGCAAAACCAUGCACCCACAGCCCACCAUGUAGUGUAUUUUAAUAAGCCAACACCAUUACGGUGGCACUAAUCCAAAGCUAUUGCCAAAGAUCAAAGUCUAUGCUUUAAUGAGAUUCCCUUUUUGUGUACUAGUAGAACUAAGCAUGGCUAAGCAUUUCCUAAACCAACAUCUAAUCAUUUUGAUACCCAAGUUAUCAAUGGCAUAAGGUAAACAAUGUAUGGCUGAGUAAUAGGACCCAUCCCACAUGACAUUGUAAAAGAGUGCAACAUUUGAUAGAAAUGCAGGAUGUUUGUAAAUUGGGUACAAUAUGAUCAAAUGUAAAGAAUGACUUGCCUUGCUCUCGCACUGAUGAGACCACAGCAACUUCUUCGAGAAACCGCGGAUCGACGAAACGGCCGAAAUCUACGCGACAAACAAAGCACACAAGCAAAACAUGCUAUAAGACUACUGAAACAGGAAACAAAACCAUUUUUAAUGGAUUCUAGGGAUUUUUAUGAAUUUACUGAGACUUGAAUGGACUUAAACGGAGCUCGGAUGAUUUACUUAUGAAUUUUAGAAGAUAAACUGUGUUUUUACUAAUAAAGAAAAAGUCCUUAAUUAUUUAUUGCGCAAUAAAUCCCAGGGCUGGCGUCAUCCAAGGGGGGCGGCUGCGCCGACAGGUGGGCCCCGCUUGUCAGCGGCUCAAGAGAGAGAGAGAGGGGGCGCCGGCACGUGGGCCCCAUGGGUCAGCGGCUCAAGAGAGAGAGGGAGGGGCGCCGGCACGUGGGCCCCACUGGCAGUGGCACAAGGCGGGAGGGGCGCGGCUGGUGGCUCGGCUCGGCUUCAAAGCCGGCAGGCCAAGCAUGGCGAGCGACGGCGGCACGCGCGGUUGCCGGCGACAGCAACCGGCGGAGUGGACGGCGACGGCAGACGGCGCGAAAAGCGGCGGCAGCGGCCGAAGACGAUGGUGCGCGCGCAGAGGACGGCGGCGCAUACGGGAGAGAGGGAAAGAGGGGGGAGGAGGAGUUUCUCACCGAGGUUGGCCGGCACGAGAGGAGACGACGGCGAACGACGACGACGAGCGACGGGAGAACGACGGCGACGGGCGGACGAUCUCCGGGACCUCCUAGGGAACAAAAUGGGAAGGAUUAGAGGGAGAGGGGUGGUCUACGGCGAGCGGAAACCAUGGCCGAAGGCGGCGGCAAUGGUGGUACUCACCGGCGCGUGAGGAGAAGCGGGCCCCGAUGGUGGAUUUGGCCGGGCGGAUGGCGGACGCGACAGCUCACGGCAUGGUGAAUGCGGCGGCGUCGACGGUGAGGCUCGGCGCGGCGAUCGGUGUAGCGGCGCGGGAGUGAUGGAGGGCACGGGAGAGAGCGGCGGAAAGAGGAAAAGGGUGGAGGAGAGUGCGGGGAAGCUUUAUUGGGGCUCGGAAGUGGCGGACGUGGCCGGGGUGCUCCCGAUUUCGCCGGCGACGUGGGAGGUGGAGAGAGAGAGAGGGAGGGGGGAUUCAAACCAAACCCCGCCCUUGCGGGGCGCGCGCGAGAGCAGGAGGAGCGGAGAGGGGGCGACGACGUGGGCGCGGCACGGAGUGGGGAGGAGUGGGCGCGGGAAGGGCGGGAAACGGCGGCAGCGCGCGCGGUUUCGGCGGUUGCCGGCGUGGGCGGCUAGAGGAAGGGGAAAGGACUGACAGGUGGGCCCCACUUGUCAGUGCCCGAGAGGGAGAGGAAGGCCGGGUGAACUUCGGGAGUGGGAGGGAGGAGCGGGCCAGCGCGGGAAGAAAUGGGCCGGCGGCUCAAGAAAAGGAAAAAGGAGGGAAAAGAAAAGAUAAAAAGGAAAAAGGAUUUUCCCAGGGAUUUAAUAUUGCCCUUUGCUUAUUUUAGUUGGUUAAAAUUAUUUCCAAGGUUCUGAUAAUUCCACUAAAAAUCCUGUUAGCAUUAUUGACAUGUAGAAUCCAAGAAAAAAUUCCACAUGCCGAUUCCGAUUAUUAUUUGGAUUUAUUAAUUUGAGGAAUCAGCUCUAGGUUAAAAAGAACAAUUUCUUCGGACGAUUUAUUAUACAAAUUUUAAAGCUGGAAAGGGGAACUUCAGGGCGUGACAGCCGUCUUCGUCCAUUUCUGUUAUGAUGUGUCGACCCUCUAGCUUCUUCGCGGCACCUCGUUGUCCGUGGGCUCUCUUCUGUCCAGCGGAGGGUUGACUUCCACUAGCCUCCUCCUCCUCGUUCCCCUCCGCAUCCCUCUCCACGUUUCCCUCCUGGUUCCCCUCCGCAUCCCUCUCCACGUUCCCUUCCUCGUUCAAGUGUCGUAUAUUAGAACCCUAGAUAAUCAUAUAUGCUAAGUCUAAUUACAAAUCUAAUAAUCUUAUAUUAAAACUCUAAUAAUCUUGUAUUAAAACUCUAAUAAUUUUAUAUUCAAAAUCUAAUAGUCUUAUAUAAUUAGUCCUAGAUAAUUAUGUAUGCUAUGUCUAAGUGUUGUGUAUUAAAUCUAAUAGUCUUAUAUUAUUAGGCCUAUUAUUACAAAUCUAAUAAUCUUAUAUUAAAACUCUAACAAUCAUAUAUGGGAAAGUGCUAACUGUCGGAUAUUAGAACUCAAAGAAUGCAUAUAUGCGAAGGCUAAGUGUCGGACAUUGAGAACCCUGAGAUGAAUGCAUAUAUGUGAUGUGUAAGUGUUGUAUAUUAAAUUUAAUAGUCUUAUAUUAUUAGUCCUAUGAUUACAAAUGUGAUGAAUCUUAUAUUGAAACUGUAACAAUGCAUAUAUGCUAAGUUUAAGUGUCGUAUAUUGAGAACUCAAAUAAUCAUGAUAUGUGAUGUCUAAGUGUGCGUACAUUAGAACCCUAGAUAAUGAUAUAUGCUAUGUCUAAGUGUCGUAUAUUAAAUCUAAUAGUCUUAUAUUAUAUUAGAAAUCUAACAAUCAUAUCUUUACAUCACGUACCUGCGCGAAUUCCUUCGAGGGCUAGCUACCACUCCGGCUUGAGGGACGACGAUGACGAUGUCUCUACCGCUACAUACUAAGGCAAUGUAUUAGUCUAAACGCAAAGUAACAUAUAUGGUAUAUCACGUAGUGUCGUAUAAGGCGACCGUCCACGUGUCAUUCACGUUCGUUAACGUUUCAUUCACGUUCGUUCAUGUUCAUUCACGUUUCGUUCACGUUCAUUCACGUUCGCGUUCUCGUUAAGUUCACGUUUCGUUCACGUUCGCGUUCUCGUUAAGUUCACGUUUUGUCCACGUACGUUUGUUCGUUCACGUUCGUUCUCGUUAUGUUCACGUUUCGUUCACGUGGCGGCAGCGGAGCAGCGGCGUGGCGCGGCGGUGGCGUGGCAGCGCAGCUGCGGCGUUGCGCGGCGGCAGCGAGGCGCGGCCCAGCGGCGUGGCGCGGCGGCGUAGCAGUGGCGUCGGCGUCAUCGGCAGUGCCGGCGCGACGUCGUCGGCGGUGGCGGCCGCAUCGAGGUCGGGGUCGGCAUCGGCGGGAGGCGGAGUCGGGGUCAGCCGCAUCGACGUCGGCGGCGGUGGUUUGGAGAAAGAGAGAGAGAGAGAUCGAGGUCGAGAGAGAGAGGGAGGCGUCGGCGGCUCUCACCCUAGAGAUGCGGCGGAGGCAGAGGCGACGACAACAACGCCCCCGAGACGACGGCGAGAUACGACGGCAGCGUCGGCGCAGGGAUGCCCUAGGCAGUGGCGGCAAAGGAGAAGCCGAGAUCAGGGAAAAAACUUCUAAGUGUUGGUGGAGAAGACGAGGGCGCGCAUCGGGAAUAUAUAUACCCCUAGAUCUUUAGUCCCGGUUGGUGAGAACAACCGGGACUAAAGAUAUUUUCCCGCUAUUUCCAAAUUCUUUUUAAACCCGGUUAGGGUUAAGAAGUGGGAAUACAGAUAAUAGCACUGAAUAUUGAAUUUCAUUACAUAUGUGUUUCUAAAAUAGUAAAUAAUGCAUUAAAAGUAUUCUCAAGUCGAAAAUUUAAGUGACAAUUACUUCGAAAAAUUAGUGUUGUCUGUAGUAAAUUAAGUGGAUAAUACGUAAUAAGCAAAUAUAUGUUUUAAACUUGUUAAAAAUUCUAAUAAUCAUAUAUAAUUAGCAUAUGCAUGAUAUUAAAUGUUAAAAAUUCUAAUUAACAUAUGUACAUACCACAUGCAUGAUUUAAAAUUAAUAAAAAUUCUAAUAAUCAUAUAUAAUUAGCAUAUGCAUGAUUUAAAAUUGUUAAAAACUCUAAUUAACAUAUGUAAAUGCCAAAUGCAUGAUUUAAAACUUUUAAAAUUCUAAUUAUCACAUAUUACUAGCAUAUGCACGAUUUAAAAUUGUUCAAAAUUCUAAUAAUCAUACAUAAUUAACAUAAGCCAUACAACGAUUGAUUUAUAUGGAUAAUCAAUACAUCCAAAAUAGUUUACAUCGUGUACACAAUAAUUACGGCAAUACAUCGGCGGUGACGGUUGACCGCACGUACUUUCUCCUCACUAUUGUUCCCUCCUUGUGUUCGCUACGUGAGUAAGGGGUGUCUUCAUUUGAUAGGAGGAUGCCCAUCCAACUGAUUGUAAUCCUCGUCAGUCUUGUCCUCUACUCCGAUGAUUUUUCUUUUGCCUGGGAGAACCACGUGGCGCUUUGGCCCGUCAGGCCCUUUGCCCUUCUUUCCUUUGCUAGACAUGUCCUUCACGUAAAAGACUUGUGUUACAUCAUUGGCAAGGACAAAAGGAACGUCCGAGUAUCCAACCUUGUUAAGGUCUACCGUUGUCAUCCCACUGUCAUCAAUCGUUAUGCCUUCACCAGUCAACCUAACCCAUUGACACCGGAACAGAGGGACCUUGAGAGGACCAUAGUCAAGUUCCCAUAUGUCCUCGAUGGCACCGUAAUACGUGCCAGUUGUUCCAUCAUGUCUCAUGGCAUUGAUACGAACAUCGCUGUUUUGGUUCGUGCUUUUCAUGUCUUGGGCUCUCGUGUAGAAUGUGUACCCAUUGAUCACAUAUCCCUAAAACCUCGCGAUCGAGCCAGAUGGUCCCCUCGCCAGGAAGGCCACUUGUUGGUUAAUCGUCUCCUUACCCAUAACAUGUUGUCGUAGCCACCCGGGGAAAGUAUCAAAGUGAUGCUGGUUAAUCUAUGCAUCGAACUUACCCGAGUCUCUGGCGAGACCUAGAGCCAAGUACUCCUCGAUGUAAGGAGCCACCAAUGAAGAUUGUUGCAAAACCGUGAAAUGGGCUUUACGGAAUAAAUUGUUGUCUACCGUCAUUAUUGCUUUCCUUCCGAGAGUCCCUGUCCCGUAGUCUCCCUUAUGGAGUGAUUCAGGUACCCCGAUUGGGCAAAGGUCUUCAAUAAAUUCUACGCAGAAUUCGAUGACCUCCUCUGUUCCAUACCCCUUGGCGAAGCUUGCCUCUAGACGAGCACGGUUACGAACAUACUACUUCAGAACGCCCAUGUACCUCUCGAACGGAAACAUGUUGUGUAGGUACACAGGCCCGAGAAUACUGAUCUCUUUGAUAGGGUGACAAAGCAGAUCCGUCAUUAUAUUGAAAAAUGAAGGUGGAAAUAUCAACUCAAAACUGACAAGACAUUGCACCACAUCAUUCUGAAGGGCUUCUAAUCUAUCCGGAUCGAUGACCUUCUGCGAAAUUGCGUUCAUGAAAGCACAUAGCUUUGUUAUUAUUUCCCGAACAUUGUCUGGAAGGAUACCCCUUAUUACAACUGGUAGCAGUUGUGUCAUCAACACGUGAUAGUCAUGAGACUUCUUCUCCUUCGUGCUUAUUAUUCGCUUUAUAUUCUGGAGUAUCUAGACGGUAACUUUAUGCUCUCCAAGCAUUCAAACAUACUUUUCUUCUCUGCCUUGUUAAGAGUGUAGCUAGCUGGACUCAAGUAAUGGCUUCCUUUCUCCGUUGGUUCCGGGUUAAGGUCGUCGCGUUGUUCCAUAUGCUUCAAAUCAUUACGUGCUUCAAGUGUAUCUUUUAACUUUCCAUAUACACCUAGGUAGCCAAGAAGGUUUACGCAAAGGUUCUUAGUGAGGUGCAUCAUGUCGAUUGCGUGGCGGACGUCCAGGAAUUCCCAAUAGGGUAACUCCCAAAAUAUAGUGUUCUUUUUCCAGAUCACCGCGUGACCAUCUUCGCUCUCUAUAGGCUGGCUUCCAGGCCCCUUUCCAAACACUACUUUAAGAUCUUUAAUCAUAGCAAACAUUGUUUUCCCGCUGUGAUGUUUAGGCUUCGUAUGGUGGUCCACCUUAUGUUCAAAGUGCUUGCCUUUCUUCCGUACCGGGUGGUUUGCAACAAGGAAUCGGCGAUGACCCAUGUACACAACUUUCCAUACAGCGAGUGUAAGCCUUGUACCCCUUGUUGGACUGCCCGGAAAGGUUGCUUAGUGCAGGCCAAUCGUUGAUGGUUACGAACAGCAGCGCUCGUAGGUUAAACUCCUCCUGUUUGUCCUCGUCCCACACUGGGACACCAUCCUUUUUCCACAAUAGUUUAAAAUCUUCGACUAGUUGUCUUGGGUACACAUCAAUGUUGUUACCAGAUUGCUUGGGGCCUUGAAUAAUAAUCGGCAUCAUUAUGUAUUUCCUCUUCAUGCAUAGCCAAGGGGGAGGUUGUAGAUACACAUUGUAACGGGCCAAGUGCUAUGGCCGCUGCUCAUCUCUCCAAAAGGAUUCAUGCCAUCCGUACUUAAACCAAACCGUAUGUUUCGUGCGUCCUUUUCAAAGUCUUUAAAUUUUCUGUUGAUGUUUCGCCACUGUGAACCAUUGGCGGGGUGUCUCAGCAUCCCGUCCUGUUGACAUUCUUCAGCGUGCCAUCGCAUCAUUCUAGCAUUCCCCUUGUUCCUGAACAAACGCCUUAGCCGUGGUAUUAUAGGGAAAUAGCACAUCAUCUUAGCAGAAAUUCUCUUCUUUGUUGGCUGCCCGUCAACUUCACCUGGAUCCUCUCGUCUAAUCUUGUAUCGUAGUGCUUUGCAAACAGGGCAUGCUUCUAGGUUCUCGGACUCCUCACCACGAUAUAGGAUACAAUCAUUCGGACAUGCAUGAAUCUUCUGAACUUCCAGUCCUAGAGGGCAGACUAUCUUCUUAGCCUCGUACGUUGUCUUGGACAAUUUGUUUCCCUCCAGAAGAAUGUUCUUGACGAGUUUCAAUAAAUCGCCAAAUGCCUUGUCACUAACACUAUAUUUUGCCUUCCGUUGCAAGAACUCCAGAGUGGUAUCCAACUUUUUGUGCAUCUGCUCGCAACCUGGGUACAACGACGUUCUGUGGUCCUCUAACAUCUGCUCCAAUUUACGGGCCUCCUUUUCACUUUCACAAUCCUCCUUUGCGUUCUGCAACAUCUGACCAAGAUCAUCCGAAGCGUUGUUAUCGCCAACAUCCCUGUCCACCUCGCCCGUUUGAUUUCCUUCAAAUCCAGCGUACUGAGCCCAGUCGGGAAUGUUCUCGUCCUCCGCUUCAUCUUCUUCCAUUUCAACCCCUUGCUCACCGUGGGAUGUCCAAUAAUUAUAGCUUGGCAUGAACCCCGACUCAAACAGAUGGAAAUGAAUAGUCCUGGAUGCAGAAUACUACUUCUGGUUCUUACACUUAUUGCAUAGACAACAAAUAAAACCGUUACGCUUGUUAGCUUCGGCCACUCUCAAAAAAAUAAUGCACGCCCUCGAUAAACUUUUGGAUCACCGGUCAGCGUCAUCCAUGGUCGAUCCAUCUACAUGAAAUAACAAAAUCGUACAUAAAUAAAUUUCGUACAAUAAUGACAGUCAAACAGUAAUGAUAAAAUAAUUAAAAACUCUUUCGACAAGCAAUUCUUAUUAAUAAUUUUUGAAGUCUAAACUAAUAUUAAUGUUGUACUUCUCUUAAUCUUUCAAUUUACUUUGUUUCAUAUUUUUUAAGAUUAAUUUUCAUCAAAUCUCACACUAUGAGAAUAAAUUUGCUAUAUAUUCUUCUUCCCCACACAAAUUUUCUCUCUCAUCAACUUACAACAAAGUUUUGGAGACAAAAAAAAAUGUGUGAAACAUAGCUCCAAAAGUAAUAUAACAACAAAAAAAAAAUUGGAGGAUGAAAUUACUAACCUUUUAGACAUCUCCGAUUUGUAUAUAAUCACUAAAAAAAUUUCACAAGAAAUUUUGGCAUGACCUCCCCUCUUUUUUAGAGAAAUUUUGAAGCUUGCUCUUGGGCUGAAAGAGGAAGAAGGCAUAUAUAAAGGGGGAUCUUUGGUCCCGGUGGAUCUUUAGCCCCGAUUGGUAACACCAACCGGGACUAAAGUUAGGAUCGUUAGUCCCGGUUGGUGUUUACCAACCGGGACUAAAGAUCCCGGGGCCCUGACAACGUCUGACAUCUCUACAACCGAGACUAGAUCAAAUAUGCCCGUUGUAGCCACCAACCAGGACUAAAGAUCAUCUUUAGUCCUGGUUUUAAAUGGAUCCGGGACUAUCGUGGAUUUCGGCCGACGGAUCAAAGAUGGUUUUUCCACUAGUGAGCGGUCACAACAUUGGGUUACUUUGGAUGAGAUUGUCGAGCUUCGUCUACGCAAUCUCAUUGCGGUAGAAAAGCAAUUGUUCCUCUGAGGAUCAACGUACUGUACCGUGAUAGAUGCUAGAAUGUCCAGCCCAUAUGUUCUUGUUAAACGUCCUAUAUGUCCAGCCCAUAUUUGCAGAGCACAGUGAGAAACAAACAAGCGCUACUAGAAAAACUGUUUUCGUUGGUGGUGAAAAGAGAUUUUCAUUGGCGGCAGAGACAUGGGGAGGUAUUUUCCAAGUUUGAAGCGAAUUUCGCCGGGUUUCGAGUUUUCUUGCAUGGGGAGAUAUUUUUCAAAUUCUAAUUUAUCUCUACCAUAAUUUGAUGUGGAAAAGGUUAUGUAGGAGGCAAGACUAAUCCUUUUAUAAGAGACAAGACCGGUUUAAUUGGACACACAAUCUACUUUCAACACAAUCGCUUUUCAAUAUCGCAUUUACUUUUUAACUAGUUUUAGCCUAGUUUUGUCCAACUUCACCGGUUUAUACUGAAAGCCGUCCAUCUUAGCUAUGAGAGUAUGAUUAUCCCUUUUGCAGGUUUGUCUCGUAAACCUACCAUUUGCCUAUGAAAUGGGUGUUUAUCCUUUGUUCCAUCUAAAUCGAUUUUGCUAGCUGGUUUAGUCUUACAAAACUCAUCUUGAUUUAGCUUUUGACUAGAUCGAAGUGAUUGGUAACUCCAUAUCACCGUAAGUAGGAGUCACGAUAGUGAUUGUCUUUUUUUCAAAAAAAAAUUCAAACUGCUUUCAUAACAAAAUAAACAAAUCUAUUUCGGGAUGUAACACAUACUAACAAAAUAAAAAAACCAGUAUGACAUAUAAGAUGUACUUAGAUAUAAUUAUUUGAAGGAGCGAGUAUAUGCUAUUGCUAACUAAUUCUCAGGCUAGAUAGCAUGAUAGGAGAGGUGGCAAUCACAACCUGAUAGUGCUGCCUGACUGGCUGGUACUAAAAAUCAUUAUUAGGCCCGGUUCAAUAUAUGGUAGGCGGUGUCAGAUCCCUCUACUAUCGAGACUAAAAAUCUAUUUUUAGUUCCAUCUUAACACAACAAACGGGGGAAAAAGCCUGAGCCACGCGCGUCCAGCUCUCUCUCCCAUCCUUGCUCCAUCCUAAUCUCCUUCUCUCCUCCCAUUCUCUCAUCCUCCGUUUCCUUCUUCUCUCACCCAUCCUCCUCCCCCCUCUUCCGGCCCCCUCCCCUCUCCUCCCCUCCUCCCCUCCCUCCGACAGGCGGCGUAAUGGAAGGCCGACCAAUAGNAACACAAGACGGGCCGGCGAGAUGAGAGGCGGCCGGCCGGACGCGUGAUUAGGAUGGAGCAAGGAUGGGAGAGAGAGCUGGACGCGCGUGGCUCAGGCUUUUUCCCCCGUUUGUUGUGUUAAGAUGGAACUAAAAAUAGAUUUUUAGUCUCGAUAGUAGAGGGGUCUGACACCGCCCCCUCCGCCAUAUCCGGUCGGAGGGGAGGCGAUGGGAAGGGUGGCCGGCCGGCGGCGGGAAGGGAGGCCGGUCGGUGGCUGGUGGCCAGGUGGCACGAUGGGAUUUUGAUUUGUUUCAGUUUUUCUUGAUUUUUUUAGAUGAUUUGUUGAUGUUGAUUUGUGAAUUUUUCUGUGAAUAAAUUUGUGAUGUGCUAUGAAUGAAAAAGGAGAAAAAAAACGAAGGAGGAAAAAAAGAAAAAAACAUUACUUUCGAUUUGUGUUACCAACCGGGACUAAUAAUGCAUCUUUACUCCCGAGUAUUUUAACCGGAUUAAAGAUAGCGAUCUUUAAUACCUGAUUCUUACUCCCGGUUUACAACCCGGGAAUAUAGGGGUUGCAAACCGGGAUUAAAGAGGGUUUCCCAGCAGUGGCGGGAGAUAAAAAAAUUCCAAAAUACUCCAAAUAAAGUGCAAGGUAACUCCUAUAACCAAUAAAUAAUCUCAGGUCAAUAAAAUUGACUGAACUCUUGUCAAAGUUUAGUUUACGAGGAUUAGAUUAUUUUCUACGCUAAGAUAUAGUCUAAAUAUAUUUUAUUGUUUAAAUAAUUCUAAAUAAUGAAAAUCGAAAAAAUUUGAUGUUGAAUAUAGGUUUAGGUGUGUGCUAGCAACAAAAUUAACAACGGGUAACUCGUAAGUACGAUCGUUUAUUAAGUGAAAAGAAUACUAUGCAACCUUGAACUUUUCCUAUAUAAAAUGUAAAUAAAAAAUUCUGAACUAACUAAUUGGUAAUACAAAUCCAUUCUUCUUGUCAAGUCCCACUAGUACCGUAAAAAAAAACCGAGGAGUUCCCAUGUCAACUCCCAGACACUGUUUUUAAAAAAUAAAACUCUCAUGGAUAUAGUUCAAUUUAAGUUUAAAUUGGCAUUUCCACUUCUUAACGCCUAAAUUUUUUUUCCAUAAGCCAAAACAUGAAAUAAAUUAAAGAAAAUAGUCCUAUAUAGGCCAUAUGUCCAUAUUUACAACACUAAAAUCUUCUCUAUUUUUAUUAGCGUGCAAUCCUUUACUACCUAGCCUUUGUCUGGCUUGCACUUAUUAGAUGGAGGUCAACGAAGAUCGGACUCUAUUGGUGUUAGAGGCUGUAGUAAUGGUUUACACCAUCCAAAUGAUAGAAAAAUUCUAGCGUCGUAGAUAUGACUUGAAAGGAUUAUUUAUUUAAUUUUUAUUUCCUGUUUUGGCUUAUGGGAAAUAAAAUUCGUCGUAACACUAGCGCUGACUAAAAAAGAAACUAAAAAUCGAAAAAAAGGAAAAAAAAAACAGGUGAGAAGAAACGGGAGUCGGAGACGACCAAGAUUCGCCGCCGAUGGCAACGCGCGCGCCGGCGACCGGGUCCGCGACCGUGACGGUGGACCCCACCCCGUCCUCCUCCGCGCCGGCCUCGUCGGCGCCCCCGCCGGCGGCGGAGACGGUGGUGCUGCGGCUGAAGCGGCGGGCGAAGAAGAAGGUGACGUGGAAGGAGGGGACGGUGGACAACGAGUCCCUCGGCCGCAAGAGCUCCAAGAAGUGCUGCAUCUUCCACAAGGACGUCCCCUUCGACGAGGAUUGCAGCGACGACGACCCCGACGGCGGCCGCCGGAGCCCGCCCGGGGACGCCGGCGAGGGGACAAGCGGCGGCGGCGGUGGAUGCUGCUCCUCGUCCUCGGACGGCCAUGGCCAUUAAAUAUUUCGGAUUGGAUAGGUACGAAUUGGUGAGACCUGGUGUCUAUCUUCACUGAUUAUUGCUACUGAUUAAUUUGGUGAGGUUGAUUUAGGCGAAAUUAUGCUUCUGUGGUAGCUUUCCACUUUCUAAUGAAUGAAAUCAGUUGGCAACUCCAUUAUGUUAGCAAGCACCAUUUUCUAAAGAUUUGAGCUGCCAUGCAUUUUGUUUGUUUGGAACUAACAGUGAUGAGAAGCUAGGAACACUGAUUUGGUGUUCACCACUGUAGAAAUUGGAAGCCUCUUUGAUUAAAUUCAUCAAACCUACAAUUACACACAGCUACAUAUAUACGAAACAUAUUUUCAUUGGUCAAUUUGGUAUGCUUGUUUAUUUCAUUACUGAUCUUGGUGUGCUUGGUUGCAGUCAACUUAUCGUGGAGCUCCGUAGCAAUGCGCGAAGUUGUAAUUUCAAGGGAAGAAUUGCUUCUUCUGUACUGCCAACUGCCAAAACAAUAGGUGAAAUGAUACUUUUGUUUGUUUUUGUGUUGCGACUGUGGAUGCUGUGCUAGCUUUUCUUUUGUGGCAUUUGCAAGAGAGAAACCUUGUAACGUAUAGCUGACUUUAUUGCUGGUCGUGUGUAAUUCUCUUGAGAUGUAUUUAGUAUUGCUCCUGUUGUUAUUGUCACCAUUCCAUCGCAUCAAAUAUCCUCUUGUUCUUUAUUUUUAUAUUGUGGGUUGGUAGUUGUAUUGUAUUCACAUUGAUAGCAGUGUAUUAUGUGAUGAUGAUUGAAUAUCUUACCCCAAAUCAGCAUACCUUUUAUCCACUGGAAGAUGUUUCAUUAGUUCAUAAAACAUGCUAUACUGUGGUCAUUAGUCACUAUGCCAGAAAUCAAAUUUCAGACAUUUGUGGAUGCAAUUAUUAAGUUGAAAUGCAGUCAUGCAAACCAUUUUUGUUCAUUGACAACAUAACAAUAGUGAACAAUUCAUUAAUAGCUCUGAAGUUGGUUGUCAUUUGUCAGUUUAAUCAACAGCAGUACGUAAUUUCAAGGUUGCCUGUAUUUAGCUUGUGUUAGCAGAGACUAGAUUCGGUUUGUGUAAGCAGAGGCAGAAUGACUAGCAUGUCCUGGAGCUUGUCAACUCCUGGAAAGCCGGAACCGUCGCUUAUUGUGAAGCUUCCAUCUGGUGAUGUGUUGGUAAAAAUUGCCGUUAUAUUUUUGGGAAAAUGAAUAUAUAUCUUUUCAGCAGCCGCUGAACCAUUCUAGGGAACUGCAGGAAUUGUGUUUCCGUAUGUUUGAAUUCAGAUGUAACAGAAGGUGUAAAGAACACAGGGACUGGUUUUGAGGGUGGCAACUGCCAAUGUAUGUUUCAGUUUACCCUUAAUUUUCAAACCGUGCCAUUUUCUUCGCGAUAAUAAUUGCAUCCUGAACUGUGACUAAAAUCUGAUCUGAAGAUGCAACCGUGUGUGAUCUGAAGAUGCGACCCUGCGUGGGUGACAACUGUGCCCAUGACAGGUUUUUGCUUCUCUUGCUUGAUCUGAAGAUGCAAUUCUGCCUUGUCGUGAAUCUGAUGGUUCAUGUUGUAUUGCAUCCCGGAGUUAAUAUUUCUGUUUUGUGUAAUCAAGAAAAUUGGGACUCCGUCAGCUUGUGGUUUUGCUUCUCAAGUAAAAUAUACAUACAGAAUUCAAGACAAACAAAAUUUCUCUUAAUCGAUAUGCGUCAUUCUUGCACAUUCGAAAAAAUAGGCUCAGUGAUUAGUUGAUCAGACAAACAAAAUUUUUGUUUACUUGAUUCCCUACAGAUUAAUAAUCCACUAAAGUGUCAGGAAACAAAUGUAUGAUACACGAGGAUGCAUUAGCUCUCUAAUCCUUUAAUCUUGGCAAAGCAGCUCUCCAUGGUCUCCACAAACUUGGGCGUGAUACGAUCACCAGCAGCCAGUUUGUAAUACUCGAACUUAGCUUCUUCACACUCCAACGCAGCCUUCUUGCAGGCCCUGAUACUUCCUGAAUGAAGUUAAAAGGAUAUUGAUGAAUUAGCUCUGCUCCGGGUUGUACGAUGGCCUUGCAAACAUUUCACUUAGGGAAUGCAAUAUAUAAACACGCAGAACGAGUCAGCAUGUCAAAAUACAUGAGGAGUCAAAUGGAAAAGUUGAGACUCCAUCAUGCUAGAGUUAAAAUGCAUGAAAACACCAUACAAUAUAUUGUUUGAAGAUGUUUUAACAAACUGUAGUAUUCAUGUCAUCGGAAUUUAAAGAGAAUGCAUUUAGCAGCGCUGAUAGCAUCUGAACUUCACCUUACACUGAAAAUCAGGAUUGCCCUGAAUACAGAAAAUCAGAAAUAAAUUCAUGUCUGUACAAAAAAAGAAGAAGAAGAAAAGAUACAUGUUGCCAGAAAUCAAUUAUCGUGCAUAAUGAUAAAACUGCUUUAGUUUCACAAUCCAUUCCCCAACCACUACUAAUCCAAAUUUGUAGUGAGAUGUUCAGCUAAAGUUUUCAUUGAAAUAUUUAAGCCCACUAAGUCACUAAUUCAACACACGCACUAGGAAGAAAUCGUUUAUGGAGCGAAAACACUAUAAUCCAAGAGGUUUCAAUUAGUAUGCAGCUUUAAAAAAUGUAAAUGUGAAAGAAUUUGUUGUCAUAAUAGACUAAUAGUGUACAGCGAGCAAUUCAAAGUCCUCGUUAAGUUGGUCGCAUCAAAGCAAGGAAUCAGGAUAACAAUGUAUUUAAGUUGCAUGAAUUCAAGGCUGUGGGCUGAGUAAAUAAAGCAACAUGGUUAGACAGACAGUUUUAUUGCAGGGAAUUGAUUUCCCAAACUUGGGCACCAGACAGUGAAAUAAACUUACUCCAGAUGUAAACCUAAAACUAAAAUUUGCUUUCUUCCACCAUGUAUAUAUAGGAAGUUAUCCACUUACCACUCAUAUCCCGCAGGUUGAAUGAAACUGGGAUUUUCCCAAUGUUCCUCACCAUGGUGAUAGCAGCCCACACUUUCUGGUGAUCUUCACGGGAAACUCGGAUCACGCAAAGCUUCGUUAUCGGAUUUACAUACUUCACUGCAGAUGAACAGAGCUCAUAAACACCUAUAAAUAACGACUCAAAAUGCAAGCAUUCAUGACGCUGUCUGAAAACUGUAAGAGGGUUGUCGAUGUACUCCUAACAAACACCAACCUUGCAACGACCCAAGACAAGCUGCUAGGCCACACUCCCCAAAGUUGAGCUGGAUGCUGUCUUUGAUAGCUUUGGUGAUAUUGAUCUGCGUGAGAAUGAGAGGGUCGGGCUGGCCCUUGACUGGUGUAUCGAUGAACACCUCCAUCACCAUGUACCUGUUCUUGAAAUGAACCAUAUCGUCGACGAAUGCUCACUGUACAGUAGAACUCCUUCAAGUAAUUUUUUUGUUGAUUGUGCCUGUCACAACCCACAAAUCCAAAUUUUUAUCACACCAUAAAUCCAAUAUACACCUACAAAAUUUGCUAAAAAAAAAAAGAUAUAGAUAUAGCAAUAGCAUCUCGUAUAAAAACAGGCUAAAAUCAACAAUUAAAUUCGGAAUUUGGGAAAAAAAAACUGCAAUCAAUAGUGAAGCAACGGUUCCCUUCCUCUACACAACCUACGAAUUUCUACACGCACAACAUUGAAAUACCAAAGUUAUUCACAAGGAGGAUCGAUUCUACAAGCUACAAUCUGCACCACUAAAUGAAAACACCAUACAAUUCUCGCAGCGUAGUAGAUUAACACACGCACAACGACAAACAGCUAACCCACUAGCUGCAGGCUUAAAUGGGAGCGAGAUGAGCAGUUCACUUAGAGGUGGCCCGUCGGCUGGGAUUACAGCGGCAGGUUGGCGACGGGGGACGGAGGCGGGCGGCAGCGCGUGAGGCAACAGGUUGUCGAAUUUGGGGGAACCGGCUCACCUCCAGCCAUGGGGACAGGCGGGCCCAGGAUUUUCAACUUGGGUAUUCGAAAUUAGAAGAGAUAAAAAAAAAAUUUCCAACCCACUAAUAGUUGUAUAAUAUAUAACGGUAUAAACAUAAUUUCAAACCUGCAAAACAACAAUAUACUAUAUUCAUGUUUUUUCUCUUCACGUUUCAAACCUACAAAACAACAAUAUACUAUAUUCAACCAUGAAACUACUUUUGAGGUGCUCAGAUGAAAAUUCAGACCAACGUUUUCUAUCAACAAAGAUAAGUACAGUUUUUAAGAUACAUUAACAACUGACAGGAUCUUCUAAUAAAAAACAACUCCUCCAAAACAACUCCUCCUCCCUGAAGUCUGAAAGGCCUAGUAACUCCCUGGUCUCCGAGCAUGGAGUGCUUCCUAAUUUCAAUUAGUAUCUGAAGUCCUGAACCCAAGCAAAAACUACAAAAUGUUCAGUCUUGACCCUCUCCCUCAACUAGAUUUCACACCAAAAGCAGCGGCUACAACCUAUUUAAGUUCAGCACAUACAGCUAAAGGUUUCUAGACUGCAAAUUUGUCAUUUAUCUGCGUGAUUCCAAGAAUUAGGAGGCACCUAAGGAGCAGGAACUGCACAAGGGCAUGGUAAAAAUGAAGCAGAGCAUGGCCUCAUACCUAGCAGGAGCAACAUCAGACAUGACAUCUACGGGCAGCAAGGGCGCAGGACAGGGGAUGAAGGGAACUAGGGAAGAGUUACCUUCGAGACUCGGACGACCGGGCGGCGUCGCUGGCGUGUGGCCGGUGGACUGGAGCCCGGAAGCUUGCCUGCUACUGGAGGGAUCGGGGCGCCGGGGCGCGCUGCCGCGCUGGUGCCGUGGCGUGGUCGGCUGGCCCUGGCCGCGCGGGGCGCGUGCCGCUGGCGGCUGCCGAGCCGGGCGGGCGGCGCGCGUGUAACUGCGUGGAGGGGCUGACCGGAGCGGCGGGGCGACGGCGAGACGGCCACGGCGCGACGGCGCGGGGGCGACGGGCGGCCGGGCGCGGGCGGGCGGCGGGCGGCGGGAUCGGGAACGGGAGGUGAGGAGAUAGGGUUUGAUAGAGUUUGGGCCAUUUUUUUUUUUGCUAUUGGGCCAAUGGGCCUUAAAAAGUGGGGAGAGGAAGAUGGUGGGAGGGAUAGGUUUGGGCUUCUUUUGGAUGAGUACACCGAAGGUCCCUCAUCUUGUCAUUGAAUUAAAAAAUCGCCCUUGAACCACAAAACCCGACAUGACACAUCCUCCAACUUACAAAACAGUGCAAAGUGCAAACUAGAUUCCUCGACGGUAUUGUCUUCGGUUUUAGAUGAUGUGGCAUCUGAGUUAGCGUGGUCCCCAUGUGGGCCCACCUGUCAGUGACUAUUUGCACUACUCUCUCUACCUCUCUUCCUCUGACCUGCAGUCCUCUUCUUGGUGAUUGACAACAAGGGUGCGGCGCGACGGCGACGCUCACUGGCAAAGACAAGUGGCGGCCAUUGGCGGCGGCGCUCGCUGGCAAAGACGGGUGGUGGCCGGCGGCGGCGAUGUCACCGACCACGACCUGGGCACUUCCUCCUUCUCCUCCUCCCCUUUCUGUCCGUGCGCGAGACCUUCGAGGCGGGGGGUGCCCAGCGAAGGCAACAGUGACGGCGACACCUGACGCUCUUUCGUCGCCAUCUCCACCACAGCCAUCGACAACAGCCUCAGCUCCUCUUCCUCUUUCCCUUCUCUUCCCCCAUCUCUUUCCAGUGCACGAGAGUGACCGACGGGAGGCGGCGGUGCCGGUGGUCGCCGCAGAUAAAGCCCACGCUGCGGGAGAGGAAGGGGUUUGCGACAGCAGAUGCACGCCGUCUUCACCACGGCGUGGGAACGGCACGCGGCGCAUGGCGAGGCCGUGGCGGAGCUGACAAGAAAGGUUGAGGAACAGGAGCAGUGCGUGAAAGAGUUCGUGGAAGUUGCGGGUGGCUAAGGAGCAGCGGAGCGCGUCGGGAAGGAGUGCAGGAGCAUGCGGCUGAGCGGCGGAAGCACAAGUCAACGCUCGGGGAGGACCUUGAGCACCGUGGUGACGGUGGCGGGUGGAGCUCUCCACGGAGAGGAGCUGGUUGGCGCAGAGCAUGUAGGGAACAGCGACACCGACGAAGAGGAGCUGAGGCUGCUGCCGGCGGUUGUGGUGGCGAUGGUGGCAAUGCUUGGGGCGAAGAGAAAGGAGGUGCUCACAUACCUUGCGCUCGCGUCGUUACGGUUGUCGUCGUCGCCGGCGAGGUGGGGAGAGGCGAAGGAGGGCGAUGGCGGAAGUAAGGGGAAUGGUGGAGGGAGUUUGUCGUUGUCGUCGCCGGUGAGGUUGGGGUGAUGAUGGUGCGUCUGGUGGAAAGAGGCUGCGGGUGUGACGUCGACCAUCCCAUAGUUUAGCUGCUCCCCGCCGUCGGGACUAAGGCUGAUACAGACGCGGGAUUGUUGCCACUGCUCUCUCUUUGCGCGCUGAUGCUUGGCCGAGCUCGGUGACGCCGCCGCCGCCGCUCGCGCCUGCCGGCCUUCGCCUGCACCCGCCGGCCUUCGCCCGCGCCCGCUCCCGCCGCAUCGGCAUGCCGCGCACAGCUCGUCUCCGUCAGCCGUCGGCCGUGGAGAGAUGAGGAGAGAGGAAGAGAGGUGGAGAGGGGAGGGGAAGAAGAGGCUGACGUGUAGGACCCACGUGGGGUCCCAUGCUGACUCAGCUGCCACAUUGAUCAAAACCAGAGUCAAAACCGCCUAGGGACCUAAAGUAACCCGGUGUUGUAAGAUUAGGGAUGCGAUAUACCUGGUUUGUGGUUGGAGGAUGAUUUUGUAACCCGAUGACAACAUGAUGGACCUUCGAUGUACUUUUUCUCGAGAGAAAUAAGUUCACAUGUCAUAUACAUAUGGAAUAUAUACUUCAUAUAUGUAUUUUUUUAAAAAAAAUCUUGGGUUUUCAUUUGAAUACCCAUGAAUCAUUGUGAGCCCGCCCGUCUGAGGAGUUUGGGGCUAUUUGGGCCCGUCGUGCCCUCGUGGGCCGCUACUUCCCUUGUUGGGCUGUUUGGUCCCACGUAGGACGGAAUCGCCUCUGAGAGAAAUAAGUUUACAUGUCAUCCCUCGACUUUACGUCAAGUUUGUAUAACAUCCCUAAUCCCCAAUAUCGAAAAUCUUCACCCCUAAAUUAUAUAAAACCAUGCAAUUUUGGUCUCAUAACUGUAUAUAUAUAUGGUCUCGCUAACGUGGCAUCCUAGUCAGCAAAACAAUAACAAAACGUAUGUGUGGGCCCACAUGACAGGUAUCCUCCUCUUUCUUCUCUUUUUGUCCCAACCCGACGCGGCUAGCUAAAGAGGGUGGCCAGUCGGCGGGAGAUGGGGGAGGGGAGAAGGGGCUGGUGUGGCGAUGGCGGCGGGAUGCCAUACGGGUGGUUGCUGCUAGCGGUGUACUGGAUCCGCGUGCUGCGCCGCUCGCCCCCUCAGCCGUCGCCGCUUCCGAGGGGCGGGAAGCCAGAUCCUUCCGCCUCUGACGGCACACGCAGCACGCCCUCCCACCCCAGCCUGUGCUGUCCCCUGGCAUCCGCUGUAGAUCUACACCCGACGACCAAUGCAAGAACAUACGCAUCCAAGAUUGCAGAAUGUCAUAAACAGAGUCCGUUUUCUGCUCGAACUCUUUUUUCCUUUUUCUUUGGCUGAAAUUGUUUCAAUCACUGCUCAAGUUUGAUUACGAACUGUCAGUGAUGUGCUUACAUAUCGAUCGUUGAAGCAGAAGAUGGCCCUGGCAACGAUGUUUUCCGUGCUUCUUUUCUGACCAUGGAAGGGAUGGCUACAUGCACCUUCCAGUCACUGUAAAGUUGAGGGACGGCUGGUGAACUUAUUCUUAUCCGAAACCGUCCGGAAAGUCGAUUUGCAAUGGUUUUGAAAGUUAGCGGACGGGUUAUACCCGGUUUAGGGGUUGUGGAAUGCGAUUCAACUAGAGCAUGAGUUGACGGAGGCAAAAUAGACUUAUUCCUAGCCUCGCCCCGGAGGAAGAACCACCUCCCACUAGAACGGGAUCGCUUAUCUGUGACGUGCUAAAAGCCUCAUCACUAUCGGGUAAGGCCCCCGUCACUGGACAAAGGUCACUGAUGUGAGGAAAAAUCUCAAUCGGGCAAAAGCCCGUCACGGAUGGAUGUUAUCUCAAUCAGGCCGAAAACAAAGCCCGUCACAGAUGAGUAUGACCAGUCAAACCAGCAUAGUUAGGAGCCCGUCACGGAUGACUAAUCUCAAUCGGGCACACCACUAAGCCCGUCACGGGUAACUAGUCAUCUCAAUCGGGCAUUUAGAUAGAGCCCGACACCAAUUGGUUUGACCUCACGUGUUAAGUCAAACGAGUCCCGGUUCAGAUGACUUAUCUCUAUUGGGCUUACUCUAAAAGCCCAUCACGGAUGACUUAGCUCUAUCGGGCUUAUUCUAAAAGCCCGUCACGGAUGACAUAUCUCUUUCGGGCAUUAUUAAUAUGCCCGUCAGGGAUGAGUUUGGAAAAAAAAAAUAAAAUUUUAUAAUUUGGCUAGCCUUAGGACUUUGCUAGCCAUGCCCGCUGCAAAAAUUGAUAGAAGCACAUAUAUAUAGUCCCAUUCCCAGCAACCCCAUUUCCAGCAUCACAAUAUUCACAGCCAAUUCACAACAUUUAUAUUCCCAGCAUCACAGCAUUUACAUUCCAUCACAAAACAUGCAUUCACAGCCAAUUCACAACUCAUUCACAUUUGUAUUCCAUCACAACACAUGCAUUCACAUCACAUAUACUCCCUCCGUUUCACAAUCUAAGGCUUUUUAGCAUUGGCCACAUACAUAAAGAUGUUAAUGAAGCUAGACACAUACAUAUGUCUAGAUUCAUUAACAUCUAAAUGAAUGUGGUAAUGCUAGAAAGUCUUACACUGUGAAAAGGAGGAAGUAUAUGUCAUUCACAUCCAUUUUUCUCUCCAAACCACCGACAUGCAUCAAAACCUGCAAAACUAAGUUAUAAAUUGGAACAAUUUUAUAUGUAAUUAGAAAUGCAAGUAUAUAAAGAGACAAGUUACCUAGGACUUUACUCUAAAGAAUUUAAUUGUAUUACAAAGAAUAUUUACAAAAAUCAAAUGUUUAUCGCGUAUGCAUUGCAAAUGUUCUGCCAUUCUGAGAUGAGCUACCUAGGACUUCACUCUAAACAUCCCUUUUGGUGACAAGAUAUCAUCUAGUAUGAAUUGUGCUAUCUCCUCUCUAAUGAUUUCGAAGUUGAUUUCCGGAAUCCUUGAAAUAAAUUCAUGCAUGUUCAGCGCCAAGUUAGUCUACAUACUUGUAAAUUUGUCAUCCUAUGUGUGUAUAAACAAUUGAAUUAGACACCUCAGGGUCGAGCAAUGUCACCUUGUCUACGAAGCUCCUCAUGUUAUGGCAGACAUGGUGUAACACCCCAGAUAACCACUGCCGCUGCCGCUGUCGACCCGGUUGCUGCCGCCGCCACGGCCAUAGCCGGAGGCCACAGCCGUCGUCAGGCUCUGAUCCACUUGUAGGAUCGAAUCACAAGAACUAAGCCAACCAGAGGGGGGGUGAAUGGUUGGUGUACCCAAAAACCGAAAACUUUUAGCGGAAAUAAAAGUUACCCUCGAAUUCAACGGAUCGCGGUCUGACCGAAGUUGUCCUGUUGGUCUAACCGGGUAGAUGCCGCCGGUCUGACCGGUAUUGAAUCUCCGGUCUGACCGCCGAAGUAGCCUGCCGCGCCUGUCGCUGCCGCCGCUGGUCUGACCGCCGUGCUCCCGCCGGUCUGACCGCCGCUUGCCGCCAGUCUGACCACCGGUAGAUCACCGGUUAGACCGCCGAAACCCGCUCUUAAAGUAGAUGACGACUUUAUUGAUUCUCUCUAUGUUUACAAAGUGCACCAACAGCACUCCUUAGAAAAAUUUCGACUAAACUCGAAACCCUAACUCAAAACUCAACUCAAUUGCUCUCUAAAGCGAUACCGGGAAGCCUCACGCUCCCCCUCUAUUUAUACAUGAGGUAGCCAGCCUAAAGCCACGAACCAAACUCAUACUACGAGUCCUAAACACCUUAGGAAACCCUCUAAUACAAGAAAGAAACUUUAUAUAACCAAUCGUACCAAAUUUGGACUCCUUCCAAAUUCGACUCCGCAUGUCAUACGCACACAAUACCUCCAUCGUAUGCCAUAUGAAAUCUCCAUCAACCACGUGCAUCAACUCUAGCCUAAGUAUCCCGCAUGAUCUCUGACCACCACGGACGUCGUCUUAUCCCCAAGCCGACUCCCGGUCCAUCACCGCAAAUACUCUCCCGAGACAUCGAGUCACCUACACAUGGAACAAACAAAGAAACCAUAUUCCGAAACCAAGCUAUCUCCAACUUGACUCAUUAGCAGCAAACAAUAGUAUUACAUACGUAUAGUAUCCAUUUAGAAGCCAUAAUCAUGAAAUAAACUCGGAUAUCGAAACAAACAACCCAAAACCGAAACCGACACAGUGUCGGCCGGUCAAACCGCGGGCUGGUCGGUCCGACCACUCGAUCACCGCCGGUCUGACCGGUACACAAUGCCCGGUCUGACCAGUCACAUGAAAUAACGAUCCUGCGAUUCACGUGUAAAUCCAAUCAUCUCCAAAACCACUUUGUGAAUAAAUUCCAAAUAACAAAACCAAUAAUCUCCAAUGCCCAAUUGUUCAUCACAGAAUAAUAAUCAAAAACACCUUUGAUUUUAUAUUGUUUGCUAACAAUGAGUCAAGUUGGAGAUAGCUUGGUCUCGGAAUAUGGUUUUUUUGUUUGAUUCAAGUGUAGGUGUCUUGAUGCCUCGGGUGAGUAUUGCCGGUGAUGGAUCGGGAGUCAACUUGUAGAUAAGGCGAUGUCCAGACGGUCAGAUAUCAUGCGAGAUACUUAGGCUAAAGAUUAACGCACGUGGUUGGUGAAGAUUCCAUAUGGCAUACGAUGGAGAUAUUGUGUGUGUAUGGGAUGCGGAUUCGAAUUUUGAAGGAGUCCAAAUUUGGUAUGAUUGGAGUUUGUAAAGUUGGUUUCAUGUACAGGAAGGUAUACUAGGUGGAUUAGGACUUCUUGUAUAAGUUUGGUUCGUGGCUUUAGACUGCCUACCUCAUGUAUAAAUAGAGAGGGAGGGUGAGGCCUCCCGGUAUCAUUUUAGAGAGCAUUGAGUUGUAAGAAUAGCUAGGGUUUCGAGUUUAGUAGAGAUUUUCUUUAGGAGUGUUGUUGUUGCACUUUCUAAACACAGAGAUAAGUAAUAAAGUUGUCAUCUACAUCAAGAGUUCUUUGAUUUGUGUUUGCUCGGGUUCAGCGGUCUAACCGGCGAGACACCAGCAGUCAGACCGGCGGGUACACGGCGGUCAGACUGGCGACGGUGACAGGAAGCAGAGGCGACUUCGGGACGGUUGGACCGGUCAAUCUAUACCGGUCAGACCGGUGACAUAGGCGCGGUCAGACCGGCCGAUCUACUUCGGUCAAACCAUAAUCCGUCGAUUCAAGGGUAACUUUUAUUUUCGCUAAAAAUUUUGGUUUUUGGAUACUACAACCAUUCACCCCUCUUCUGGUUGGCUUAGUUCGUGAUGUUUGAUCCUUCCACAUCAACUGUUUCUCAUGCUCAAAUCCUCGACACCUCCUAAGCCCAUGGACUCAUGCAAGAGUCAAGAACACAGCCCACACGGCCACGCAGCCUCUUGUAGUAAUAUGCGGGCUUUUUAUGAACAUCCUGGACUCCUCUUUAGUGUUGCUGCAACCAUAUGCUGCCUUUUAAAAAGUAGAAUUGUAGGCAAUUUUCGUAGCUUUGAUAAAAGGAUCAAACUCACGCGAGGUAUGAACACAACACACAAUAGCAAAAUUUGGAGUCACACGCACACGACAUUUUGGCGACGAACGUCACCGACGACGCACGUCUGGCUUUUUAUAUUAUGACACACACCCACAAUUAAAUGAGUGGUAUACUGUUUUGAAGCCCAGCUGACACACUGGCCGCCGAAGAGCAAAGUAUAAUAGAAGGCUGUAAGAGACUAAAUUGUGAGGUAGAUGAGAGAGGAGAGGAGAGGUGAGGAGAGAGAGGGGAAGCGGGUGGUAAGCUUACAACCAGCUUAGGCACAAAAAUCAAUAAAAUAUGUGAGAGAGACAUGCCGACCAUAUAUUUACAGUUAAGAGCUAACCACUAUAUAAGUUGUCUGAGAGGUAAACUGUAACCACUAUAUACAGUAAGCAGCUAAUUGUAUUAUUAGCCUUUACUCUAACUGCUAGUUGUAUUAUUAGCCUUUACUCUAACUGCGUAGGCAUGAUCUCCACAACCCAGGCUCCACUUCCUAUUUACACGCACUACUACAAUACCUAUUUUUUCGGGCGGUUGGAUAGAUUAUCCCGUGCGGUCGCCCGGCCCGCCUGCAGCUCCUCAUCUGGGAAAAUCUUUAUUUUCGCCUGCGGGCGGCCCGACCGCACGGAAUACGUGCGGUCGGGUUAUACGGACCGCAUGGGAUAAUCUAUUAUCCCGUGUGGUGCAAUAAGGCUGACUCUAUUAUCCCGUGCGGUCAAAUUAUACCGACCGCACGGGAUAAUUCGUGCCGUCGCGCUAGCACAUGCUAGCCGUCUGGGAUAACCUAUUAUCCCAUGCGGUCGGUAUAAUUUGACCUCACGGGAUAAUAGAUGGAAAAUUAGCCGAAAAUUGAGCGAGCUCAGUUAUAAAUAUCCCCCGCGACAAAUAAACCUUUUAGUCCACAGCAUGUUCCCUCUUCCACAGCAUUGUUCAUUUCUUAAAAAAAUGAAAAAAAUCGUCCUUCCAUCCGAAUGAAAAUAAAUUUAAUAGAGGCAAACCCAACUUUUCAAUGUAGGUACUGAAUACUUUUAUAAACAUGUAAUGGAAUCAUUAUGUGUUUGCUAAAAAAAAUAAAAAACAAAAAGGUGUCUACACUAUUCCAUUUAUAAAAGUGCAAGUUUCUUCGUAUUCCACCGAUGAAAACUGACAAAAAUAGAAGCAAAUGAAGGAGGAGAACAAGCUCUACACCUUUUAUAUGGAACCCAAUCAAAGAUUUGAGGUCGAAAACCUUCCCCCCAUAAUUUGCGGAUGUUUAAGAGAGAGAAAACGCCAGAAAUACUGUUAACGGUUGGGCUGGGGGCUUAUAUGCCCCCCGACCAUCGCAAGCGGUCGCCUUACGUGGGCCGCACAGGAUAAUCGAUUAUCCCGUACGACCUACAGCCCGGGCCGGCAUUCGCCUGGUUCCAGACGAAGCCACUUUUGGCCCGCCUGGAACCAAAAUGGGUUGGCAUCAAGGAAAAUCACCUCUGCAGUAGUGACGCAAGAGGCUUAUCGGCUCAAUGUACGGACUCGCUUUACGUGCAACACAUGCUUGCAUUGCCUAACCUAGUAGCUACCUAACCUUGCAAACCAGGAACAACGUGAACCUAUCAUGUUCCCAGCUACUCCCUCCGUUUUACAAUGUAAGUCAUUCUAAUAUUUCUCACAUUCAUAUUGAUGCUAAUGAAUCUAGAUAUAUAUAUCUAUCUAAAUUCAUUAAUAUCAAUAUGAAUAUAGGAAACAUUAGAAUGACUUACAUUGUGAACAGAGGAAGUACACAUGCAUGCAUGAGCUCUCAUGCAACUAUUUCAACAUAUGACUUGAUCAAACUAAACUAAGACGACACCAUAUAAUCAUUUACAACAAGAUUAGUUCCAACAAAUUUGAUGAAGGGAACAAACAUCAGAUUAGUACAGAAAUCAUAAUUGACUGCCAUGAGGCCACAGCGAGUGCAACCUUACAGUAGCCUUUUAAUUUGCUAUGGUUGGACUUCCUGUGCCUCCCUCAACAUACUAUAUACUGAGCCAGCAUGGGCUUGCAUGAGUGGGCUAGCGAUUGUCCUUAGAAAUUUCUUGUUCUGAAUUUGUGUUGAAUAGGACUAUUAAUUAAGAUCUAAAAUGUAAAUUGAGAUUUAUAAAUGACUAGCAGGAUUUUUUGUAGAAUGUUAUUCAAAAGUAUGAUCUUGCAUUUCAAAUAAGUCACUUUCAAUAGAAGUAUGAUCCCGCAAAGACUACGGUAGAAUAAAUAAAAAUUAUCUACCGCGUGAACCAGGAACCAUGCAAGUAGAUCGUGAAUCAUUACCACUCGAUGCGCUGUGCAACGGAAGUAGGUGCUAUGAAGCCAAAGGAAAAUUGACAAUGUAGUGUUCGUCGAUGUAGAGGAAGUGGUUGAUCGCAGUAGCCCGACCUUCUCCUCCUUGUGCAUUCGUCUCACCAUGCUCCCACGCCGAUCAACACCACAAACCAGAGGUGGCUCGACCGACAUCCACACGUUCAGGGAUGGAACGCCACGCGCGGGCGGACUCUCAGCUGGAGCACAUAUUGGAUCUGUUAGGAAAUGAUAGGCAAAUGAACGAUAAAGAACAAUAGAUCAAUCACAAAAAACACGAGAUUUAACGUGAAAAACCCUCCCAAAGAAGAAGAGAAAAAACGACGGGUGCCAGCCAGCAAAAUAUCUUCACUAUAUCGAUGUGAGGUUACAACGCUGUACGGCGGCUUACAAGAGGUAUAUAUAUGGUGGAACCCGGGUUUUGCUUCGCUCCGGCCCAAGCCUCCGGCGACGGGCAUCCGCUUCGCUCCGGCAGAAGCUGGCCUUUAGUAAGUACAAAUGAAUUUGGGUCACAACUCAACAGGAUCUCCAUCCAAUCCUUUUUAUUCUAGCCCAUUAAGUGUGUGACCCCACAGGUUCAUGUAUACUCGGCUGCAACAUUAAAACUUCUUUUCCAGUCCACAUGUCAACAGAGUCCCUUAGCAGAACAUAUUUACUUACCAAAAAUACAUAAAGAUCAUAUCGACUGAACCUCUAGUUUAUACUUGUUUGAACUACUUUGCUUCACGAUAUUGAUUAAGCUCAAGGCUAGAUAUAUACCAUCCUUUAAUAGCUCAAUCAUUUACUCGAUCAUGUGAUAGAUCAUUUGACUUGGAUUGACUCAAUCACUUUCGACAUGGUCAUGCACCUCCAUAAUGUAUAACACCGAGGGCCCCAAAAAUAUCUCCCUGGAGGAGGGCAAAUCCCGUCUUAAUUAUUCAUAUUCCACUACAUGUUUCAUAGAAUGCAUGAAUACUACUUUAAUAACUGCCUAGUUACUACACAUGUCGGGACUCAAGAUAAUCUCAACUCUAUGAAUUCUACACUAACACUAAAUGAUACCACUGAUAGCACAUCACACAUAUAGCUCUUGUAGUGUCUCUUGUUGGAUCUAUCCAACAACAUAUGUCCACAUUAUUAAUUUGGUAUCUCCAUACCAUAAUCCAUGAGACAUCAUCAUGUAUCAAUACAUAUACUUAUCAUUGAACCAUAUUUGUUCCGUACAUGAUAUUUGACCAGGGAUCAUUUACAAGUAGUAACAUACAACAUAAAUAAUCUCAUGAAAGAAUCAUAUAUCUAUUAACCAGUAAUGAGCUAUCUAUUUCGAGGUAUCUAUUACGAGGAACAAAAUAUAAUAAAUAUGUAAACAUAGUAUGUGAUACAAUCAUCUUUAUAAUUGCCUAUAGGGCGUAUCACCAACCGUUUUAUCAACUCUUAUGGAAAGUGCCACUGAUAAGACACUGUGUAGAAAAUUUUGCUAAAGGGACUCGUUAACUUUAUGUUGAAAAUCUCUACCUAUAAUUCCUGUAGAUAUGUUCAAAACUUUCUAAAUAGAUUUUUUUCCCAAAAAACAGCUGUUAUUCUUAAGGGCACCGCAUCUACCACAAAAGCCAAAGGAAAAGUAAGGUCUACUGCUGGCUAAGAUGUGUGGCAAAGGUCAGAAUCACUCUCUUGUUGAUUUGCUGUCGAACAAAAGAUGAUUCUGCAUGCCCUUGGCCGGACGCCUCAAACCGUUGCUCUUUCUUCAUACAACAAAUAAUUAAAUUGACGUCCAGUUAUAUAAUUCCAAACAUGAAUACUACUAUCUCCAUCCCAAAAUAAGUGCAGCCGUGGAUAUCCGUGCCUAACAUUUGACCAUCCGUCUUAUUUAAAAAAUUUAUGAAAAAUUUGAAAAUAUUUAGUCACACAUUAAGUACUAUUCAUAUUUUAUCAUGUAAUAACAAUAAAAAUAGUAAUCAUAAAAAAAAUUAAAUAAGAUGAACGGUCAAACGUUGAACAUAAAUAGUGCAAAACUACACUUAUUUUGGGAGGGAGUGAGUACUGGAUUUUGCUUCUGACAGGUACAUUCUUUCAACCCAUAUGUGAUGAUUGCUCCGAGCUAGACCUCGUUGUUCUAAUCGUAAACACAAAUCGGCACUGAUAUGAGGACUUCACACUAACAUGUCACUGAGUAGCGAUGUCCCACAUGGCACCUACGCCUGGUCUAAAGGCCACUCACCACACGCCCGCAAGCCCCGGACAUCUGAGUAUACUGCACACGGACGCACGCAUGCAUUCACAGUCGACUUGGAUGUUGUGGGAAAUUCCCACCGAGACUACUACACGUCUACACCGGCAUUCUUUGGAGUCGAAACCUCCAAAUCCCAGUGCCUUUUUCUUUCCAGAGACCUCUCAACCCCAUCACAUAUUAUCCACAGAACUCAAACAUUAUUGUAUUUUUACUAGUUAUCUAGUUAUCUAUUGGCCGUGUGCAUUCACCUAUGAUGCAGAGGCCGGGCGCUACCCAUUAUCUUAAAAAAAAUAUAUAUAGUUAUCUAUUGCUCGUGAAAGAAUAUGUUAUAGGGAACAUAUCUAUAUCCAUGAUGUAGAGCGCCAUUAUCUAAAAAAAAAAGAGGGCCAUGUCCUUUAAUUUGGGAUGUUUAUCGAUCUAAAUAUUUAUUACAAGUUCAAUAGAAUCCAUGAAAAUGAAAUUAAUUGUCAAUACAAACCAAACCCGUAUGUGCAGUGACAUCGACGGAUUUACCUUGCACAACGAAGCAAGCUAGGUCCCGGCAUAGCUGUAGAUGAGAUUGGUUGGACUUAUAUAUUAAGCAAAAACCACAAAUUUUGACAAUUUGACUCUUUGCAAAAACUAAUUUUACAAAUGAACCGUGGCCAAAACUUAUAUAAAAAAUGACCCUUUUCUUUAGCGCGAAAUCGCAUGGCGCUGAAUUUAGACACCUCAGCGCCAAUAGCACGGCGCUGAAUGCAUAUUGGCACGCUGGCUCAGCCUCCCAUUCGCGGUGGCACGGCAUUCAGCGUCUGUUGACGUGGCGAUGAGGUGUUUAAGUUCAGCGCCAUACGAUUUGGCGCUGAACAAAAGGGUCAUUUCUAAAAUAAGUUUUGGCCGCGGUUCAUUUGUAAAAUUAGUUUCCGCAAAGCGUCAAAUUGUCAAAAUUUGUGCAAAAACACAUAGAACUUGUUUGUUCUUAAACUUAUUUUUUAAGCAAACCUUUUGUUCAAAUGUAUUAUAAGCAAGUUGUUUCAAGGCUUUAAGUUUAAUACAAAGUCAUACCUCCACUUCACAUAUAUAAAAAAAUUCUAUAGUUUUGUUUUCCUUAAGAAUAAGAAUGUCUUUAAAAGGUCUAAUCGGGAAAGCUAUUUGUUUACUUAGGUAGACAUUUGUUUACUUAUAAGUCUAAACAAAGAGAGUCUUAAUAUGAUCAAUCCUCCAAUGGAGGACUUGGACGUGGCAUGUUCAGAUUAGCUGUGGUGGGUACGAUUUCAUGUUUGCAUGUUGCAAAUGAUUUUUUUUCUCCUAAACCACUUACCCAAUUUGUGAGUCUUACACUGUUAUAUUAAUUAUUAAACAAGAUGCCGGGUGAUUAUAUUUUAUUGUAUGUAUAUAUAAAAGCAAACCAUGGGCUUAUCCCAUCUAUGUUUUAUUGUUUCAACCGAACUAUAAAUUGGAUGCUCCCAUCCAUUAAAAUCAAACAAAAAAUUUGAUUGAUAUAUCGAAUAAAUUAUGGAUGGACAUAUCCCAUCCAUCGACGACCAUGAACAAAACACACAUUUAAUAAAUCUAACGGACAACCCAUUUUCAAGCAAGUGAUUUCCAACACCGUGGAAAAGAAAGAGAGAACUUAAAAAAACAUUUCUUUCAAGCUUUCAAAAUAGAGUUACUAGGUAGCAACAAUUACCUAGUAACUGUUACACCUCACUAAAGUAGUGACAGAAGUGUGGAAUAGCCAGAUCUCUGGUAGUAGUAUUGAGAGAUGGCAAAAGAAACUUAGCCCUGAGAAGAAAGUUGAAUGGCUGGAACAAAAACUGGGAAGGGCUGUAUAAGAAAGGAAAAGAAGAGAUUUUCAAAAAAAUUGAUGCUAUUGACAUCAAAAUUGAAUCAGCUGGCAUGACUAAUAGUGAUAGAAAGGAGAGAAGGGUGUUAGAGCAACAGCUGAGUUUUAUGAUUAUGGAAGAAAAGCUGAAAUGGUACCAAAGAAGCAAAGUUAAAGAAAUAUUAGAGCGGGAUUGUAACACAAAAUAUUACCAUGCAAAAGCAAAUGGGAGGAGGAAAAACCAGAUACACUCCCUCUCUCAGGAGGAGGGUAAGAUAGUGGGACAAAGGGAAUUAGUAAAUUAUAUAACACUAUUUUAUAAGGAACUUUUUGGCCAUUCUAAAGAAAACACCAUGAAUUUUGACAUGGGUGGAGCUUCUACAGUCUCUGAGGAAGACAAAGCAAGGCUCAUUCAGCCUUUUAGUUUGGAAGAAAUUAAGACUGUGGUAUUUGACCUUAAACACAAUAAAGCCCCUGGGGAGUUUUAUGCCAAAUUCUGGGACUUGAUAAAACUUGAUCUCUUAGAUUUAUUGAAUGACUUUCAUAAAGGAAUUUUGGAUGUAGAGAGGCUCAACUUUGGCAUUAUCACUUUGGUUCCUAAAACUAAGGAUGCUGUGCAAAUUCAAAAGUUUAGACCUAUUUGUCUCUGAAUGUGAGCUUCAAAAUCUUGACAAAAGUUUUGAUGAAUAGGAUUGAAUGUGUAAUAGCUUAUAUUAUCUCCAGAAACCAAACUGCCUUUCUUAAGAAUAAGUUUACAUUGGAGGGGGUGGUAAUUCUACAUGAAAUUCUGAUUCGCCCUAUAGUGAUAAUCUAAAGUGGCAUUCUUUUUAAGAUUGAUUUCGAAAAAGCUUAUGAUAAAGUAGAUUGGGAUUUUAUUCAUAGAAUGCUAGUUGCAAAGAAUUUCCCACCUCAAUGGUGCGCCUAGAUGAUGAAAGUCAUUAGAGCAGGGAAAGUAGUAGUCAAAGUAAAUGAUGAAGUUGGCCCUUACUUUCAAACUUACAAAGGUCUCAGACAGGGAGACCCUCCAUCUCCUCUGCUUUUUAAUUUAGCAGCUAAAGCCCUUACUUUGUUGAUUCAUAGGGCAGAAAAUAAUUCCUUGCUAGAAGGAUUAGGUGUCAAUGAUGAAAACAAAGCUGCCGUUUUGCAAUAUGCUGAUGACACUAUUCUCCUGAUUCCUGAUAGUUUAGAAUAUGCCAGAAAUGAAAUAUAUUAUGUGUCUUUUUGAGCAAUUAUCAGGUCUCAAAAUUAACUUCAACAAGAGUGAAAUUUUCUGUAUAGGAUUGACAGAAGAAAGACAAAAAAAAAACUAUAGCCAACUCUUUACUUGUAACAUAGGUGAUUUGCCUAUGAGAUAUUUGGGGGUACCUAUAGAUAAAAGAAGGAUCCUGAAAAAGGAUCGGAAAACAGCUAAAAACAAAAUGGAACACAAGUUGGGUUGCUGGCAAGGGAGAUUUCAAUCAAUUGGUGGGAGGCUGAUUUUGAUUAACUCCAGCUUAAGUAAUAUCCCUCUCUACAUGUUGUCCUUUUAUAGAAUUCCUCAGGGUGAAGAGAGAGAAUGGAUUUUUUUUAAGAAGAAGGCUUCUCUGGCAUUAGGAAGUACCACUUUGUUCAAUGGCCAGUUAUCUGCACUCCUAUGGACCAGGGGGGUUGGGAGUGUUAGACCUUGAUCUUAUGAACAAAGCUCUGCUAGGGAAAUGGAUCUGGCAACUUGAAAAUGAAGAGGGAUGGUGGCAAGAUUUUCUGAGAAACAAAUACUUGAAGAAGAAACCCAUAUCUGUCCUGAAAGCAAAAUCUGGAGAUUCUUACUUUUGGUAGGGGCUUCUUGAACUAAAGGACAAAUUUUAUAGUCUGUGUUCAAACAAAGUGGGAGACGGGAGAUCUGUAAUGUUUUAGGAGGAUAGCUGGAUGGGUGGCUGGCCACUAUCCUCUCAGUUCUCUGCUCUUUAUAAUAUUCCCUUGACAAGACCUUGUCUCCUUAGCUAAGAUAANAGNANAAGGUUGGAGUGUGGUCAAGUUUAGAGGGCCCUUGGUUGAUGAANNGUUGNCAGAUUGGAACCUCAUUAAACAAAAAUUUGCUGAUGACACUUUCAGCCAGGUUGCAAAGAUAGCUCCGCUGGAACCUGACUAAGUAAGGGACCUUUUCUGUCAAAACUUUUUACAAUGCUCUUUGUGUUCNGNNGGACGGGGGGGGGCUUUCCAGNGAAUUUGGCANGUUUUAAAAUACCUUUGAAAAUCAAAAUCUUUCUCUUGCUCAUGCUAAAGGGUAAAAUCUUGAGCAAGGACAAUAUAUUUAAGAGAGGUUGGAGGAAAGAUGAUACUAAGUGUCAAUUCUGUGAACAACAAGAAUCCAUCCAGCAUCUCUUUUUCUACUGUCGUAUGGUAAGGCUGAUUUGGAAUAUUAUCUCUUGUGCUUUUGAUCUGAAACCUGUCUCUGACAGUACGUAAUCAAUUGUUUAGUUCCUGGAUCUCUGCUUUUGGGAAGAACCUUAAGAAACUAGUUGUUACUGGUGUGGCUGCUGUGUUUUGGGCCAUCUGGAAAACUAGAAACAAAGCAUGUUUUGAGAAUAAACUUCCUAAUGACCCAACUGAUGUGAUUUUUUCGGUUUGUCAUUGAUUGGAAUCCUGGGUUCCGCUGCAGAGACUGGAGGAAGAUCAAAUAAGGUUGCUCUUGGGAGCCAAACUCAUAAGACAGGUGGCAAGUGAUAUCUUCAACUCCAAGUAUGGAUGGAGGGCCACAGCGAGAAGGAUUGGAUGCUGAAGAUUGAUAUCUCUGCUGUCGGUCUGAAUGCCUGCUGGAACUACAAAUUAGGAUUUUGGGCUGGUGACUGCUUCUAGUAUAUCUGAGUCGCUAGUAGACUUUGUUUCAGGGCUUUGUUUAGAGCUGUUUGCUGUUGUUUUGUUCUGUCAGGUGCCAUCGACAAAACCAGCUAUUCUGAUAGCUUGUCUGGGAAUGCUCUGUACCUAAACCUCAACCUUGUAGUCUUCUCGUUUCUAGUAAUGGAAAUGGGGGCAUUCUGCCCUUGAUUAAAAAAAAAGGGUAGCAACAGUUACUACAGAUGAUUUUUACAAUACAUGCCAAUGUCAUUGGCGAUGGUUAAUAACGAUGCUGAGAUGCAAUGAAAGGGCAACUAUCCUUGUCGAGGGAUGGAAUCACGUUGGAACUCGCUGAUGUUUUCUAGUGCACCCUCAGCCACACUCAAAAGGCUCUGGCGACGACAAGGAAGCCGCUCGAUAAGGACAGAGCUCUUGGAUGCGAUCUUGGUGCACGACGUAAUCCUUUUCUUUUUUCCCUGCCACCUGGACAGCAUACGCAGGCCAACAAUCUCCUAAUGCCUCCCAUGCUUAGCAAUAUGCUUGCCGCACUGCAGGAGAUGCGUGCUCCUAUCCUAGCGUGCUAACUGGUUGUAUGACUAUAAAUGUACUAAUAUACGAUGGGUUCUACAUCUAGGAGUCUCAAACAGCCAUCAUACACACAACAUUACGUGUAUAUAUAUCAUAUGAAAACCUUCACCUUAAUGUGUAUUGUUCUCUAGCCUACACUACAGUAGAAAUGAUUUUCCUGGACGAGCACCCUAAUAGGUUACUAGAGGAUCAUAAGUGUCCCCAUCUGUAAAAAUGACCCCCAUUUUAGCAUACGGCUGUCUAUGAGGCGAGCACGCAAAAAUCUAUUUUCACAGAUAGGCCUCUUAAAUGGCCAGCAUGCAAAAUUAGGUUAUUUUCACAUGCGAAAAGUCCAACCGACCUCUCUCCACCUAAAAAUAUCUAACUCUCCUGCUUUCUUAUCCACUCCUCCAUCAUUCUCUCUCCUUAUCCUCUCCCUCGCAUCUCAGUGACGAGCAGCGGGCUCAGGGGGUGGCGGCGGGUUCGACAGCCGGAGCUUGCGAAUCCAGCGACGGCAGCGGCUGCGGCGAGCUCGGGCGGCGACGGGCUCGGCUCCGACUGUGCGGAUCACGCCGCCUCUCCUCCAUCGGCUUCUUCGAUCAUAACGGCCGGUGGUCGUGGAGUGGCAGAUCCAUCAGCCACGGAACCGGUCAGGGUGGAUUGACCAGUUGCGGGCGACGACGACUACGGUAGCGACAGCGACAGCCGUGGCGAGUUCGACCAUGUGGAUCCCAGCACCUCUCCUCCCUCUUUCUCUCGGCUUCUUCAAUCGCCGCGGGCGGAGGUCGUGGAGCGGUGGAUCCGUCAGCCACAGAUCCCACCAGGGUAUCCAUUGGUGGUGGGCGACUGUCGUGUCCCAAAUUUACCUUAAAACACAUCCUUCAAAUUAUUCAUAGCAAAAGUAAAAUUUGGAUUAAAGCCUCCAACCUUAAAAAUAUACAAUCCGAAAAUCAAUUGUGGCUUAGAGAACUUUUGGAUAUAUUCUCAAGGCCAAAAAAGCUUCACCAAAUUUUAGUGGAAUUUUCAUAGCACAAAUAAUAAUUAUAAAACAAUAAACAAAUUAUUUGUAAUUUUUUAAAAAGGAAAAACCUAAAUAUCUCCCACCUCUCUCUGGGCCGAAAGUCGGCACAACACAUACACUCUCUCUUUCUCUCUUCUUUUCCCCUGGCCAUGUCCGCCACCCCCAGCCUUCCCAGCAUGAGUUGGUAGGUCGGCCCGCUCCGCAGUGCCCCACGCCGCAGCCACUGACAGACGGGGCAACUUGUCAUCCCACCUCCCCCCGCCACCGCCAUGAUUCACACUGCUCCUAGCCGUUUCUGCCCGUAUUUGGAAGGGGGAAACACUCCCUGUGAUCCCCUCUCCCAUUCCCCCCCACUUUCCCAUGCCUCUCUAUUUAAAGCGACCGGAAUUGCUCCCGCAAAUCUCGUCGGCACCAUUGAUAGCGGCCGGGAACGCUGCCGCCAAAUCCGGCCCCCUCUCCUCGGAUCUCUCUCGGCCCCACAGCUACUUAAACCCUCCCCGCAACGCCCUCGCCUGUUUCCACCAACUUGCCCUCGGAAUCGAGCCACCGCCUUCACUCUCUCUCUCUCUCUCUCCGCCAUCGUUGCUGAGCUCCAGCCGGGCACGCUUCUAGGUUCUUGUACUCCUUACCGCAAUAGAGGAUACAAUCGUUUGGACAUGCGUGUAUCUUCUGGACUUCCGGUCCUAGAGGAUAGACUAUCUUCUUAGCUUCGCACGUUGUUUCCCUUGGGAAUAAUAUCUUUUACAAGUUUCAAUCACUCGCCAAAUGCCAUGCAAUCACACCAUUUUUUGCCUUCCAUUGCAAGAAUUCCAGCAUGGUACCCAACUUUUUGUGUACAUGUUCGCAACCUGGGUGUUUUGUGGUCCGCUAACAUAUGCUCCAAUUUCUAGACCUCCUUUUUAAUUUCGCAAUCCUUCUUUACGUCACACAACAUCUCACCAAGAUCAUCUGCACCAUCGUUUUCUUCAACAGCUCCGUCUGCCUCGCCUGUUGUAUUUUAUGGAAGUCCAUCGUAUUGAGCCCAAUCCGGAAUGUUGUCGUCUUCUUCUUAAUCUUCUUCCAUUGCAACCUCUAACUCUUCGUGCGAGAUCCAACAAUUAUAGCUAGGCAUGAAUCCUGACUAAAACAAGUGCAUAUGAAGAAUUCUUGAUAUAGAAUACUCCAUCUGGUUUUGCACUUUUCGCAUGGACAAUAUAUAAAACCUUUAGGCUUGUGGGCAUUGGCCACACUCAAAAAAAUAAUGCGAGCCAUUAAUUAAUUCCUUCGAUCGUCGGUCCGUGGUGUACAUCCAUAGCCGAUUCAUCUACAUUAGGAAGUAACAAAUGUAAAGGAAGUCCAUGAAAGUGAAACUACUUCAAUAGUAAUACAAUAAUUUAAAACAUCGUAACUAAACUGAAAACUGAGGGUAAACAUUUUUAAUGUAUUCUUCUUAUUUCUAACGAUUUUAAUGAGUUUAAAGAUCCGAAAUAUUUGUUGGUUUUGCCGAUCGAGCAAAGAUCGGUUGUCCAGUAGUAGUGUCAGUAGUGUCUUAUGGGAAGUGCCACUGAUGUGAAGAAAAUUUUGCUAAAGUGACUCGUUAACUUUAUGUUGAAAUUCUCUAUCAUUAAUUCCUGUAGAUAUGUUCAAAACUAUCUAAAUAGUUCUUUUUUUUCCAAAAAGCAGUUGUUAUUUUUCCAAAAAGCACUUGUUAUUUUUCUAAAAUAGUUCUAAUUAGUUUCCAAACAUCCCAUCUUUUCUAGUAGAGACACUCCAUCUACUAGAAAAGACUAAGAAAAUUAAGGUCUACUGCUGGCUCAGUCGCUCAGAUGUGUGGCAAAGGUCAGGAUCACUCUCUUGCUGAUUUGCUGUAGAACAAAAGAUGAUUCUGCAUACCCUUGCCCGGACGCCUCAAACCGCUGCUCUUAUGUCAUAGAACAAAUUGUUGAUGUCACUUAGUAGCGAUGGCCCACGUGGCACCUACGACUGGUCAAAAGGCCAUUUGAUCACCACACGCCUGCUUGCGACUGCGAGGAUAGCUGAGCACUGCACACGGACGCACGCAUGCACAGCCGACUUGGAUGUUGUGGGGAAUUCCCACCGAGACUACUACACCGGCGUUGUUCGCAGUUUAAGCAUCCAAAUAAGUGCCUUUUUCUUUCCAGAGACCUCUCAACCCCAUCACAUUUUUUCCACAGAAUUUAAACAUUAUAUUUUUACUAGUUAUAUAUUGCUCGUGAAAGGAUAUAUAUGUUAUAUGGUAUAGCAUACAAAUAUCCAUGAUGUAGAGGGCCAUGUUCUUUAAUUAGUUAUAUUUAUUGAACUGGGGAUAAAUGACAAGUUCAGUAGAAUCCAUGAAAAUGCAAUCAACAAUUAUCUAUAGAAACCAAACCCAUGCACCCCGGUUGACAUCGACGGAUUUUCCUUGCACAACGAAGAAAGCUAGGUUCCGGCAUAAUUGGUACAUGAGAUUGGUUGGACUUAUUUAAGCCAAACACAUUGACCUUGUUUGUUCUUAAUUAGACGUAUUUUUAAGCUAACCUUUUGCUUAUACGUCUUAUAAGCAAAUGGUAUCAAGCCUUUAAGUUUAUAGUUUAAAAAAAAGAAUGGCUUAUGACUUUAAAAAGUCUAAUCGAAAAAGCUAUUUGUGUACUUAGGCUUAGACUAUUCGACUCAUAAGUUAGCUUAAAAACCUAAACUUAAUAUGAUGAGAAAUUUAACAAUAUGCAUGUUGGGUACGAUGGUGGGUACGAUUUCAUGUUUGCAUGUUGCAAAUGAUUUUUUUCUCCUAAACCAUUUACCCAAUUUGUGAGUCGGUUUAACUAUUCUAUUAAUUAUUAUUAAAUCUGUGAAACAAAAUGUCAGGUGAUUAUACUUUAUUAAAUAUGCAUAUAUACGAUAAGCGGGCCACAUAAAAUUUGGGCUUAUCCAUCUAUAUAUGUUUUAUCUUUCCAUCCGAACUAUAAAUUGGAUGCUCCCAUCCAUUAAAAUCAAACAGAAAAUUUGAUCGCUAUAUCGAAUAGAUUAGGGAUUGACAUAUCCCAUCCACCCACGACCAUAAACAAAACACACAUUUGAUAAAUCUAACGGACAACACAUUUUCAACCAAGUGAUUUACCACAACGUGAAAAAUAAGGAUAGAGAGAACUUUAAGAACAUUUCUUUCAAGCUUUCAAAAUAGAGCUAGCUACUAUGUACCAACAGUUAUUACAUAUGAUUUUUACAAUACAUGCUAAUGUCAUUGGUGAUGGUUAAUGGCUAAGGCACAAAUCCAACAGUGAAUCACGAUGCUGAGAUUCAAUGUGAAAGCGCAACUGUCCUUGUCGAGGGACGAUGGAAUCACGUUGGAAAGCCCUGAUGUUUUGUUGUGCACCCGCCGCCACACUCAAGGCCGAGCCGACGACAAUUGAAACCGCUCGAUAAUGAGGGAGCUCUUCGAUGAGACCUUGCUGCACACCGUGCACCCCUUUCCUUUUUUCCUUCCAUGUUGACCGCAGACGCAGGCCAACAAUCUCCUAGUGCCUCCCAUGCAUGCUUAGCAAUAUGUUUGCUGCCCUGCAGGAGAUGCAUGCUCCUAUCCUAGCUAGCGUGCUAACUGGCUGUAUGACUAUGUAGUUGUACUUAUAUACGACGGGUUCUAAAUCUCGGAGUAUUGAACAACCAUCACGCACACAAGUGUAUAUCAAAUGGAAAUAGGGAUGGUAAUUUCCUCUACGGGCCGGGUCCCCACAAGGGACCCACCCCGCAUUUGGGCGAGCGAGGCAUUCCACCCGCUGGGUCCCGGGGUAAUAUAUUACCUCUCAAAAUAUAGCCUAUUGCAGGUCCAAGAAGCCCAUCUUAAAAUACUAGGAUUCUAGGAUACAAUAAAAAAAAUCUAACCCUACCUUAUCCUCUUGACCCCCACGCCGCACUCACUAGUCACCACUCCAUCUCCAGAUCUUGUCUCUCUCUCGCCGGUCACCCUCCCUUUCUGGAUCUCGCCUCACUCGACGCUCUCCCUCCUUACAGCCACAGGUCACCGCCCUCUCCACUCCCUCCCUUCCUCACCGGUUGCCCUCUCCCCUCCCUUUCCCUUCCCUCCCUCACCGGUCACCCUCUCCCCUCCCGUCCUCUCCCCUGCAGUCUCCACGUGAUGGCGUGUGACACAGUGGCGGUGCGCAGGUGCAGUGAGCUAGCGCACAGGUGUGGCGCGGCAUGUAGGUAUGGGCCCACGGUGAGCGGAGUUGUGUGGCGAGCACAAGAUUCGCACAUUGAGAGGCAUUUGUGGUCAUGCAUGCAUUGAGUUCAUGGAUGGAAUAAUGUAUCAUGGAAAUAUUUAUUUUCUUGAUGAAUUUUCGAUGAUGCUAUUCAUGUAUUCAUGCUAUUUUCGAUGAUGUGUCAAGUGAUUGGAUGAAAUGACUUCCCAAUGCGGAGGCCCCAGUCAGGUUACAGAACCCUGGAGGGGUCGGGGACGGGGGCUGAUUUGGUGCCGCAUCUCCACUGGGGACCAGGGCCGGGUGGAGAGGUCCGGGGUCAGGGGCAAGGCCAUUCCAGCCCAACCUGCUCCGUUGCAUCCCUAUAUGGAAACCAUCAUUACCAUCACAUGUAGUGUUCUUUAGCCUAUGGAUCCCACGUGAUAUCUCCUUAACGAUUUAGAGCUCAUCUUCAAAUAUGUCUAGUCCUAAUCCAUCACCGGCUAUACUUCCAUGGCUUCGAGCAACACCUACCCAUUAAACAAGAAAGAAACCAUAUCCGAACACAAGUUCAAAUUAACUUGACUCACAUUAGCACACAAACAUCGCUAAACCGCACCCAGGGUGCGCUAUAUCUAAAGCGCUCCCCUCACAUGCCUCCCACACCUUUUCUUGCUCAUAUAUUCUUUCUUUCAGCAAAUAAAUUACUCAUAGUAAAAUCUUUCUAUUAGUAAAUAAAUUACAAACAGAUAUGUUGAUCUUUACAUUGUUAUCCCACACCUUUUUUCCUUGUCCAUCCUGACUGCCACCACACAUUUCUCUUGCAUACAUAGUCCUCUUAUAGUAAAUUAAUUACUUACAGUUAUUAUAUUGUGAUUAGUAAAUGGACUACUCGGAUGCCUUAUCUUAGUAAAUAAAUUACUAUUACUCGUAGUUAUUAUGUUUUUGUUAGUAAAUGAAUUACUCGAACAUCUUCUCUUAGUAAAUAAGUUACUCCUUGCAAUACAUUCUGUCAGUAAAUCAAUUACUCCUUCCGAUCUCUUCUUUAAAUUUAAAAUAUACUAAAAUUCUAGCCACAUAAUUUCUCCUAGUAAAUUAGCUACUAUCCGCACCAAUAUUUCUCCCUCAAUAAAUUACUCAUAGUUAUUGUCCUUCCCUUAAUAAAUAAAUUACUCUUACUUCUCGUAGUAAACUAAGAAGUCCUUCUAGCGAUGCUUCUCUUAGUAAAUUAAUUACUCUUUCCAACACCAUCUUUCAAAAUAAAUUACUCCAGGGAGUAAAAGAAUCACAAACAUAUUGUUCCAACCACAUAAUUUAAUAAAUUCUUACCAAACCAGAAAAUUUUUCAAUGGUAUUAUAUCAACGAUCUGAUCACACAUGCAAUGUGGUACAUCGGUAGAAUGCAGAGAAGUAAUUAAAGAUCACAACAGCUCCCGUAAAUGAAUCACAACAGCAACAGCACUGAUGGAUACGGUGAUGAAGAUUUGAUGCCAAGACUAAUACGACAAUCUAGAUCAAGGCCAAUGACGCAUCUAUGCAUGCACGAAUCCAACAAGCAAGACAACACCAAUAACAUAAAUCGACGUUGAGCCGUAGAGGUGCUGCAAAUUCCAGUUCUCUCUGUCGACAGAUAUCUGUCACCACGGCUGUGUGGAGAGGCAUUCCAUAGCCACUUGGAUAUAAAAAAAAAAUGAAGAUUGCAUCUAAGUAUCACAAAACAGCAAAAUAAAUAUGAUUUCACUUAAACCUAGUAUUUCAUAGCCAUAAUAUUGCUGUUGUGAAUUGCUUUGCCAUAGAAGAAAGCAAACAUAUUUAUUUUUUUCCUGCUGGAAUAUAACUCUGAGAAUCAACGAGAUACUUAAUUGAACCAAUCCCCCCAUCGUACAGUUUAUUCACCAUGUAAGAUGCUAUAGCAGAAGCACUGCACUAGAAAGGAAAGCACAAUCUGAAGUUAAUCAUGCAAAUGGCUGAGAUGCAGCAUCCACCUCCAUGGCAAUGCAUCAACAAAACAUGAACCUCCAUGACCAAAGCAAUACCAAGAAAAUAAGAACCGGCACCAAGAAACCCAAGAAGCGAAUGGAUCCAACGAUGAUGAGCAUAUACGAGGACCUCCAGAAGACCAUGGUUGCGGACGCUGGUAACGUGUGCGGCACAAAAUCUUUCUUUUGUUCAGUCUGAAGAAUUUUGUUCUAUCGAAAAGCAAAGAGAAACUAUAGUGUUUAGAAAAAAAAUCAAUGUAUCAGCUCAGUUGAACCACAAAAUUUCAGAGAAUUGCUAUCCAAUGACCUUUAUAGGUUGCUCUAGCUCCAACUUAUUCAUCCGUAAGGUGAGAGUCCCAGUUGAGUUAGUAAAUAUUAUUUACUAGCAUAAGCAUGGUACUUAGGCUAAAUAAAUGUCGUUGGAUUUAGGUGUGCCCCACGGAAAGUGAGGUAAGCGGCAGGUGGUGACAGCCUUGUCCGUCCUAUAUUUUCCUCCACAUACGUAUAUGACAUAAGAGUGCGUAAAUACCAUAACCACGCUGGCGGACCAGCUGGGAGUGGUCUCUCGGUAGUACCUAGGUGACUGGAGUGGUCUUGGCGGACCAGCUGGGAGUGGUCUUAUGUUGUAAGCAUGUACAUGUUAAUUGUUGUUAGAGGCAUGUCACGAGGGCCUUUAGCCAGGCUUUCCAAAACCACAAGAACCAUGAGGUGUUGGCCAAGUCCAGGAGGCAAAGCAGCUGAGCGAAGCUAGAUGAUGAAAACCGAAUGGUCCACCACCAAGCCCACUAUCUUGACAAGUCAUUACUAUGGGCGAAGACCAUAAUGCGAAGCAGGAGGGUUUCGCCUGAGCUAGAAGCGGCAUCGGUAGAGGGCUUGGGAGACACCGCGGCCCACAGAUGCUUUUCGCCAUUCAUGGGCCGGCCCAAGGAGUUCACUUAAAAGCCCAUAAACACAAAGGACACUGUGUGCCCUCACUAAAGUCCCUAUCAUAAGGGUAUCGAUGUAAAUUCCCAUGUACAAACUAAACCCUAGAGGGUAUGAGCCUGUACUAAGACUAUAAAUAGCCCCCUUGGGCCAUAUAAUGGGGGAUCCCAAAAAAAUUUUUGUACCAAUUAAUAUAUUGCUUUUUACUAUUCUAACAAUCUACCAAGUGUACCACGUCUUUCGACAUGAUGCAGUUGUCUUUCGACAACAAUUGUAUACUAGACAUGAUUAGUAUAGAAGUAUAGAUGAAUCGUAAUUUCCAAAUGCUAAUUUCCUACUAGACAUCCUAUCUUGCUAUAAAGUUAUAACCUACUAAUUCUAAAGCUCAACAUGCAAACAUGACACCUCAUCACCCACUAGCAAUAAUUACAUACAAAACUUAUGCAAGCAUGCAACAUCAUCCAAUUAUCUUCCUUCACAUUAUUUUUCACAAUAUUUUUAAUAUAUAUAUAUAUAACCAUCAUUUUUAUAAUACUUAACAUAUAUUCAUCCAUAUAAUCAAAGUGCGGGAUAUCAUAUUUCAUCUACAAUUUCAUACAUUGUCCACUAAAUUUAUUUCUCUCUUAACAUAGUUUGACAAACCAGUUUAUUUGUUAUUUUACUUUUAGCUCGGUUAUUAAAAAAUAUUAGAAUUUACUUAGUAAUUUCCACAGCAAAGCGCGAGGAAUAACCUAAUUCUUAUAGAGCUGAAUCUCCUGUGUGUCCACUACCAUAUCCAUUAUUAUCCUAACCCUUGUUUAGACUAUGGUGAAUUAAUUAUAGGUUGAUUAAGCAGAUAUAAAAAUCAUAACUUUAUGCCGCCGCCUUCCCCGUCGAAAUAUAAAUACGAUACUCUUGAGAAUACACAUGGGUGAAAUGCUACAGCGUUAUCCGUGCACUUGCGGAUUCAUCCAUGAACAUAAGAAAAUACAAACACCAACCACAAAGAUGACGAUAAUAAACAGAUGAUAGGAGGCGAGGAGAUUUCUUAGCUGAUCAGAUUUCGGCAGCGAUAUUAGUUCGUGAUAGGUCCUUGUGGGCCUACGUUAGGCGGUCGUCAAUAGUGAACCAAUGUCCUCCAUGACAGUGCUGUCUUGAAACUUCGGUGAUGUUGAUAGAUCAAAUUGGUGCAUGACGAUGAUUCCGAUCUGGUCAAGGAACAUACUCUGGUCGGGUCAGAUAUCCUAGGAACAAAGUCAUUGAAAUAUCCCUUGUCUAAAAGUCCAUAGCGCCAAUAUCUUGAUAAAGAUUGAGACAGCGAGGGUCCCGAUCCAUAGGAGAGUGCAAUCUGGUCGGGUCAUAUCUCCCAAAGCUAAAGUUGAGGAGUUUUUUGCCGGAAAAUCCGUCUUCUUGAAACUCAUCUUGUCGAAACGUUAAGCACCAAGUUCCCUACCUGGCGGAAUAUUUUUGAGGUUGGAUAUCCUGACGAUGACAUUUGCAGAGUAUGGGGAUCAUUUGGGCCAAGCCAUACCCGAGAUUGAGGUAAAAAAUAUAGGAGACAUAUUUUUAUACAUGUUCGGACCCCUUAACUAACCGGUAAUAGCCCUAGUCUUGUUGGCUGAAGCCGGUGUAGCCAUUAUAUAUCAGUAUCACAUUAGUACAAUAUUUGGGAUAACCUAAUAUAGUCUCGGUUAGUUUGGCAGAAAGGAGUUCUCACACGUAGCCGAUGGCUAGCGUAGUCUUCGUCCUCGAAUAUGAACUCGAUGAGACUGAAGGUAGCGCUAGAUCUCUCUUGUCGGUCAUUGUGGCUGGCCCCCGAUUGAGUAUGUCUAGGCUUUUGUUGUUGUCUGUUGGCUUGUUUCCUCUCCUCCAAGGGGUCUUGUAUUUAUACCCUCGAAUGUCCCCCUGUCGAAGGAAAACUAGGGAGACAAGUAUGGAUACGAUCCGAGUAGUUCUAUUUUUCUUUCCUUAUCCAAAACACCUUCCGUAUAUCAGGCAUGAUUCUGCAUAAAACUUGGUAUAUGGUGGGCUACGUCGAUACCAAUCCAAGACUAUUGGGUAUGCCCGAUCUAUAACACUGACGGUUAGUAUAAUAAACUUAUACCACUAAUUUUGAUAGUAUAUUUGGCAUCUUUUAUGCAAUAGCUAACGGUUAAAGUUUGCACUUAAGGACCGUCAACAGUAACGAAAAUGAUGGCUUUCAUUGUAAAGUAUUGUCUUAAAUACUUAUCCCACACAUUCAUCCCAUCCUACCAUAAAUCUUUCAUAUCUUUCAUCAAUGGCUCAUGGACAUGGACAAUGUAUCUGUGUUCCAACUGCUCAACUUCUUUUCAAUUCUCUCCUCUUUCAUUUUCCAAUACUUGUUAUUUAACUUUCUAGAAUGCAUAGGAAUGCCAAGAUAUUUAAUAGGGUAAGACCCAUGCGGCACCCAAAAAUUUGAGAAUAUUGUUCUUAACAUUCUUUUGCUUCACCAAAGCAAAAGAAUUCACUCUUAUGAAAAUUUAUUUUAAGACCACAAAGCUUUUCGGACACAAAAAGAAGUAACUUCAUUUUCUUAGAAUUUUCUAAAUUUUCUCAAUGUGUCAUCCGCAUACUACAAGAUAGACAAACCCUCAUCAACGACAUAUGGAACCAACCAUUUGGCCAUCUGAAUAAGUACAGCCAACAUAUCAACAACUAUGUUAAACAAGAUUGGAGAGAGAGGAUCACCUUGCCUUAAACCCUUCCAAGGUUUAAAAUUUGGUCCAAUCUGGUCGUUAACUUCUAUACCAACAUUACCCAUUGGAUGAAGGAAUCAAUCCAUUCACACCAUUUAGUGGAAAAGCCUUUCAUUCUAAUAGUUUGUUGCACAAAAGACCAAUAAAUUUUAUCACACGCUUUCUCAAACUCAAUCAUAAAAAUAAUCCCAUUUUGUUUUUUCCUAUGCAACUCAUGAAUCGUCUCAUGUUAAAUAACUACCCGUCCAUGAUAUUCCUACCAUGAAUAAAAGCCAUCUGAGUUGGGCUUAUAACAUUUUGUGCCAUUCCCAUAAUUCUAUUUGUGACCACCUUAGUAAAUAUCUUAAAACUUAUAUUUAAUUAGCAUAUUGGCCUAUAUUGUUGUAUUUUAGUAGCAUCGUUAGACUUGGGUUACAAGAUAAUCGUACCAAAGUUAAGCGAAUACAAGUGCAAUGAAACAUUAUGAAAUUAUUGCGUUAACAAGUCUAGAGAAUCAUCUUUUAUAACAUUCCAAAAAACUUGGUAAAACUCAGUUGGAAAUCUACAAGGACCGAAGCUUUGUUGUGUUCCAUUUGAAAAAUUGCCUCUCUAACUUAUUUUUCAGAAUAGUUUGCUUUUAAAGCCUCAUUCUCAAUUCGUGCCACUUGCGGAAUAUCCUCCAUCCUGUUCUCAUCAAGAGAGAAUUGUGUUUUUUCAGAUGGCCCAAAAAGACCUUUAUAAUAAGUUGUAAUAUGCUUUUUUAAUUCAGCAUACCCACUUAUUAUAUGAUCACCAUCUAGCAAUUGGUAUAUUCUUGUUUUUCUUUGCUUACCAUUAGCCAGCAACUGAAAGUAUUUGGUAUUGGAAUCACCUUCCAACAGGUCCCUUACUUUAGCACGUUGGUACCACUUAAUCUCCUCAUAUCUUAGAAGCAUAGCUAAUCUAUUAUUCAGAAGCAUGCCUCUGCCUUUUUGUCCUGACUAUAUAACCUGUCCAACAACUCUUUUUUCUGUUUCCUAAAUGAACCACAAAUAUUUUUGGCCCAUCCUCUCAAAUGCUGUCUUAUCUUAGCCUACGUAAUUUCGCUUGUCACCUUUCGUUGGAGUAUUCCCAACCUGAACACUUGCGCAUACCUCCUUAACCAUGUCAAAAAAAAGUCAUCUCGCAAUUACCAACCAAGUUCGAAUUUGAAACUUGGAAGGAAACUUGAGAAAGCUGAGUUAGAGUUUAACAAUAAUGGAGUAUGACCAGAAAUAUCUCAAGAUAAAGCUAAAACCGAAGAUAAAGAGUUUAUUUCCUCCCAUUCAGUAGAAAUUAGAAUUCUAUCUAGCUUUUCAAAGGUAGGAACAGUAAGAAUGUUUGCCCAUGUAUAAUUCUUGCCCGACAUUUGUAAUUCCCGUAAAUUUGGACCAUCAAUUACAGUAUUAAAAAGGAACGGCUAUCUAUCUAUCAUUAAAGUUAGAAUUAUUCUUUUCUUCAGGACUUCAAAAAAUAUUAAAUCGCCGCCUAUUAGAAUCAGUAAAUUCUCAUGACUACACAAAUGGACUAACUCAGCAAGGAAUUGUUGUUUAAAUUCAUUCUGUGCAGGCCCAUUUAAACUUAUCACUCUUAUUACACAAAUGAAAUUUAAUAUAAAAAUCACCCUCUUCAAUCAAGCCAAAUCCACACACACUGUAAAUCGACACCCCACAACAUACCACCAAAUCUACCCUUAGGAGGUUUCAGUGCCAAAAAAAUCUUUACCAGCACAAAGAUUUUUAAGGGCAUUUGUCGUAAAUUCACUCCUAAUAGUUGCCGCAAUAGCAAUGAACUCCAGAUGAUGUUUUUUUUUGUUAAACCUAUCUCUAGUCUCCCCUUUAUCUCUUCGUCCUCAACCAAGCUACGGGAGGCGAGCUCCCAUCAAGCACCUCAAUUCAUCCACGCACAUAACAUGAUGGUAUGAAAAAUGUAAUAUUCUCCACUUUAGUCUUUAUUAAUUAACAGAAUUUGUUCCAGCAAGAAAAGGCUCAGUGCAUUAUUGUUGGUAGUGCGUGUUGAAUUUAUUCCCUUUGCUGUGCAAUCACGAACUGGAUGCAAUAUUCUGGGAGAAUGUUAUACUUGGCAUAUUCUUCAAAUACUGGUGAGGAAGCACACACCUUUCUACAUCGGUUAAAAAAGAGAUAUUGGACUAUCAGAAUUUGCAAAAUCGAAAGUAUAGAAAUAUCAUCUUUACAUUAAUUCCAGGCAGAGUGGUGGCACUCGUACAGAAAUAGCAUGUUGCACUGGUCCAUUAUUAUUUUUAGAGUAAAUUUCAGAAAAGCCAUGUUUUUAUGGUCAAAGUUAUAGAAAAUCACAGGUAUUAUGACAUGUGCCACAUAACCACAAGUUUUAUGGACUAUAUGUUUCAUAAAACUUUACCUUUAUUAAAACAUUGAUUAAUCACAGCAUAUUUGAAGCAUUAUUUUUCAAUGUAGCCAAUAUGUAAACUAUCAACCUUAAUCAACAACCAAUUUUAUAUACACUCUAUGGUUUAGAAUUUUAAGUAUUUUAUACUCAACAUGCACAAAGGUGGGACUAGUAUAAGAAGGGACUAUUGCAAAGUAUAUUUACUGAUGCCAAUACUGUCACUGUCGUGGAGGAGAAGGAGGCUGCCAUUGAGUACGUUGAGGCGGAGCUGGCCAUGAUGACACAUCAGCAUACAGAAGGGGCUGCAGAAGUAGUGGUGGUUCGGGUGGGUAGAUGUGAGAGGGAGACAGGAGAUAGAGUGAAGGGGGAAAGGAUAAGGACGAGGGGAGAAAAUGAGAAUGUGAGGGAAAGGAUAAGGAAGCAGCUGUUUUUUUUUCUCCCCCGCACUCGGCAUUGCUAUCUGCUCGAUAUGUGUCGGUUUAAUAAAAACUGGCACCAAUGUCAUUUUAAAUGCACCAGCUAAUAAAAAAAGUAUGGGAAAUAUAUAUGGUUCAUUUUUAUUAAAGAACCUGCACAGACGAGGAGUUAUCAGUGCCAGUUUUUUCUCUCUCAGGAUGUGGCGGGGUUGGGUGGGCACGAACCACUUAUCAUUACCGGUUUUUCCUAAUCCAACGCAUAUAACGUUGUCCCCUAUUAGGAUUUCUGUAGUAGUGCCUUAAAAUCUGAGAUGAACCUUUCCAUUCUACUUACUGACUUGUACGCCUAAGUUUGGUUUUGAUCCACUUAUACUUCUUCCUUGGUGAGUCGUUUAACAACCCUGCGAAAUUUAUAUUAGUUUUAUCCUUGAACAUGGACGAAAAUUUAAAAUUUAUAGAGUAAUGUCAUCUUAUAUUUACCUAUAAUAUUAACUUCGUUCUAUAUAUAUGAGGCCAAAAUUUAAAAUAUAUUCAAAAAGACAUGCAUAACAUUAUUUUAGAUUCGAUGUACAAAGGUGAGACCAGUAUAGCAAUUCUCAGAUACUGCAUACAACAUCACAAAAUUUGUCGUAUAUAGCAUCAAAAAAAUACAAUAUAAUCUCUUUAGUGUGUAUUAAAUUUUAUCUUGCAUUAUGUAAAAAUAAACUUGUUUACUAACAAUAUGGCCUCAUACUGUAAACCUUAUGAUUAAUAUGAACUCAUAGAACAAACUCAUGUACUCCAAAUAUUCUUACAUUCCUGUCAUGCUCGAAGGGUAAAUUGGACUUUUCAGAGCUAUUAAUUGGUCAGCUAAUGAUAAACUGAUAGAAUGGGUAUGAAAAGAAUCAACACAAAUUCAAUAGUAUGCAAAGAAAGUGAGAAUAAACAGGGGUAUAAAAGAGAUUGACAAAAAAAUUAAGGCCAUACAAAGAAUUCUCUCUUUGGACCUAUAUAUCCGUCUAUCUAUCUAUAGUGUGGGAUGCUCAAAACCCAAGUAUACACAUCUUAGCUAGUACAAAUAUGAACUGUUUCUAAUCUUCCUGGUUACUCUAGUGCAGCAAGCUAUACAUUUGCGAACUUAAGAAGAAGUUAGCUACAUCAGUCAAAAUGGUGUGUUAUCCUCUUCCUCCCUCUAAAGAUUUUAUCAACAUUUUCCACAUUCAAAACUGUAACAACAUACCGAUCUGUCUGUGGAUGAUUUAGAGCAUGAUAGUUACCAAGUUUGGUCCAUGGGGAGGACCAGGCGGAGAUUAUAGAGACGUUCAGGUGGCUCCUUAUCGGCUCGUUCGCCUAACAAUCCGCAGCGGAGACACCGUCGACGGGAUCUCCUUCACCUACAUCGGCAACGAUGGUCUCGUGUACCACAUGGGUCAUUGGGGUUCCGAUGGUGGUGUUCCGCAUGAGGUAAAGUCUACCACUGAUACUCCUCUCUUCCUCUAUCUCUUUCUUUCUAUGUCUAUGUAGCUGUGGUUUGCAUCUCCAAUAUUUAUAUAUAAAGUUAUAACUAGAUGGUACUCCAUGUGUUGCUGCCGAAAUUCAUACAAAAUGAUUAGCUUGAAAUUGUGUUGGAUGAUUUUUUUAUAGGUAAUGUUAUGGAUGAGGCGACAAUAUAAUGGUGCAUAGAAAGUGCCAUAAUUCUCUUAGGUAGCCCAAGCAAAGCGUUGCACACUGUAUUAGUAGUACUAUUAUAGUAACAUAUCCGAACAAGGUUUAGAAGGAUCCAGUACAGCUACAAACAUCUCCGAAUGAGGUUAAGUUUUGCACUGGGCUCUGAAGGACCGAUGUUGAUAUUGAUGUUAGAUACAAGCUAGGAAGGUAGCCCGCGCAGUUGAGCUGGCAUCUUAUUUAAACUAUCAUAUUUUUUGUGGUUAGGAUUUUGAGUAUUAUGACUUUAAUUUGUCUGUCGAUGAAAGAAUUUGAAGGUUCCUUUAUACUACAUGAUUGAAAAAAUAUAUAGGUCAGAAAUAGUUUAGAAAUGCAUGAGUAAAAUAGAGUAAACAAAUUUUGGACCGAGGACAGAAAUAACAUGAAUUUUAAAAUUUGUUAACCCACAUAGAUCAAAUCAUCAUCUAUCAUUGCGUAAAUAAACUGCAAUUAACCAGACAACCUUUGCAUUAGCAGCUUGAUUGUCUCCAUCCCAUGCGAAGGGAAAAAAACAUGCGCAUGCAUCUUAUUUCAAUUUUAUUAAUUUUAUUGUCAUAGACAUAUGCUGCAACUUUUUAUAUGCACCAUGCAUGGAUACCUCGCAAGCAAUAUGAUUUAGGGAUAAGUAGAUAGUGAUAGUGAGGAUAUACCUCCUAAGUUAGAAUUGAUCAAGUAUAUUGUAUACUACAUAUUAAGCGUUUUAGUAUCUAAGUAAUAAAUUUAAGGCCGAGUUCUAAAGAGCUUAUUGGAUUGGCUACUCGCUUAUUUAUAGUGAGCACACUUCCCAAACGGCUAAACGUGUAAUAUUUUAUAUUUUUCUCAUAAUUUCUAUUAUUUUCUCAAUUUAUUAUAGUAUCAGGUAGUAGUUUAAGAGUCUUCGUAUGGUGUUUAAUGGACUUAAACUUUCCUAUGUUUUUUUUGGCAUGGUAUUGGUUGGUUAUGAAUUUUUCCUUCAGAAUUACUAUAAUAUAUUCAUGCAAAUCAAAGGAUAGUAUAGAUAUGCAAUCGAUAGGAAGCACACUAUUUCUUCCUACAAUCCAAAGGAGCUUUGAAUUUUAAUUUUAAAUCCCAAAUAUAAUUUUGAGCUGAAUUCAAACUUUUUAAUGGUGUAUUGCUUUUUGGAUGUUACAAAAGAAAACAAAACUAAAGAGAUGAACGUGGGGCCUGUGUGGGUACUUAUGUAAUGUACUUAUGUGCACCUAGAAGUGGGGAUUUUAAGAGAUAAAUUUAAUUGGUAGUUUUUUUAGGUAGAUGUAAUGGAUAAACAAUGGAUCUACCACAAUAAAUAAAAACCAACGGUUAAAUACAUUUUUCUUAGAAUUUAUAUGAUUUAUUACAACGCCACGUGGUGGCUUAUAAGUGUUUGUAGAUAUGCUAUGAGGCGGGAAAGAAGCGUUCGUAGGGAUGAUAUGUGGCAGCUUACUAGCGUACGUAAGAAGUUUAAUGAACUUUCAAUAUAUAAUAGAUAGAUAUAUAGAUAGAUAUAUAGGUAGAUUGUCAAGAAUAGAAAAAAUUGAACUGAGCAUAAAACCUGUAAAUAUGAAAUUUACACUCUGGAAAACAAGUUAAAAUUUUAAUUUGAAUGUUUUAUGAAAAAAAUAUAGCGGCAUAUAUAAGUAUUGAUAGUCCUUUAGUCAAAACUUGUGAAUUUUUUAAGUUAUGAAACCGUUUUUUUCUUUAAUUUGUGACAUGUUCAUGCAUGGCAAUGGGCAAAAUCCGAUGAUUUAUAGUGGAUAGAGGUUUGAAACCAGAUGAAUUAAUUAGACAUGUACUAUCCAAUUAUGUAAUCCAUGUAAAUUGUACCUGCAGAUUCAUCUCGGCCUUAUGGACUUUGUGAUGGAAAUCUCUGGCACAACGGGCAUGUGGGUCAGUGGAAUGAGUAACGUCCUACGAUCACUCAAGAUCACCACCUUGAAAAGGACUUAUGGGCCAUACGGCAACCCUAAAGCUGGGAUCCCUUUUAGCUUCUCAGUUGAUGGCAGUGAUCGGAUCACUGGCUUUUUCGUACGCGCUGGCUUUAUAACCGAUGCAAUUGGAGUCUAUGUUCGUCACUGCUAGAGUUUUAGGCUAGAAAAAAUACCCAUGCUUUACAACGGGUGAAGGUUAUUUUAUUGUUAUAUGAUUUAGUUAAGGUGAAAUUCACUGUGGGAAUUCACUUGGAUAUAUAUUUUUCUAAAAAAUCAUGAGCUGCAAUUAAGAGUCCGAUCAUCUUAAGUUAGUAUGUGAGUUUUUUUUAAGAAAUAUAUUAUACGACUCCUUCCGUAUUUCCAAAAGCGAACGGGCUUAAAACCCGACUCAAAUACGGAUCUAUAUUUUCAAAAUAAAAUGAACUUAAAAACCAACUCUAUAUAUAGAUGACAUACCAAAGCAAAAAUAUCUUCAAAUUUUAUAUUACUAUAGAUAAUGAAAUGAAUCUCGAUCUUUGCCGCACUGAAAAGCUACAGCCGCUGCUAGCUACAUAGUUAUCCACAUUUUCAAAGAUAAGUUUUUUACUCGAUUAAUUUCUCAGUGCCUCUAGCCGGGUGGGUGCCGGAAGUAGUUUCUACCCAUGUAGUGAUGUAGACAUACCAGCAUGCAAGGACAAUAUUGGUUCUCCAACAAUUAUAGUUCAAUAGAUUUAAGUGAAAUGUAAUAAACAGUGCGACAAUAUAUUAAGUGAAGUAUUGGAUUAGACAUAUUAGUCGUCAACCUGUGAGUUGCACAUGUGGAAAUAUUUAAAUCAAAUUGAAUCAUACAUGUGGUUAAAUGCAUUGUUAUUUUUUCCCUAAAAAUGAUUUUAUCAUGAUCGCAGCUCAAAAAACGGGUGUUCCCAACAUUACAAUGAUUAGAAAAAAAGAUAAUAUACAAGCACUAUGAGUAUUUGGAUUAGUGGGAUCCAUACACACAUAAGUAAUACUCACUCUCAUUGUCUAUGACCACAGUUGACACCUUCCCAUAUAAUAACAAUGAUGCCGAGUAGUGAGUAGGAGAGAUACUCAAUAGGAUAGCUUACCAGUCCCUCCCCAAGAUACGCCGGUCAAACUACACAAGGUGGUGUAUACAUACCACAGAUAAGUCGAUCUAUAAGGGCUAUCCCAUAACUAUCUCAAGUGUUCAAAACGCAUACUUGUGCUCGACUAAUUCCGAUCCCAGCAAAAGAACUAGCCUCCCACUUUUAGCUUAAUUAACCAAGUUAUCGAAAUAUGGUGCAAGAAGGAUAAUUUAAGAAAAACUAGAGACAUAUAGCCAACUUAUAUGCAUAUGGUAGACUGGCGUAAUAGUAAAAGUUCAGUGGACUAGGGGUAGGCCCCUAGGUCAACUAGACUUAUACUAAACAUGCAGACUGACUAGGGGUAGGCCCCUAGUUCAAACCAUCCUGAAGAAGUUAACAACUAGUGAUAUUUGCAAUCAUAUGACAAUAUUGCAUUGCACAAAAGGAGAUACAAUCAUUUUGUCUUCAUCGCUCAUGUUAGUUUGAUCGUUGUGUCUGGUAGGAGAACUAAUGCAUACUAUGGUAUCUUGUGUAAGAUGCGCAUUUAUGGAAGUACACUUGCACCAUCAAAAAACUUACUUACUUGAAAUGAUUUUCCUUGUCUGAUCACAUGUGACUGAUCUAGUUAUGAUGCCUACUUGGUCAUAUAUGACCACGAUCACUCUGAUACUCCUGAUGAUGCUCUAACCAUUAUAUUUGGCAUCUCAAUGGAACUCUUCGUUUGCUUAUUUUUGAAAAGUCGUGAGGCCUCAAUAGGCAAAAUACAAGAAGAAUCAGAUCAAAAUUAAGGAAAUUGCAAAAAAAAAAAGGUAGUGCGAUCAACUGAUGUAGAGUCCUUUCCGUCUUGAAUGUCAUACAAAUGAUCUGAAUAUUCGGAACCAUCUUCACAGCUGACACAUAGAGUUCAGUUGGGCCACCUGACCAGUGGCUCAAUUGAUACCAUUACCAUUUGUUAAAAGCGAAAUUUAACAAGAUUCACAUGGAUUUGGAGUUGGAUAUCGAUGCGGAAUCAAAGGAGAUUGAAUCUUACCAAAUUCGAAAUGCGCAUCGGCUGGAAACAUAGUUGGAAACGGAUUGAGCCGAUAUGGCAGGUAGCCAAUACAGCUUGACUUGGGCUCGGUUUGGGUUUAGAUUGGAAUAACUGAUAUUGCCGUAUAGAGAUUGAGCUCGCCUAAGGCAAUUGUAUCUAUUAAUUAGGAUAUUUAUGUCGGUUUAAAUUAGAGAUAUGAUAAGAGUUUGCCAUGUGGACUUGUUCGUAUUUUAUCUUUAGGAAAGCUUGAGUCGUGUCCGUAAUGGACAAGUUUUGUACUCAGGGUAUCAAUAUAAGCCCCAUACAAUUGUAAUAGACGGAUCGAAUCAAUACAACUUUCAGCGCAUCGCCACCUUUCUCUUUUUUACUUUUCGACGAGUUCUUGUUUCAAGUCGGAGCAUCGGUUGCGAUCUCGCGAUCUCUCAACAAGAGGUAACUUGUCUUGAUGGCUUGCGCUAUCGAGGCUAUUAUGUCGCUUUAGAUGUAUUAGUCCUAUUAUCAUAGUCAUUAUUAUCAUAUAUCUUAAAUAAUCCUGACUUAGUAUCUCGAUUUAGUCAUAUCGACUGUUUCUCACUUUAGGGUUUACGCUGGCAUCGACUAAAUCAUCUUACUAAAUUAUAUUAACUAAGUUAUCUACCAUCCUGAAAAGCGGUUAAUGACUUGAUUGUCUAGACUUUAUGCUUCUUUGCAUACUUUGUGAUGCAUCAUACCUAACCGUGCUUAGAAUCAUAGAAACUAACUAGGAAUUAAUCAUAACUAAGGAUAGUAUCGGGGUUUCAUCCGAUCUUACCUAAUAUACUUGAUAGCGCAUAUUUCCUGAUCUGUUUAUGUAUAUUUUCCAUUUAUAUAGAUAGAGAUUGAUCUCACUUAAACUUCAUAUUUCGUGAUCAAUUGCUAUUUGGUAUAUUUAUAUAUAUUGAUUUGUUUACAUAAAUUUGUAUUGAAGUAUUAGCCAGCACAUUAUCUAUCUUUGCUUUAAAUACUGAUCUAUUGGUUACUUCCAUAAUAUUGUCUUAAAAUAAUUGAUAUAAACCAAGGAAACAGUAUUACAGUUGAUAGGGCAUAUUUAGGGUUUUAAUCUGAUUAACUAUUAUAAAGUCGCAACCAAUUAGGUAUACCCAUAUCGGCUAGGUCCUGACGAUACGUCAUCGGGCCUAUUAGCAGAUCCGCUACUAUUCAUCUAAUUAUAUUUUCUGUUUCUCUUGCUGGUUUCAGGAUCAAACCAGCUGGCACGCUCUUGACACUCGAGGCAAGCGUUGGACCUGCACUGGAGUGAAGGAAAACUCCUAGGGUGCCGUGUUUUCCAUCAACACCAUUAUACCAUCGGCACGAGUCAUUGAUCAACUUGUUAACUACGGGCAACUACAUCAAGCUUUUACUGUUGCAUAUGGAAUGUAGGAGAUACAUUAGGGAUGCUGGCAUCAGGAAACCUUUUUUUUGGAAGGCAGAGAAAACAUAAACAUUUUGCUAGUUGCUGUCACGUAGAUUACCAAAAUGCUCUUGGUGUGGUGCAACACAUCCAUUAUGAAUUUUGGGAUGUCAUGGGCAUAAUAGACAUUCCGAACAAGAUUUCACUUGAUGACUUCGUGCAUGAAUUUUUGAAAGUGUCGUAUGAGCAAGACUGUUUUGGUAUAGGCAGGUAAAAAAUUGUUGAUAGUCCAACUAAUUUAACACCGGACAAAGUAUGACACUCCGGUGCAUUAUAGGAAGAUCCAGUCCUAAGAAGAUGAAGGCAAGGAGUCUGGAAGUGGAAGAUAGUGUUCGACGGAUAGUCCAUUUAAUUUGUUGACAACCAUUUCACAGGUUGGCACAUGUUGAUUCCAACUACAUCGUAUUCUUUGUUCUAUUUGGAUGCAACCUAAACUGGGGUACAUACCUCUGGUGUAGAUGCCUACGUAGUUUAUUGCUCAAACAGAAAUUUAGUAACUCUCUGAAAAAUCCAAAUUAAUAUCGUUGCAAAGAUUCAAAAGGUAUUGACUGAUGCUGAGUAAAUACAUCACAUGGGUUUGGGCAAAACCAGGGUGAACCGGCAAUAUUACUCAGUAUAGAGUUCACACACAACCGGUUGUAAUGGGUCGGUAAUGAUGUUUUUUGUAGAAGUGAAUUUAUUUUAUUGGUUAUUAUGCAGUUUUAACCUCAAUAAUUGGAUCGCCUAAUUGUGCAUGAUAUGUGAGGUUAAUUAUAUGUAAUUUUUCGUUGUAUAUAGCUAGCUAGGGGUUGAUCAAAUUUCCUCUGGUUUGUUUAUCUUUGUAUAUUUUCUACGUCAUAGAGUAAUUGUUUCCUAUAGAUUGUGCUAUGUUUAGCAAUAAUGCAUUAAACGUGCUUGGCUUCGGCCGUUUCACUAAUUUAUGGUAACUUUGAGUAGCAAAGUGAUUUUGUUACAGAUAACACAAAAUAUCAUCGUUCCAAACAAAAUUAAUGGGCCUAUGCCGAUGGAAGAUGGAACAAGCGUACUGAAAUGUCAAAACUUCCCUCUAAAGAAAAUGUAAAAACCUGAUAGUGAAAUUUUGGGUACUAAAGCAGGUAGUUUUCCAAAUGAAAAAAAAAAAGAAACAACAAGAGAUGAAAACAGUCUAAUACCGUAUUUCAUUUUCGACAUUGAUAAGUCGAUUGUACCCACUGUAACCCCCCGCCCCCUCUGUUUGAUAUUAUAAGAAAGAAAAGUAAGAAGCAAAACAAGAUUUGAUAACCUAUUGUACCCCUCUGUUUGAUAUUAUAAAAUGUUUUAAUAUUUUUCUUCAUAAGUUUUACUCCCUCUGUUUCAGGUUAUAAGUCAUUUUGACUUUGAUCAAAGUCAAACUGCUUCAAGUUUAUCCAAGUUUGUAGAAAAAAUAAUAAUAUUUUCAAGCCAAGACAAAUUUAUUAUGAAAAUAUAUUCAAUUAUUAAUUUGAUGAAACUAAUUUAGUAUUGUAAAUAUUAUUAUAUUUAUCUAUAAACUUACUUAAACUUGAAACAGUUUGACUUUUACCAAAGUCAAAACGGAGGGAGGACCAAAUUUAUAAAAGAAAACAUAGUAGCAUUUUCAACACCAAACAACUAUACCGUUAAUAUAUAUUAUAUGUUAGUUUAAUAAACUAAUUUGAUGCUGUAAACUUGAUUAAACCUACAAAAAUUUGGCUUAGAAAAAAAUCAAAAAGUCCUGUGAUAUGAAUAUGAAACGGAGGGAGUAUUUGAUAUUGAUCGGCAUACAAAUCCUGCAUCUACCCAAAACAAAUCAAAUGAUGCCAGCCAAAUAGAAUGGUAGUAAAAAGUAAGAAAGGUACAACAGUCCACACAUAGUGACAAAUCACACACAAACGGGUAGCAGCACACCACACAUUAUUACACCAAGCAGCAAUACAGGAUGAAGAGUUCAGUAGUUCAGCCACUAGAUUAUUCUGUUAAUGCUGAAGCUGAUGAUUGAUCUCGUGCUCUUGUUUAUUCUACCCAAGCUAUGAAGCUAGGCCACCAAAUUGAGCAACUCAAAUUGGAUCAUCAUCUGUCCAUAAAGAUGAUGCAUCGUUUCUCCAUGGAAGUCCAGCAAAGGCAACAAAAACCAAACAGAAAUCACGGACAAUGCGGAUGCAGAUCGCAUCCAUGACGGGCAAAAUCAUGCAGAUGCAAAAUAAGCAGCAGAUCUGUCUGUAGACAAGGCAUCUCUUCCUUGCAAGCGAGACGUCACAGUGUCAUGCAAUGAUGCAAAGAGUACAAGGACAUACAUAACUUAUCAUUGACUUGAAGAAAGCAGAGUAAGCAUCUCUUCUCCCAUGACAUGCCAAGCCGUAAUCAUUUGAGAUAGUAGGGAUUACUGGCUACCUGUAGAUAGGAACCCGACGGCGUGCCAGUGAAAGGCGUUAUAGUCAGAUACAAAUUUAAUUUGUAGCGAAUGAAAAACACUGAAUUUCUGAUAUUUGUUUCCUAAACAAUAAUAUUAAUUAAACUAUGUAGAGAAGCUAAUGGUGCAACCAAUGAAAUCAACUCAUGCAGAUGAAGUAAUAAGCAAGAUAGGAAGGACAGAGGGUAAAUAAGUGAGUCAAUCACCUGAGUAGGGAGGUUCUCCGCAGGGCUUUCUUGUAGUAGUGCGAGUGGAUGGGCUUGUAGAGGGAAGGAUGGUGGUUGGCUUCCAUGCCUUCCCACUCAAGGCCAUCCCACCAUUCCUUCUCGCAGUCCACUAUAGGUGGUGUGCUAUCGUGGCGACCAACAGAUGGCAGCCGUUUGAGGCUCCAACAGCCCCUGAUCUUCACGGUCUCGAGCUGGGGCGUGGACAUCUUGCGGCCGCAGAUGCGCUGCAGCUUGGGUAGCUCGUGCAGGUGGAUGCGCUUUAGCCUUCGGAAUACUAUAGUUGAAUCGGAAUCCAGUGGGAAGACAUCCUUGAGUGCACCGCAGCACACGAUUUCAAGUGUUUUCAAGCUACGGCAUCCAUUUGAAUUUGAUGAGCAUAAGGGGAGUACAUGUACCAACCUGGGGCACCGAUCUAGAUGUAAGAACUUCAGGUUCUCGAAUGAAUUGUAGCUAGGCUGAAACAAUGACGUGUCCCAGUCCCAGAUGUAGAAAACCUUUAAGAGUUGAGAUGCCCAGAAUGUUUCGAGACUCCGGAAAAUAUUGUCUCGAGUGCAAGGCGCAGUAAAAAUAGUGCCUUCUAAGUUAGGACACCUCUCAAUUCGGCACCACCAUAGGAUCCUCCAACUCAAAUCUAUUGCAGCAGAUGCAUGGCCUUGGAUACUGGUGAUAGACAAGCAAUCGUGCAAGUGCAGGCUCAAUGCACUGUCAUGCACGAAAUCUGGCAAAGUAAUGCCACUAGCUUCUUUUAUAAUAGUAGUAGUACCCUGAUGUAAAUUAGUUUGCAUCUCAUCCUGUACGCUGAUGUAGCAGUGGGCACUAUAUGGUUUCAAACAAUUAGAAGGACAAGGCCACAUAUAAAUGAAAGAUGGGGCAUCUCCACCAUCACUAGCAUCUCUAUCACCAUCAUCAACUUUCAAGAUGUCUUCGAAGUGGGUGUUAAUGUCAUCCAUGUAUAAGUUAUCGAUUGGCUUCUGCAGGUUUACAGUUGGCACUGGUUGUUUGCAGCCACAAAUGCCAGUAUGCAUUUCUCGGCUAGCUUCUUUAAAACCAUAAGUUGCAGAAAUAUUAGCAGUAGAUGAAAUCUCAACAGAUACACGGUUGCCAAGUCUGUCGUGCAAAAGUGACCGAAUGAAUCUUGCAUUCCUCAAUGAAAUGUAGAAAUCAAAGUUAACAACUGCUUGGUCGCCAUGAAGCACUUUUCUUGAUGAUGAACCUACACUUGUAUCGCCACUGGCUGCCUCUUUCUUGCUUGAUUUGUCUUCUCCCACCCAUCUUGCAUCAGUGGUGUCAAUGUGUAGCACAUACAAUUCUAGCUUCUUCCAUUCCCUAGGCCAUAGUAUUGCUCGUAGCUUCUCACAACCCAACAGAAUUAGCUUGUUGAGACGUGGAGCUUGCAUUGCAGUAAGGUCAAGCAUUUUGAUUGCUGUAUGUGACAUGUCCAUCUCCACGAGGUUCUCUAACAAUCCUCUCAGCAAUAGGCUCUUCAGUUGCGUGCAUCCCUGGAACGAGAUGAUCUUUAUCUUGGCGGCGACAUUGCUGACGAAUAUAAAUGACUCUAGCAACAGAGGCAGGAAAUUGUGGGCAAGUUUCUCCAGCUCAACACAGCCAUCAAGGGCAAUUGUCUUGAUACUAGAGGUUGACAGGUCAGGGAAUUCUACAAAUGAUGAUGCUUGGUUUGUAAUCUCGCAACAUGUAACUCGGAGCUUGCCAAGGUUGCGCGGCCUGCAGCUGUUGCUUCUAGCAACAUGGCCAGGACCUAGAUGGCUUAUCCAGGUCGCAUUCUUAAUCCCCUUCACAUUCAACUCAUGAAGGUGAACCAUUUGAUCCAUCAUCUCUUCUGAUAGCAACCAAUACCACUCUGUAUAACUUAUGUCCAACACCCAAAGCUCCUCAAAACAUGUUCUAUUGUGAUGGCCCAUUUUGCUCUGUUGAUGCUCAUCCUCUUCAUCAAGAUGAGCUGCCAUUUGAUCGUCUAUGUCCUUGUCCUUGCAAUGGUCAAGUAGGAGGAACCUAAGGUUGCUGCAGCCAAGGAAGGGGGGUGAUGAAAAACUGAAGGUACACUGGGAGAGAUGUAGUACACGCAAUCUGCUCCUGUUUGAAUGUCCAAACAUGUCACCUCGUAAUAUCAUGGAGCUACUUUUGUCAAUCAGUGAUCCGGCUUCCGUCACAAAGAAGGAUGUUGCUUGAGGUGGCACUUUUACUGUAGCUACAUACUGGUGGGUAGUUGAAAUCCAGCGGUUUGUGUGCCUCCACUCUUUACUACUCAACCCAAAGGCAUCACGAAUAUUGACUGCCCAGACCUGAUGCCAAUCCUCCAAGUGCAUAGCACUAUGCAGAGCUUCAGCAAUCUCCCAUGCCGAUCUAUCACCAUUGGUGGCAUCUUUUAUGAUUCCAUCACAUACCCAAUAAUUGGCUGCGUUGGUGCCCCAGUUGAUGCCAUAGUCAUCACCUCUCAAUGCCUUGUACAAGAUGCACUCCAUGACAAGUUUGGUGCUCAUAUCAGGUUCAAGGACACCGCUGUAGAAGGCUACCUCCUCAGCCUCUACUUGCAGCAGGUGCCUGACACUAUUAAGUAUGGAAUCACUUGACAAAUCAGCAUAUAUAGAAACAUUACUCUCAGCUAACUUCCUUUCAUGCACCUCUCUUAUGUCAUUGCUAUGAAGUGAAAACCUGCCUCGGGAGGUCCACAACACCCUCUUGCCCAAAAGCCCUGCUACAAGGAUACCACAAUCUUUAAGAUCAAUGUAGCGGCCACUCCCAUUAUGGAAGAUCACCAGGAAUCCGCGGUCACGAAGGUUGUACAAGAUUUCCUCCUUGACAUGUUGUAUUGGGCCUCUAGCAACCUGGUGUACCCCAUCAAAAUCGUCCUUCUCAUCCCACUGGUCAAAGAGGGCUAUCACAUGUUGAGGAAGAUUCAGAUCAAUCGCAAUGGCCUUCUGCACAGCCCUGGUGUUUUGCCACAGUGAGCAAUCAACGUGGAUGAUUUUGUCCAUGCCUGCUUUCAUCACAGUAGCAGCCUCUCCUAACAGUGAUGCUGAUGAUUUGAGCCGUGUGGCGAUGGCUUUGAGAACAGCGGAUGCCCCCAAUCCACCCCAGCCAUCAAAGUGUAUCACAUCUCCUUUGUUUGAACCCAUCAGAAAAUGGAUUAUCUCCUCUGCAGCACCACUGAUGUUGUCUGCCUUGAUAUUGAUUACCUGUUAUAAUUAGUGCUAAUAAAUCAGAUAGUGGUGGCAUAUUUGUACAUCAAUUGCAGCGAUGGAUUACAUACAAGCCUUUAUUUCACAAGAGUACAAAAAUAAUUAUCUUGAGAGUUGGGAUGGAUGGAUCAGGGUAAUAUGUUUACAUUGCCUUUAAUUUUGACACAAUGAUAAAAUCUGCAAUUUAAUUCAUCCAACAAAUAUAUAAAAAUAAAACUUUAUAUUCUCCACGUGAAUAUUAAGAACAAAUAGAGUUUUUUAACGAAAAAGAACAAUAGAAUUAUUUGAAGUAAAAAAAUAAUAAGCAUGUCCAUAAUGAUAUAGAAAAGUACAGAACAGAAAUCCAAUUAUUGCAUGUUCAAAUUAAUGUGUGCGACGUUUGAAUUUGCCAAGAGAAUGCUGCUGACGAGAGACUUUCUAUGUUGUUUGGACGAAUGACAACCGUUAAUUACUUACAAUCUAACAACGAUUUAUAAGAGAAGGUACCUAAAGUAAGGUACUCAAAUGUGGGUCAAGUAUUAACUUCAAUAUUAAGUGGAAUGUCAGACUAAUAGUUUAAUCUGUACGUAGUGUGUUAGUAUCAUAUUUGAUGAUGAAGGCCAAAUUAGUAAAUAAUUAGCCAUUCUUCUUGCUGAGUGUGCCUCAUAUUAUCAAGCCGGGUGGAUGGAAUAGCACUGCCUUUGUGGCCAUGGUCCCUGCCUAUGGACUGCCGACGCUCUUAGUUCCCUAGGAGACAACAAUGUAGAUGUAUAAAUAUGGCGCGAGAGAGGCGACAUGAAAGAUUUGCACCCUCGAUGGCUCGAUGGGCAGAGGUAACAAUGAUUCUUUUGACGGCUGAUCUUGACGCUUAGUAGAAUACAGUUCUCUUUUAGUCUCUUCAUCCCAAAAUAUAAGGUCCAACCACUAUUUUAAGAUAUUUCAUAAUAUAAGGCGUGCAUAUAUGUAUAUAAUUAACUAGCACCUCUCUCCUGUAACACUCUGAAAAUUCGACUAACAAAAUCAAAACCCUAAAAAUACGGACCUUCGAAAACUUUGUAAAUAAAUUGCAUCAUGCCAGUUUUAUUCGCCUAUUUUAUUUGCAUUUGAUUUCGGAGUUCAUUGAUCGUGAGUAAAGAAUAAUUAAUUAGGAAUAAACCCUAAAAAUAAAUUGGCAAAAUAAAUAAUUGAAAUAUAAUUUAAGAUAAAUAUUAGGUGAGGAUAGAAAUAAAUAAAAUAUUAUCGCGACCAUAUUGGUAACAAUUAAAUUUAAGUGUGAUGGAAUAAGAAUUAGCCCUAAUUAAAAUUCAAAUAAAUUAUAUAAAAAUAAAAUAUAGGUAAUAUUAAUAUAGGGUGAAUCCUUUGUUUAAAAUAACACAAAUAUUGAGUAAAAUCCAUUUGUGCAAAAAUUAGGAUUUACAGAAUGAAAUUUAUAUAGGAAAUAGGCUAAAUUAAGGUUAAAUAGGAGCUAGCCCUGUUCAUUGCACAGUAGAUGCUCGAUGAGAUUCCCUAGCCCUGCCCCCUCCUCUGCCGUGCGCGCCUAGCCGCCCCUAGCCCCGCGCCACCCUCACCGUCGUGUCCCGUUGCCGCUGCCGCACCGUGCGCCGUCGCCAUCAUUGCCGCGCCGCCUUAGCCGGCCUCGUGCCCUGAGCCGCCGUCACCGACCAUCGCCGUGCACCCGUCGCCGUCCUGUCUCGCGCCACGUGCCCGCCACCUCGCGCCCCACGCUGUCGCAUCGCCGCCCAUCGCCCUCGUGCCUGCACCCCGCCACGCGGCCAUCUCGUUGCCGUCGCCCUGCGCCGCUGCCGCGCCGCCCGUCCCAUCACACCGAGCCUCGUGCCGUCGUGCGUGUCGCAUCGCCCCGCCUGUCACGCCGCGCGCCACUCGCCCAUCGCCGUCGCCUCGAGCCCCACGCGCCGCGCCGUCACGUCGCCAUUAAGCCGGCCGCCCCUCCCUGCGCCCUAUAACCUCCCCCCCGGUCGCCCUUCAUAUCACACCACCCCACCCCCUUUUCCCCUCUUUUCUCCCCUCUUCCUCUCCACCGCGCUGCCGUCCUCGGUGCCGCCCGCCGUGUGCUGCGCCAUGCGUCACCCCGCCUUGCGCCGCCGUCGCCGCCGCUGUCGUCGGUAAGCCACCGCCCCCUCCCCUUGUUCGGUCGCCGUCGCCGCCCGGGUAGGCAGAGGGCCGAGAGGGAAGAAGAAACCGGGAGGGAGAGAAAAAGAAAGAAAACAAGAGAGAGAAAAAGAAAAAGGAAAAGUAGAUAGAAAUUAGGGAGAGAUUAAGGAGGUUUAGAAAAUUAAAAUAAUUGGGGUUAGUUGUAGAUUUCUUUUAGUUGUAGAAUUGCAAAAUUUUAUAUAAUUAUAGAUUAUUUUGGUAAUCUCUGUAAGUAAUUAAUUCAUGGUAGAUAAUCGGAUUUAAUUACUAAGAAUUGUAUUGUUUGAUGAAUUUUAAAGAAGAUACUUCUAAAUCGCAAAAUGACUUAGGUUGAAUGAGCUUAAAAUUGGAAUAACGUAGUUUCGCUAACUUUGUAGUCGAUAUAGAAAGAUCGAUUCGCGUUCGACUUUUAUUUGAGUUUAUUUGGAUUUUAUUUGAAGUCUAAUUGAAUUCAAAUCAUUUCUUCGCACGUAAUUUUAGAGCCCGAGGUAGUUGCGGAUCCGAGCGAGGAACAAGACCUGCAGGACUACGAGCAUGGCAAGUAAUCACUAUUCUUUGAACAUGUUGAUCCCAAUUGCGAAAUUAUUUUGUUUACAAAUAAAAUUGCAUGCAAUGAUGAACAUCCUACUUAUGAUUAUGCCAUGCCUUGAUUAUUGUUUACCCUUAAAUCCCUGUAACCAUGAGUACGUAUGAGUCCCUAGUCAAUUAUGACAAAUGCUUAGAAAUGUUAUUCUAGAUUCAUGCAUACUCAUAUUUAUCAAAUGUUUUAUGCUUGGGAAAUUACCUUUAGGAAGGUAAUUGAGAUGCGGCAUGUGGAGACAUGAACGCCACAUUGCCAUGAUAUUGAUGACAUGAUUUGUGAAAGGAAAAAAAUAAAACUAAACAAAUGUUUUCGACUGGGGCGGCUAGAGGAUUUUGGUAGUGUCCAGAAAAGGCUAGUGCCGUCCCUGGUCAGUUAAGGACCGAACCAUGAAGUUAAGCAUGAAACGACCCCCGUACAACCGCACUUCUCGUAUGGUUAUAGACCUAGCGGAGUAGAUAGCUGAGCGGAGGCAGUAUCCAUGCAUAGUGGUUUCUUGAUGUGUGAGGCAAGGGCUCUACGGUGGGGCAGCCAUUGGUAGGACCACGAGGCAGGUGUCUACAGUGGUGUCGCCAUCGGUAGGACUGCCAUGUGAGAAUCUAAACAUAAUUAUAACUUAAUGCAUGUGUGAGUCUUCCCUUCCCGGGUGCGCCAGAACUCCUAUCACUGCUAGAAAUCGUAUUACGCCUGGAGUGCAUGAGGAUGUAAAGUUUAUGGAGCGGGUACUGCCAAUGCGAGGUUGUCGAAAGGCUUUGCCGUGACGCGUUUCAUGUGUUGGGGCGAGGCUCAUAUGUUGGGCAGUCGCGAAGUGCGGGUAAAGUGUACAUCCACUGCAGUGUGAGUAAACCAAAUCUAUUCGAAUAGCCGUGCUCGCGGUUAUUGAACACCGGGACGUGUAUUACACUUGGCUAGACUCUAAAUUCUUAACUUGUAUGGGAUGGGAUAUUGCAUGAUGAUUUUUAUGUUGAUGGAGCCACUUCCUGAGAGGAGGGAAGGUGGACGUCCUCAGAAAACCAUGACGACUCAAUGGCGGGAAGCUAUCCUUAGGAUCACAAUGGAUGGUGGACAGAACCGUCGUUGUUUAAUGUGAACACUGGUACUAAAAUUUGAUCAGACUAUGCUAGGUCUUAGGCUUGUGAAAAGAAUUGCAAAACUUGCUUUGCGCAAAAGAACCAUAGCCAUUCCUUGAAUAGCCUCUAUCAUGUGCAUUGCUGCUGUGGUGGCUUGCUGAUUACGGUUGGUACUCACUCUUGCAAUAUACAAACUUAAUCAGAAGUCAGAGAUAAAGCUUCGGAGGAUCUCUACGCUUACUACCAGGAGGGUGAUGAAGAUGAUGGCGCUCAGUAGGUCUUAGUUAUGGUCGUUGCCUGUGGCAAUGGCAUGCCGCUGCCUCAAUUCCGCUGCCUUAUCUAUUUCUGCUUUUGGAAUGUAUUCCGGACCAUUCGGUCCUAUGAUCUAAGACUAUGCCUGCGGGCUUAUGAUGUAAUAAUUCGCACUAGACUCUCAUGUAUGUGCACUUGGUAUUUCAGCUAUGAACUCGUGUGUACCAGACUACUUGAUCCAGGGAAAUGGUACAGUUUACACGAUUGAUUCCUAUUAUAAAAACGGGGGUCCACAUCUCCUCUCUAAAUUUUUUAUUUUAAGUCCUCCACUCUUAAUAUCUCUAAUCCCGUUGGGUGCAUGCAUGUAUUUAUUGAGAUUAUUCAACUAAGGAGGUGAUAAUAAUUGUUUUUUUCUUUGCGUCUAUGAUGGUUAUGCCUUAUAUUUUGGGAUAGAGAGAGUAUGAAAUUUAGUCGUGUGCAAUGAUGAUGGCUCCCCAUAUACUGAGUAUGAACACAAUAGUAAUUGUCUAAGGGUGCCAUCGUUUGGCAUAUUGGUGGAAUAAGCCAAACGACAUAUUAGCAAAUGAAAAAUAAUUUGUGAAUAAAACUUUUAUAUAUGUGUUCUUAGUGAUCUAAAAGCAAAAGCUGAAAAAUAAACUUCGAUGAAAAAACCUCAAAUUCAGCUCCAAAUUUAACGUUGAAAAUUCAAAUUUUGGCUGAUAAGCAUAAGAAUAUGCCAAACGAUGGGGACCUAAUAAUACAUGGAGCACCUUCUACAAGUAGGGAUAGAGAGAAAAAAAUCUAUCUUUUUUGCGUGCACGCUUCCCAAACUGCUAGGCAGUGUGUGUUUUGCAAAAAAAAUUCUAUAAAAAAGUUGCUUUAUAAAUCGUAUAAACCUUUUUUUAGGUUCAAAAUAAUUAAUAGUCAAUAACCAUACGCUAAUGCUCACCUCGUAUAUAUUACAUAUCUUCUCAAUCUUCGCUUUCCCCUCCUCUCAAACACUCUCAAACUCUCUACAGAAAAGUGAAAAACUAACUAACUCAAUAGACAAGCAAAGAAAUAGCAAUUAUGAUUGGGGCUCAAUAAGCAAAGAUGUACUCAUAUAAACACAUGUGAUCACGCAGGUAACUUUAGCUUUUGAUAUUGUUAUUUUUCAGCCAUCUGAUUAUUUUUCUGAACAUGCAGUCAACUAAGGUUGCACACUGCAAGAUUUGCAACUCAUGUAACGAAGUGUAACAUUUUGUUUUCUUUGUUUUUCAUUUACAGGGUUAAUGGGAUGCAUUUUUAUGCUUGUCUAGAUUAAAGUUUGUUCUUUCAUUUUGAAAAUAAGUUAGAUCAUUAUUGUGUUGCAUUUCAACAAAAAGUGCUAAUUAUUCGAUCGAUGUACCCCACGCUUCAAUAAAAAAAUAGAAAAUAAAUAAGGUUUGUAGAGCUCAUCCAACUAAGCAAAAUAAACGGACACAAUUACAAAUUGAGAGCCCGAUUUUUUUCAAAAUAUCUGGCGUUGUUUCACCUACUGUAUAAAAAUGUCUCACAUGUAUGUAAAAAUUUUUCAAACUAUUAAAAUGGAGAUGCAUUGUUGCAUCACAGUUAAAACAUAUCGCUCUUAAUCAUGAAACAUCGAGCUUCAACUGUUGAAACAGCCACGGAGCCGCAAGAAUCAAAGACAAAAAAAAUGAAACACCAUUGAAAUCCCAAGUGCAACACUUUGAUGCAACAUGUGGAACAACCAUAUAUUGACUGAAACAUCGAAAAAUCAUAAAAUAUGCCGAUUAGAUCUGGCUUCUUACUCCUCUCUGGUGGUACAAUCUACGAUCAAUGUGGAUGAGUGACAAAGGUGGGGAGGGGGGGGAGAUGGCGGCAACAACAGCACAAAGAGCAACGACAACUGACGAUUGCCGACCCUGGUGGAAGGACUGCUCCUCAGCGGCAAAGAGAUGUGGCCUUUGGCACUGCUACUGCUUGAUACCUGUGGAUCACAUGAUCCCACCAACAUUGGUACCAUGUACCUGCGAUGAUAUGAAGCCUCAUCGCUGAAAAAGAUAUUUUUAUUUACUGUCUACAUACUAGAUUAUAUCUAUUGUUAUUUCCUAUUUAAUUUUCUAACUUAACUUUCAAUUCAACAAGUUUGUGGUAAUAACCGGGACUAAAGGUAUCUUUAGCCCACCUGUCAGUCCGUCCCCGAUUUUUGAAUUUAUUUUUAAGAAAUACAUUACAAACUUUAAAAAAUAUAUAAACUGAAAGUAAUACAUUACAUUGCACAAUAUAAAUAAUACAUCAAUUCCAUUUAAAAAUCUAUUUACAAUGUUUACAAUCUUAUAGAAUCUAUUUACAAUGUAUAUAAUUCCAUUUAAAAUUCAUUAAAAUGGUUAGAAAAUAAGGAGAACACACUAAAAAAUAUGUUUAGAAUUUUAAAAAAUUCUAAAAAAAGUAAAAUAUAGAUAAUAUAUAAAAUUAUAGUUACAACUUGUGUGAUGUUUUAAUUGUUCAAUGCAGAUAUUGUAUUUACUUAACUUUAUGAUUUUCUUGCCAGGAUUGGAUGCAGGCGACUCUCAAGUUUAAUUACAUUAUUCGAAGGUCGCCAAGCAACACGCUAUGGCGAGUCGACGUACAAUUCGAUAUGACAUGUUAAUUCAUGUUAUAUAAUAAAUUAACUUUAUUUUUGUUUACAAAUUACUUAUGAUUACUAUAUUGUACAUUUAUUUUUACUUAUGAAUACUUAUAUAAAAUAGUCGUUGCUUACGAUUACACAUAUAUUUCUUUAGUAAGUGAAUUUAUAAGUGCUUCGUACUUGUCGAUAUUGUGGAUAUAUAUAUAACAAUAUACAUGUAGGUUGUAUAUUUCUUAAAUAGGUGAAAUUUAGAAGUUCUUCAUAGUUGUCGACAAUGUGGAUAUAUAUAACAAUAUACAUGUAGGUGAAAUUUAUAAGUUAUCUGUAGUAAUCGAAAUCUAUAUCAUUAUAACAUUUCAUGUAUUAUUUAAUGUUACGAAUAGAUGACAGAUCGCAACGAUUAUCCUUCAUCAUGGAAAUGAUGAAUUUCAUACAUUUAUAACAUUUAUAUCAUUGCUUAGUUUUUUAAUCUUUUUCUACUAUCACUAUAUCCUAUUAUAUUUUUUUUUAUUGAAGAGGUGUAUGUCUAAUAUAGCAAUCCUCUCAUAUAUAUGUAUACAUAGUAUCCUAAUCAGCCUCUAAAUCAAAAAGAUUAGCUAUGUAGUAUCCUUUUCGCCUUCCUCCGCACACAUCAGACAAAUUCAUGCACCAAAAACGAGUAUUUUACAAGUUCUUACACUAGAUUGCACCCACCUAAUAAGUUUGUGUACCGUUGAUGCAAUUUACUCAUGCAUUUUUGUACCAGUUGAUAGCACCAAAGCGUACGAAUCGGUACUAAAUAUGCCCUUAGGGUUAGUUGAAAAAAACAUCUCAAUCUAUAUCAAAUGUAUGUAGUAGGUGGGAUGGCAAUGCGUGUGAGAGUUAAGGUGAGAGAUCUUGAGUUUGAAUCCCACAACCCACAUAUUUUUUUUAAUUAGUGUGCAUCUUUACUACCGGCUGAAAAAUGGUUAAAGAUUGAGAUGUUUGGUCUCGAUUUACUGGUUUAGGUUGCUACAACCGGUACUAAAAGGGAUUUUAACCGGUAUUAAACAUCGUUUCUCAUGUAGUGAUUGGUCAAUGUUUUAAAAGUUAGGAGUAGACUGAAUCAUGUCUUAAAUAUCAAAUAUUUAUGAUUGGAAUUAGUACCAAUCUUAGUGUUUUUUCAACUUUCACAAAGAUUACAAGUAUUCUGGAAAGAGGAUCUAAAAGUCUCCUCAUAUUUUAUGUAUUGAUUACAUGAAGAAAAUGUAGUAUGCUACUCGCAACAUUUGAAUUUUAGGUGAGAAUUAAUACGGGAAAAAGAGAUUGGUAGUAGUAUAUAUGCAUGUGUCACAAAAUAAGGGAGGACUAUUGGUCAGGUAAGGCAUGCAUCAGAGUGGCGAAUAACAAACAGCAGAUCUAGAUAUAUAGGAGAUCCAGCAGGUCAUGCCUAAAAACAAUUACUUGUUAACUCCCAAGUUCUUGUUAUUUUAUAUUCGUAAACUGCCUUAUAAUGAAUCAACAAUAAGUGUUUAAUAGUCUGGGAGGUAAUUGGAAUACGGCAAAAACUCUCUGCUGUUACGUAGUCUGUCAUCACUAAAUUCCUUCGAGACAAUCGAAGUCAGAAGAGUGAUUUACCUCUGUUUCCAUGGUGAAUACAAUGUGUUGUUGCUUUGCAGUAUGUUUAGCUAGCACUUGUUAAACUACAAGCUGGACUAGCAGCUCCAUCUGCAUCAAUGCUUUCUGGAUCUCCAUAUCUCACCAUCUGCUCGCAAAACUAUCUCUUUGAAGCUCCCUACUUCCUUCCAGCCAACCAAUAUUUCCUACACAGAUAUAAACAGAUACACUUGAUGGGUCCAAAGUCCAAACUGUUACUAGCUCCUUAAUUACAUCGAUGAUGAGGUACAUAUAUGAUGGCUAUUCAUGAUUUGGCUUAACUAAUCAUUCUCAAACAAAGUAAAUACAAGCUGUAAUUAAAACUGGAGUGUCAGCAUGUAUUCGUGAACCCUCGUUGAACAUUUAAACAAGCUUGAACUAUAUAUAAUGAUGCGUAAAUGGGUAGAGGUAUAGACUAAUCACCUUGAUCUUGACUUCAGGAAACCAUGCAUGGUUGCAUAUGCAUAAGGAGGAAGAUGAGCGAUAAUGUCUGGAGAGCAGACAACUGACAUGCAUAUACUAGGUGCUUCUCUAAUGCAGAGGCUUCAAUGAAAUGACGUGCGGCGUUCCAUUCCCUGGCAUAUAUUCCUGCCUUGUGCUUCCUUUGAAUUGCUUUUCUGCAAAGCCCCCAAAUCGGUCAUAUGCUGCACGCAGCAUCAAUCAUCAAAUUCUUUGCUUGUAUCUGUGUCAGAUGCCAGGCUAGCUGGGACCUGCCAUGAAAGAUAACUAAAGGUAAAGGUACAAGGCAGGUAGAGACAUGUACGAUCCAAUUGGGGAUGGGAAUGGAUCAAUCGACUGAAGAUUUGUCUGGUUAGGUUAGGCCUACAUGGAAGAAGAUUAGUACGGUAAUGUAAAACUAUUUCGACCCAGUGAUUGAUAGAAUAAUCUUGGGCAUUUGUAUUUUUCUUAAGUUUAGCUGCAUUUCAGUUCGUUAGUUGUUUCCUCAUGCAUGUAAUAAGCUGACUGAAAAUAAGUUUAGCUGCAUUACAGUUCGUUAGUUGUUUCCUCUUAAGUUUAGCCUUUUUUUAGUCGUUGUGGCCGAGCUGGGAACGGAUCGUGGGAUGGCACGAAUUCUCAGAUCUAGCUGUUUAAUCGGUCAAGUUUUGCAUGUAGCAAACUCUUAAGAUGGAGGUGAAUAAAUAGAAGGAGAAAAACCGAAAAGCUGCAGCGGCAUUACGCAACGCAAAACCAGUCGUUCUUGUUGCUCUGUUUUCUUCGUGCUCUGUUCUUCAGUCCAUUGUUCACGUCUGGAAAUAUUCAGAGAUAGUAGGAUAGCCAUAGAUCGAGUGCAGAGUGAGGGAAAUUUGCUGACAAUUGGUAUCAGAGCGAGGUUCCGGUUCCGUUUUUGAUGUUGUCGGAUGCGCGCUACAUUCCGCCGCCGAGGCGUGGUGGAAGUGACGGUAGUAGCAGCGAGCAGGGGAGCGGCAGUGCAAAUGGCGCAACGAUGCCGCUGGUGCCGCUGUCCAGAGAUGGUGGCACAGCUGCGAGGCUGCCAAUGCGACGAGGACGAACUACCCCAGCUGGGAGAUCGACCCCGGCUACGUGAAGUACCGCGAGGAUCGUGUGGCCCUCUCUGCCAUACUCCAGGCCAUUCCGCGGGAGAUGUUGCGCGGGCUGGCGAAGCAUGACACGGCGAAGGCGGCGUGGGACCCCAUCAAGACCAUGCGGGUCGGUGUCGACCGCGUGCAUGAGGCCAAGGAGCAAGGGUUUCGCCGGCAAUUUGAAUCGAUGCGGUUCAAGGAGGGAGAGAAGCCGGAGGAGUUUGCGAUGUGGCUGACAGCCGUUGUUGCGAACAUUUGCGACAUUGGCGGAGUCAUGGAGGACGAACAUGUUGCGUGUUGUCCCUAAGAAGAACAAGCCGGUGGCAAUUUCACUCAAGCAACUCCUCGAUAUCAAGACCAUGGCCUUGGAGGAGCUCGUCGGGCAGUUGUCCACGAUUGAUUCGUACAGUGACGAUGAUUGGCUAGUGCCAGUGGCAAACUAUACCUCGGAGCAGUGGGAGGUGCACGCGAAGCAGGAGCAAGAAGGCGCAGCCGCCAACAAGGCCCAUGGCGGUGCUGGCUCGCAAAAUCGCCUAGGCAAAACUACUGGAUCACCGAAGGGAAAGGAAGCGGCUACCGGUGGGAGCGGCAGUCGUGACAUCCAAGAUGAAAUGUUUCAAUUGUAAUGAAUAUGGUCAUUAUGCCAAGCAAUGUCGCAAGCCACGACGCCAACGCCGAGGGGAAGCAAAUUUGGCUCAGGGGGAGGGGGAGCCAACUCUGCUCAUGGCUCAUGUUAUGGGGUUGUCUCUCACUGGCGAGGCGACAUUUGGCCAAACACCUGGCGUCUACGAGGUGCAUAUGACAAAGAAGAAAGUGGUCUUGGAUCACGACGAUGUAGGUGAGGAGGACACUGCAGAAUGGUUCCUAGACACAGGAGCCACCAAUCACAUGAUUGGGGCGUGCUCCGCGUUCGCCGACCUCGAUGCCGGCGUCGUGGGGACAGUCAAGUUCGGAGAUGGCUCUGUGGUAGAAAUCCAGGGACGUGGCGCCGUGGUGUUCAAGUGUAAGAACGGCGACCACCGCUCGUUGGAGGCGGUGUAUUACAUCCCAAACUGCGCAAGAAUAUUAUCAGUGUCGGGCGCCUUGAUGCACGCGGUUACGAUGCACAUGUCUGGGGUGGCGUUUUCACGCUGCGUAACCCGGCGGACUCCUGCUUGCAAAGGUAAAACUGUCUCCCAGCUAUCUUUAUAUAUUGAGAUUGGACAUGGCAAGGCCCGUUUGUUUGGCGGCGAGUAGGAGCAAGGAGGCAAGGCUAUGGCAUGGGCGUUUCGGGCACUUGAACCACCAGGCGCAAGGUGACAUGGUCCGCGGGCUCCCUCCACUUGGUCACUAUGAUCAGUUGUGUGAUGGGUGCCUCGCAGGCAAGCAACGGUGCUCGUCGUUCCUGGAGGAAGCUAAGUAGAGAGCGCAAAUGGCGCUUGAUCUUGUGCAUGGUGACUUGUGCGGGCCAAUCACGCCGGCAACGCCGGGCGGCAAGAAGUACUUUCUGUUGUUGGCAGAUGAUAUGAGUCGUUUCAUGUGGAUACGUCUUAUUACCGGCAAGAACGAAGCAGCAGCAGCUAUUAAGCAAUUUAAGUACGACGUCGAGGUGGAGACUGGCCGAAAAUUGGAGGUCCUCCGAACUGAUCGGCUCGUCGUUCUGACGGCUCCCCGGCCUCCUCGCCCCACUUGUCCCGUGCACUCGAGCACCUCCUCCUCCUCGGCCUCCUUGAGCCGCCGCGUCAUCUCAGCCUCUACUCCCUGUGCACCUCGUCCUCCAAUAGCUCCUCGGCCUCCUCGCCACGUACCCCCAUAGCAGAGCCGCGAAUCUGGCCACAUGGCCAUGGCCACGGCGACCGCAGCAUGCGCGUGUGGCACGUUCAUCGGAGGAGGAGGUUGGUGGCCAUCGACACGCACGGGGGCUGAAGAAGAAAAGAAAAUAAAAGAGAGAAGGAAAAGAGAAGGGAGAAGAACAGUGUCCAAGGGCAUUUUAAUACUUUCAACGCCCUUUCUCUCUCUGUUUUCACCGGAAAUAAUAAAAUAAUGCCUCUUGUGUCCAGCAGCUAAUUACCAUAUUUUUACAGUGUCUCCAAGAAAAUACACGUUCGUUUGGUGUCUUGCAGUAAAUGCCACAAACUUUGAGUAUCCUGUAAUAAAUUUUGCCCAAUUACAUCAAUCGGCUGGUCGAUUUUCACUACUACACAUGUGCUUUUCCUGGACGCCGGCCCCUUUAGGUUCCAGGCGGGCCGUAAGUGGCUCCGCCUGGAACCAGGCGAUCCCGGCGUCGGGCAGUGGACCACAUGGGAUAAUCAAUUAUCUCGUGUGGCCCGUGUAAGCCGACCGCCUGCGAUGGUGGGGGAGCUAUAUAAGCCCCAGCCCGACUGUUGCUAUGGCAUGCCGGCGAUUUCUCUCUCCUAAACCUCCACAAAUUAGGGGGGAAGGUUUUCGACCUCAAAUUUUUGAUUGGGUUCCAUAUAAAAGGUGUAGAGCUUGCUCUCCUCCUUCAUUUGCUUCCAUUUUUGUCAGUUUUCUUAUUUUUGUCAGUACAAUACGAAGAAACUUGCACAUUUAUAAAUGGAAUAGUGUAGGCACUUUUUUGUUUUUUUCUUAUUUUUUUAGCAAAUACAUAAUGAUUCCAUUACAUGUUUAUAAAAGUAUUUAGUACCUAAAUUGAAAAGUUGGGUUUGUCUCUAUUAAAUUUAUUUUCAUUCAGAUGAAAGUACGAUUUUUUUCAUUUUUUUUAGAAAUGGAUAAUAUUUUAUUAAUGCUUAAAAUUGUUGUGCGGCCGUUUAAAUAGUCCGUAAAACUUUAAUUUGUUAUGUGAUUAGUUCCCUCCAAUUUAAAUACAUUCGUGUUUGAAUCGGGCAUGGAUGUAUUAAUGACAAGCUUUAUUCUAGGUCAUGGAUCGGACAUGGAUGUACAACACGAAAAGAGCUCAUCCAACGUUCUUGAAGGAAGCAACCAAAUUUGUUGAGGUCGCAAAGACACAUGCUGUGAGGGAGAAUUUGAGAAGCAUUUUUUGCCCAUGCAAAGUGUGUAAGAACGAAAUUUUGUUGCAAGAUCCGAAUGAAGUAUUGUCGCACAUCGUAGAGCGAGGAUUUAAGAAGGGCUACGAGAUAUGGACUUUUCAUGGGGAAGUCGGCGGUCGUAACGAAGUGACGGAUGAUUUCUGCUUUGAUGAUGCAGAAAAUUUUAUAAUCGAAGACAUGUCACAGGGAAACAUCCCAGAAUGCGGUGGCUUUGGUAUAGAGAAUGAAGGUAUUGAUUUUGAUCCGGAAGAUAUGUUGCGGCACGUUGAACCAGAGGUCCUAACUGGUAGAACACGAGGGUUGGACAAUUCGGAAGCGUUGGAAAAAGCAGCGUAGGAGCUUUUGUACGACGAAGCGAAAGGAUGCGACAAGGACUAUUCGGUGCUGCGCUCGAUGCUUGAACUUCUCAGAUUGAAGGCCAGACAUGGAUGGUCGGACACUAGCUUCAAUGAUUUGAUGGACCUUUUGAGAGUUAUGCUUCCUAAGCCGAACCUGCUACCGACGAACACAUAUCAAGUGAAGAAAUCGAUAUGUCCAUUGUCUCUAGGUCUUCAGAAGAUCCAUGCAUGUGAAAAUCAUUGCAUACUGUACCGCAAGGAAUUCACGGAUUUAGACUCUUGCCCAACAUGUGGGACGAGUCGGUACAAGACGGGCAAUGGAGCCUCCGAUGGAGAGGUGGUCGACAAAGAUGAUGCACCGGUGGAUGAGAAUAAAAAGAUUCCUAGGAUGGUGAUGUGGUUCCUGCCAGUGAAAGAUCGCCUGAAGCAGCUAUAUUCCAACCGUGACGACGCCGAGUUGAUGAGAUGGCACCAGGAGGGUAGGAAAAAUGACGGUAAGAUCCGACACCCCGCCAAUGCUCGACAGUGGAAAAACUUUAAUGCACUACACCCGGAAUUUGCAAAGGACCCGAGAAAUGUAAGGUUUGCAUUGAGCACGGACGGAAUGAACCCGUUCGGUGACUUAAGCAGCACACACAACACCUGGCUAGUGCUGCUAACCAUGUACAACUUGCCUACAUGGAUUUGCUAGAAGCGAAAGUAUAUUCUUUUGUCUAUCCUUAUACAAGGUCCAAGACAGCCUGGGAUUAAUAUAGAUGUGUUUCUGGAAUCAUUGAUGGAAGACAUGCAAGAAUUGUGGGAGGAAGGAUUACGAAUGUGGGACGAGUACCGUAGGGAACAUUUUACUCUGCAUGCCAUCAUAUUCGUUACGAUCAACGACUUACCGGUAAACUUUUCGCUCUCGGGCCAGUUUAAGGGGAAGUUCGGAUGUCUCAUAUGUAUCGACAAGAUGUCGUACAAGUACCUCACCUUGUCAACCAAGGGUGUGUACAUGCGUUGUCGUCGGUUCUUACCUCAGAGGCAUAGGUGGCAUGCGAAGGCUAGAUUAUUCGACAAUACAGUAGAGAACGAUCUAGUUCCGGAAACACGAACUGGUGGCUCUGUUUUCGAGCUGAGAAAGAACAUUAAGAUUGUGUUUGGCAAGCCAAAGAAGAAGCCCGUCAAGAGGAAGAAAUGGAUGGAUCAGGAAAAUACUGAUGCAGCUGCAGAAGAAAGUAAUCUGCCUUUUAAGAAGCACUCAAUAUUUUUCAGGUAUCUGGAUUACUGGAAAGACCUGAAGGUUCGUCAUGCCAUCGACGUAAUGAACCUUGAGAAGAAUAUGUUUGAUAGCACCAUUGGCACUUUACUGGAUAUCCCGAGUAAGACGAAAGAUGGGUUGAAGUCCCGGACCGACCUCAUCAAUUUGGACCUAAGGCAUGAGCUUCAACCAAAAGAGCUGCCAAAUGUGAAGAUCGAUAUUCCUCCGGCUUGCUACUCACUGAUACCGGAAGAGAAAAAAAAUUAUGUAGAUGCUUGCAUAGUGUGAAAGUCCCGACUGGUUUCUCAGCGAACGUCAGAAAACUUGUAUCUUUGAAAGAUUUGACCAUCUCUGGGUACAAUGCUCAUGAUUGUCACAAGAUGCUAACAAUCUUCCUACCGAUUGCUAUAAGAGCAGUCAAGCCAGUUCACACUCGGUUAGUGAUAACCAAGUGCUACUUUUUCAAUCGAGUAUCACAGAAGGUUUUUGAUCCUGAAGAGUUAGGACCCCUUCAAAAAUUUGCAAUCGAGACAACGUGCAAGCUUGAGAUGUUUUUCCCUCUAGCUUACUUCAACAUGAUGGAGCAUCUGAUUGUCCACAUCGUACCUCAGAUUAUGGAGAUUGGUCCCCUAUACAUACACCAGAUGUGGGCGUACGAGAGGUACAUGUCCGUCCUGAAAGGGUAUGUCCGUAACCGAGUUCAUCCAGAGGGAUCAAUGAAAGAGGGGUACACAACUGAGGAGGUGGUAGAAUGCUGCAUUGAUUACAUGAAGGACGCCGAACCCAUCGAUGUAACCCCCCUUUACACGAGGGCCGGUUAGCUGGGACGGGGAUCGUAGGCAAGAAAAGGUUCUAUGAUGAGGACUUCAAAGAUGUAGCGGAAGCACAUAGCAGCGUUUUGCAACAACUCACCAUCGUUGAGCCGUACAUUCAGGAACACAUGAAUGAGAUAAGAGUCCGCAACCCUAGAAGAACGGCCAUUUGGAUUUGUAAAGAACAGAAACGGAAAUUUCCUGAAUGGUUGAAGGAGAAAGAUCUCCCGUUGGGUGAAUCGGUGGAGGAAAUAACUUUGCGCAGGCUUGCAAAUGGCCUAGCUAGCCUUGUGACCUCAUGGCAAGGGUACGACAUCGGCGGAUAUAGGUUUUACACGAUGUUCAAGGACAAGAAAAGCGCAGCUCAGAAUAGCGGAGUUCGGGUGAAGGCGUUUGACGCAUCAGGUGAGAAGAAGUCUUACUACGGGAUCAUACAAGACAUUUGGGAGCUGGACUAUGGCCUAAACAUACAGAUCUCGGUGCUACGAUGCCAAUGGGUCAGAGACACAACAGGAGUAUCCAUUGAUAACUACGGCCUGACAGUUGUGGAUCAUAGCAAGCUAGGACUCAAGGAUGAUCCGUGGGUUAUUGCUGAGCGUGUUGCUAAGGUUUUCUAUGUGAAUGACCCUUCAGACGAUAAGAUGGUCAUUGCUGUACUGGGAAAGCAAAACUUCAUUGGCAUUGAUAGCAUUAAAGACGCGUCAAAUUACAACCAAUACGACGACAUCCCUUUGUUCAUAGAUUUUCCUAAACGGAUCAAGGAAGUUGAGACAACCCUUGACGAAGAUCUGAUUUCGUCCGUGCGAAAGGAUGGUGUUUCCAAAAUUGUCAAACAUUAGUGAGAUGCCGAUCGUGUGUUCUACUUAUUUUCUAAACGAUUUUUGCAAAUGAGAUGGUGUCCAUGUUUAUCCGUACUACAUGUCGUUCUGAAUUUAUUUGAUUGUCGAGUACUUUAUUUACAUGAAUCUUUUACGAAGAAUAAUUAGAUGCAAAUAAAAUUCAUGUCUGUUAAUUCUUUGUUAAUAUAUAUUUGCAGGUUGAGGGCAUUUAUGUCUUAAUUAACAACAAACUAAAUAUUGUUUGUGGUUCAUUCGUGAUAUAAUUAAUUAUAAUGAUUAAUUAACUAUAAUUUAGAUGGAAUAUAAUAAUUAAUACAAUCCCGUGGACUUAUUCCUCGUAUAUUUAAUUUUGCUAUAUGAAAUAUAAUAAUUAAUACAAUCCCAUGGAAUAUUUUAAAGAAAAUUGUGCAUUUUUUAUCCCCGUGCGGGCCACUUAAGCCACCCGCACGGGAUAAUCUAUUAUCCCAUGCGGGUGCCUAGGUCACCUGCACGUGAUGUGCCACUAUAAGGGGUGGGCGGGUCGGUGAAAUUUUCUAAGUCCCGGCGAAGUUUUCACCGACACCGCUAGGUUGCCAAAAUUUCCCCCACCGCCGACGCCGCCAAAACCUCUCCUCCCGCCUCCGCCGCCUCCUCUCCUCCUCUUCUCCUCCCCCACACCGCCGCCUCCUCUCCUCCUCUCCCCACUGACGCCGCCGACCUCCUCCACCGCCGCCCAAAACCCCACGCCCCCACCGUCUUUCCUCCUCGUCUCCAGUCGCCGCCAGACAGAUCCAGGCCGCCGCCGCCUCUCCUCUUCUCCUCCCCCCACACCGCCGCCUGCUCUCCUCCACCGGCGACGCCGCCGACCAGAUCCAGGCCACCUCUCCUCAUCCCCGGCCGCCGCCGGCCAGAUCCGGGCCACGCGCCUCCUCUCCUCUUCACACUCGCUGCCGCCGCCUCCUCUCGUCCUCGCACUCGCCGCCGGCCACCACCUCCUCUUCUCCUACACCCCAAGAUCUGGGCCGGCGCCCAUCUCCCCGGCAUCCACCUCCCCCUCGUCUACUGAUCAGCUUCCUCCAUCGCCCCCGCGCGCCGCCUCUUACACCCUGUCCGCCACCGUCCACCGCCUCCCUCCCCUCGCUCUCCUCCAUCCCCCUCGCCGCCUCCCUCCCCUCUCUCCCCCUCGCUGUCGCCACCUCACUCACCCCGGAUCUACUCCCUCAAGCCGGCACCGACCACCUCCCCCUCACCGACGACCUCAACGACCCCGCCUUCCUCCUCACCGAGCAUGUUGCCCAAGCCGGCGCCAACGAACUCCCCCAAGCCGGCACCGACAUCUUCCCCAAGCAAGGCGGCGCCGACAUCUCCCUGUGACAUCCCGGCCCAGGGCAUAAUAGGAUUAAUAGAAUACUCAUAUCAAUAAAUUUCAACUUCUUUUUCGAAAGCCGAUCUCGAAAGAACUCUGAGGUUAAACGCGCUUGGCUGCGAGCAUUUUCGGGAUGGGUGACCAACCGGGAAAUUCUUCCCGGGUACACACGAGUGAGGACAAAGUGUGCAGAAAAGAUUUGUGUUGGUCUGUGAGGGCAGUCUAUAACCUAUGAAAGCUGCCAGAUGUAAGCGGGCCCAACCUGAAAGAGGCGGGAUGUUACAAAAUGGUAUCAGAGCCGACCCUCGCGGUUUCAUGGGCACUGAUUUAUGUUGGUCUGUGAGGGCAGUCUAUAACCUAUGAAAGCUGCCAGAUGUAAGCGGGCCCGACCUGGGAGAGGCGGGAUGUUACAAAAUGUGAGGGCAGUCUAUAACCUAUGAAAGCUGCCAGAUGUAAGCGGGCCCGACCUGGGAGAGGCGGGAUGUUACAAAAUGGUAUCAGAGCCAACUCUCGCGGUUUCAUGGGCACUGCCUAGGGUUGAUCGACGGGGACGUCGAUUUGUCUUAAGGGGGUGAGGAUGUGACAUCCUGACCCAGGGCUUAAUAGGUUUAAUAGAAUACUCAUAUCAACAAGUCGCAACUUCUUUUCUUGAAGCCGAUCUCGAUGACCGACCGGGAAAUUCUUCCCGGGUGCUGUCAUGUCCGGAAAUUCACUAGUAAUUUUUGAACUAAUUUGUGCAUAAAAUCCUCAUCCAGGAAUCAGCCGAGGUACACAAACUGACAAUUUAAUAUACAAAUCCAUCAUAAUAAUAACGUUACAUACUUACAAAAGAAAAGAAAAACAGCAGCGGAAUUAACGGUCUAGCGAUGGCUUCAGCUCCACUCCCACAGGCAGCUCAACUGGGGCCAAACGUCUUCUCCUUCUAGAUCCUUUCUCUUCAACUGAGGUUGAUUGAUUAUUGCAAGGUGAGCAUAUGACAUACUCAACAAGCCACACAGCAAAUAUGCAAGUGCACAAGGAUACCAAAGGAUGGUAUAAUAUAGGCUCAUUUACAAAAGCAGCAUUUAGCAAAGAUUUAAGAGUAAAACAGUAGAGUAAUUAAUCAGAAAUUUUAAUCAACACUGAACAGCACACCCAUGCUGCUCAGCCCCAACCAUCCUGAACAACCAUACCCAGCUGUACAGAUCUAACUCCAAACCAGGAGCUAAACAAAUUAUUACCAGUUAUUGCAUCAAUAAUUAUUUGUGAGAGGUGUGAGACUAAUCACAAAAAACAUUGCUCAACCCGCCCAUGACCGCAGGCACAGCUAUUCGAAUAGUUUUACUCUGGCCAGAGAUGUACCACUGUACCCACAAGACACGAUUCCACACAUGUUGCCAUACCCCGAAGUACCACCACGGCACUGCAAAGGGGGAAAUCGUGACAAUACCCUUUGCACAACACAACUCACCACAGUGCACCAUUCCUGGAUCAUAAUCACCCCCUCAAAAACCAAAGGCAUGGACUCCCCAGCGACCCCCACGGACUUCUCGCCGCUUCUCAGUCUGGCACCCUACAAUGAAUCAUGCUAUACAAAAGGUAAAGCCGUUGCCCACACUGGCUUGUGGUUCGCACGGUAAAUGUUUCACAACAGUAGCUCACAAACCGGUCCUUAAUUAUCAUGAGCACGACCUUCAAAACCAUGUGCUCACAACCCGCCAUUGUCAAGUUUUAAUUGUCAAUUAAUUAUCAUAACACGAUUAACCAUCGUGAGCUACCAGUAAAUAUAACCAUAAAUAAUAAUGUAGUAUGAUUCAUCCCAUUAGUGAGCUAAUGUUUCUAAGCAUGGCUAAGCAAUUAUAUAUAUAUAACAUUUAGCUGAACCAAACCAAUAUAUAAGGUUCUAGCUAAUCAAAUUAUAACCCAUAGGAAAAUAAAGUCAUCUUCGGCCAUUAAUUAAUUGGGAAAGGCUCACCACCCGAUGACAUUCGAAAAUAAUGCAUAAGUUGAAAUAAAACAUUAGCUUUAAACGGGUUCAACAUGCUCAAAGGGUUGUUUGGGAUCUGUGUGACUUGCCUUGAGCUUCCGCAAACGCUUCCGAACCUUCCUCAACGAAAACGCCCUCCUCCGGAACAUCGAAAAGUAAAGCAAAAGAACAAAAUCAACAAAUGAGUACAAACAAGCAUAAACAGUACAUGUGGAUAUUUUUAACUGUAGAUCUCAAUUUUAGAUGAAUUUAGCAACUUGAACCACUCGAAUCCGAGUUACGAUGAUUUAGUUAUGAAUUUCCGAAGUUUAAUCGAUUUUCAACUAAUAGAGAAAACUAAGAGAAAAGGAUUAAUGACAUCAUCGCCGGCCAUGGCACGGCUUCCACGCGACCACCGGCAAAAGAGAGCUCGGUUGGGCUAUCCGAGAACACCUACGCGUAGAGGACGACGACGCGAACUCACCGGUGCAAAGAACAACGACGGACGACGACGAACGACGGCCGGCGACGAGGUUCGCCGGCGGCUCGGCUCGGGUCCCCGACGGCGACGGCGCUCCUAUGGUCUUCGGCGGCUGCGAAGGGGUGGACGGGGUUCCUCUCCUCCGUGCGCACCCGACGGCGGCGACGGACGGCAGCGGCGACGAUGCUAGCGGCGGCGCGACGCGACCGGAGGAUCGCCGGCGACGACGGCGGCUAGAGCAAGGCGGCGGCGGCUCUACGGGCGACGGCUCGGCUUGGGACUUGGGGCAGACGGAAGAGGACGUCAAGGGGAUGCUUUAUAUAGGCUUGGACUAGAGAGAUCGGACUCCAAACGAGAGGAUUUGAGCCGGAAAAUCCGAGGGUUAGUUUGGAGAGAUAAACUCGAAAACGAAUUCGAUUUGGUUUAUCCGGGCAAAAUUAAUCUCCGAGACUUUAGGGGAAAGGGAGAGGAUAAGGUGGAGAUGAUUUCUCCUCAACUAAUUUUAGGAAAACACAAGAGAAAAGGCCGGAUUUGGAGGGGAAAAACCGAGCCCACUCGGUCUCAGUUCGGCUGCCAGAGGUUGAAGAUGAACAGUACCCAGGGACGCAAAUUAGACUUUCUGCUGGUUGAGAACAGAACAGGGAAAGAAAAGGGCAGCUCGACUUGGGCCGGCUUGGGCUGCACAGCACGCGCGCGAGGGAGAGAGAUGUUGGGCUGAAAUCAGCCCAACGGCUUAGGAGAGGAUUUAAAAACUUUUUUCCAAUUAAAAUAAUCACUGAAAUGAUCUUUGAAUCGUUAAAAAUACUUUCAAUGCUCAAAUGAUUUCAAGAAAAAUCCUGAAAAUACUUGGACACUCAAAGUACUUAACAAGAUUAUAAUCAGACCAUUUAAUGAUUAAUUUAAUAUGUGGGUAACUACUGAAAUGUUCUUUGUAUGAUUAAAAUUGGGAAUUGAGCUCCGAAAAAUCCGAGAAAAUUCCAGAGAGUAUAAUUAACCUUGGAGAAUUUAAUAAAAAUUAAAUCCAUCCAUGCUUUAUAUUUAGGAAAUUUUAUUUCCCACAUUUAACUUCACUUGUAAAUUAAUGAACAUUUAAUAUAAAUUCUAAUAAUAAUUUAUUAAAUAAUUUAUAAAUCCUAAAAUGAAAAUCAGGAUGUGACAGGUACACAGGAGUGAGGACAAAGUCUAUGAAAGCUGCUAGAUAUAAGCGAGCCCGACCUAGGAGAGGCGGAAUGUUACACUCCCCUAAGCAAAGCCGGCGCCGAUGAACUCGCCCAAGCCGCCGCCGGCCUCCUCCUCCCCAAGCUGUCGGCUACCUCCUCCCCAAGCCGGUAAGCAACUUGUUACAUUUCUAAAUUUUGCAAUGUGAAAUUUGUGAUGUGUUGUGUUUUGAUGUGAUGAGAUGAGAUGAGAUUUUAGAUGCAAUUUGUGACAUGUUGAGAUGAGAUGUUAGAUGCAUUUUGUGAUGAGAUGAGAUGAGAUGUUAGAUGCAAUUUGUGAUGAGAUGAGAUGAGAUGUUAGAUGCAAUUUUAUUAAUUAGAAAUAUUUAUGUGAAUUAAAUGGACUUAGUUUUUAGAUUAGAAAGAUUUUGUGAAUUAAAUGGACUUUGUGAGAUGAGAUGAGAUUAUAAAUACUUUGUAAAUUAAAUGGACUUUGUUAGAUGCAAUUUUGUUAGUUAGAAAGACUUUUGUGAAUUAAAUGGACUUUGUGAGAUGCAAUUUUGUUAAGUUAGGAUAAUUUUUUAUUGAUGUUAGAUGUGUGAGAUGCAAUUUUGACAUUAAAUGAACUUGCUAUUAUCGAUGUUAGGUGGAAUUUUUAAUGAGAUGGCUAAAUAUAAUAAUUAAUAAUUGUACUUUGUUAAGUUAGGAUAAUUUUUUGUUGAUGUUAGAUGUGUGAGAUGCAAUUUUUUCAUGUUAGGAACUUGCUAUUAGUGAUGUUAGAUUUGUGAGAUGCAAUUUAUAUUGAUGUUAGAUGUGUGUCAGACGUUUCGGUUGCUAAGUUCUCUUGGUCGGGUUAGUUCCUGGACGGACCCGAUCAAUGCAUAGUGGGAAUCAGAACAUUUCUUUAAGAGGUUUACUGAAAUAUGUCUAGACAUUAGAUGUUUGGUUGCCUGUGUCUUGUACAUGCGUCGGCCUCAUCGACAGAAGUUUAGCAUCCAUGUUCCUCAAGGCCGGUGUAGAUGUCUCGAUCACACCGUCGGUAUCCCAUUGAAACUUGCUCUCGUUUGCGCUAUGUGAAGAUACAUGUAUCUUCAGAGAGCGACAAUGUGAGCAAGAUCGACUGGGAUACCGUUGGUGAGUCGAGACAUCUACGCGGGCCUUGUUGAACAUGGAUGUGUCCGUCCACGAGGCAGACGCACGUAGGAGAUAGAGGUGAUGCAAACCAUAACAGUUUGCUCAGAUCAGACUUUAGGGGUUUGGUUGCCUGUGUCUUGUACAUGCGUCUGCCUCGUCGACAGAUGUUUAGCGUCUAUGUUCCUCAAGGACGGUGCAGAUGUCUUGGCCUCACCAUCCGUGUCCCACCCGAAACUUGCUCUCAUUUUCGCUAUGUGAAGAUACAUGUAUCUUCAGAUAGCGACAACGGGGGCAAUGUCGAGAGGGAUAUGGAUGGUGAGUCGAGACAUCUGCGCUGGCCUUGUUGAACAUGGAUGUGUCCGUCCACGAGGCAGUCACAGGUAGGAGAUAGAGGUAACGCAAACCAUAACAGUUUGCUCAGAUCAGAUAUAUAGAAUACUCUAGACAUUAGGGGUUUGGUUGCCUGUGUCUUGUACAUGCGUUUGCCUCGUUGAUAGAUGUUUAGCAUCCAUGUUCCUAAGGGCGGUUCAGAUGUCUCGGCCUUACCAUUUGUAUCCCACUCGAACUUGCUCUCAUUUUGGCUAUGUGAAGAUACAUGUAUCUUCAGAUAGUGACAACGGGGGCAAUGUCGAGUGGGAUGCAGAUGGUAAGGCCGGCGAGCUGCAGGCGGGCCGAGCGACCGCGGGAUAAUAGAUCCAACCGCGGAUAAUAGAUCCAACCGCCUAGAAAAAUGGGCACUGUAGUAGUGUUUGUAUAUUAGCCGUCACGCUACGCAUGCGCAUGUGCUCUCAAAUGAUUAAUAUCAGCUUAGUAUUUAUUUAUUUGUAUAUGAUAACCAUUAAAUAGUAUUGUAUUACAAUUGAGGUUCCACACUCAUUAAUUUUGAAUCAGUAAAUAAAUCAUCAAAAUUAUAAUUGUCCUUUUCAUUACUAUUUUUUAUUAACUUUCUAACACAAAAUAACGGAGAAAUAUGAGAUGAGGGAUAAUAUUCCUUUGGUCUGGGCUUCAUUGCAUGGUCACUAUUGUAUAUACAUAAUUAUCACUGGCAAACUUAUUGCCGACGACUUGGUUCGUUUCUAAAAACUAUCAAAAUGUAAUUUGACACAGUGAUUACAAUGGAACACUAAGGUUUGUAUGAAACUUUGCUGCAAAGUAGUUCAUUUCAAAUUUAUAUCUAUGGUACGUACCUGUUUUUUUUUUUCAUUUUGAGACGGUCUCCAAUUUAGUCACCUGUUUCUUAAUUUUACUUGAUAGUAGUACAGUACGGCAUAGGUCAGAUCCAAGGGUUUCUUUAGGCCCUGUUUAGAUUCCAACUUUUUCUUCAAACUUCUAAUUUUUCCGUCACAUCGAACUUUCCUACACACAUAAACUUUCAAUUUUUCCGUCACAUUGUUUCAAUUUUUUUAAACUUCCAAUUUUUGCGUGGAACUAAUUAACACAGCCUUAUUGUCAUGUAAUGAAAAUGUAUGGCGGUUGUAUGCGACAUAGGCAUGUUCUGAACUAUGUACUCCAUUUUUCAUAUUAUAAGAUGUUGGUCUCUCCAUUUCUUACCGAGAUUCACUAAAGUCCAUAUAAGUUUGGACAUAUAUUAUAAAAGCACAUAUAUAGAUUCUAAUAAUGUGAAAUGGAUAAAGUAAUGUUAUAUUCAAAUAGUGGUCUCUUUGCCACCGAGAACCAUGCUAGUUGCAUGGAAAAAUUUAAAUUUUAGGUUGAGCAAACGGGGAGUUGAAAUCCAGAAUUAACACAUGCUCGUGGCGCUGCAUGCCUUGUACUUCCCACCUAACCAACUGUGCAGAAAGAUACGUGAUCAAUGGAAUACCUAUUCUAUUUAGCAGUUUAAAGUCAAUUAUAACUUAAAAAAUAAUUAACCAUGAACCGGCGGUCCGACCGGUGAACCGACGAAGCUCACCGGGUCGAUCCCCAGUCCGGCUUUUUCCACUGUGGGUUGAGCACGACACAGCAUCAGCUGCAUCCACUCUACCAAUUUAUCCAAUCGCUAGGCAUAGUAGAGACACCGCCGGGCCAGGCCACCACCAGCUAGGGUCUCUCCUGGGCAUCCGUAUUAGUGUGUGCUUAUCACACCGAAGAGUGAAACAGCAUUUUACCAAGUCUGCAGCACGUUGCCACGGCGGGCCAUGGGCGGCUGACAGGCACUAUAUGUGAGCAUCCAAGGAACUUGCGUGGCCUGAGAUCAACCAGACCUGGGAUCAAGGUGAUCGAAGGUGCCUGAAUAGUUUCCAAUUCCUGCCAUGCCCAGGAGGCCAGGAACAAACCUAGUAGGAGAAUAACAGUAACUUUUUUUUUCUCAAAAAAUAGGCUACAGUAGCUGUGCCUUUGCUGGGUGCACACCAUCUUUAUUUAUAAAUAGCACGGCAUCGUCUUAGGUGAAUAACUAUUCGUACGUACCUUAGCUUGAGUGGUCAUCGUCUUAGCUUCAGUGUGUGUGUUGGGGGGGGAAAGCUUUUUUACGGUACAUUGUACUGGUAGUAUAUACUACCAGUAUAUUUGAUCUGACAGUGUAAAUUUAUCUGAUUUGCCUCCCAAUUAUACCGCAGUAUAAAUUGAAUAGGGUAUAUUUGUCUUUUUAUCUUUUUGCGUGGGGGGGUAUUUUUGUAAAUUAACACGAGCUCACUUAGUCAGAUCCAUUUCACCACAUCGACUCAAACCGAGUCCGCUCGGCUCGCAUGGGAGACCGCCGCCGCCGGCUUCUGUUGGCGCUGCCCUCGCCGCCGACAGCCACAGUCGCCGCUGCCACUGGGAGCCAAAAUCGGCGCCGCCGCCAUUGAAAUCGAUUCGAUUUCCCUCCUCCUUUCCUCCUCUCGUGUAUUUUCCGUCCACCGUAAACCCUAUCUCUUCCAAAAAAUCCCCAAAUCGGCGCCGGCUCAUCGGUCUACGGGAGGUCGCCGGCUGCUAGGUCUACCGGAGGGCGCCGACGGCUGGGUCUACGGGAGGGCGAGGCCUGCUGGGGACCUUGCCUGCCGCAUCGGCAGGGGCAACCGGCCGGCGGUAGGUGGCAGCGGCAGGGCAGCAUGCCGCAGCAGCAGCAGGGCAUGGCUGUCGCGGGGCAGACCCUCUUGUUGCAUGCUAUGGCUUUGGCUCUGGCUCUAGCUAUGUCACAGCGUGAACAGGCCCUAUACCGAAGUUGCCGAUGGAAGAAAGCAAUGUCAUAGCUGCAGCACAACAGGGGUACUUUUUUUUUGAGAAUUUCAGAACAUUCCAAAUAGAAAGGUUUAAAUUUAUUAUUGAAUUUGCAGUUGUGUAAUUGUUUGUGGAGUUUUGAGUAGUCUAAAAUAACACCGCUAAUACUAUAGUAUGUUGCACAAAAUGGUACACGCUCAAUUGCUCUGGACAGACUAUUGAAAAUACUAACUCCUUAUAUUAAAGGAAUUAGAACAAAGUCAUUGAUUUCGACUAGUAUCUUGGAAGGUGUAACAUCCAUUAGUUUCUCUUUUUAUCCUUCUUCUGAGCGCCCCCCAAAAUUGCAGCUAACUUCCUUCUAAAAUAUUUUAUAUCUUCCUGCAAAAUUCAUAAAGGUAUUUGUUAGAUAGAAACAAUCAAUUGAGGACUUGUAAAGAAGAUGCAGAAAUAUUUAGUGCAUCUUACAUGCGUGUAUUCCUUCGACAACCUAUUGCCUUGCCAGUGCUCCAUGUUUUUUAGUACAAAGAGCCCACAUAAGACGCUGGAAGAAUUAGAGAAGUGAUAACAUACAUUUAGGUAGUGAAAAAAACUAUUAUUGUAGUGGCUGCAUAACAUACAGAUCUCCUUGUAAUGGCAAAUUCUGUACGACCCAAAUUCUGUACGACCGUGACUUCCCAGGAAGUAAUAUUAUGGUCAGGCCAUUGUGUUGCUAUGUGCUUUUCUUCUGGUUCCAACAGCUGAAAAUAUUGUUGUAAUCUUUCUAGCUGUUAUGUGAGAAAACGUCAUUACUGCGGUAUGUUCAUGUCCUUUUUGGUUUAUUUCUAAGUAGAAUACUUACAACUUUUCUUAGUUCCUUGCGUUGUGUGGAUGAAUUCGCCCUGGAGUCAAGCACUUGCAUGAUGCGGCGUUUGGCAUGUAUGACUGCCAGGUACCAAUGUUUUUCUUUUAUGUUCAUGGGGAGGAAAAUCUGUACAAAGAAAUCAUUUGUAGGAUAUAUUAGUAGUAUAAACUUGCUUGAAAUUUCAUAGUAUUGUGGCAUAAAUAUUACCAUAUCAUGCUUUAGAUAUCUAUUUGCCGUUGCUUUAGCCAUUGCCCGAUCGAUGAUGUCUUUGGAAACAUAGUGUUCGCCAUCUCUUUGUAGCAACUUUGUUAUUAACGGUUUCUCUAGGAACACCAUACCUUCUGCCCUAGUCCCUGUACCUUCCUUCAUAUCUUUCUCACGUAGACAAGUAACGUAUGCAUCGAUUAUCUAAAAGAAGAGGAAAAUGCCAGGUUAUGAUUGUGCUAGUAGUUGCAUGAGAGAAUAGUUUCACGGGUUAGUAAACUUACGUGAUCAUCCAAAUAGCUCGUACUUGAUUCAGUCACUGGAUUAGUCAGAAUUUGCAUUGUUUUUUGGGAAAUUGAGACAUCAUCGAUAUGCACCACUAGUUAUGAUUCUGGUGCACUCAUUAUACUUUUAAUGGUUUCCUCAGCUUCUGCGGUGCACUUGAACUCUGCCAUCGAAGUUAAAUCUAUAAGUGAACUGCAACACAAAAAUUAAGCAGAGUAGGAUGUGAUGUUAAUUAUAGGACUUUUACCAUUGGAUAUUAAAUUCUUUGCUUGCGCAUUCUUUGGUUUCUUCUUUGUAGCCCCUAAAUUAUAGACGAAAUCAGAAUUUGAUUUAAUUGUUGAUUUACGCAAUCUUCGUGUUGAUCCUGAAAGUGACUUGGCAAUGACGGGCGUUGGAGUUGGUGGGUUUGGUUUCUACUAUUCAAUUGACAUGUUAAAAAUAAUUAGUAUUAAAUUUGACAGACACUGAAGAAGUAAGAUGCUGUCUUACCUUUUUUUUUAAUUAUGUGUUUCUUUGUCGGAACUUUUGCAAACAUUUGGCUUAGAGUUCUUGGAAGUUGGUAUUGUCUUUUCCUCUUUGAAUGCAGCUAUUAUGUUGGUGAGUGAUUGAAUUUGGUUAUGCAUGGACUGUUGAUUCUGCUUUAUCUCCUUCAUCUCCUUUCCUUGCUCUUCUAUCAGCAUGAUUAGUUUUCGGGUCAGUGACUCAGUUUCUGCCCUAUCCUGCAUAAUAUGUGUUUGUUAAAUUUUGAGACAUAUGCUGUUGUAAUUCAAAUAAAUAGUAACAAAAGUAAAAUAUUAUGACUACCUUGUGUGAAGUGGCAUGUGUUGUGCUGUCGACGCGUUGUUCCGAUGAUGUUAUCUCGCUGUCACUUGGUAUGUCUUGGACAUUCUAUGAUGAAAUGACAUUUUUAAUGGAUAUUAAACCAUGCGUUGUGAUGUAUAAAUAUUUCAAGUACAGUUAAAAGAAAUGAUUACAUUAUCAGUAUGGAUGCAUGACUCUGAUUGUUUGCUCUUCUCGCUAUUUCUUGUUAUGUCUUGGACAUCCUACGACGAAAUAUUAUAUUUAAUGGAUAUUAAACCUUGCGUAGUGAUGUAUAAUUGAAUGUAAGUACAGAUGAAUUAUUUGAUUACCUUAUCAGUAUGGAUGCAUGAUUCUGAUUGUUUACUCUCCUCGCUGUCUCUUGUUAUGUCUUGGACAUUCUAUGAUGAAAUAUCAUAUUUAAUGGAUAUUAAACCAUGUGUUCUGAUGUAUAAUUCAAAGUACGUAGAGAUGAAUAAAAUGAAUACCUUAUCUUUUCGGAUUUGUGAGGAUUUGGAGCAUUCUAUAGCAAGUGUGAUGUCGUCAACAAUCUAGUACAUAAUAACUCAUUCACGUUAGCUGGUCAAAAAUAGUGCUUAGGUAGAUGGUAAAAAAGUUAGCUUCCUGAGACUAGUCGUCUGUGUGCCUAUUUGAUGCUGUUCCCUUCCUUGUUAUUUCUGGAUGACAAACUACUACAUGCAUGAUAUAAUGGAAAGCAGAAGCAAGCUAAGGCAUCAGCAGAAGGAGCGUAAGUAAAUUCUCAUUUUGAAUUAAUAGGUGUUGUCGAAACGACAACCGCAUACGUCGAAAAACGUGGUUACUCAACAGUGGUUGGAAAAAUGAAGUGUACUAAAUUUUGGAUUUCCCAUGGGAUCCCCCCAUUACAUGGCCCUAGGGGACUAUUUAUAGCCCCAUUACAGGUUCUUACUACCAGGGUUUAGGUUGCACAGGGGAAUUUACAUGAUUACCCUUACAAAAGGGACAUUUAAAGGGGUACAUAAUGUUAUAGGGGCUCAUGGGCCCCUGAUGGGCCGUCUGGCGAUCGCCGGCCUGAUGGGCCGGAGGGGCUUCCUUAGCCCUCGCGGGAGCGAACUUGUCAAGGCGAAGUCAUCCUCCUUUGGCAGACAGUAUUCGCCUUGCACCCUUUGCCUGAGACGCCUCUGGCCUGGCGCUACUCUUCGCCUUGCGCCGUUCUUGCUCCAUAGCCUUUGCCAUGGGUUUCGGCAGGUUUGGUCGAAGGGCCUCAUGCCAUCCGCCAACAAGCCCCUCACGGACAAGGGUGAGAUUGGAGCUUCGGCCGAGACCGUACAAACUAUGUGGUAUGGUAUGCGGCGCCCCCUUUCGAUCGAUGCUCCUGCCGAAACCUACAUUAUUCCUGCGAAUGAAGUUUGUUAUUUGUGCGGCUGGUAUUAUUUUGCCGCGCUUCGCCUCGUGUGAUUCAUGGUUAUAUAUAUUCUUUUUUUCUGGGCCGAACGGAACAGUAUUGGGCCUUCCUAUCUUGGGCCUUUUACUGUUCCGCUCGGUCGAUGGGAAUUUACCGUUUCGCCUACCCUUGCGACACGUGGCGCUUUAUUACUGGUGGGUAGGCGAAUGGUUGCCUGGGCGGGCUAUAUAUUCCCGUUGCUCUUUCCUUUUCACCGCCACACUUGCCAUCUUACCGCGCGCGCUCUCUUUCUCCGUCUCUUCCUUUCACAGCAUCUUUCGACCCCUCAGGCGUUUCGCCGAAUCUCUUUUUUCGCCACUGCAAACGCACCGUUUGCCAUGGCCCCCCGUAAACCAAACCCUACUUCGGCGAAAGGGCCAGAUUCCGGCUGAGUCGAUGACGACAGCACCGCCUUUCUAGGGGUCUCUCUUGUGGACGACGUCGAGCUGGCGAAGCUGGUCAGCUCCGGAGCAUUGGUUGAGGGGCAAGCUUUCACCCCAGGGAAAACCGUGGUGCCGAAACCUGUUGACAAUCGGACGGUUGUGUACGCCGUAUUUUUUGAGGCAGGGCUACGGUUUCCCUACAACGUGUUAUUGCCGGAGAUACUUCGCCUCUUCCAGGUGGAACUUCCGCAGCUGAGCCCGUCGGCGCUUGUUCGGAUCGCUAUCUUCGACUGGGCUUGCCGGAUUUCCGGGUUUGAGCCCAACGCCGAGCUCUUUGGCGCCAUAUUUUUCGCCACCGUGAACUCGAAGACGGUGAUUACCCUGGCUGGAACGAAAAAAACAGUGUUCGGGAGCGUGAACUUCAACGUUCGCCCAGAGCGGUCCGAUCUCUGGCCGGUGAACGCUGCCAUGUCGAAGUGGGACCGCCAUUGGAUGGUGAGGUGGUUCUACCACAUCAGCCAGUUGCAUCGCCGCUGAUUGAGGCGAAGGGAAAGAGAGCGGUCGCUGAGACGUCCGCUUCAGAAUAUUCGCUCUCGGUACCCCACUUCGCCCCUGGCGACUUCGAGACGCGAGCGGACCUCCUUCCUUUUGUGGAGGGGGUAAGCAAUCUUGUACUGCCCGCCAGUGCCCCGAGCUUGUUCACCGAACUGAAUGAGUUCGACGAGGGGUGCUCUGGUAUAAAAAGCCUGGCUGCUCGGGUACGAACCUGCUUUUUUUUUCCCCUUUUUUAUCUUUUACUCUUCCUCUAUCUUGUUUUUACAAUUGACACUUGUUCUCUUCGCCGCUCGUAUUCUGCGCCCAGAUCCUCGCGGCUCACUGCUCAACGGAGCGAACCGUGCGAGCUCGACUUGAUGGGUUCAAAAGCCUUCUUCGGGCCAAGGAUGAUGAACUAGGCCGCAAAAAUUUGGAGAUGGAGGCCCUUGCCAACACUCUUAAGGAGGCGAAGGCUGAAAACAAGCGGCUCCAAUCGGAACUGGAGAAAUGGAAAGAAGCAAGGGCCGAAGUCGAUCGCUUAAAGGCCGAACUGGAGAAAGAGAAGGCCCAUUCGGCGGUGCUCAUCGACUAUUAUAACCUUACUGAGCCGAAGAUGGAGUCUCUUCGCCAGAAGGCUAGCAGGGCCGAAGCGAGCGCCGCGGAGGAGUCGCGGCGGUUUUCGCGGGAGAUGGCGAAGACCACCGAAUCCGCGAGAACGGCUUGCCAAACACUCCGCCUCGCCCUUACCGACAUGGGCGCGAAGAUGCGCGGGGUCACUACCGAGGAUGCCUCAGCCUUCGACUUCUCGGAGUGGACCCAGCAGGCCGGCGGAUCGGUUUCGGACUGCCCCACCGUGUACGGCGACUGCUGUGCGCGCGUGUCAGCGGCCUUUACCAUGGGCCUCCUGCAGCAGUUCGGCUGCGAGCACAUCGCUGAGUUCCCCAAGUACACGAAGGGGGAUUGGGAAAUCAGUACGCAAGACAUUUCGCCUGCACUUCGUGCGUGGCGAAAACAAUUUUGGCAGAAGGACGGCCGCUCCGCCGCUAAGGCGCGCCUUUUGGAGCAGCUGGCGAAAGCAGAGGCGGCGGACCUUUGUGAAGAGGAAGACGUGGCGGCCGGAGGGGGUGGAGGCGAUGCCCAGGACCACCCAGAGGUGUGAGGCCCUCCGCCCUUCUCUUAGUUUUUCAUAGUUUUCUUUUGGUGCUCGCUAGAUGUGGCGAACCAUUGUAUAUUCGGCAAACUGCCACUAAACCUUAAAAAAGGCUUUUUGGUAUAUUUGGAAUGUAUGACACAAUCUUAAUUACUUUUUGAUGAUCUAAGUCUUUGGCAUAAUUUUAUUUCACUUGUUUCGCAUUAUGCCAUACCUUCCCCUUCUUUCGCCUAUUCUUACCAUGCAAGAUGUGUUUUGCCUUUUCUGCACUGUCUACUAGGGGGUCUGCCAAAAAUCGUGCAUUUGGCCCCCUUCUGGGAGCUGGCGAAGUCAAAACGAGAAAUUCGUGGCAUUGAAGGGGUUGCCGAAGACGCGAUGUCCAUUUCGGCCAUUUUAUCGCGAAAUGGAGAUAAACGGUCGCAACUAUAAGGUUAUCAAGGUUGCCAAUUGGCUACGUGCGUACCCCGGGCGAACCUUAGAAGAUUACGAUCUUGUUCACUCAAGACGUUUGGAAGAUAUGGCUCGCUUUUAGCGAAACCAUCAGAAGACUAGACGCCAGGAAUCGAUCUCUCAGCGUCGUUACAGUUUAGUCUGUGUUUCGCCCCCUACUCCUCUUAAGGUUGUGUACGAUAUUAGUAGUGAUGACGAACCUAGCUCGUCCAACCAUUCCUUAGGGAGGGAUAAUGAUUACUGGGGCGAAAAUGUAAUUUACUUGUAAAAUGAAUUGUAUCGGGUUGUAAACCUUGAAUUCUUCGAUUAUUUUUUCGAAGCUAAUAAAGAAUGUGCUUUAUUUCCUUUUCGCUAUUUUUCGCAUCGUCACAUUUUGUGCUUUUGUUAGGUCGGAACAUGUCGGCCCCUUUGCAUAUAGUAGCGAAAUAAGUGUACUGACUUUUCAGUUUUUCGUCGUUCGUUUUCGAUCUGUAGCGUUCUGUGUCGAGAGAAACGCUUUUGUUUUUAUGCUGAUCGGUCGUAACGUCGUUCGGCUAUUUAUUUUCCGAGACAAGCUGUUGUGGUUUCAACGUUUGGCGAGCAAUGCUUCGGCCGAUUCGUUUCGCCCCCCUGGCCUUUUUCGCUGAUCAGGCGUUUGCCUUGGGGUUUUUCCACAAAUUAUCAAUCACACGAAAAGUAAGAAGAAGGCGGAGGACACAGGGAUUUUAUACUGGUUCGGGCCUCCAUAGCGGAUAAUAGCCCUACAUCCAGUUUUUUCUUUUUCUCUUUUUCUUCUUUUUUUUUCUUGCCGAAAGGCUUUCAUAGUGCCGAAAGGCUUAUAUAGUGCCGAAGGGCUUACAUGACUGUAUGUACAUUUUUACAAGUUGGCGAUUUGGGUGCCACCCAUUCUAGGCAUAGAAGCGCUUGAGAGAGGCGGCGUUCCAGGAAUGAUCGAACUCCUCGCUUUCGAGUGUUGCUAGGCGAAAAGAUCCUGUCCUGGACUUGUGUUUGAUGAUGUAUGGUCCUUCCCACUUUGAUUCAAGCUUGCCAACCGCUACUGGGUUCGCCUUUUUUCUUAGGACGAGAUGACCAGGCAUCAGCUCCGUGGGUCGAACUUUUUUGUUGUAAGUUGCCGAAGUGCUUGUGGCGUACUUGUGCAUGUGCUUGAGCGCUUCGACCCUUACACCUUCCAAGAGUUCGAGCGAUACCUCACGCCCCUCUUCGCCCCCAGAGAACAUAACCCUUGGUGAGUUAGCCCCUAGCUCUGCUGGGGUCAUUGCCUUAUCGCCAUAAAGAAGCAUAAAUGGGCUAAACUUGGUUGGUCUUGUGGGGGUUGUCCGAAGGGCCCAAAGAACCGAUAACAAUUCUUCUGGCCAUUUGCCUUUCGCCGCCCCCUCAAGUCUUUUCUUUAGUGCUUCUAGGAUCUUGCCAUUUGCACGUUCGGCCACCCCAUUUGACUGUGGGUGCGCGACCGACGCGAACCUAAUUUCCAGGUUAAGCCCUUCGCACAUUUCUCUGAACUUACCAGAGUCAAACUGCUUGCCGUUGUCAGUAAUGAACUCUUUCGGCACUCCGAAACGGCAAACAAUGUUUUUCCAUACAAACUUCUGUACUACUGCCGAAGUGAUUGCCCCAAGGGGUUCGGCUUCGAUCCAUCGAGAGAAAUAUUCCACAGCUACAAUUGUGAAUUUAUACCCGUUUCGCGCCACCGGGAAUGGCCCAAUGAUGUCCAGUCCCCAUCUGGCGAAGGGCCAUAUUGGUGCAAUGGGCUGCAGAUCAUACUGGGGCGCGGCUUGGCUUCGGUCAUAACGCUGGCAACUUUCGCACUUCUUGAUUUGCUCAACACAGACUUUCAACACAGUGGGCCAAUAAACUCCUUGUCUAAAUACUUUGGAGGCCACUGUUCUUGCAGCCUGGUGCGCGCCACAUAGCCCCUGGUGUAUUUCCUUUGCCAUUUCUUCGCCUUCGGCAAAAGAGAUGCAACGAAGUAAGGGUUGAAGUACCCCAGAGCGGUAAAGCUAACCCGAGACCAUCUUAUACUUCGUGGCACUGAGUUGCAAACGCUUCGCUUCUACUUUGUCUACCGGAAGCCAGCCAGUUUCAAGGUGUUUCACAAAUGGGGUUCGCCAGUCAUAUGGGUCUUCGCCCAGUUUCUCUUGGUCGAUUGUCAUGACUUCCGAGCUGUCCAUGUGCACACUUGGAGCAUGUAGGACUUCGAAAAAGAUGUCAGGCGAAUGCGGGCCACCACAACCAGCGGAUUUCGCCAGGGCAUCUGCUUCCUCGUUCUAGUCUCUAGGCAAGUGUUCGACCGUUAUGUCGGUGAAGCAUUUUUCCAUGGACCGAACAGCCUCCAGAUACCUCUUCAUUCCGUCUUCUUUUGCCUCGAAGGAUUUGUCAACAUGGCCUGCUACCAACUUGGAGUCAGUUCGAAUUAGCAGGCGCCGGACUCCUAGUGCUUUCGCCUUUCUUAGGCCCAGGAGAACGGCUUCGUAUUCUGCUGCAUUGUUGGUUGUGUUGAACUGCAAUCUCGCUGUGUACCGAAUCGGCACACCAUUCGGCGAAAAGAGGACUGCCGCAACGCUUGCCCCCUUGUGCGACCACGAGCCGUCAGAGCACAUCACCCAAAACGGGUCGUCGGGCUCGGGGUCAGGGGCAAGUACUGGUGUCCAUUCAGCUACGAAGUCAGCUAGCAUUUGAGACUUGAUAGCAGAGCGUGCAACAAAAUGCAAAUCGAACGGGGAUAGCUCUGCCGCCCACUUGCUGAGCCGUCCAGUGACUUCCUUGCCUCGGAGUAUUUCGCCCAAGGGUCGGUGAAAAGAGGACUGCCACAACGCCUGCCCUCUUGUGCGACCACGAGCCGUCAGAGCACAUCACCCAGAACUGGUCGUCGGGCUCGGGGUCGGGGGCAAGUACUGGUGUCCAUUCAGCUACGAAGUCAGCUAGCACUUGAGACUUAAUAGCCGAGCGUGCAACAAAAUGCAAAUCAAACGGGGAUAGCUCUGCCGCCCACUUGCUGAGCCGGCCAGUGACUUCCUUGCCUCGGAGUAUUUCGCCCAAGGGGUACUGUGAUGGGACUAUGACUUUGUGGGCCUAGAAGUAGUGCUUAAGCUUGCGCGAAGCCAUUACUAGAGCGUGUCACACCCUGAAAAUCAUAAAUAUAUAAAUUGUUGUUUAAAUGGAAUUUUUAGAAUUUAUUUUAAAAAAGCCUAGAAGAGAAGAUCUUUUUUUUAAUUAAUAAAUUCCAAUAUAAAAUGGGGCCAGAUAAAAUUUCAUUUAAUACUUUGCUUAAUUCUAUAAUUCCUAGAUUUUUCUGGGAUUUAUUUGAGCUAAGGAAGUAUUUUUAAUAAAUGGAAUUGCAUUUAAGGAAUAAUUUAAAUUGAAAAAUGUUUUAAAAGUCUCUUUUGGCUUUGGGCCGAAAGUCGGCCCAAAACCCUUCUCUCUCUCCUCGGCCCAGCCGGCCCAGUCCGCAGCCGCCCGCGCCCGCGCGUCCGCCCGCUGACAGGUGGGGCCCGCCUGUCAAGUCGUCGUCUUCCUCGCGUCGGCCGCCGCCCGAAACCCUAGCGCGCCGCCGCCGCCGUUCCUUUCCAAAUCCGGCCGCCCCUUUCCGUUUCCGGCCGAAUUGAUAGAGGGGAAAUGAUCCUCGGGAUCUCCUCUACCUUUUCUCUUUUGGAAACAUCGGCUAAAUCGGUUUGGAAUGUGUUUGAUUCGAGUUCGAAUCGGAUCGGCUUUCCUCUCUCCGAACCCCGAAGUUUCCUUCUCGUCGCCGGCCGCCGUGGGCCUUCGCCGCCGCCUCCUAGCCCCUUUAUAAGCUUCCCCGGUGUCUCCUCUACCCGCCGCCACCCUCGCCUUCGCCUCUCGUCGCCGGAAGAGCCCUAGCGCCGUGCAACCUUGCGCCGCCGUCGCCGCCGUCGCUCCAGUCGUGCGCCGCCAUCGCUCCAGCCGUCGCCGUCGCUCGGGAAGACCGUCGUCGUGGUCGCCAAGUCGUCGCCGUCCUCGUCCGCCCCUUCGCCGUCGCCGAAGACCGCCGGAGCACCGUCGCCGUCGUCAACCCGAAGUUUGCCGCCGCUUCCUUCUCGUCGCCGUCGCCGUCCGUUGGUCUUCCGCCGUCGCUUUGGUCGCCGGUGAGUUCGCCGUGCCGUCCGCUACCCGUUGGUGUCCUCCGUUUGUGCCGGAGCGCCGCCGUUCGCCGGCGAGCGUGCGCCGUCCGAGCCGUCCGAGCCGCCGAGCCGCCGCCGCCGGUGGUGACGUCAUCGCCGACGUCAUCGUCGCCCUCUCCCGUGAGCCGGUCGUAGACCGAUUGAUCUCGGCCGUCCGUUUUGGAUCAAGUCGAUCUCGGCCGUCCGUUCGUGUGAACCGCCGCCGUGCGCCCGGUCCACCGAAACCCUAGCCGUUGACGCAAUAAAUCCUCUUUUCCUUUUCAAAAAUAAUUCAUUAUUGCGUCAUAAUUCAAUUAAAAUCAAUUUAAGUGUUUUAAUCCGAUUUAAUCUUCAAAAAUUCAUAACUAAUUCAUCUUAGCUCCGAUUUAGUUGGUUCAAGUCUCUAAAUUUUUCUAAAAUUGAGAUCUACAUGCUAAAAAUAUCCACAUGUACUGUUCAUGCUUGUUUAUGUGCUGUUUUGGUGAUUUUGCUUCUUUUUGUUUAGAUUCCGUCGUUUCCGGAGAGUCCGUUUUCGCCGGAGAAGAGUUUGAAGAGUUCCAAGGCCAGCAAGGCAAGUCACACAGAUCCCAAACAACCCUUUGAGCAUGUUGAUCCUAUUUAAAGCUACUGUUUCCAUUCAACUAUUGCAUUUAUUUUCGAAUGUCAUUGGGUGGAAUUAACCUAUUGUUUGUUAUAGCCCUUUUGUUCUUGAUUACUUUAUUCCUUGAUUCCUUGGGUUAUUAUAAUUUGACUAGUUGAGCUUUAUUUAUAUUGGUUCAACUAGAUAUUAGAUAUAAUUGCUUAGCCUUGCUUAGAAACAUUAGCUCACUAUUGGGAUAACUUAUGACUCACUAUUAUUUAAUGAUGGCUUAAUGAUAGUUCACGAUGGUCAAUCGUGAUUGGUUAAUUAAUUAUUUGCCAACUAAAAUCUGAUAAUGGUGGGUUGUGAGCACAUGGUUUUGAUGGUCGUGCUCAUGACAAUUAAGAACCGGUUCACGAGUUUCGGUUGUGAAACAUUAACCGUGCCAACCACAAGCCAGCGUGGGCAACGGCUUUAUCUUUUGUAUAGCAUGGUUCAUUGCGGGGCACCAGACUGAGAAGUGGCGGAGAUAAGCCCACGUGGGUCGCUGGGGAGUCCAUGCCUUGUUUUUAAGGGGGUGAUUAUGAUCCAGGAAGGUGCGCUGCAGUGGAUUGUGUUAUGCAAGGGGUAUUAUCACAACUCCUUUCCGAGAUACCGUGGUGGUAUUGAGGCACAUGGUGACAUGAUGUGGGGUUGUCUUGUGGGUACAGUGGUACACCUCUGAUCAGAGUAAAACUAUUCGAAUAGCCGUGCCCGCGGUUAUGGGCGGGUCUAACAAUGUCUUUCGUGAUUAGUCCCACACUUCUCACCAUAGUAAAUGAUGCUAUAAUUAGUAAUAAUUUGAUUCGCUCCUGGUUUGGAAUGGUACAUUCCUGGUUUGGAGAUAGAACUGUGCAGCCGGGAUGGUUGUUUAGAAUGGUUGGGCCUAUACAACAGGGUAUGUUGUAUAGCGUUGGAUUAAUAUUGUUUAAUACUUACUGUUUUAUUAAAUUCUCAAAUGUUUGUUAAAUGCUGCUUUUGCAAAUGAAACCCUACUGUGCCAUCCUUUGUUAUCCUGUGCACUUGCAUAUUUGCUGCGUGGCUUGCUGAGUAUGUCAUAUACUCACCUUGCAAUCAUUCAUCAGAGGAAGAGUUCUUCAGUGAGGCUGAUGGUGUGGAGAAUUAGGUGUAGCCUUGGUCAAGCUGCCUGUGGAGUGGAGCCGUCUGCGCCGUUUAUCUUAUUUUCCGCUGCUUAGAUCUUUAUUGAUUGAGAGGAACUAUCUACCUCUGUAAUGACAUUUUAUUCGCUUAUUAAUUAGAGUAAUAAUUGUACUCUAUUAUCAAUUUGUUAUUGUGUGCCUCGGCUGAUUCCUGGACGAGGGUUCACACACAUGUAAGCGUUUGGAAUUUUGGAUAGAAAUUCCGGGCGUGACAAGUUGGUAUCAGAGCCCCCUUGACCCUAGGUUAUGCCAAAUGGUUACCCAUAGAAGCCCUCUAAAAAUAUUGGAAAAGUAGAACUGUUCUUCUCCCUUUCUCUUUUAAUUAAACCAAACUAAUGGCACAUGCACUUCAUAAUCUCUUUUAAUGGUUCUCAUUAAAAAUUUAUUCCAGUGUUAUUAGUACUGUACAUCUAUUACUGUACUAAUGGCUCAUUUACCAGCAAAAGUUUUACAAUGUUGUUUUAUUUAAUCUUGCUACAAUAAAAUAAAUUUAGCAUGUUGAUUUUAUAACUUUCUUUUAUUUCUUUUGAAACCUGUAUUCAAAAGUACAAAACUUGUGACCUUGUUUCCAACUGUUUCAACCUAUCUUGCAAGAUUGGUUUACUUUAUUUACUUAUCUUUUACUUUGAAUUUCUAAACUUUAUUCAAAUUAAUCCAAAAACUUGUGCUAUUAAUUGGAUAAAUGUCUUAACUCCCUCCUUUCACUUGUCUUUAGAUGCCGCGCUACAAGCCUGAGUACCUGUUUGGUGUUGAGGGUUUUGUCCAGGAGUUGCGUACGAUGUCCUUUGUCAUUGGAUUUGGGACUGCCCCUUUUUAUGCCCAGAUUCCUCAUGAUCGUCAUGAAGAGAAGUGCCGAGUCAAAGUCACCUUGAACAGUAAUAGUGAAGAUAUCCCCUCAGUGAUGUUCGAAGCUGUAGGAAGAAACUACAUCCAUGCAUGUCAGGAGGUGGCAAGGAUCGCCAUAGGAGAGCUACAGUGAUCAGUUGGCCGACACGGAGUAUCGCUACCAUCCUCGUCAACCACAGGGAAGUGACCGUGGCGUUACCUUGAGACUGAAGGAAUUGAGAAUGAUGCUACCACAAGGCAUUUGGUCGAGAUGCUGUGGGCUAUGGAUGAAAGUCGUGCGGAGACUGUGUUAGCAGCUCAAGAUCGUGAAGACCGGAAUCGUGGUAAGAUUUGCAAGCUAGAAGACAAGGUGGAUUGUUUGGAGAAGGAACUAGCCGCAUUAAAGGGAGAAGCACCGCCGCAGAAGGCCAGGAUUCGUCUCACCGCAAGGAAGAGAGCUCUAUUUGUCCCUCGCUAUCAAUUGGCGCCAAAGGUUCGUGUGGUGGAGAAAGAAGUUGCCCCAACCCUAGCAGAUCCUCCGGUCAUCAUCAUAAGUGAUGAUGAAGAAGAAGAAUCCAAGCGCAACCAUUCCAAGAUUGAGUGGGUAGCAACUCAAGAUGAUGAAGACGAGCCGAAUGAGCCUUCAAUCGACCUCCGAUGCUCGGAAGAACUAGAGUGACUUGUUAAGUCGUUGUCUUAGAUCGUUGUGUUAGUUUGCUUGCUUUAAGUUUGGUUGUGUGUGUCUCGCAUGUGAUUUACAUCAGUGGUGGGAUGUAAGUGCGUGCGUUUGUAUGCUUUUGAGUGUUAGGAAGUUGGUGAGUUUAGUGGUGUGAGAGUCUCUAGUUUGUAAUAAUGAAACUCAGUUAAGAUUAAUAAAAGUUAAAGUAAUUCCCUGUCCUAAGUAGUUUCCCCGGUUUCUCUUCUUGUGCCCUGUCCAUGCCAGAUGGUGAACACUCGCAGCAACGGGAAUGGCCCCAACAACCCCAAUAACAACAACAAUGGAGAGAAUCCCACUCUUGCUCAAGUUCUUGCUCAACAGACUCAGUUAAUGAACAUGAUGAUGCAGCAACUUCAGAAUCAGCAGAACCAGGGAAAUAACCAUGCACCUCCCCAGAACAAGUUAGCAGAAUUUCUUCGUGUGAGGCCGCCUAUUUUCUCUAGUACCACUAAUCUUGUUGAAGCUGGUGAUUGGUUGCAUGCCAUAGAGAAGAAGUUGGAUUUGCUUCAGUGCACUGAUCAGGAGAAGGUCUCAUUUGCAUCACAUCAGUUGCAUGGCCCUGCCUCUGAAUGGUGGGAUCACUUCCGUCUGAACAGGACUACUGCUGAACCUAUCACUUGGCUUGAAUUCACUGCUGCUUUCCGGAAGACGCAUAUACCAUCGGGAGUGGUGUCUCUCAAGAAGAAGGAAUUCAGGUCGCUCACUCAGGGAUCUCGCUCUGUUACGGAGUAUUUGCACGAGUUCAAUCGUCUGGCUCGUUAUGCUCCGGAAGAUGUGCGCAAUGAUGAAGAGCGCCAGGAGAAGUUCUUGGAAGGACUUAAUGAUGAGCUUUCUUACCCACUCAUGACUGGAGAUUAUUCUGAUUUCCAGAAGUUAGUGGAUAAGGCUAUUCGUCAGGAAGACAAGUACAACCGCAUGGAGCAGAAGAAACGCCGGAUUGCUCAAUUCAAGACACAACAGGGGAAUAAUCAGAAGCCGCGUCUUACUUUAGGACCCCAGUCCGUGCCACAGGGAGGUUCUUCGUCUGUUGUUCGUCCGCAGCGUCAGUUCUUCAACAACAAUGCUGGCAACAACAUCCGCAAUCAAGCUCCACGUCCUGUUGCAGCUCCAACACAGCAACAACCUGCCAAGAGGGAGCAAGGCAGCAAGCCCGUGGUGUGUUUCAACUGUGGAGACCCAGGACAUUAUGCUGACAAGUGUCCGAAGCCCCGACGCGUGAAGGUUGUCCCUGCUCAGAGCAACUCUACUGUACCAGCAUCAAAGGCCCGUGUUAAUCAUGUUGCUGCUGCAGAAGCUCAAGAUGCUCCAGAUGUGAUUUUGGGUACGUUUCUUGUUAACUCCGUUCCUGCAACAGUGCUUUUCGAUUCUGGUGCUACACAUUCAUUCUUAUCUAUGAGUUUUGUGGGAAAUCAUGGGAUGGAAGUAGAAGAUCUUAGACGUCCUUUGAUGGUUAGUACCCCAAGUAAUCAAGCACUCUCUUUGCAACGUAGCCCCUCGGUCAGAAUAGAAAUUCAAGGAAUACCAUUUCUGGCCAAUCUUAUCUUGUUAGAAUCCAAAGACCUUGAUGUCAUCCUAGGGAUGGACUGGUUAGCCAGACAUAAAGGUGUGAUAGACUGUGCUAACAGAAAAGUAACUCUCACCAGCAAUGAUGGUCAAGUUGUAACUGUUCAUGCAUUGUCUUCUGAGUUUUUAAGGUCAAGACUGAACCAAAUAACUUUGGAAGAGAUUCCUAUAGUCCGGGAGUAUCCCGAUGUGUUCCCAGAUGAUUUACCUGGUAUGCCACCUAAAAGGGAUAUAGAGUUCAGAAUAGAUUUGGUACCAGGAACAACUCUGAUCCAUAAGAGACCUUAUAGAAUGGCAGCCAAUGAGUUGGCAGAAGUCAAGAGGCAAGUAGAUGAUUUGCUUCAGAAAGGAUACAUCAGACCAAGUUCAUCACCAUGGGGAGCUCCGGUUAUUUUUGUGGAAAAGAAAGACCAUACCCAGAGAAUGUGUGUGGACUAUCGUGCACUAAAUGAUGUGACUAUCAAGAAUAAGUAUCCACUACCCAGAAUUGAUGAUUUGUUUGAUCAGCUUAAAGGUGCUACUAUUUUCUCCAAGAUAGAUCUUCGAUCAGGGUAUCACCAGUUAAGAAUCAAAGAGGAAGAUAUACCUAAGACAGCUUUUACCACUAGGUAUGGAUUGUUCGAAUGUACUGUUAUGUCUUUUGGACUUACCAAUGCCCCCGCUUUCUUCAUGAACUUGAUGAAUAAGGUGUUUAUGGAAUACCUAGACAAGUUCGUGGUGGUCUUUAUUGAUGACAUUCUUAUCUACUCCCGAACCAAAGAAGAGCAUGAAGAACAUCUUCGCCUUGCACUAGAGAAGCUACGAGAACAUCAACUGUAUGCUAAGUUUAGCAAGUGUGAAUUUUGGUUGUCUGAAGUGAAGUUCCUUGGUCACGUCAUCUCAGCCGGGGGAGUUGCCGUUGAUCCCAGUAAUGUGGAAUCCAUAACCAACUGGAAACAACCGAAGACAGUUUCAGAGAUCCGCAGUUUCCUAGGCCUCGCAGGGUAUUAUCGGAGGUUUAUAGAGAAUUUUUCCAAGAUUGCUAAGCCCAUGACACGACUGCUUCAGAAAGAUGUAAAGUACAAGUGGUCAGAAGAAUGUGAGCAGAGUUUUCAAGAGUUGAAGAAUCGCUUGAUAUCAGCUCCUAUUUUGAUUUUGCCUGAUCCAAAGAAGGGUUUCCAAGUGUAUUGCGAUGCAUCCAAACUUGGGUUAGGUUGUGUUCUGAUGCAAGAUGGGAAGGUGGUUGCCUAUGCAUCUCGUCAGUUACGUCCGCAUGAGAAGAACUACCCUACUCAUGAUCUUGAGUUAGCUGCAGUAGUUCAUGCAUUGAAAAUUUGGCGUCAUUAUCUUUUCGGUACUCGUACAGAGGUAUAUACCGAUCACAAGAGUUUAAAGUAUAUCUUUACUCAGCCGGAUCUGAACAUGAGACAAAGGAGAUGGUUGGAAUUAAUUAAGGACUAUGACAUGAGAAUUCAUUAUCACCCGGGAAAGGCUAAUGUUGUAGCAGAUGCUCUUAGCAGAAAAGGCAAUUGCAAUGCUACGGAAGGACGACAGUUGCCAUUGGAAUUAUGCAAGGAAUUUGAAAGAUUAAAUUUGGGAAUUGUCAGUAGAGGUUUCGUUACAGCCUUAGAAGCGAAGCCCACUCUAAUUGAUCAAGUUAGAAAAGCCCAAAUUAAUGAUCCUGAUAUUCAAGAGAUCAAGAAGAAUAUGAGAAGAGGAAAAGCUAUCGGUUUCUUGGAGGAUGAGCACGGAACUGUAUGGUUGGGUGAGAAAAUCUGUGUCCCCGACAACAAAGAUUUAAAAGAUGCAAUUCUGAAAGAAGCUCAUGAUACUUUAUACUCCAUUCACCCUGGUAGUACUAAGAUGUACCAGGAUCUCAAGGAAAGAUUUUGGUGGGCAAGUAUGAAGCGUGAAAUCGCAGAAUACGUAGCAGUAUGUGAUGUUUGUCAGCGAGUCAAGGCAGAACAUCAGAAACCUGCCGGUUUGCUGCAGCCUUUGAAGAUUCCUGAAUGGAAGUGGGAAGAAAUCGGUAUGGAUUUUAUCACUGGUUUACCCAGAACGUCAUCGGGUCAUGACUCUAUUUGGGUGAUAGUCGACAGACUUACCAAAGUGGCUCAUUUCAUUCCGGUAAAGACAACUUAUUCCGGAAGUCGCUUAGCGGAAUUGUAUAUGGCAAGGAUUGUGUGUUUGCAUGGCGUCCCUAAGAAAAUAGUGUCUGAUCGAGGCAGUCAGUUUACUUCAAAUUUUUGGAAGAAACUUCAGGAAGAGAUGGGUUCUAAAUUGAACUUUAGUACUGCUUAUCAUCCGCAGACAGACGGACAGACCGAAAGGGUGAAUCAGAUUUUGAAAGACAUGUUGAGAGCUUGUGCUUUAGACUUCGGUGGAAGUUGGGAUAAGAAUCUACCUUAUGCAGAAUUCUCGUAUAACAACAGUUAUCAAGCUAGUCUACAGAUGGCUCCUUACGAAGCACUGUAUGGUCGAAAGUGCCGCACUCCGCUUUUGUGGGAUCAAACGGGAGAAUGUCAGGUUUUCGGGACGGAUAUCCUAAGGGAAGCAGAAGAAAAGGUGAAAAUCAUCCAAGAAAGAUUGCGUGUGGCUCAGUCUCGACAUAAGAGUUAUGCCGACAAUCGCCGCAGAGAUUUGAGUUUUGAAGAAGGAGAUUAUGUGUAUCUUCGUGUCACGCCUCUUCGAGGAGUUCAUCGUUUCCACACCAAAGGAAAAUUGGCACCGCGUUUUGUGGGACCUUAUAAGAUUGUCAGUAGAAGAGGAGAGGUUGCUUAUCAGUUGGAGUUACCUCAAUCUUUGGCAGGAGUCCAUAAUGUGUUCCAUGUUUCGCAAUUGAAAAAGUGUUUAAGGGUACCUACCGAAGAAGCUAAUCUUGAACAGAUAGAGGUCCAAGAGGAUCUGACCUAUGUUGAGAAACCAAUCCGUAUCUUGGAAAUAGAUGAGAGAAGAACCAGAAAUCGAGUUAUCCGUUUUUGCAAAGUCCAAUGGAGCAAUCACUCGGAAGAAGAAUCAACUUGGGAACGAGAAGAUGAAUUGAAGUCAGCUCAUCCGCAUCUGUUCGCCAGUUCUUCCGAAUCUCGAGGAUGAGAUUCUGUUUAAGGGGGUAGGUUUGUCACACCCUGAAAAUCAUAAAUAUAUAAAUUGUUGUUUAAAUGGAAUUUUUAGAAUUUAUUUUAAAAAAGCCUAGAAGAGAAGAUCUUUUUUUUAAUUAAUAAAUUCCAAUAUAAAAUGGGGCCAGAUAAAAUUUUAUUUAAUACUUUGCUUAAUUCUAUAAUUCCUAGAUUUUUCUGGGAUUUUUUGAGCUAAGGAAGUAUUUUUAAUAAAUGGAAUUGCAUUUAAGGAAUAAUUUAAAUUGAAAAAUGUUUUAAAAGUCUCUUUUGGCUUUGGGCCGAAAGUCGGCCCAAAACCCUUCUCUCUCUCCUCGGCCCAGCCGGCCCAGUCCGCAGCCGCCCGCGCCCGCGCGUCCGCCCGCUGACAGGUGGGGCCCGCCUGUCAAGUCGUCGUCUUCCUCGCGUCGGCCGCCGCCCGAAACCCUAGCGCGCCGCCGCCGCCGUUCCUUUCCAAAUCCGGCCGCCCCUUUCCGUUUCCGGCCGAAUUGAUAGAGGGGAAAUGAUCCUCGGGAUCUCCUCUACCUUUUCUCUUUUGGAAACAUCGGCUAAAUCGGUUUGGAAUGUGUUUGAUUCGAGUUCGAAUCGGAUCGGCUUUCCUCUCUCCGAACCCCGAAGUUUCCUUCUCGUCGCCGGCCGCCAUGGGCCUUCGCCGCCGCCUCCUAGCCCCUUUAUAAGCUUCCCCGGUGUCUCCUCUACCCGCCGCCACCCUCGCCUUCGCCUCUCGUCGCCGGAAGAGCCCUAGCGCCGUGCAACCUUGCGCCGCCGUCGCCGCCGUCGCUCCAGUCGUGCGCCGCCGUCGCUCCAGCCGUCGUCGUCGCUCGGGAAGACCGUCGUCGUGGUCGCCAAGUCGUCGCCGUCCUCGUCCGCCCCUUCGCCGUCGCCGAAGACCGCCGGAGCACCGUCGCCGUCGUCGACCCGAAGUUUGCCGCCGCUUCCUUCUCGUCGCCGUCGCCGUCCGUUGGUCUUCCGCCGUCGCUUUGGUCGCCGGUGAGUUCGCCGUGCCGUCCGCUACCCGUUGGUGUCCUCCGUUUGUGCCGGAGCGCCGCCGUUCGCCGGCGAGCGUGCGCCGUCCGAGCCGUCCGAGCCGCCGAGCCGCCGCCGCCGGUGGUGACGUCAUCGCCGACGUCAUCGUCGCCCUCUCCCGUGAGCCGGUCGUAGACCGAUUGAUCUCGGCCGUCCGUUUUGGAUCAAGUCGAUCUCGGCCGUCCGUUCGUGUGAACCGCCGCCGUGCGCCCGGUCCACCGAAACCCUAGCCAUUGACGCAAUAAAUCCUCUUUUCCUUUUCAAAAAUAAUUCAUUAUUGCGUCAUAAUUCAAUUAAAAUCAAUUUAAGUGUUUUAAUCCGAUUUAAUCUUCAAAAAUUCAUAACUAAUUCAUCUUAGCUCCGAUUUAGUUGGUUCAAGUCUCUAAAUUUUUCUAAAAUUGAGAUCUACAUGCUAAAAAUAUCCACAUGUACUGUUCAUGCUUGUUUAUGUGCUGUUUUGGUGAUUUUGCUUCUUUUUGUUUAGAUUCCGUCGUUUCCGGAGAGUCCGUUUUCGCCGGAGAAGAGUUUGAAGAGUUCCAAGGCCAGCAAGGCAAGUCACACAGAUCCCAAACAACCCUUUGAGCAUGUUGAUCCUAUUUAAAGCUACUGUUUCCAUUCAACUAUUGCAUUUAUUUUCGAAUGUCAUUGGGUGGAAUUAACCUAUUGUUUGUUAUAGCCCUUUUGUUCUUGAUUACUUUAUUCCUUGAUACCUUGGGUUAUUAUAAUUUGACUAGUUGAGCUUUAUUUAUAUUGGUUCAACUAGAUAUUAGAUAUAAUUGCUUAGCCCUGCUUAGAAACAUUAGCUCACUAUUGGGAUAACUUAUGACUCACUAUUAUUUAAUGAUGGCUUAAUGAUAGUUCACGAUGGUCAAUCGUGAUUGGUUAAUUAAUUAUUUGCCAACUAAAAUCUGAUAAUGGUGGGUUGUGAGCACAUGGUUUUGAUGGUCGUGCUCAUGACAAUUAAGGACCGGUUCACGAGUUUCGGUUGUGAAACAUUAACCGUGCCAACCACAAGCCAGCGUGGGCAACGGCUUUAUCUUUUGUAUAGCAUGGUUCAUUGCGGGGCACCAGACUGAGAAGUGGCGGAGAUAAGCCCACGGGGGUCGCUGGGGAGUCCAUGCCUUGUUUUUAAGGGGGUGAUUAUGAUCCAGGAAGGUGCGCUGCAGUGGAUUGUGUUAUGCAAGGGGUAUUGUCACAACUCCUUUCCGAGGUACCGUGGUGGUAUUGAGGCACAUGGUGACAUGAUGUGGGGUUGUGUCUUGUGGGUACAGUGGUACACCUCUGAUCAGAGUAAAACUAUUCGAAUAGCCGUGCCCGCGGUUAUGGGCGGGUCUAACAAUGUCUUUCGUGAUUAGUCCCACACUUCUCACCAUAGUAAAUGAUGUUAUAAUUGGUAAUAAUUUGAUUAGCUCCUGGUUUGGAAUGGUACAUUCCUGGUUUGGAGAUAGAAUUGUGCAGCCAGGAUGGUUGUUCAGAAUGGUUGGGCCUAUACAACAGGGUAUGUUGUAUAGCGUUGGAUUAAUAUUGUUUAAUACUUAACUGUUUUAUUAAAUUCUCAAAUGUUUGUUAAAUGCUGCUUUUGCAAAUGAAACCCUACUGUGCCAUCCUUGUGUUAUCCUGUGCACUUGCAUAUUUGCUGCGUGGCUUGCUGAGUAUGUCAUAUACUCACCUUGCAAUCAUUCAUCAGAGGAAGAGUUCUUCAGUGAGGCUGAUGGUGUGGAGAAUUAGGUGUAGCCUUGGUCAAGCUGCCUGUGGAGUGGAGCCGUCUGCGCCGUUUAUCUUAUUUGCCGCUGCUUAGAUCUUUAUUGAUUGAGAGGAACUAUCUACCUCUGUAAUGACAUUUUAUUCGCUUAUUAAUUAGAGUAAUAAUUGUACUAUAUUAUCAAUUUGUUAUUGUGUGCCUCGGCUGAUUCCUGGACGAGGGUUCACACACAUGUAAGCGUUUGGAAUUUUGGAUAGAAAUUCCGGGCGUGACAGAGCGUAAGCAAGCUUUUCCAUUUCAAUGUACCUUGUCUGCGCUCCUUGCAGUGCUUCGGAGACGAAGUAGACCGAUUUCUGUCUGGACUCUGUUUUUUGGACGAGUGCAGCACUGACUGCCACCGGCGAAGCUGCCAAGUAUAAUAGCAGUUCGCUUCCUCGGGGUGGGCUUAUCAGAACUGGCGGGCUUUGCAAGUGCUGCUUUAGCUCGUCGAAUGCUGCUUGGCACUCUGGUGUCCAAUUAAACUUUCUCGCGUCCCGGAGGGUCUUGAAGAAGGGCAAACCUCUUUCGACCGCCUUUGAGAGGAAUCGACUGAGUGCCGCGAUUCGGCCUGCAAGCUUUUGUACUUCAUGUAUGCUUGACGGAGGCUUCAUUUGCUGGAUGGCAUCGAUUUUCUCUGGAUUCGCCUCGAUCCCUGUUUCGGAAACAAGGAAACCCAACAACUUGCCUACGCGGACGCUGAAAACGCACUUCUCCGGAUUCAGCUUUAUACCUGCCACGCACAAGUUGUCGAAUGUCUCCUGCAGGUCGAUCGCAUGGUCGAAAGCCUUGCGGCUUUUUACGACGAUGUCGUCGACGUAAGCUUCCACGUUUCGCCCCAACUGCUUGCCAAGGACCUUGUACACCAGCCUGGCGAAGGUUGCUCCUGCGUUCCUCAAGCCGAAAGGCAUCCUGAGGUGACAAAAUGUGCCGAAUGGAGUGAUGAAGGAUGUUUUGGGGAUGUCGAGCGGGUUCAUGUGGAUCUGGUGGUAACCGGAAUAUGCAUCCAGGAAACUCAUGAGCUCGCAUCCAGCCGUUAAAUCUACGAGCUGGUCGAUUCGCGGCAAGGGAAAAUCGUGUUUCGGACAUGCCUUGUUCAGGUCUGUGAAAUCGACACACAUGCGCCAUUUGCCAUUUGACUUCCGCACCAGCACUGGAUUCGCCAACCACUCCGGAUGGUCAAUCUCUUGAAUAACCCCCGCCCGGAGUAAUUUUUGUACUUCGGUCUUCGUCGCUUCUUGGCGAUCGGCAGACAUCUUGCGCAACUUUUGUUUUCUUGGCUUAAUAUUCGGCUUGACUGCUAAGUGAUGCAUGAUGAGAUCCGCCGGGACGCCCCCCACUUCGUCAGGGCUCCAAGCGAAGAUAUCGAUGUUCUUUUUGAGCACCUCUAGUAUGCUCUCAACUUCUUCUUCGCCCAUGUCGCCACCCAGUGAUACGAGCUUUGUGGGGUCGGCAUCAUUAAUCUGCACUUUUGUUACCUUGCCGUGAGGGGUGGGCUUCGGCGUGUGCUUCGGCCGCUCAUGCGGUUCGGUCUUAACAUUGUGCACUGCUCUGUUGAUUAUGGCUAGAUCACAUUUUGAAGCGGCUGAAGGCUGAAGCCCCUUGACUACUAUCACCCCUGUUGGGCCAGGCAUCUUGAGCUUGAGAUAAUUGUGGUGGGAAAUGGCUUCGAGCUUGUUCAGGGUUGCACGGCCGAAGAUGGCGUUGUAGUUGUAUGGGAUGUUGACGACGUCGAACAGUAUUUGCUCUUCGCGCCUAUUUUCUCCCGAGCCGAAAGCUAUCAGCAAAAGUGCUUGGCCAAGAACUUGCACUGCCUCUCCGCUGAACCCCCGGAGCGACGUUAGUGCCGGUGUAAGAGCUUGGGUUGGCAAGCCCAUCUUAGCAUAUGCUUCGGCGUAGAUCACGUCGGCCGAACUCCCUCCAUCGACCAGGAUUCGUCGGACUUCGAAACCGGCUAUCUCAGCUGAGAUUACUAGUGGAUCUUGAUGCGGGAACAGGACUCCUUCGGCGUCUUCUGGCCCGAAAGAGAUCAGCUGGUUCACGUACUGUGGCGCCCCUUCACCCGCCGAAGUGAUGCUGUGGACCAUGCGGAUCUGCAUCUUCCUCUACCGUUUCGACAACUGGCUUGGCGGGUCAGCUCUUGUAAUCACUUGGAUUACCCUUCGUUGUGUAUCUUGGCGUUGUUUGGCUGGGGUUGUUUGCUCCUGAACUGCUUCACGGGGUGCUUCGACAGUUGUUCCCUGCUGCGGCCUUGGGUCUUGCACGUUGCCACGUUGCCUAAUGUUUCGGCAUUGCUCCGUGGUGUGCGAAGAGCGUCCGUGAAAGGCGCAGUAGAGGUCUUUUCGGACCUUCUUGCGGGCUGGCUGCUGAUGGUUGCUUGCUUGCUGGGUGUCGAACUCCUUGCGGAGGGCUUGCACUUCUUCGACAGCCAUCACAGCCUUGCCCGCCCGAUCUGUUCUGAACUUUCUCCAAGUCAUGGGGGCUUGGCCUUGCCUUGGCGGCUGUCCCUGGAUCGCCGGCUGAGACUGGCGAACAGAGAGGGGAGGAGGUUCGGCAAUUUGAACUUGCGCUUGAGCUUGAGCAGCAGCGACGGAGGCUUUAUCGUACUCAGCUUGUAUAGCUUGUCGUCGCUUAGAAUCCUCCUCACCCCUUGCGAACCCGUCAAUGAUGCGAAGCGGGUGCUCGAGCGUCUGCGGCUCCUUGUUGACGAUUUUUCUUGUUAGUUCGUCCUCAAGCAGACCAGCCGAUGCGGCGUUUAUGACCGACGCCUCGGUUAUGUCUUGAACUUGGCACCGGGCUUGCGAGAAGCGACGCAUGUUCUCCCUUAUGGACUCCCCCGGCCUUUGGCGAAUGCCAAGAAGGUGUUGCUGCGUCUUCGGCUCCUCAUAGGUGCCUCGAAAGUUAAGGACAAAAACAUCGCGCAAUUGCUCCCAUGAGUAAAUGCUAUUGGCUGGUAAAUUGAAAUACCAAGAACGGGCGAUGCCGUCUAGAGCGAGAUGUAUUACCUUCGCCUUGGUAUUUUCGUCACCAUGAGCUGCUUCGAUCGCUGACUCGUAGAUGGAGAGGAAUUCCUUCGGGUCAGUUUCACCCGAAUAACGCGGGACAGGUGGGAACUUGAACUGGGGCGGGAUUGGACGAGUCUUGAUUCCCCCACUCAGCGGCAGCCCCUUUUCGCCUCCCGCCCUGUUUACCGCACCUUGCUGCGGGUACGGAGUGGCGAAGGGCGAAAUCGCUGCUUGUGCGUAGAGUUGGGCCGUGGCAUUCGACUGCCCGGCUCCAACUGGUUGUACUUGUUGGGCCGCCAUGGAUGGGUCAAAGAUUGGCUGCGACCACAUCAUGGCAGCUUGGAUUGGUGCUUGGUUUGUUCCGAAGCCUGGGGUUGGAACUUGCUGCUGAACGGUUGGCACCUGAACAGUGUUGACGAAGUCGAACUGCGGUCCUUGACUCGACGGCGAAGGUCCGGAACCUGGCUGAAUUGGUGGCAACCAAUUGGGCGCACCUUGACUUGUAUUCCCCACCGGGUGAGCCGAUGGGGUUGUGCUUGAAAUGUAGUGGGAUUGGUUGAGUUGCUGAAGGAAAGCUUGGAGUUGCGCCUGCAGAGCCGAAGCCCCUUCCGCCACUGAUUGUGGCGCUUGGCCAGGUGGUUGAUGCUGCCCGGCGAAGUACACCGGCGGCUGUGCGGCUAGUGGCGGAGAGGACUGGGUCACCACUUGCGGCUGGACUUGAGGUGGGGCAUAGCCUGCCGAAUACUGAAGGAUUGGAGCCGACGUGGCCUUGGUCCGCCUUGUCGUCUCGUAUGCUUGUUGUUGUUCUUGCAUUUGGCGAAGCAUGUCUUGGAGCCGUGUCAUGUUCUGCCGCAUGGCUUCUAUGUCGGCUUCGGCUUGCGCUUCGGGGUCCAGGCUGAUUUGGGCCUGUACAACAGUGAGCGCAGUUGGCGCCGUUGGCUGCGACGGGGCGGCUUGAGGCACCACCAGUUGGUUAGUCGAAAGGAUCUCCGCCCUGGUCUGGAGUGCCCUUGCCGCCGCAGCCGCCUUCGCCACGUCAGCCGUGUUCGGCACUUGCACUGAGGUUGCUGGGGCCGAAGACGGUUGUGAUGGCGCGGGGUCCGAAGGCGGCUGUGAUGGCGCUUGUGCUUCUCUAUCUUCGGCCACGGACGCCGAAGGCUCUGCUCCUUCCUCGGCGGCCAUGUCCGGUCCGGCGUCGCUCUCCUUCCGCCUGACAACCUUCUCCUUCACGACCCUCUUCGGUGGCAUUCGCUCUGAGUGGUUUCGCUCGGAGUCCCCAUGGUCGGCGCCAGCUGUUGUCGAAACGACAACCGCAUACGUCGAAAGACGUGGUUACUCAACAGUGGUUGGAAAAAUGAAGUGUACUAAAUUUUGGAUUUCCCUUGGGAUCCCCCCAUUACAUGGCCCUAGGGGACUAUUUAUAGCCCCAUUACAGGUUCUUACUACCAGGGUUUAGGUUGCAUAGGGGAAUUUACAUGAUUACCCUUACAAAAGGGAUAUUUACAGGGGUACAUAAUGUUAUAGGGGCUCAUGGGCCCCUGAUGGGCCGUCUGGCGAUCGCCGGCCUGAUGGGCUGGAGGGCUUCCUCAGCCCUCGCGGGAGCGAUUUGUCAAGGCGAAGUCAUCCUCCUUCGGCAGACAGUCUUCGCCUUGCACCCUUCGCCUAAGACGCCUUUGGCCUGGCGCUACUCUUCCCUUGGGCCAUUCUUGCUCCAUAGCCUUCGCCAUGGGUUUCGGCAGGUUUGGUCGAAGGGCCUCAUGCCAUCCGCCAACAAUAGGCUAGACUUAAGUGGGAUUAAAAUGAUUGCAUAUUACCUUCCCUUUACCAUAGUCAUAUGUAGUAUCGAUUUUAUAUCUUUUUUUUGCCUUGUGCUUGUCCCAGUAUUGAAUAAGUGGUUUGUCGCGCAUAGUAUAAUCUAUGGUUGGAUCCAAAUUGUCAGCUCGUAGCUUCUCCCAGUACCAUAACUGCAAGAAAUACAAUUGAGUAAAAACAAUUUGUCUUUGGUUGGUACAAAAUAAUAUUUGUGCAGUUGCAUUACCCGCAAAAGUGGUAGGUUUCCUUCAAGAUUGACUCCUUUUAUUGUUGAAAUAUUUUUAAUGCUUUUCAUUAGGUGGUUUAAAUUCAGGCUUGUCCAGUUAAUUGCACUGAUUGCAUUGACAUCCUCCACAAGAUUUAGGUAUGCCGAGCUUACAUACCUUUGAGUAGUUGGGCACAGGAAAACACCGAUCACAAAGAGCACGAAACGAUGAAUGAAAUUGUCGUCAUGUAUACCUUUGUUUGUUUGAAAAUACUCUUGCAGAGAUAAUUUUAUAUGUGCCCCUUGCUUAGAUGUUGUCUUGAAUUCAUCAAACAAGUCCCUAUUCUUGGUCUGUGGUGGUUCAAAUAUUUCUUCUCCUUGUGAUGGCAGGUCAAGCAAAUGUUCAGCGUCCCUAUUGGUUAGACUCAGAUAGCUACCUUGGAUUUUGAAUGCUUCAGCCUUUGUAUCGAAUUGGUUUGCAAUCCACAUGCACAAAAUACGGUGUACAUUUAUCCUAUGUAUCUUCAGCAAUCCUCCGAAGCCACAUUUGUGUACAGCUUCUCGUUGAGGAACACUGAAGGUUGCGAUGAGGUCAUAAAGGGCAUGAAUAGAGCAUAUCUGUGUGGUCUGGUUGAAUGAAAUCACAAUGAUUCAAUGAAGACACAAUGUAAAUUGUAAUGUAAAUUGUAAAUAGAGAUAAUCCCUUAUAUGUCACUAGAAUUUAACCAGUUCCCCUGUAUGCCACUCAAAAUAGGCUUCUCCCUUAUAUGCCACUAGUUCAAGUUUUUCCACCCUUUUAUGCCACUCCCAUCAUUAUAGUGUUAGUUGACUGUUAGUCAAAGGUUAGUUUCUUUUAAAUGACCAAUAUGCCCUCUCAACUAAAAAAUGUGUAAACUUCGAAAAAUCAUAACUAAUUUAUUUUAAAUCCUUUUUGAGUGAAUAAAAUUUUGUCAGAACCAGUGAAAAAUUCUCUUUAUAUUAAAAAUAUUGUUGGAAAACUGCAUGUUUCAUGCUUACAUUGAAAAUUUAUUUGUGAUGGUAAUGGCUAAAAUUGCAUGUGAUGCAGAAAAAAAUCAAUUUUUAUAUGUUGUAUCCAGUAGCUAUAUUAGUACUAAAAUACCUAUUAUUGGUUGUAUACUAAUUCUAAAGGGCAAAUGCGUCUUUUUACAAAGAAGUUAAUGGUCAACUGACGGUGGACUGACGACAAUGGCAUAAAAGGGAGGAGAAACUUGAACCGGUGGUAUAAAAGGGAGAAGCCAAUUUGAAGUGGCAUAUAAGGGAGCCGGUUAAUUUAGAGUGGCAUAUAAGGGAUUCUCUCUUGUAAAUAUGAUUGAAUAAUUAUUACAAUAUUAUUUUAGGAAUCGUAGAAUAAUUGUUGUAGAUACAUAUUGAACUCUGCAGCUUAAUGAGCGAGCAAAUACUUGCACUUACCUGUUGCUUGCACAACCGAAUGUUUUUUUUUAUGAAUUAAAUAUUUAGUCCGUGUCUUUCCGGAGCUGGUCUAUUAAAAUUCUAGGUUUUAUCUUUCCACCGCGCAUAGAAUAAAGGACCCAUAUUAUUUUAGGAAUCAUUUGUAGAUUGAGCUAACCGGAGAUCUUUUCUAGGCUUGCAGGAGUUUGGAAACCAUCUUCCUGUGCUGGAGGUUGACAGGCUUUGGUCACAACAUGUUGCUGAGAAUGUGACAUGCUAAGCAGGCAGUAAUCAUCAGUACAAUGGGUGGUGUUCAAAUGGCAAUACAUUGGAGUCUGUUUCCUUUUCUGUAAUUUGACCAACAAUAUCAGUCAUGUGGUAGUAGUACUAGUAGUAGUGGCCGAAUAAGACAGUAGCAACGACAUGAAGUAUGAACUGUGAAAAUAUGUUCCGAUUCAGGAUUAAUUAGGUGGGCCAGCUAAAAAUGAAAUUGUAUCCUGAGAUUCUGAUAUCUUAUUGUUUGAACUAUUGAUUGAAUUAUUAUUGCUCAAUCUGGAUAUAGGAGUACAUCAUCUGAAUUCCAAGAGGGAUUUUUAUUCCUCUAAUUGUAUUUGAGCUUGUACUUUGCAAGAGCUAACAUACGAUCUGUUACUGGGUUCGUACUGAAUUUAUAUUUUUCCUCUGCACGCACAUGAUAUUUUUCGAUUGUUCAGACAUGGAUAAUGUGCUUUUCUCAACUUCUUUUUUUUAAAAAAAUGGAAGAUUUGUGAAUUGGAUUGUAUCUUGGACUUUUGCAUGGCCUUGGACUGCAGUUUUAAAAUUCUCUUAAUUUUUCCACAAGAGUUUGUCAUUUGCUUGCCCAAUCAGAUCAUUCAAGGCCAAAGAAACCAUUUGCAAAAGAAAAAUUUUUAUUAAAAUGUUGUUGAUCUGACGGCCAACAGUGCUGUGCUUAUUGUACCAUGUUCACAUUGUAAAUCGUAAGGUCAUUCACGUACAGUCGUAUAUAUACAUGACAAAUGAGUUUUGGAAAUUGAUUAGUAUACAAUUUGUAACUUUCUUUGCACGUAGCAUCCGAAUAAUUAUCAUUUAAAUUAUAUUUAUCGUAAAAGAUGCCCUUGUUCUAAGAACAGACUAUUGCAGAGAAGGAACUGCUCUGUUAUAUCAGUAAUAACAGGAUAUUGCGCUGCACUGGAAAAUUCUACUCUGAAGAGAUGGACAUAGUUCAGCCGAGUAGCAGUAUAUGAAAGAUGAUAAAAUCCCAGGUGAUGUGAUGAAAUCACUUCAAAGGAAAAGGAGAGCCAAUCUCUCGGCAUCAUGCCCUGUAGAUGAAAGGGAUUUGUGGUUUUAUCAUCUCAGUUUGUAUUUCGAUAUGUCUGCACUCCUAUAAAAUUCAUCAAUAUGUCUGAAAUAAACAUCUGUCAAAAGCUCAAAUUACAAAGCAUAAAUUUUUGGUUCCCGAACAAUAUUUGUUAUUUCCAGAAGAGCUAUCGAAAUUCUGAAGCAUCUAAAUACUGCACUUCCAUCUGGAUGUUGGCAUGCAGUUCAUGUAGUGGCAGCAGUGUCAACCAUCGUUUCCAGUCUUCCCCUUCAAAAGCAUCAUCAGGACAAUCACAAGCCUGCAUAAUUAAUUCGCCUCUGUUAGCAUCUUAUUGAUUAAUUCAUCAGCUCCAGCAUCAAGUAGCAAGCAGCACCAACAAAACAAAUCCGUAUAUACUUCUGUAAACUAUAUUCUGUACAAACCCCUAUAUACUUUUGUGACAAGUGUUAUAUUUGGGAGAGGUACUUACAUUUCAGUCGAUUAAGCCUAAAAUCAGGAAUUGUUCAUUAACUGGAUUAUAUACUGGCUUCAGAGCUUAGCUUCAGGUUUCAUAUAAAAGAGGAAAUCAAAUGCUAACUUCACAUACACCUUCUUUGUUGAAUAUGGGCAUACUAAAUUAAACAGUAGUUAUAUGUGUGCAUAUGGGGAUCAUGCACACCAACCAUAAGUAAUGUAGACAUCGAUUCACACCAAAUCUGAGUCAAAAAUAAGCAGGAAUUAGGGACCUGUUAUACAUACCACACACAGUUCGCUUACAGUGUAUUCAAUGGUUUCUUCUAUUCCAAGAAUCACUGAUUGGCCUCAAUCUCUUCUUUGACGGGGCACCUUUAGAAGUAAUCACCUCAGGAUCAAGGACUCUCGUCCUGUGGGGUUGGUUACAUGCUGAAUAGUGCGCUGGCAAAGGACCAAACGGCCACUCUUUAUUGGGGUUCACCGAGUCUUCCUCCAUAAUACUCCGAAAGAAAUUUCUUACCUUUUCUGCCUUCUAAGAUGAUUUAGAGGCUAUAAAUAAAGCAAGACUACUCAUGUUUCUCAGGUCACGGUAACAAUCCAUCUGCUCAGACCACACAUGAGUGUUGGUACUUCUAUCUGACUCAAAUGCCGCUUUCACAUCCAUUGUCCACCUUACCAUAACACAACAAUGAGGAAUAGUGCCGACACCAAGAAACUUAAGAACAGCACAAACAUGAGAGCAAGGGAUGCCGUCACACUCCAGCUUUUUGCAAUCGCAAUUGGCACUAUUCAUCGAUUGCUCCUCAAAAGUACACCACACAUGAACCUGCACAACAUUGUUGUCUUUUGAUGCAACGGUAAACACACCAGCACCAUCUUGUCUUGCCACAUUGAAAACUUCCCACUCAUAUAGCUUCCUUAUCUCUGCCCAGACCUUCUUGAACAUGGCCGGCAUGUAAAUACGUGCCGCACUUUUCUCUAGUGGGUCAGCACAUAUUGUAGUGAACGAGACAGACUGCGACGCUCUCGCAUCCAGCACGGCUUCAUUCCUACGGAUACGUGACAAGCAAAACUCAUAGUGCUCAACCAAAUCGACCAGCGACAUCUUUCGAUCAAGAUGCCUAUGCAACCUUGAGUUCAAAGACUCGCUCCGUUGGUUGCUCCGCAUUCCAAGGAAGCGUGUCCCUUUCAUAUAUGCAGUGGACCACUUCUUCCUUAGCUCGUACAUCAUGCUUAUCCAUAAGUUAUUUUCAUUGAAUCCAUACUUGGCCUUAUACUCAACCCAACAUCUCUCAAAGUCAUCAACAUCCAUAGCAUCAUAAAGGAAUUUCUUAAAAUCUGCAAGCUUUUGGCGACGGAGGUGACAUUUCAUGUUCUCCUCAAUGUGCCAACUACACAAUCUAUGAUCAGUAUUGGGCAUAACCUUUGUAAUUGCCUUCGCCAUUGAUGCAUCCCCAUCAGUGAUCAAUGAUUUCGGAUGUUUUUGGUGCAUUGCCUCCAAAAGAGUUUGUAGCAGCCAGACAUAUGAAGAAACAGACUCAUUUGACAAUAUACCACACCCAAAAAUAAUUGUGCUGCGAUGAUGGUUAGCUCCAACAAAAGGAACAAAUGGAAGACUGUACCGGUUCACAUGGUAUGUACUAUCAAAUAUUACCACAUCACCAAAUGCUUCAUAGUCAAGCUAGGAUUGACUGUCGGCCCAAAAUAAAUUCCUGAGACGACCUUUUUCAUCUAUACUGUAUCUAAAGAAAAAAUAUGGGUCUUGUUCUUGCUGAGCCAUCAGAUGGUUCACCACGAGAUCAGCGUCCCUACCUUUAAAUCUCUUCUUCUUGUACCGGGCAAAAAAAUUGUACAAGUCUCGCAUUACGAACCCAACCUUAUCAUACCCACCAUGAUUCUUCUCCAUUACUUACAUUAUUUGACAUGUUCGAAGCCCGCCAACUCCAAGCUCAACGGCCUCAGCUUUUUGAGCAUCAUUUACCUCGCGAUGAGAUCUUAAGAAAGCUACCAGGUCAGGGUUAGCAAGUCUAUGUGAAUGUCUAGCUUCAAAACCUGAUACAAACCACAUUCCGGUCUCUCCAUUGAGCUCAAUUUCAAGCAUUGCCUUACAGCCACAGUGGGUCAACGCACGUGGCUCCCUUUUCCUAUUGGUUCUCUCAAAGUUUUUUAACGUCCUGUAACCUUCACAUGAGCAAUAAAAUCCCUUCACAUGAGCAAUAAAAUCACCUCCAGAACACUAGCUCGGUACCACUAAAUCGCUUCACUUUGUCCCUUCUAAUGCUAAAACCUUUACACCUUGCAUAUUCAUUGUAAAACUUGUAACCAUCUUCCUCGCUUCUAAAAAGCUUACUAGCAACCAAGUUAUACUCCUCCAUCUCCUCCAAGCUAACUUCAUCCUCAUCCAUUGUGUAACACUGUUAAUACACAGUAAUAAUACACAAAGAGAACAAACAUAUCAGCAUAAAUAAAAUAUAGGUUAACAUCUUGCGUUUCAUACAUCACUUACAAAAAUCUUUACAAAUUUGCAAGUCUUCACAUAAAUCAAGUGUCUACAAAGACGAGAUUUUUCACACACAGAUCACAACACAAUUCGAAAAUUGCAUGUAAGAAUUAUGAUAAAAGUGAUAUAACUUUGCGAAAAACAUCCUGCAAAUUACAAAGUAAUAAAGGCUUGAUAGACUAUUGGCAAAUAUUAAAACAAAUAAUUUAUGAUAACCUAUGAUAUAAACGUUCGAUGGAACCAGCUUUAUUACAUAUAUGGAUAAUACCUUAAUUUAAACCAAAUUUAAGUUGCACAAUUUGCACCUCUGCUACAUUAAUUUUACAUAGCACACUCAUCCAGCUAUAUACCUAGGAUUAAUGCGAUUCUAGUUGCAGAAUGCAGAUUUUCAUCCUACUUGUCUCAUCAAAUACAACCUAGUGUUCUAAGGCAGAUCUUCCAAAACAAAGUCAAUCAACAAGAUAAAAUCUCACCUCUUUUUCAUAAUGAGAUAGUAAAUUUUCAUGUCGACAUUAAGGUUAAGCACAACAAAAAUUGCAGAACAAAACAACCAUUGCAUUAAUUAAUCAAUACAAUCGUACCAAAUUUAGGUCAGCGUCUUACCAGGAGCACUCCAGUGGCUGCAGGGCAGGCAGGGCAACCAGGACGGAGAUGGGAGGCGUGGGGAGGCUGCCGGCUCGACGAGUGCACUCUCACCGCCGUGGUUUGGGCAAGGAACAAGCUGUGAGAGGUCGGAUGCGGGAGAGAAUAGGCUAGGGCUGGAGGCAAGGCGCUGGGGACGAGGGAGACGCCGGGCGCGUGGAGGAUCAGCUUCUCCCGGCGCCGGAGGAAUCAGUACGGAGGCGCCGGCGGGCAGCGACGCCGGAGACGCGAGAGGAGUCGGCGCGGGAGCGAUGUGCGCCAGGGGCAACGACGCCGGAGACGCGAGUUGUAUCGAGAAGAAGCGGAUGACGACAUCCACAGAAAAAGCUAAUGAAGGAAAAAUAACCCGGGUGAAAUUAAUUCUCUAAUUUAAAUGACCAAAAAGCCUUUUUCAGACUCUUACCUAAUACCAAAACUACCCUUGUAUAUACUGGUAGUAUAUACUAGCAGUAGAAUGUACCGUAAAAGUGCUGGGGGUGAGGGACCUACAGCUGGUGCAUUAACCUCUUUCUUUAGGCUUAGAUUUUUAAGUCAAUUUAUUGGCUUAUAUGAUUUAUAAGCCGGUGGAUUGAAUGUCCUAUGUUUAACGGUGGAAUCAUGCAUCUACCUCAUAUAAGCUAAAAAAGCUUCUCUAACUUAGCUUUUGGCUUAAUAGUGUUAGAAUGGCUUAUGGCUUCAGAAAAGCCAAACAAAAAAGCCGCUUAUUUAUUUAGGCUUAAACUUUUCGACUUAUAAGUUGGCUUAUAAGCCUAAACAAAGAGGGCCUAAGCCUGUCGCAUAUAUAAAUUAUUUUCGCAUGCAAUUUACGAUAGCCAUCUCUACAAAUUAGAGUUGAUUAUAUUAUUAUUUUGAAUUGUUCUCCAAAGAAUUUGUUUCCUGAUUAACACUAGAUGCAUAUACGUCGCAAAGUCUAAAGAAAAACUUCUCCUCUCGCGUCAUCCUCCCCGGGCAACUCGGGAGGUGACGCCGUCGCCGCCUUCUUCCCCUUCAACGCCUCCUCCCCCGCCUCACCGCCGCCCGCGCCCGGCGGCUGGGGACAUCGCUCGAAGCAGCAGCGGCUGUGCCCAGAUCUGCGCCGUGGCCGGCCGGAUAUGGGGGAGCAGCAGCCGGCGGCGGGGAAUGAAGGUGGCGGCGGCGGGUGGUGGCAACUGCGGCUCGUUGGCGUCUGCAGCGGCGACCAGAUAUGGUCGACGGCUGGCUGGCGGCGGUUGGUGGUGAUUACAGCUGCCAACGGCGGCAGGUGACGGCAGCGGCGGGCUGCAAGCGAGGCGGGGGCUGGUGGUGAGGCGGCUGCUGCUAUGGUGACUGCUAAGGCGGUGACGGUGGGGGCGGCUGCUGGGGUGGCGGUUGGCGACGAGUCGACGGCUACGGUGAGGCGGCUGCCGAGGCGGUGGCUGCUGUGGGGGCGACUGGCGAGGAAGCGCCUGCGGUGGGGGCGGCGGAGUCUGGCAACGGCGGCGGCAGCGGCAGCUGGCAACGGUGGCGGAUGCUGCGGCGGGAAAGGCAUUGGGCGGCGGAGAAGUAGGAGGAGUCCAGGGGGGUGCGAACGCGGUGUCGCCGACCGGAAACGGGCGAUGAUGGCUGCGAAAGAACAAUGGCGGCGGCGGUGAAAGCAGGCAUGGCGGCUUCGGACGGCUAGUCGAGGGCGUGGCAGAGGGCUACAUCUAGCUGGAGCGGUAGCGUUUGGAGGAGGGGUUGGAGACUAGCUUGGCGUAGAGAGGCGCAGCCGAUGGCAGCAGAGGCCGGCUCGACGCGAGAGGCGUGGCCGAUGGAGGUAGGCCAGAUUGGCGCGAGGAUCAUCCGGUGGAGGAGGCCGGCUUGGCACGAGAGGCGCGGCCGGCGGUGGAGGAGGCGACCUCGGUGCGAGGAGGGGCUGCCGGUGGAUGUGGCGUGGUCUUUGGCGCACGAAGGCUGGCCGAUGGGGGGCGCCGGUGCAGUGGUCCCACAUGUCGGCAAAGGUUGAGUGGUGGUGGAGCAUCGGGGCGUCAGCCGUGGAUUCGCAGGUGGUGUGCAGCGGGUGAAAACCCAGUCUAGCCUUGGCCGGACCGACAACGAUCAUUUAUUCCCCCUCCUGAGGGCGUUGUCGUGCUGUCUCAUCCCUCAAAAGUGGUUGCCAGGCGAAAGCCCAGUCUUGGCUCCUUUGAGCCCCGACAGAUGGCGGCGGCGGUUUUUCCGUCACUUCUCCUCUUAAAGACGUCGUUUUGGCAUCCCCUAGCCGAAGCCGCUCGAUCGAUUGGUGCAAGCAUGCUCUAGGAGUUAGCUUUGUGUUGGUUGUGAGGGUGUUCUUUUGGGCGAUUUCGGUUGUGUGCCUUUGUAGGUCUAGCGGCGGUCGGUCACGCUUAGCGGCGACCGGUCCGGUGUUAGUAUUCUCCCAGUCUUGUGUGUUGGCACUGUCGGUGUGUGGGAGGUGGUAUAUACUUUUUCCUGGUUACUACUCUCUCCAGGGUUGUAAUCUUGUAAUUUUUUCCUGCUCUAUCAAUAUAACUUCGCACCAUCUCGUGCGAGUCGUUCAAAAACAUAGAAUUUGUUUCUUUUUUCUCAAGUUAAGAUUUGAUUUUCAAAGUUACAAUAGCUUUUAAAAUGUUCCAGACGCUUUGAUCUUGCAAGCCAGCUGUGGCAUCUAAGAGAUAGGGAUAUAUGUACCAAUUUUUACUUUCUUGAAGUUCUCAAAAAAAAAUUACUUGUGCAUGCUUAUAUCAUGCCGGGGAAAAAAAAGACACAAAACUUAUGUACCAUAUUGUGUUACAGAAGCACAGUAGGUGAUGAACUAAAAAACAAUAUUCUCAAGCUAGUAAGGGAGCUGCUACCAACGUUUUGAUAUUUUAAUUUCUACAGAACCAUUUGUCUUGUAGUCAAGAGUGGUAGAACAGGAUUUCCGAUGACUCCGGUUUCUACAUGAAAUUAUGAGGAAUGCUUCGACAUAUGCUCUCCGAUUGUUUUCUUAUGUAGUUCUCUGUUAUACAUAGCUGCACACAAUACUUUAUUAUCUACUUUUGGCCGUCUUGUAUGUUACGGCUUCUCAUGCAUAUUGUGCAGCAGAUAUUACGACAACACAAUACCAUAGUGAGUUAGCAUAGAGAAAGAGAGAAAGAAAAAAAAGGUUAUUUGACUCUAAAGAUCAUAUCCGCCUGUGAAAAAAGUACCCUACGUCGGUGAAAAUGCUUUUUAUAGUAGUGUUUUUUCCUUAUCACCAACACACGUCUCUGAGUUUUCGUUUUAUUCCUUCUAUCUAUUUGUUCACUUGAAGUUGACAAUUAUAAUUUUUUUUUGCAAAAUGAUAGCCUCGUUAUAGAAACAGAAUUAUCAUGGUGAAAAACUUCAGUUAUAAAAAGUUGAAGGGAAAUAUGUUAGUUGACGCAAAUUCAGGGGCACACAAGAAAUCUUGUCUACAUUUAUCUCAAAGUAUCAACCAAAAGUAUUGAUCGACAUAAAGCUGUUUAUCUUCACAUAACUUAAAGAUCACCAAACGAUUUGGGGGUGUAAUCAACAGAGUCGUCACAAUCGAUAGAUCAAAACCGACUAGUGGAACCGAUUUCAAGAUUAAUUCACUUUCGCGGAAUGAAGCUACUAACUUAGAAGCAAAUUAGCAAAGAGGAUAAAUAUUGUACUUACGUCACAACCAACGACUAGUUUCCGAGCAAACUAGCAAAGGAUAACCUCCUCGCUUUUGUGGAGGAACAUGACCGUUUUUCAGCGCAAAACGGCAAAGAUUAACCAAAUUCUAGUGUUGCUAGAACUCAGCUAUAAAAGCAAAAUAGAAAAUAAUGGAAAAGUAAAUAACGGGAAAAAUAGUAGAUUGAUAAUGUUCCGGGUCCUCAAUUAACCGUACACCCGCAUAUAUACACAAGUAGCUUGGUCAUCGGUCAUUCGGUCCAACACAAAAAUAGCAAGGUUCUAACUAAAAAGGAAACAAACUGAUAAGAUGGAAAAUCUAUCUCUAUCUUCCUAGCAGCUGCACGCGCUAAUCAUGCGCAGCAUCGUUUACAAACUGACGCCACAGCUGCACACAAAUGCAUGCUAAUACGUCUCCCGCGCACGCAAGCGAUUGAGGGAAAAGUCAAGCAGAUUAGGGCAAAAUCAAGCAAGCAGCACGCUAGACUUCUCCAUUGUACAUAUAUGUGCUCAUCAGCCCCAAAAGCUCCUCAACUGCAGCAAAUUUUCACCAGCAACCAACCGCACAGGUCUUCACCUCUCAACCUACAUGCAAAUAGUACCAACGCAAAAACCUUCCUUGAACGUGGUUAAACUUAGCUGACCCAUAAUAUCUCCAUGUCACAAAAUAAAUGCUCAGCCUUCCCGCAAUCAACACACAUUUAACCAACCACUCGAUAAAUCUAGACAGCUAAACUAAAUAAUCUGGCUUACCCAAAUAAAACUAAGAGUAAAUUGCACAUUGGACUACUUUUAUUAUCAUAGUUACACAUUGGACUAGGGACAAAGUAAUAUUUUCAUUUUGGACUAGACAAUUUUACACAAGUUUCAGAUUGGACCGGUGUUUCCUCCAUCUCCCCUCUCUUCUCUUCUUCAUUGAGCUGAAGCCACUGUACGUGAGCUUGAGCACUGCCAUGUCCUCCCUUUAUUGAUACUAAAACUAGCAUGUUAGGUAAGGUGAUAUGAUUAGUUUAAUUUAGUCUUUAGCAUACUGAAGUCUUCAUCUUCCCCAUAUGUGGUUGGGAUUGAGCUCCGUGGUGAAAGCAACCUGCAUACUCGACCCUAAUUACUCUGCCUAUUCUAAUCCCUGACGAAGUGUUAUAGUACUGCUCCCACGCUCGAGCUCAGGCACCAGCAAUGACUUCAGCUCUAUCACCAUGCACUUCAUCUCAGCUUGAGCACCUUUACCAGUGCUGAACCUGUGAUGAUUUGCUACUCUUCCCUCUAGAUUAGAUAGGGUGAUUGGAGUUUGGGAAACUGUCGUACUUCUAUCUCCUCCUGAUUGGUGAUAGCAUAACGCGCGAGAACAGGUUGGGAGAGAGAUAAUAAGGCUGCUUGACUUGGAGAAGAUGAGGAGUGGUGCAGAGUGAAACAAAUGGCAAGGUUAUGUGGUGCAAAGUGAAAAUCAUGGCUCAGACCCUGUCCAAGCUGCAACAAGGGUAAAAAUCAGGGUUUUAAGUCUCCCGCUAUAGCUGCCGCUAUCUCCUGCUAUAACUGUUUGAGAAGGAUUCUAGCUAUUUGCUCUCAUAUACAAUUUAGCCGCUAUAGCUCUAUUUAGCCCGCUAACCGCUAAAUGCCUUAGCCCGCUAUUUAAAACAUUAGUAAAAAUACAUGACCCAAACUGUAAUUUACUCUAAAACUAAAUAUUAGCCAAAUUAUGAUACAAACAGAGAGAACGAGCGUCAAAGGUGAGUCAAACAGGCACCUACGCAAAGACUACUUACAGCUUUGAUGUCACCAACUAAGCCAUUCUUAACUUAUAUUAUCUUCGUUUUAUCAUAUAUGACGCUAUUGACUUUUUUGAGUAAAUGUUUGACCAUUUAUUUUUUUUAAAAAAAUUAUGUAAUUAUCAUUUUUUAGUUGUUUUAUCACUAAAUAUUUUAAGCAUGAUUUAUAUCUCAUGUAUUUGGCUAAAAUGUUUAGCAAAACAAAUGGUUAAAUAUAUAUUUAAAAGUAAAUAGCAUCAUCUAUUAAAAACUACAUUAAAAACUACAGGGAUUUAUUGACCAAAAACCCCGCUCCCCGUCCCGGUCAGGGUUCUCUGGCCCCCAUGGGGACACACACCCGCACCAUCACAUUUAAAGCUGCAUGUGAGAUAGAAGAUCCAAUUCAAUGAAGUAUCCCGACAAAUCAACGAAAAUCAACAAAAAGCAAGCAAAUCAUGUGAUUCCGAUUACCAAAUCUAGCAAAUUAAGUGACCAGGAAACCACAGAUUACAAAGGGAAUAGCAGAACUCGAUAAUACCGACGAGACAGUUGUCAGGGUUACGAGUUAGGUAUACCCUUUACCCUUCGAUAUACGCUAAAUAUCGGUAUGGCAUACCUACGCGUAUACGGACACUUUCUGCAUAUACUAAGGAAAUCCUUCACGGAGUUUGUAGAUGGAAAGAGUCCUACUCGAACAAGACUGGGUCGUCAAUGUAUCGUGUAAGGUCCGAUGUCUCCAAGUCCUACUUGGAAACUACCUGACCUGCGAUAUAAAAGGGACCCCCUAGGAGGACCUAAGACAUCGAAUCUCAGAACCAACACAACUCCCACAGCCUACGAAGUCGGAGCCUGCAGGAGCCAAAUCGUCGGAGAUCUAGUCGAACCAACUCGAUUACGAUCUCGCUGGAUCCAUCGAGUUCCAUCGUUCCCUUUGUAACCUGUGUUUUCCAUCAUAUAAUCCCACAUCAACUGGAUUAGGGCUAUUACCUAUCAAGAGGCCUGAACCAGUUUAAUCUUCGUCUUCUGUUUGCUUGAUGUCGUAUUACGUAGAUCCUUGUACCAACGUACCCCAAUACCUUCUAUAUCCGGUCUACGGGUAUCACUCGUCGACAGUGGCGCGCCAGGUAGGGGGACUUGGUGCUCAAGGUUCUACUACUAUGUCAUCCAGCUUCGUCGACAACAACAUCAACACCAACCACAACCAGGGAUUUUCUGCUUCAACAAUGCUGGUGUGGACUCAAGUCAGCGAAAUCGUCUUCCCGGUUUACACCACGAUGCCGAUCUCAGCCAGUCCAUCAAUGACCGGAAACGAGAACGCAGUGGCUACAACCCAGGACGACUCCAUGUCGAAGGAUCCUCCCGCUGAAGCGGAGAACGGAACAUCGACGACAUCCGAGCUCGAGAAGGAUUCUAAUGCGGCCAAACCUUGUCGUUCCGACAAGAACCACGAGCCGACGAGGAUGACUUCCAAAGCGACAAGGUCCUGGUGUCCUAUCCACAAAACCAGGAAACACACUUUGCAAGCCUGCUGGGUUUUUCUCAACGUCCGCGCCGAGAUUCGCGCCUGCAAAGAGCGUGGAAUUCAGCGUAUUUCUCCAACUCAUGAUGUCUAUUGUCCUAUUCACAAGACAAAGAAUCACGACCUCUCAAGCUGCAAGGUCUUUCUCAGCGCCAUGAAGGCUCCAUCUCCUAAGGUCCAGCAGUCACACAUCCCCAUCAGGGAUAAAGACAAGGAACAAGGAGCGACACCAAUUUCAGAUCGAUUUGUUGGGGUAAUCGACAUCGAUCCCCAUGAACCAUCAGUCUUGCACCUCCUCGAAGACUAUGGAUCAUUGACAACGAGCGCGCCGCAGGAAGUAUUGGCUAUCGACGAUGUCGGCACGUCAGCAUGCACCAAUACGGAAGCGGAGAAUCAAGUGAUCACUCCGGCCCAGCACAUCAGAGCCGUCAACGCAAUACUGAGGGAAACCCCCUAUGAUCCCGUUCUGAACGACGAUCUCGCACGUUGGACAGAACGACUACGGGAAUCAGUGGCCAACCUCGGUAACGCAUUCGAAGAGGCCGCUGCUGCAGCGCGUCCGAAACAGCCACCAACUGGCGAUGCUAAUGGUGAAAACCCAAAAUAGCGGGAAUCACCUCAUCGAGCCACCCCUCCACCUCGCGGCACCGACGAUCUCCGCGAUCACCUAAAUAGCCGCCGAGAGGCGUGACGCACACGAAAUAAUGAGAACUGUUCCGACAUCGCGUCUCUUCACGGCGUCACAAUAACGAAGAAUGAGGAGGCCAUUCGAGCGAACACCGAGACCGUGAUAGCCGCCACAACCGCCACGAUCACGACGAGCAUGAACAGCGGGCGAUACUGGUCGAGGACAACGCCAUAAUGACAACGAUGGUGGAGAUCGGCGCCGAGACAACAGCGGGAGACGGCGACAGGAUUCUCGAGAACCCGGCCGACGUCCUCGUACUCAUGCGCCGGAACCAAGCGACCCAUCGUCAUCGUCAUCAUCCUCGUCAUCUUCAUCAGAUAGACAUCCUCGAAGGACGUUUGAUUGCCGACAACCCACUGCUCCCAGCGCUGGGUGUAGAGCUUUCGGUCGUUCACUUCGGGAUGUCCGAUGGCCUAAAAGAUUCCAACCUGGAGCAAUACAGAAAUACGAUGGGAGCACCGACCCGGAAGAGUUCCUUCAGGUUUACUCCACGGUGCUCUAUGCCACUGGAGCGGACGACAAUGCGUUGGCGAAUUACUUGCCAACCGCAUUGAAAGGCUCUACACGUUCAUGGCUGAUGCAUCUCCCUCCCUACUCGAUCUCUUCGUGGGCAGACCUGUGGCAGCAAUUCGUUGCCAAUUUCCAAGGAACUUACAAGCGCCACGCGAUCAAAGACGACCUACAUGCGUUGACAUAGAACCCGGGCGAAUCCUUGAGAGAUUAUGUUCGGCGCUUCAAUGAGUGCAGAAACACAAUCCCCGAGAUUACCGAUGCUUCUGUAAUUCGCGCUUUAAAAUCCGGUGUCAGAGAUUGCUACACUACUUAGGAGUUGGCAACGAGACGCAUCACAACUACUUGGAGGUUAUUUGAAAUUGUCGAUCGAUGCGCUCAUGCGGAUGACGCACUGAGACGCAAGAAUGACAAACCGAAGACCGGAGGAGAGAAGAAACCAGCCAAGGACGCACCUGAGUCAAGCAAGAAGAAAAAUUGCAAAAGUGGGAAAAGGAAAGCUCAAGCGGAAGUUCUUGCAGCAGAAUACGCGAACCCUCCCAAGCGCCCAGACCCACAAGGUAGCGACGCGAAGAAAGCAUGGUACCCCAUACACAAGACGGAUAGACAUUCUUUGGAAAACUGCCUUGUUUUCAAAAAGUUGCUCGAGAAGCACAUAGCAUUUGAAAAAGGCAAGCGAGUACGCGUGGUCGAGAAGGAUGCAGAGGCGGCUGCUCAGGAAUCGGACUCAGCAUAUCCAGACUCUGACCUCCAUGUUUCACACAUUUUCGGAGGCUCCACAGCGUAUUCCUCAAAGCGAGAAUACAAGAAAGUGGAACGUGAAGUUUGUUCGACAUGGCAGGGGGCUGCACCCAAGAUGAAGUGGUCCAAACAGAAGAUAGAAUUUUCGGAAGAAGACCAUCCCAAAACUGCCGUCAUCCCAGGACGCUAUCCGAUCGUGUUCGAACCCACUAUUCAGAACAUCAAGGUCGCACGGGUUCUCAUCGACGGUGGCAGCUCAAUUAACCUUCUCUUCGCCAGCGCUUUGGACGCAAUGGGAAUUCCACGAAGCGAGUUGACACCCACCGACCAACCCUUCCAUGGAAUUACUCCCCAGUCCUCGUCCAAACCAUUUGGCAAAAUUACGUUGCCUGUGACUUUCGGCCAAGCAAACAACUUCCGAACGGAGCAGAUCACCUUUGAUGUCGCUGAAUUCGAUACAGCGUAUAAUGCCAUCAUCGGGAGAACUGCACUUGCGAAGUUCAAGGCCGCAUCUCACUACGCGUAUCAAGUGCUCAAGAUGCCGAGACCGAAGGGAACAAUCACUGUUCAAGGGAACGCAAAACUGGCGGUACAAUGCGACAAGCGGAGCCUCGACAUGGUCGAGCAAACACCCAGCCCACCCGCCACAACUAAGCCACCCAAGAAAGUGAGCAAGACAAACAAGACGCCGAAACUGGACGGUGCGAUCAAGAUCGUUCCACUUUCUAGUGCCAACCCCGACAAGACCGUCAAGAUCGGGGCAUCACUAAGCGAGAAAUAGGAACUCGCGCUCAUCACCUUCCUCCGCGACAAUGCUGAUGUGUUCGUUUGGCAGCCGUCUGACAUGCCGGGGGUCCCCAGGGAGGUGAUUGAGCAUAAACUCAUGGUGCGACCCAAUGCCAAGCCAGUAAAGCAAAAACUGCGGAGAUUUGCACCAGACCUAAAACAAGCCAUACGAGAAGAACUCAACAAACUUCUCAAAGCUGGCUUUAUCCGAGAGGUACUUCAUCCAGAGUGGCUAGCCAAUCCAGUCAUGAUGCGGAAGGCCAACGGGAAAUGGAGAAUGUGCGUCGACUUCACCGACCUCAACAAGGCGUGUCCCAAGGAUCACUUCCCUCUUCCUCGAAUAGAUCAACUGGUGGACUCAACAGCCGGCUGUGAGCUGUUAAGCUUUCUCGAUGCUUACUCUGGCUACCAGCAAAUCAGCAUGGCAAAAGAGGACGAAGAGAAGACAGCAUUCAUCACGCCGUUCGGGGUAUUUUGCUAUGUUAAGAUGCCGUUCGGACUGAUAACCGCAGGGAAUACUUUCCAGCGCACGGUCUAGGGCGCACUUAGCGACCAGCUCGGCAACAAUGUCGAGGCAUACGUCGACGACAUCGUUGUCAAGACCAAGACAAGCGACUCAUUGAUUGACGAUCUCCGGGAAAUGUUCGACAACCUCCGACAAUAUCGCCUCAUGCUCAAUCCAGAGAAGUGCACGUUCGGAGUACCGUCGGGCAAGCUGCUCGGUUUCCUUGUCUCUGUCAGAGGAAUAGAAGCAAAUCUCGAGAAGAUCAAGGCAAUCGAGAACAUGAAGUCACCCACAAGACUCAAGGAAGUACAAAAGCUAACCGGAUGCAUGGCAGCACUGAGCAGAUUCGUCGCUAAGAUGGGAGAACGAGGGCAACCCUUCUUCGCUCUACUGAAGAAGCAAGACAAAUUUGUAUGGACACAGGAAGCCAAAGAGGCAUUCGUUGCACUCAAGCGCUACCUAUCAAACCCCCCUGUACUUGUUGCUCCCCAACCUAAUGAAGAAAUAUUCCUCUAUAUUGCUGCCACGCCAUAUUCCGUUAGCACUGUCAUUGUUGUCGAGAGAGAGAAAAUACAACGACCAGUCUAUUACGUCAGCAAAGCUCUCCACGACGCAAAGACAAGAUAUUCACAGAUCCAAAAGCUGCUUUACGCGGUAAUCAUGACAUCAAGGAAGCUACGCCACUACUUUCAAGCCCACAGAGUCACAGUUGUCUCCUCCUUCCCUCUCGGUGAAGUUGUGAGAAACAAAGACGUUGUCAGCCGCAUUGCGAAAUGGGUAGUCGAGCUGAGCCAGUUUGAUGUCCACUUUGUGCCACAAAAAGCCAUCAAGUCCCAGGUACUUGCCAACUUCGUAGCCGAUUGGACUAUGCCUGAUAACAAAUCAGACAACCAAGUCGACAACGAAACGUGGACAAUGGCGUUCGAUGGUGCACUCAACAGCCAAGGAGCAUGGGCAGGAUUCAUCUUGACGUCUCCUUCCGGAGAUCAAUUCAAGCACGCAAUCCACCUCAACUUCAGGGCGACCAAUAACACAGCCGAAUACGAGGGACUACUCGCCGGGAUAAGAGCUGCAGCCGCACUUGGGGUCAAGCGACUGAUCGUGAAAGGGGACUCCGAGCUAGUCGCGAACUAGGUGCACAAAGAUUAUAAAUGCUCUAACCCCGAGUUAUCCAAGUAUCUCGCAGAAGUCAGGAAGCUGGAGAAAAGGUUCGAUGGGAUCGAGGUCCGACACGUAUACCGUAAGGACAACAUCGAGCCAGAUGACCUAGCACGACGUGCGUCCAGACGAGAACCGCUCGAGCCCGGCACUUUUCUGGACAUCCUGACAAAGCCAUCAGUAAAAGAGGUUAGCGGCGAAGUUAGCCCGGCCGCCCCCGACAUUAGCUCGGAGGCCACAGAGGCAGAACGCGCCGUUGCCGAUAUCGAGACCACAUACGACUGGCGCAUCCCACUAAUCAAAUUCAUCGACAGUGAAGAGUUGCCCGAGGACGAUACAGAGGCCGAGAAAAUAACCCGUAAAGCAAAAAUCUACUGCAUGGUCGGCAAUGAUCUAUACAAGAAAGCGCCAAACUAGGUACUUCUCAAAUGCGUCUCGUCCGACAACGGCAGACACCUCCUCCUUGAUAUACAUGAAGGCAUCUGUGGGUCACACGCCACCGGUCGGACAUUGGUCGGGAAAGCUUUUCGACAAGGGUUUUUCUGGCCAACCGCCCUCAAAGACGCAUGCGACAUGGUCCAGCGAUACGAAGCCUGUCAAUUCCACAGUAAACACACAAAGCUACCCGUGCAAGCGCUCCAGACUAUCCCUCCUACUUGGCCGUUCUCGUGCUGGGGGCUAGAUAUACUCGGACCAUUCCCACGAGGACAGGGCGGCUACAGGUUCCUAUUCGUGGCGAUCGACAAAUUCAUUAAGUGGAUCGAGGCAGUACCCACGGGGGAAAUCAAGGCCGAUAACGCCAUUAAAUUCAUGAAGGGGAUAUUUUGCAGAUACGGACUACCGCACCGCAUCAUAACCGACAACGGCCCCCAGUUCAUCAGCGCCGACUUCCAGGAUUACUGCAUCGGGCUGGGAGUCAAGAUAUGCUUCGCCUCGGUCUCUCAUCCUCAAAGCAACGGACAAGUCGAGAGGGCAAACGGCAUAGUACUACAAGGGAUCAAGACCCACGUCUACGAUAGGCUCAUGUCACAUGACAAAAAAUGGGUCGAAGAACUUCCAUCAGUACUAUGGGCCGUACGCACCACACCGACAACAUCCAAGAAGGAAAUACCCUUCUUCCUCGUGUACGGCUCCGAGGCCAUGCUCCCCAGCGAGCUACGACAUCAGAGCACACGAGUACAAAAGUAUUCCGAAGAGGAUCAGGAGGAGCAACAAAACAUCGAUGUGAAUCUACUCGAAGAACAUCGCGAAUGAGCUGCCAUUAGAGCAGCCAGUUACAAACAAGUUGUAACGCCCCGAUUUUCGUUCGGGAUUAAAAAUCAAUUAAUAAUGCAUUUUUAGAAAUUAUAUUAAAAGUUAAAUCAAUUUAAUCAAGUGAAAUUAUAGAGGAAAUUAAAAAUUUCCUUUAAAAAAGUCUUUGGCCGGGAAUAUUUUGUAAUAUUCUUUGUGCCCUAAUGUACUCUCCGGAAUUUUCCGUGAAUUUUCGGAGCUCGAGAAAUAGUUUUAAUAGCACAAAGAUCAUUGCAUCAAUUAAAAUAAAAAGAAAAAAAAAAUCCUCCUUCCUCUCUUUGGGCCCCUUUCGGCCCAAUCCCUCCUUUCUCUCCCGCGGCCCGUGCGCCCCUUAUCUCUCCCUCUCGGGCCGGCCUCCUCCCUCGGCCCGCUCGGCUCUCUCUCUUCCUCAAGUCUGCUUUACCUCCCUCGCCCGUUUUCCCCUCUCUCUCCUCGACAGGUGGGACCCGAGGCCCCACCUGUCAUCUUCUUCUCCUACCUCCAGCUCCAUCCCCAACCGCCGCCAUGGCCGCCAAAUCCUCCCACGUCGCCGCCUCUCCCGCGCGACUCCCUCUCCCGCGCGUGCGUGGACGCGGUCGUCGCCCACGUCCGCGCCGUUUCCCCCCACUCUCCCCGCAAAAUCCGGCCACGUCGCCGCCUCCCGCAUCUCUCUCUCCUCCCACGUUGCCGGCCGGUUUCUACUUCUCUCGGGCUCGAUCCCGCCUCUCCUCCCCUAUAAAAACAUUAACCACACCUCCCUCUCCAUUUUCCCCUCUCUCCCAAGCCCUCCCGUGCACGAAAACCACCCCGCCACCGUCGCACCUCCCGCCGCCGCUCGCCGACGACCCUCCAGCCGGUUGCCACAGCCGCUCCCCCCACCGUCGUUCCGCGCGACCGCCACCAGCGGCUUCGCCGCGUCGUGCCACACCCCGGCGUCCGCUCCAUUUCCCCUCCCCGCCUCCGAAGCACCGUCGCCACGCGCACCACCUCCUUCCACCGAACCCGCCGACUCCAGCCGGCCGCUGCCGCCGCUACCGCCAUCCCCGUGCCGCGCCGCUUGCAUCGCCGGCCUCGCCGCGCUUUGCCGCAUCCCGUCCACCGCUCCGCUUCCGCAAUAAACCACCCGGGCACCGAUUCCACCGUGAACGCUCCACCACCACUUUGCCGAGUCCGGCAGCGCGCCACCGCCGCCCUAGCCACCACCAAGCCACGCCCCCGCCUCUACUGCGUUCGCCGCGCUCCCCCGUACCCCGGCCGCUCCUCCACCUUCGUUGGAGACCGCCGAAUCGCCGCCGUCGUCUUCGCCCCGUGGAGCGCCGCCGCCUCCCUCCGCGGCCGCUCCCUCCGUCGCCGCGCCUCUCGGUGAGCCGCCUCCCUCCUCCUUUUCCUCUUCGCCGGCCGCCCGCCGCCGUUCCACGUCGCCGGCUGCUGCCGCCGGUGGCCGCAUGCCGCCGCUGCGCCUUGGCUUGGCCGGGCCGGCUUCGUGCCGCGCCUGUGCCCCUGGCUGCCGCUCCCCUCGGCCGCCCGAUCGGCUCAGGCCGAUCUGGGCCGUCCACGUGGUGGACGCGCACCCGAGGCCACGUGUGGACCAUGUCCACCGUGCGCCCUCCCCCUUUGACUCGCUGACAUGUGGGGCCCGCGUGUCGGCGCCGGCCGCCCCUUGCUGACGUCAGCGAGGUCCAUUUCCUUUGUAAAAAUAAAUAAUAAUUGCGCAAUAAAUCGAGUUUAAUUCUAGAAAUUCAUUUAAAUGGCUCAAAACUUCUAAAAUUCAUAUCUAAUUCAUACGAACUCCAAAUUGGGCCAUUCAACUUGCAAAAUUCAUCUAAAAUUGAGCUCUACAUGUUUGUUUACUUUUUAUGUACUGUUUCCUUGGUUUUUAUUAGAGUUUUUCCUCGUUUUGCGUGCCAGCGUGUAGAAUCCGUCGUUUCGGAAGUCCGCGAUCGCGAGGAAAAGAGUUCGGAAGAUCAAAGUGAAGAAGCAAGGCAAGUCACACAUUCCCCUUGAGCAUGUUGAUCCCAAUUUAUAAAUGUUUUACCAUUUGCAAAUAAAUAUGCAUGUUUUGCUAAUUACAUGGGAUCCGAGUAUUACCUAUCUGCUCGCUUGUGCCAUGUUUACUUGAUAUCUGUCCUUUGUCAAACGGGGGUAAUAAAUCGACUAGCUCAUGUUACUUAUGUGACCUAGCUAGAACUAUAUGCUUAGCCAUGCUUAAUUACCACUAGCUCAGUUGAUGGGAUAAUUACAGUAUUAGACCUUUUUAGUAUCAGAGUGAGCUGCGUGCUCGAGACAUCUGGCCAUGCUUCAUGGUCGUAAUUACCCAACUAAAAUGCGACUACAUGGUGGGCUGUGGGUGCAUGGUUUUGUGAGUCGCACCCAUGGCAAUUAAGGACCGGUUCACGGGAAACCCUGGAAGACUUACAGCGCUUGCCACAAGCGGGAGUAGGUAACUGCUUGAUCUGAAGUAUAGCUCGACCCUUUCCUAGGCACCGGUGGCGAGGGUGGGCGUGAUGGAGUUGGGUCGGCCGGGGUGUCCGGUUGUCCAGCUGCCGGAUUCACCGUGGCGCAAGAGGGGACCGCCCACUGCCUUUUGAGGGGUGGGGGUGAAACCUUAGCGUGGUGUGGAUGGUUAGGGGAGGGUUAUGUGAAGGGUCUCGUCACAAUCACUCGACAUGGUGACGUGUGCAUCAUGGGCACAUGAUGACGCGGUGACAUGUCGGUGGGUUGUGUCUUGUGGGUACAGUUGUGCACCUCUGGCCAGAGUAAAACUAUUUGAAUAGCCGUGCCCGCGGUUAUGGGCGGUCGACCAGAUUCACCGUGAUUAGUCCCACCUUAAUAAAUCGACUCAAUGCACUGUAGUCCAGGUGGGUUGGUUGGUUGGGCCUGUUCAACGUGGUGUAGCGUUGAUCAGUGGAGAUUCAAUAUUACUUUAAUUACUCAACCGUUUUACUGUUUUCCUCAAUAAAAUGUUUUACAACUGCCUUUAUGCAAAUAGCCACAAACCCCUCCUUGUAUCCCCUUGCACGUCUGCAUCAUUGGUGUGGCUUGCUGAGUACGGUGGUUGUACUCAGCCUUGCUAUUAUUCCCCCUUUUCAGAAGUGUAGUGCUUCUGAGCUGAAGACGAAGUUAGAGGACCAAGGCUCAGACCCCAGUUGAGUUUUGCCUGUGGAGUGGAGCUGAAGCCCCGCUAGGAUCGCCUUUUUCCGCUACUGCUGCUUUUGUUUCGGUGUGAGGACUAAGUGCCUCUUCUGUAAGUAUUUUGCGCUUUAUUUACGUUUGGAACUGUUUAUUACUUGUCGUUUUGUGUACCCUGGCUGGUCCUGGACAGGGAUUUAAUACACAAAAUAGUCUGGAAAUUUGGGCUAAAUUUCUGGGCGUGACACAAGUCCUCCGCCGUUACCACGAGAAGCGCAUUCGAGCACGCAUACUUUCGAUCAGCGACUACGUCCUCCGACGGGUUCAAAGCCAAGCAGGGCGAAACAAGCUCUCACCCAAAUGGGAAGGACCUUACACGAUCACACAAGUCUUGUGGCCAGGCGCAUUCAAAAUUGCAGACGGUGAUGGUCGCGAGUUGGCAAAUUCUUGGAACAUUGACCAACUACGUAAAUUCUAUGAAUGAGUCAAUAUCAUCCAUACUUAUAAGACACCUUACAGCAUCAAGAAAGCCUAUUUUUAGGCGCAUAUUACAAUCAAAGUGUUCCUGCCCGAUGAUCCCUUACCCAGAUGACACCUAGCGUUGAAACCUAUCCUCAUGUCCCUUUACGCCGUCUUGACAAGGCCUCCGAGGAACCUAAGGGAUCUUCGGCUGGGGACGCCCAGAGCCGAUAAGGCCUUGUCAGAUCCUGUAGAGACGAAAGACCAGGUAAGACCUGGUCGUGUAAGAGUUAUCGCCGUGCGUAUUAACCAAGACGCGUAAUCGGAAAUUAACUUUCCAACUUCACGGCUGGGAGCUAGGAUUAGUGCUUAUUCAACCAAGGCAGGUCAAAGGUCCAAGAGCCUUGUCCUCUGAGAAAAAUCCUCUGACGAUAAGGCUGGGGGCUAGGGAGAGUGUACGACUCAAACGACUGACUAAAGUCGUGAACUGAGAACAUACUCUUACACAUGAUAUCUAGAGUAAGAAGGAUUUGUUAAGAUAGAUUCCUUUUCUAUUUUACAAAAUACUCCUUACAAUUUUUACACAAGUCCAAAGCUAUAUUACACUUUUCCCUAAGAUUUCUAUCACAGGGUACAAAGACUACCAAGAAGGCCAACGCCAGUCCAUAGACUGGAAGACUUUCUCCGCCAACGGCGCCAUCGACUUCGCCAGGUGGUCUAUCUCCGCCGGAGUCCUCCGAGAACGAGCGAAACCUUCAUGAAUAAACUCGAGGUCUAAUCCGGGCGGUGAUCUCGUAGGCAAGCCAACACGUGCCCUCCGGCAUAUCGGCUCGAUCGACGACAUUCCUGCUUCAAGGCUUCGUCAAUGCGUUUGCCGACGCCUUCGAGCUGAGUACAGGCCCCAUUCAGCCACGAAAUGUAUCCGGCCGCCGACUCCUCAAGAUCUCCACGGGGUACUCGGAGCUCUCUACAAACCUUGGCCAUGGACGUGCAGCAACUCUUUAAGUACGAGUUGAACCACACCUCACGACCUCGGAGCGUUUCCACAGCUUGCUCUUUCUUUACUUCCAACAUAGUUCUCUCGAGUUCCGCUACUUCAAAUUUCGUCUUCCAAUAUUGGAUACGAUGAUCUUUGCCAGCAAGAGCACUCUCGAGAUCUGUUCAAUAUGGGAACAACUAAGUCAAGCUGCACUUCUCUUUUGAGAACACGGCUGAUCAAGUCGGAGGAGCAAAAAGGGAUAAAGGGACCACUAACCUAAGGAAGUCGUCGCCGUCCCCGUCCUCGUGGCUAAACUCUGAUCUACAUCGUCCGGCGACGCGUGUGGCUCAAACGCAAGGGUCGGGAUGAUCGCCAGCGACUCAGGCUGCCCACGCUGCUGGACAUUCUCGUCAUCAACAUCUCUACAAGGAACAAAAAAAGGUACUAGAGAUCAAAAUGCUAAAGAAAACUAAGGUGAUGGCUGCACGUGCAAAGGCGGUUAGAACCCAUUGGAGUUUUAUACAAGAUGUCUAAGGAGUACAAGCGAGUCAAAAUCCUACUCUUCAAAAAGGGGGAGGACAGAUUCCCCCAGAUCGCCAACUUCUUCCAUCACCUCCUUACGCGUGUCGCUAGCUGCCCCCCGAUCCAAGAUCUCGCGCAGAUCGAGUUCUGGGUGAGCCAGCCUCACACACGCAAGGACGUGGCACGCCCCGGUGUAGAUCCCGUUGGACGUCUCCUCUCCGAUCCUGGCCGCAUGCUUGGAGGGAAUCUCCUCCAUCGCCACCGCCAGCUCCGCAAGAGAAGACGUCAGCGAGAACUCAUCGGGAUUCACCGGGAUGGUAGACUUGAUACCGCAUUCCCCGGCGAGCUGGUGCAGACCAGUAUAGGUGACCCGCAACGAGCCAUGGAUUUCCGACAAAUUGUUCCCGAGCUCCAACAUGCGAUGCCCGAGUCCCUGCCGUUGUCGCUCAUUGCCGGCCACCAACUCCCUCAUCUUCUUGAGGUCCUCAUGAGCCUCCACCUAGUCGUGCGCUAGCCGGUCGGCGCGCUCGUUCGCCGACGCCGCCACUGACCUCGCCUCCGCAAUUUCACGACCAAUGCCGCGGCCACCAGCCUCGAGGAGGCGCCCCAUUUCAACCUGGAGCUCUUCCCAGGUGAGGACGGCAGCCGGCGGACCACGACCAGCCACGGGAUCGCUAGCCGGGCCGCUUGGUGUCACCUCACGGCUCCCGGGCACGACCACAACACUCGUCGAGGCUACAGCGGGAGACGCGCCGGAAGUCCCUCCAGACUCGUCCUGCGCCGCCUUCGCCCGCGCCGCCCUACGAGAAGGCUGUGGUUCAGACAAAGUUUGACGGAAUCAUGAGAACUCAAAGUCAUUCACUUACUUCUCGCCGAGCGUCACAAGCCGCUGCCAUCGUGGAGGCGGGGGAGACGCGUCCGAGGCCUGGAGCACGAUCGAUAUGGAGUGAGGUGGAAGUAUUCUGACUACGUGAUCAAAUGACAGGAGAGCUUACCGAGGGAGUAGAUGCCUUUCGACGAUGUCCGGUUACAGAGGAGAAUUUCCUCCCCUUUGUUGGAACGUCGCCACCACUUGUUGUGGCAGCGACAGCGGCAGCAUCGGACGCCUCCUUGGCGACCUUCUCUUUCAGUGACACUGCCACCUGAUAGUCCGCAAGCGGCCCGAUGAUAUCAGUCAGAGGAAGAGCCUACGCUUUAUGAAGUCAAAUGGCGAUCUCGGAAGAAAAACGCAGAAGGCCCACGGAGAACACUUACAUUGAUGGCAUCGUCGCGUUCGGCCGCCCCCUUCUCACAAAGGGGAACGGGGACAUUGCUCGUCGUCGUCGGACCACUGAUCAUCACUUGGCCGACACGAUGUCCCACGGCUUCACUGCUCAGACCUAUGAAUCGAGAACCAAAAUUCGAUAAGUCAGGAGGAACGCGCACACAAGCAUGUCAGGGUAAAUGCAAGAAAGAUACCCCGAGGAGAAACCCGGGUUGUGUCCUCCGGUCCAGAAUAGUCAAAGGCUGGAUGGUCUCGAGCCUGGAGCGGCUGGAUCCAUCUACCAAUGAAGUCAGCAGCGACUUCAUAUCCCGACAAACCUCGUACUCGGAGAUCGUCGACAACAUCGAUGAAGGACUGAAGAGAAGGGGUCAAGAGGGGUUUUGCGGUCCAAGACGAAAUCUUGUCCGGUUGUUCCUAAGGAACAACGAAGACAGGAUCCGAAUCUUCUAUCUGAAGAUAGAACCACCUCGUCCGCCAUUUGCUGCGAGAGGAAGGGCACUGGAAGGGGAUAUAACGCGACUUCAGGCCAUCCCGAAGUCGGAAUCCGACACAUCCAAACACGCUAUCUGACUCCAUCCAACGCAGCUCGUAGUAGAAGCGCAAGAGAUCAAGAAAGGGCUCUACCCCAAUGUGGGCCUCACAAAGAUGCGAAAAAAUACUAAGAAAGGCAAUAGAAUUGGGGUUCAGAUGGAGCAAAGAAAGACCAUAGAAGUUCAAAAUCAAGAGAAGAAUUUCGGAAGGUGGAGGGAGAAAACCGCAAAGAAUGUAGUCCUCAAUCGCAACCAUGCGACCUAGGACAGGCUGGGGUUCAGUACAUCCUGCUUCCCUCUCCAUGGUCCCACGACCGGGAAGGGCACCGUCCUCCUGAAGCUUCUUCAGCGACGCGCUGGUGGAGGAAGAUUUUCCAAGAUCCAUCGCCGACUGCAGAUCGCUGGAGAAAGGGUUGAGAUUGACGAGCUAGGGUUUUUUGUGGGAACGGAGAAGACGAAAAACGCUUACAGGCUGGAGGUUUUCUUCACAACAGGCAGACUUCAAAAUGGAUCCCCAAAAUUCCCUUAAAUAGACACACUUCCGAUGGUGCGAAUUCCAAGGAAAGGAGGGACAUAGCCGCCGAAAAUUUCUGGGUCCGUUAUGCGCGGCAGUUUUUUAGACUUCAGUUUAAAUUCACUCAUGACCGUUGGGCUUCACAGGGUAUUCUCGACUAUGUCCUGUCUCUACGGUUCUUACACCGGGAACGACAACAGCCUCGACACCUGAAGUCACUAAUGGUUACACGAGUUCAUUUAAGCAGAAGUCGGGGGCCACUGUCAGGGUUACGGGUUAGGUAUACCCUUUACCCUUCGAUAUACGCUAAAUAUCGGUAUGGCAUAACUACGCGUAUACGGACACUUUCUGCAUAUACUAAGGAAAUCCUUCACGGAGUUUGUAGAUGGAAAGAGUCCUACUCGGACAAGACUGGGUCGUCAAUGUAUCGUGUAAGGUCCGAUGUCUCCGAGUCCUACUUAGAAACCACCUGACCUGCGAUAUAAAAGGGACCCACUGGGAGGACCUAAGGCAUCGAAUCUCAGAACCAACACAACUCCCACAGCCUACGAAGUCGGAGCCUGCAGGAGCCAAAUCGCUGGAGAUCUAGUCGAACCAACUCAAUUACGAUCUCGCCGGAUCCAUCGAGUUCAAUCUUUCCCUUUGUAACCUGUGUUUUCCAUCAUAUAAUCCCACAUCAACUGGAUUAGGGCUAUUACCUAUCAAUGGGCCUGAACCAGUAUAAUCUUCGUCUUCUGUUUGCUUGAUGUCGUAUUACGUAGAUCCUUGUACCAACGUAUCCCAAUACCCUCUAUAUCCGGUCUACGGGUAUCACUCGUCGACAACCGUAGUCGAGUUGGUUCGACUAGAUCACCCUAGCGACUUGGCUACUGAAGACUCCGACUUCGUAAGCUGUGGUGGUUGUGUUGGCGGUGAGAUUCGAUGCCUUAGGUCCUCCCGGGGUCCCCUUUAUACCGCGGGUCAGUUGGUCUCCCAGUAGAACUCGAAGACAUCGGACCCCACACGAUUCAGUUACGACCCAGUUUUGUCCGAGUAGGACUCCUUCCAUCUAUGGACUCCAUGAUGAAUUUCCUUAACGUGUACAGAAAACAUCCAUAUACGCGCAGGUAUACCAUAUCAUAUCAGUAUACGACGUAUAUCCAAGGGUAGAGGGUAUACCUUAUCCGUAACCCUGACAUAAUGCGUCUUGUUUCAUAUGCUACAUGUUUGAUCUUUUUUGGUGAGUUGUCAUGUAUAAGAUUGGACUCCGAUACCAAUGCCUGUCGCUCUAGUUUUUUUUAAAAGUGCAGAUUGACUUACUUUUUUGUCUCUCCAUUUUGAUUUUUUUUUACUUGCUCAAAUAUUUUCUAUCCUGCUCAAAUAUUUUCUAUCAACAUUCUAUAUUGUUUAGAUUUUCAUUUUCGCAGUUAUACAUGUUCCUGAUAGAAGUUUCAUAGUCUUGCCAUUGUAGCAGACAACUUUUCGCAGCUUUAGGAGGGGAUUUUUUAUGAGCUGUAGUUGCAAAUUUUAGCUAAAAUAGAAUGUUUAUAUUGGCAAAUUUUUAUUGUAAGCACUAGUUCAUACUACUUCAAUGUAUCAUUCUUGAGGAGAUAUGUGUAUUUUCAUGUUGUGGUGGAAACACGUGUCAACAAAUUUUAUUCCCGGUAUGAUUAUUUAUAGAUGUAUCAAGAAAAGAUGUACGACACAUGAAAAACUCACUCGACGUACAUAAUGGAAGCAUCUAAAUUUAUUGACUAGGCUAAGGCACAUGCUUUGAGGUAAAAUUUUGGGCCACUUAGUGGAGCAUGGAUUUUAUGAAGAAUUACAAGGUUUGGACCUAUCACAAGGAAAUUGUCACUCUUGAAGGUGACGGUAAUGCAGAAGUGAAGAGGUUUUCAAAUGUCUGAGGUAGAGAAUUUUACAAUUGAGUUGGUAGUGAUAAUUUCGAGGUUGAUUUUGAUCAGGAGGAUACGCUACGGCACGCUGAAUCAGAGGUGCUAGCUAGUCGGUACAGCACGAGGAUUAGACAAUUGGAAGGUGCUAAAGAAGUCAGCGAAGGAUCUUUUUUUACGAUGAAUCCAAGGGAUGUAAUAAGAAUUUUAUGGUGUUGCGUUUGGCAUUUAAACUUCUCAGAUUGAAGGGUAGGCACGGAUGGUCCGAUGGUAGUUUCAAUGAUUUGAUGGAUCUUAGAGUUUGCUUCCUAAGCCUAAUUUCUUGUAAUCCAACACAUGUCAAGCUAAGAAACACAUAUGUCCAUUAUCACUAGGUGUUGAAAAAAUUCACGUGUGUGUAAAUCACUGUGUACAGUGUCGUAAGGAAUAUGUAGACUUGGACAGUUGCCCCUAAUGGGACAUGCAAGUUGGUACAAAACGGGUAACAGGUGCUUUGAUAAUGAGGUUAUCGACCUAGAUUUAUCGGUGCAUACAAAGAAAAAGGAUCCGACUAUGGUGAUAUUACAUCAGUAACAUGGGCUAUAUGACCACUUAAAAUUUGUGUUACUGAAAACCACAACACUACAUUUUUGAGGCUAUAGUAGCACAUUGUUGUUUUACUAAAGCCUUGACAUGAUGUAGUUGUAAGAGAAUGUGAAAAUAAAUAUAGAGUAAUGUGUAUAGGCAGUCCUUAAACUUGUAGAGGUGUGUCAUCUAGGUCCCUAAACUUUCAAAAUGCAAAUUCAAGUCCCGGAACUUGUCAUAGUGUGUCAUCUAGGUCCCAAAUCGCCACACCCCUUCUGGAUCCUACGUGGUGUUGAUGUGGCCUGCCACAUGGAAUGACGUAGCAUCAUUUUGACUGACAAAUGGGUCCCAUUUAAAAUUUUUCCUUUUUCCUUUCUAUUCUCUUUUUUCCCUUUCUUCUCAUUUCUAUGUGUCUCGAGCAGCAGAAGAAAGGGGCAAAAGAAGAGUGAGAAGAAACCGAAGAAAAAGAAAAAGAAAAGAAGAAAAAAAAGGAAAAGAACACAUCACAUCCAUGUGGCAUGCCAUAUCAGCGCCACGUAGGAUUCUAGAGGGGAUGUGUCGAUUUAGGACCUAGAUGAUAUACUUUGACAAAUUCUGGGAUCUGGAUAUGCAUUUUGAGAAUUUAGGAGCUAUAUGACACAACUCUAAAAGUUAGGACCGUUAAUGCACUUUACUCAUAAAUAUAUGUAUAGGUGCCACAACUCAGCUAGUGCGUGUAUUUUGAUUAGAAGAUCAGUAUUCCACACGAUAUAUACUUUUUAGGCCAUGUAAAAAAGCAGCAACUCUGACCAUCUCGAUAAGGAUCUAUACAUGUAUUGUUUUUCUUGGUUAUAAUAAUAAAAUAACCUGCCGAUUUGAAACUGAAAAAUAUAAUGAUUAGCAAAAAGUAAGCGCAUGCAAACUAACAUAAUUUCCAGACUAUUUGAGUAAUCAUACAUAUCAUUGUCUCCGGUGAUGAAAACUGUACACAAACAAAAUCGAAUCCAGGAGCCAACUAUCUAGUUGUUAAGCUUAUAAUACAAAUAACAAAGUAGGAUUAAUCAAAAGGUGCAUAACAGUGUUUUUAACCAAUAUACACACGACUGCUAGGUGAUGUCACGCAUUUUAGACUGCAUUCAGCAGCUGUGGUCGGGAACAAACCGGCCGCUACUGCACGUAGAACGGAGCAGUUCAUUAGCAUAUGAUUAAUUAAGUAUUAGUUUUUUUAAAAAAUGGAUCAAUAUGAUUUUCUAAAGCAACUUUCAUAUAGAAUUUUUUUUUUAAAAAACACACGUUUACUAAUUUGAAAAGCAUAUGUGCAGAAAAUGAGGGGAGUGAGUUGGAAAACUCAAGUGCCGAACUCAGCCUGUUUAUGAAAUGAUUUGGUACUGUCUAUUCAUUCAUGGUUCUACUUAUUUGUCACACGGAUAGUACAAGUACUACCACGUACUUCUUUCUUUCACAUUAUAAGAUCUUUUGGGUUUUGAGUAGAUUUAUAAAUGGAUUAUGCAUGUGUUUCAUAUGUGUGUCUAAAUUCAUUUAAAAUGUAAACAUAAGAACAACGAAAGUAAUAAUUAGCAAUAUAUAGACAGUAAACGACGAUUAGGCAGUGAUAUCAUUUCAGCAGUCAGUUUGAACAAAAAUUAAAAUCAUCCAACGAAAAGGACCUAUAUUCGGGAGCGUAUCCUAUACACACAGACCCUCGCGUGUACACAUCGUGUACACCAACUAAAAAUUAUCACAAAAAAAUGUACGAAAAUUCAUACAUGUACUUUCAAUAGUAUUACAUAUACGUGCAAAGUCGCAUCUUCAAAUUCAUUCUACAUAGAGAAUAACAAAAAAGAUAAAAUUCUGAGAAAAUUGCAACCUUAAAACUGUCAGAUUUUUUGGUUUUUUUGUUACGGCUAAAAUAUAAUGAAUUUGAGGUUAAGAUUUUAACCCUAGGUGUAAUACAAUUGAAAGUACGUGUAUGAAUUUUUCUAGAUUUUUUGGUAAUAUUUUUUAGUUGGUGUGCAUGUGUGUACAUUUGAGGACCUGUGUACAUAGAAUAUGUUGCCCCUAUAUUCUCUCUAACAGCAAGACAAGGAAAACCAAUGCAGCAGCGGAGUGUUUGCAGCCCUUCUCCUACCAACAUCUGCAAGAGAGCUGAGGCUCGAUUGUUUACAGGUUUGGCUACAUGAGAAAAUCACCUAUUGUGUUGGCCUGUAUACCUAUCUCGAUAGGAAUCACCUUCCAUGCAAAACUAGUUGCAGAGCUGGACAUUUCAGAUGCGUGGUGCGUCUCAAAUCCCACAUGCUUUCCAUUCCGACCAGCUGCAAAAACCAGCAUGCAAUGGAUCGAUCAUGAAAAAAAUUAAAGGCUCAGGUAAACUGGCCAGCAUUCCGGUAAACCCCUGAUGCCUUCAGAUUUCAGUUCCGAUUAGUCCCCAUCUUCUGUCUAGCCAGGUCAAGCAAUUUUCUGAUGAGUUGCAUGCUCUGCCGUGUAGCUGCUAGGCCGAACGAGCUCAAAUAGGUGUCUGCUACUUAUAUAAACAGCAGUUUCUCUCUAAAAAAAAGAAAGAAAGAAAAGAAGAAGAAGAAGAAGAAGAAGAAGAAGAAGAAGAUAUGUUCAUUAAUUAACCGAACUCUCUCUGAGCCAAUGUCUCACACAAUACCAUGAAAUGAAAAAUAGGUCCAACGUAGCGAAAGGAAGUAAUGUUCAUGAGCGUCUUUAUGGUCCAGCAAAUUGUAUCGCUCGGUACUGGUAUCGCUCGGUACUAGUACGUAUCUAACCGUUCAUUCCGGCAUGGGUAGGAUCGGAAGAAAAAAACGUGUGGACUGCUAAAGUCGUCCUGCUGUGGCGUCGAUGUCGUGGUUCCCGGCGGCGGCGGCGGCGGCCUCGAACUCGUUGUUCCCAGCGGUGGCGGAGUCCUUCCCGACGGCAGCGUUGAAGCAGGCGCGGCGGCGUCAAACUCGUCGUUCCCGGCGGCGGCGGCGUCAAUGUCGUCGUUCCCGGCUGCAGCGGCGUCGAUGUCGUCGUUCCCGGUGGCGGCGAUGGCGUCGAUGUCGUCUUUCCCGGCAGCGGCGGCGGCGGCUGAGUUCACCUCCAAUAGUCGGCGGAGAAGAUCCAGGAGGCGGUGGAGGCAUCGAUCCAGGGUUCGAUUCCUCCCAAUCCAUCUAUUGCACGCGAAGUUACGUUUUUAUCCUUCUAACUCUGUUUUCCAAGAGGUACCGCAUCAAGGAUAAUUUUGGUAACUCGCUGUACCAAACAAUACUAGCCGUUAGAUUGGGCUAGAUCCAACAACCAGCAUUCGGUACCGUACGGUACCGUUUGACCAUAAAAAAUCUCAAAGUUUAUACACAGCAAUUAGACACAAAUAUAUUGAUGUGAAAAGAAUCAGUGCACAACAUAAAGCUUGUUAUUUCUUUGCUUCCCUACCCAUGGCAUCAGCAACAUACAUAUAUGAAUAUUUAUUUAGAAAUACAUAAAGUAAACUAACAUUGUGACAAAGUAAUAGUAAUGACAUUCCCUACUACAGAGAGAAACAAAGAAGAUGGUAUUAUAGGUGUCAGGAUAGCUAAAACCAGCACCUAUAGUGCUUUUUCUGCCCACACAUGCACCCUCGAUAAAAAUCGGCACCUAUAGUAUUACUAUCAGUCAGAAGAGCCGACACCUAUAAUAUAUUAUAGGUCCCAGUUUUUACGAACCUACACAUACACUCAUAUUAUAGGUAUUAGUUUAUUUAAAAAUGAACACCUACUAAAAAAACCAGAAGGUGCCGACCGAACCAACCAACCUUAUCUGCUCCCAGUCAGCAUUAUCCCCACAGUUCUCCUCCACACUGCUGCCGCACUCACCCCCUUCUCCUCCGUCCUCCACAUCCUAGACACACUCCCACCCGCCCCCUACCGCGGCCUCUCCCCACCUGCCUCCACCGUGCCUCCUCCCCACCGUGGCGGCAACAGAGAUGACUACUCUGCUCUCCUAGCCGACGGAUCCAGGCGAUGGCGAUGACCCUCUCUGAUCCGCCAGAUCUGGCUGGAGGGGAAGUGGCAGGCUCCCCAUAUAGAGGCAACGGCGGCGCCCUUCCCUCUGCAAUGAUGUAGCAAUUAUGGUUUGUCCCCCAUCUAACUUUUUCUCAUUGUCUGUAGAAUACCUGCCAUUGUCUGUAGAAAACAGAGAACAACAUAAUAGUAUUAUCCCUAUUAACUACAAAAUAUGGAUUGUAAUGGAGGCUAACAAAUAGAAAUAUCUUAUCAAGCUCUUACAAGUAUCUUACCAGCAAUGCUAAGGACGGUACAACCGGUGGCUGGCUCGUGAUCCAACUAUUGCAAGGGUCAAAACUAUACUGAUAAAACUAUCUCAUACUCGGAGAAAACUACUAGUUCAGAGAACAACUGCUUCUUAUGCUCGGUGCCUUUCUUCAUGCAACCAACCAAAUCGACCAUGGAAAACUCAGUCAUACUCCAUCCAUUGACCACUGAGAGAAACCUGUGAGAAAAUUUCAUCCAUGCCACGACGAGUUCAAUUCUUUUUGGACAUUCAUUUUUGUUCAGUUCUAUUCUCCAAACCAUUCGAUGUCAAACUGGUUCUCUAUAUAUACUAGUUAUCGUGCACGUGCAAGGCACGUUUUAGUAUUAUGUGUGUGUACAGAGAGAACAAUAGUGACCUAGAAAGGCAGUACACUCCAACAAAAUCUCGAGAUAAAAAUAGAGUUUCAUACACCAUAGUAACAUGUCAAUUUGGAUGAUUCCUAUAAAAUCCUUUCGGGUGAAUCACACUACCUUCGAUACGCAUUACAAAUUUACAAUAGUGUGAACUGGCGUAUCGAAGCUGCUAGUUCAUUUGAGACAAUGAUUGAAAAAAAACACAAAAGUGCGUACAUUAUCAAUUAUAAGGCAUGGUACUGCGUCAACCUGGCUCAAUGAGGCGCCAGCCCAUUUUCCACGGGCUUUUCUCUUUUGCCCCUCCCCUCUAUCUUCUUUGUCCUGUAAACCCAAACAGCUGCACUCAAUGCUGGCAUUGAUAAGAGUUCAUAUCCUUGACAAGCUAGAAUAGUAGCAAAAUAUGUGCACAACUAUGUAUGGGUAGUUCAUACAAAAAUUGCUUAAAAACAAAAAAAAAAGGAAAGAAUAAUGAGGUAGUUUGAAUCUUUCCCUUGAUGAAAAUAAAAAUGUGAAUAGAAGGAAAUCAACCCUUUUCAGGAUGCCAUGGAGCAGUUUGUUACCAUAUUGUACAGAACCAACAAUUAAACUAUCCAUUUUUUUAAGAACUGACACAUAAUGAAGGGAGGGAAAGGAAUAUAGGUUUUGUAUGUCUAAAAUGUUGAUUGUUCCACGAAGGCUAUAUCUAUGCUGGUACAAUCACGAAAUAUUUUUGGAUGUAAGAAUCCUCUACCCAACACAAACAUCUAUUUGUAUCAAAAGAUUAGGAAAUGGAUACACUGCCUUAUUACAGUAAUAAGAUAUUUUCCCAUAAGAAAUUGGUUGGCAGAAAAAAGAAACCGGAGUUAAGAAAUAAAGUGCUCACAUGGGCCAGAAAUCACCAGAUAAGAGCGAUAUGACGCUGAAACAUACAACUGGGCAGCACAAAGACCUACUUUGGAAUACAACCUGCCCUGAAAAUGCAUUCCACCAUGUAACAUGAGUACUAUCAAUAAAGAAUAAGGGCUCCUUGAUAUUCAAUAGAGAAAGCCAAAUAGAAGUCACAAAUAGGUAUAAAUAUACAUGAACUCAAAUUUGACAUAGGCAUUCGAUUACCCCUAAGAAAAAAAAGUCAGAUAAAAUGGAGUGAGCUACUCUAUUAAUAUCAAUUAUUUGCCAAUUUGUCAAUCACUUAAUCCGAUUUAGUCACUCCAAGCAAUACUAAACAUCACAGUAAUCUUAUAAUUUUUUCAUGCCUAACUCCAUAUCACACAUGCCAUGAGCAUCUGCCACUGACAUGAAGGAUGCAAAUAUCAGCAGAGAAAAUAAUGAUAUUCGCAAUUUACAAAUCAUUAGUGUCAUUAAGUGUGUUGAGAGAAAAUAAUUAAUAUAAACAGCAGGUACACUUAAAUGUAUCGCCAAGGGAACAACUUUGAAAAAGCUUCCAAAAGCAUAUAACUAAACAAUACAACAAACCCAUGUACUGCACAUUUUCUACCUAGAGAAAAUUACUCUCAAUCAUUCAUAUUGCGUAGGUGCUAAUAUGGGUGAUUAGGCACCUAUCCUUGUCCUUUGUUUCAAGGCACCUUUACAUAUGUUUCAUGCUACAAGCUGACUUGAAUUUUGCUGCACACACUAAACGAUAUGGAUUGAACCCAAUCCUCGAAAUUACAUGCAAGUGCAGCAAAAUCAUGGAAGAGAAAUUAGUGACAACUAACCUUGCCAAAGCUCUUGUUUACAUUUUUACUAUGGGAUAAGCCCCAACAACGAAUGGCAUCCAUGGUCCUUGCAGUCUUCCAAAACACUUAUAUUUUUUUAUUAGAACUCAGCAUAGGCAGCAAUAGUCAGGCCUCAGGACCAGAGCAGAAGCAUUAUACCGUGUCAUCUGGAGCUUGGGCAACACAUUGAUCAUGUCAAGGAACAAAUCAUGUCCAACGAACCAUCUAUUAGCUACAAAACAGAAACAAAGUAAAAGUGUGCUAAAAAUCGAUUGAAGAAAAAAAUAGUGCAUAUAGCAUACCCACUUUGCAAACUGAAAUAUGCUUGGGGAAUAAUAUUGACUAACCAGCAUUUCAUCGAACACCUUUUGGACAUGAGAAUCAAUGAUCCUUUUGUCCCUAAUAAUCCUGAAAAUAGACUGGGAGGCACUCAGACAUGUAAAAUGAUCAGCACAUAACUCAAUAUCUAGCUUUUGUUGUAGAUCAAGAUGAAACGACUAAACUAAAAGGGAAAACACAGAUCAAACAUCAUUUUCAUUGUAGAUUCAGAAUUUGACUUCACAAAAUAUAGGAAGAGUAAAAUGAUUUUGUACCUUCACUGAUGGGGGAGGGGAUAAGAUCAGCUGGCCACAUCGGGCUUGAGGGCCGGAUCACGUGGGUGACAUCUGAGUGGCAGGAGUGCAGGAGGCAGCGCCGUGGUUGAGGUCGAAUCGUGUCGUGACAGCGCGGUGAUUGGACGGCGAUGCGGGCGGAGUGGAGGAGGCAGCGGCGGGUAUUACCGGUGGAAGAUGGACAGCGACGGCGGAGACCGCGAGGAGGACCGGUGCCCGGCGCCGUGUUGGAGUGAGGAGGAUAUACAAAGGGGAGGGGAAGAAUGGGAGAUGCGAUAGCUCCGGCGAAACCUCCGGUGCCGAUGGAUGGAUGGAUGCGCGGUGGCGGGGAGAGGCGCGUUCGUUUUGAGGAUUUGUCGUUGCUGUGCGGAUGCACGGUGGAUUGAAUGCGGCAGAGGCGGGGUGCGCGGCAGAGAUGGCGCGGGUGGAGGGGAGGAAUCGCGCGUGGACGGCGGUGGAGAGGAUAAGGUAGCUAAUCGGUGGAGCGAGGAGGAUAGCGAAACAAAUUGAUGGUUGAGAUGAGAUGAGAUGAGAUGGCAGAUGGACGGAUGAGAUGAAAGGGGUUGAUUUCACCUGUAGGAUUGUCAGGCACAACUCCUCCUUUUGGGACCACCUAUAUAUUUGUCGACAAAUUUUUUCCUAAAAAUUUGACAGAUGUAAUUAUAGUAUAAUCGUAGUGUAAUUACACUGUAACUUCUAUGUAACUACAGUGUAACUUGUAUGUAAGUUUCACGUAAUUUUUAAUCGUUAGAUCUAUUACAAGAUUUGUUUUGGUAAGGAAGAAAAAAAAUCACAGCACACAUAUAUGUGAAAGGAUUUGUUCCCACGACCUCUAUUUUACCGAAAUAACAUGUUAACGAGAGAUUCUUGAAAGUUAUAUACAAGUUACACUAUAGUUACAGUGUAAUUACAUGCAAGUUACAGUGUAAUUACACUAUGAUUGUACUGUAAUUACAUCUGACAAAUUUUUGGAGGAAAAUUUGUCGACAAAUAUAUAGCAAAUUCGUCUCCUUUUUAUAUUAGUAUAUAUAUUUUUGUCAGACCCAUGAACGAAAUAAUUUGAUCAGUGCCAACAACCAAUCCUCAUACCAUUUCAAUUAUUACGAUAUUACAUACUCGAUCGUGAGUAUUCAAAUUCAGUUGGAAGAACUUUAAUUUAAAUUAACACACUAAUUAAAAUUAACACACAUAGUAGUUGUUUUUUUGGGAGAACACUCUACAUAAAAAAAGGUCAAAAUUACUAUUUCGAAGGAAUCAAGAACAAAUUCAGAUGAAGCAGUAAUAUUGGCACCGCAGCUCCACAGAGACAGGCGCCUGCUAAAUGGAAAGUUUGAAGUUUUUUCUGAACUAAUAGUGGAUUCCUUCAACCGAGUUAAAUGGACAAGCACAAAGAGAUACGAAGAAGAAAAGGAAGGACCAUGCCGUGUGGGUAUGGGGUACCCAUAAUCUCCACAGUAGCCCCUGAGACCUUCACAGUCGAAAAGAUAAUCUUGUCUCGAACCAAAUUUCUCCAAAGCCGAGUGCUUCAAUCAUCUUCGAUAUGGUCUCCCGAGUACUUUUAACAAAGAUAAUCUUGUCUCGAACCAAAUUUCUCCAAAGCCGAGUGCUUCAAUCAUCUUCGAUAUGGUCUCCCGAGUACUUUUAACAAAUCUGAAGAUUGUGGAAGGCUGAAAAAUAAAGUCAGCUGCAUCAACUAGAUGCACCUAAUAGGUGUAGCCCCCGACUAUAUGUGGUUAGUUGAACAAACUAAGCAUAUAGUCAAGGAAUAAAUAAUCCAACUAACCGAAUGGUUUUGAUAAUUAUAGUCAACCAAGUGACUUGAUAUCAAUAUAUAGCAUAUGUGGUGUGAAUCCCCCAAAUAACAUGAUCUAAGUGAUAUACCGACUACUUUGUAAAAAUUGAUGCGAACAACCUAAAGUUGACUACAUCAUUAAAAAUUCACAUAACAAAACAGCUAUAAAAAAGCUUGUAUGCUUUAAAUAAAGAAAUUUCCAAAGUAUUGGGCAUACACCAUGCGCACACUGCUUUAACAAAUGUGCUUAAGUCUCUAAAACACACAUGGUUUCACCACACCUGGAAAUAUAUAGCAUAUAUGGUGUAAAAUCCGAGUAAAUAAACUCAUAAAGGAUUUACCAACCGCUUGGAAAAUGACCACAAUAUAUAAUCAGCCUAAGCCAUAAUAUUAGUCAAUAAAAAUGCACACUUACGUGGCAAAAAGCAAUAAUAUAGUAUCCGAUCAAUUGCUUGAUAAACCCAAAUAGCGCCUUGACUAUAUAAAAAAGCCAGUGAGGCAGCUAUAUAAAGCUUUACUGUGAGGCACCUUUUAAAAUGCAUUGUACCAACUCCAAAAAAGUUGAGUAACUACGGUAUAAAAGGAUUUUAAGGUAUUGGGCACAUAAUCACGCGCACUUUUGCCUAAGCAAAAAGAUGCCUAAGUCCCUAAAAGAACGUGACAGGCCACACCUGAAAAUAUGGGAUGCAGACGUAUUAGGCCUAGACCUAAAGUAUAUCUACCGAUACCCUUAAAAUAUGAUGUAUAGAACACGCCAAUUAAUAUGCUCCCGAGUGACAAAUCUCCCAAGUGAUGUAGAUCAACUGCUCUCAUCUGAGUGGCUUCUGAUCCGAGUAAUUAUCCCUCAUGGAGAAUACCAAAGUAGAUAUGAUAAUUAAAAUCCCGACUGGCGCAAGUACUCAGCUGAUGGCCCUCACGGGGAAUAAUGAGUGGUACAGUCAUUGAGCAUGAGAAAUCAACUCAUGACCAUGAAUCCAUGUUGAAUAUAUCCAGAACAAGUCUAAAUUGAAGAUAUAAUCCCCGCGUUUGCGUUGAUGAGCCCCCAAGCUUGUAGAUUAUCCCUCUGUAGUAGUCACAAUUGUCCAUUGAUGAUAGCUGAUGCAGUCGGCAUGGAGACGAAAUGACCAACAUGAAGAUGAUAUCACCCAUCAAAGCUAACGAAAAUGUUGGUGGUGGUAAAGACAAUGACACCAAUCAAAGGUGAUGAAGUCACACAGCCGUGGAAGCGAAGAAACCAGUCGACAGAAGACAAGUCAGCCAGCAAUGAAGAUGAAGGCAUCCAGCAACAACGACACAAUUAUGCAGCCAUGGUGGUGAGAUAAUCAGUCUGUGACCGACGAGCCAGCAAUCGGUGACGACGAGAACAAGCCGACAAUGAAGACGUAGACGCACACCAACAGCAAUGGCGAAAUCCGUCAAACAUGAAGAUGAAGAAAAUAGUCAGCGACGACAAACGCAACCGACGGUAAUGACGAUUAACAGCAACAGAGAUGAUCAAAUAUGAUGUUGAAGUUGCCCACCAAUAGCAGUAGAGUUGGCUAUGUUAAAUAAGCUUGACAGGAUGUUGAUGAUGAUGACGAUGUCGGUGACCUAGUCAAUAGAAGUGUAGCAGCCAAUGAUAAUGACGAAGACGCUCAUCAGCAUUUGCGUAGUAGGUCAACCAUGAAGGCGAAAUAACUAGUCGGCAAUGACAGAAGCAGCCGGAGGUGAAAACGUAGCCAUACAUUAGCAAUGGCGGAGACGUCAGGGCCGACGAAGUAGAGGUGCUGGUGAUGAUGUCAGUGACAAUAAUCCAUCAAACUGUCGAGAAGAUAUCAAAGCUCGAGUAGUUUCCUUGAUGCGAGCGUGUGUAUAAAGAAGACUGAUGCAACGCUUCUUGAUUUAUGAAGACUUAAUGUUGUAGCUGUUGGAGAUGCUUCACUUGGAGGAAAGUAGAUGAUGCUGUCUAACUCGUUGAAUCUGUGUUAAUUGGUUGAUAACUCCACAAACGCCCAGACAUGUAGAUAAAAUCUCAAACUUGAUACUUGAAAAAUUUGGAGAAGCCAAAAUUUCUAGUGAAAUAAUUGGAGUUACUCAAGUAGAACGCCAGCUCUAAAGCGAAGACAAAACUGAUAACUCCUGGAGUUGACUCGUUGGCUGAUUAAUUGAUUGCUUCAGCUUGUCGAAUUUUGAGAGUCUUGUAUUUGUGUAGCCCCCGACACUUUGGUUAGUUGGGAAACAACUGAACAUAGAGUCGAGAACUGUAGUUUUUUGUCGUCAAGUAGUCAUUGCUUGAGUGAAGAUACGUGUUAAAGAUGUCCAAGUAGAAAUAUUGAAUAUUGAAAUACCACUUGUUGUAGUAAAAUAACACGGCAUCAUAUUUGGUGACGCAUGCCAAGAUGUCAGAGCUCUUGCCGACGUUGUGGUUGGUGAAGUAGCAAAUCUUGCAAAGUGGAGGCAAUAGAGUUUGCCAAUGAAGAAAACAAUAAAGAUGAAGUCGCUCCACCAUGGUGACAAAGUGCAUAGCCGUGAUGAAGUGAACACGAGUCAGCGGCAACAGAAGCAAACCAAUAGCGAAGAUGCGUAGUCGUGAAGAUAAAAACACUAGUCGGCGAUGGCGUAACCAGACGGCGACGGAAGAAGCUGAAUGAUGAUGGAAACGAAGACGUCCUUGAACGGUGGCAAAAUAGGCCAGCUGUGAAAGUGAAGACACCAUGGGCAGCAGCGAAGGCAAACUGGCGAUGACGAUGUUGCCAGUCAAUGAUGACGAAGACGCGCAGCCAUGGAGGUGAACAAACCAGUCGGCGUCAGACAAGACGGCCAGCAAUGAAGACGAUGACGCCCAUCAGUAGUGCUAGCGGUAUAUACCAGCUGUAGAGGCGAGGACACCAGUCAACAGCAGACGAGACGACCGGCGGUGAAGACGAUAAAGCCAAUGAACACUGGCAGAACCAUGCAGCCAUGGAAGUGAAGAAACCAGUCGGCAGCAGACGUAGGCACCCAACAAUGGCGGCAUAAUAGGCCAGCCAUGUAGGCGAAGACACCAGUCGACAGCGGUGAAGGCAAGCCGGUCGGUGAAGACGUAGACGCGCAACAACGACAGCAUAAUAGGCUAGCCGUGCAGGCAGUGACACCAGUCGGCGGCGGUGAAGGCAAGCCGGCGGUGAAUAUGUAGACGCCUAACGACGGUGGUGUGACCAACCAACCGUAUAGGCGAAGACACCAGUCGGUGGCGACGACGGCAAGCCGGUGGUGAUGUUCUGACUGAUCCAUUCCUGGAGUGUAAGAGAUAAGCUUAAAGCCAUGAAUCCCUUUUAUGCGUAUUUGGAUCUGGAUCCUGCAGAACAAACAUAUAGGAUGAGUAGUAUCUGAUGUACAUAUAAUACUAAAAAAAAUUCAAGUAUUUUAAAAUGUUUAUAAAUAUGUAUUUCUCCUCUUGUCAAUCUUGAUUUCUCCUAUUUUACGUUUAAAUACUCUGCCCGACUAGUCAUAGCCCCAAAGCACCGGGAGUCGGCCUAGGCACUUCCCAAACAUGCAUAUGGGUGGCAUGAGUUCGUCAUUAAGGGAACAAAGUUUCACGGAUCAGAGUUUACUACUCAGGUACUUUUGCAAUUGUUAAGAGUAGAAAAUAAAUUAUCUUAUCUCUAUGCUUUUGAUUUCUUCCGAGUAAUACUUAGCACCUUGCGUUACUCGGUCCAUCCAACGAGCCCCCAUGUGCUAGGAAUCGGCCCAAAAGCAACUAUCCAUUGACAAACCAAAUGGAAAGCAUAGGAAGAUAGAACUCCAUAACUUGAUAGGCACUUUAUUGUUACUCGGAUUAUUUCGCAAGCAAUCAAGAUAAAUAUUAUGAAAAUUGUUGAAAAAUAUGAUAUAACAUCUGUAGCCCCCGACUCACUAGUCUACAGCGAACCUGUUGACAUAGUGAGGCAGAGGAGAAGGAAAAUAUCAUAUAAAGAAAAAAAAUAAUGAAUUAGCUUUGUAAUAUUCCUCUUGAUGACGGCAGAGGUGCCUGAUGUGGGAACAAAGUCGUCCAUCAAUGAUAAUGAAAACACCAGCCGGCGCGGUGCAAGCAAGCCAGUGGUGUAGAUGACGAGGCCCAUCAACGGCGGCGGAGUCCGCCAACUGUAUAGGCGAGGACACCAGUCAGCGGCGACGAAGGCGGGCCGGCGGUGAAGUCAUAGAUGCCCAACAACGGUGGCAUAAUAGGCCAGCCGUGUAGGCGGAGACACCAGUCGGCGGCGGUGAAGGCAAGCCGGUCGGUGAAGAUGUGGACGCCCAUGGACGGUGGUGUGACCGACCAACCGUAUAGGCGACGACACCAGUCGGCAACGACGGAGACAGGCCAGCGGUGAAGUCGUAGACGCCCAACAACAGCGGCAUAAUAGGCCAGUUGUGAAGGCGAGAGCACCAGUCGGCGUGACGGACGAGGUAGCCGGUCGGUGAAGACGUAGACGCCCAACAACGGUGAUGUGACCGUCAAACCGUAUAGGCAAAAGCACCAGUUGGCGGCGAUGAGGCAGCCAGUCAGUGAUAGAGUACAGGCGAUGAUACAUGCAAAGACAAGAAAUUGCACAUCAACCUGUGGUUAGAUAUUUGUAAAAAGAAAAUAAUUUAUAUAAUAACUAAUAGAUCCAAACACAUGGUUUGAUUUGUGCUUGACGAAGAGGCUUGCAUGACCAUAAACAUUAAAGCAUGUGCUCGGUUGCAAUGGCUUCUCCAUCUGUUCAGCAGCCGUCCCUGUAUAGGACUUGUAGAGCCAUCAACUGCAUGGUCAAAAGGACUCGGCCGAACCGACGACAGAAAAAGUAUACGCAGAUAAUAGAUUAAUCUGGGAAAAAAAUAAAAUCAAAGAUUAAUUUUAAUAAUCUGCAGAUUGAAACAGCUAACCCGAUCCCUAAAUAGUUUGAUCGGUGUGUAAUUCGCUGAUCAGCCUGUUGGUCUAGUCCCAUAUAGGCACCGCUCUGCCUGUACGCGUGUACAGAGACAACCGAGUGAUCUAGGCAAUAGCAGUCCGGAGGAUAGACCAAACCAUGGUUGCAUGCAAAAUAAAAGCUCAAUAUAUUAGUCAGAUUAAUCAGUAGCGGCAUUUAUAGCACAGCAUAUAUAUCGAUGCAUGCAUGCAACAUGCACGCGUGCUAAUUUGCAUGUCCGUGCGUCUGGCAAUACUCCAUGCAUAAAUCUGCCCGUGGAGGCCGCAGGGCAAGAUGGGACGCAGGAGCUCUCCUCAGGCGCCGAGUCAUCGGUGAUACGUCCAUGUGGAGGCGAUCAAUGGAUCUCAUCAGCCGCCAGUGCAUGCACGCAAACAAAGCAUCUCACAGAAGAUCGAUUCAUGAUUAGAAAUCAAUCUGAUAAUAAUAUAUUGAAACGACAAACCGGUUGAUGUUUGGAGUCAUCGAAUUCGUUGAGAUUAAUCUCAACGCCUAUUUUAGAAUUGAUUCCAUCGCACUCGUCGACGGAAAACUCGAUGCAUCCCCAACCUAGCACGCCAACUGUCGAAACAUGAAUUCGGCAAUAAUAAAAAAGGGUAGCGCACUAGACCUAAAAUUGGAUGGAUGCGGAGACAAAAGAUUUAGACAGGUUCAGGCCCUCUCAAUGAGAAGUAAUACCCUACUCCUGUUUAGGGAUUUGAAUCCGCCGAGUGUAUUAUGGAUCUGACGAUCUGGUUGUGUGUCAUAUGCCCUCUAGAGGGCCUCCUGCCCACCUUAUAUAGGACGGGGGGCAAGAUUACAAGAUAGAAACCUUAACCAAUACGGUAUCGGUUUCCUAAAUCUACUUUACAAUAUUAUCAAACCAGUACUUUAGGCCGUUCCGUAAUAUACAAGAAAACGUAAUACCCAAGUUAUGAUCUGUUACAUAUUCCAUAGAUAUAAGCUAUCCCCUAUAACUAGUCGGAUAACCAUGCCGUGUGGGUAUGGGGUACCCAUAAUCUCCACAAUUAUUAUAAUGGAAAUAAUUAAGGAGGUAACUCUGGCUCGGACGUCCGAUGUUUGGGGAAAAAUCGGGCGCUGACGUCAGCGUCCGAUUUACGUGUAAAAACUACUUUAAACUGAUUUUUCUCUUAAAUUACUUAUCCAAAUCAUGAUUCGAUUGCACCAUUAAAUUCGUUGCAAUUAAAUCUUUAAAACAAGACCACACAUGGAUAUAUUCCGACGAAAUUUUUUUUAGCUUAUUAUUGAAUUAUUUUUAAAUGUUGCACGAUGUUCCACCAGGUAUAUCAGAAUUGUUUCACUAAAUAGAUCGAAAAUGUUUCACUCAUUUAAAUCGGGUGUUGUUUCACCUUAUAUAAAAAUAAUGUUUUAGCAAAUAGAGAAAGAAUAUUUCAGUUCACUGCAACAUUUGAUCCAUACAUAGUGAAACAUUAUAAGUACACUAGGUGAAACAUUUUUCGGUGGAACAAAAAAUGAAACGAAUUCCCUUGAUAGGGGGUUUCUAAAAUAUAUGGGUUUUUUUUGUUGCAAUGGAAUAUUUCAGUUCACUGCAACAUUAGAUCUAUACAUAGUGAAACAUUGUGAGUACACUAGGUGAAACAUUUUCUGUGGAAUAAAAAAUAAACCAAAUUCCCUUAAUAGGGGGUUUCCAAAAUAUGUGGGUGAUUUGUUGCAACGACGCGUUCCAUAAUAUCAAAAUCCACUGCAACAUUUGAUUCGUACAUAUUGAAAAAUCGCAAGUACACUAGCUGAAACAUCAUAAACCUACUGGUUGAAACAUCAAACGAGAUCAUAUGCAACAUUCAAAAAAAUAUCAAUAUAGAAGCUAAAAUAUUUUUUUAUCAAAAUAUAAUCAUGUGUAGUCUUGUCGUAAAGAUUUAAUUGCAAUGAAUACAACAAUAUGAUUGGAUCGUAGAUUGGAUAAUUAGUUUAAGAGAAAAAUUGUUUUAAAACUAGAGCAACAGGAGGCGCGGGCGCCAAGGCGUCCGAUUUUUUUUUCUGACGUCGGACGCGCGGCACGGGGUAUUCUCCAAUAAUUAACCAUGAUUACGUCAAACUUGUAAAAUGUAUCACAAAGCUUAUAUAUAUAUACUUAUGUCAAAGCAAAUUUAUUUAGAGAAUUUACUACGUGCAUGUCAUUAUAUCAAAUUUACUAUGCAUGUAUUGUAUUAAGUACAAGUUUACUGUAUAUUUAUUCAUUCAGUAAAUAGUCCCACUGCUUCACGGAUAUCGAUUCCACGAGCUGGCAACUGGUAACUCUUCCUAUUGACUUGCAUCAGUAGUUACUUUUGAAAUCUGAAAAUACAAAAUUUUAAUGGUUUUCUAAGUAAAUACUACUAUGUAUCUUAUGUAUCUUUAUCGUAAAAUGACCAGAACUUAGGUAGAAAUAUUAUUUAUUUAGAGGACCCUAAAAUAAAAAAUUUUUGUAGGGGUGCUUGUGUAAAACUAGCAGGAGAAUUUAAAAAACACAAUUGGAUUUUCAAUGUGAAGAAGUCACGUGAACACUCUCCAUAAUCCCUUUUUUACAGGAACCUUUUUUACUUCUGCUUGUGUGUAGGCUUUGGUGGCAAGGAAGGAGAACGUGUGGAUCGUGGAUUCCGGUUGUUCACGGCACAUGACCGGUGAUAAAAAUUAGUUCUCCUCUCUUAAAAGGGCAUCCAAAACUGAAUCGAUUAUCUUUGGUGAUGCUUCUACAAGUGUCGUACUCGCUACAGGUUUGGUUAAGGUAAAUGAAAAUUUGGAAUUGAAGAAUAUAGCUUUGGUUGAGGUCUUAAAGUACAAUUUGCUUUCAGUUUCAUAAAUUGUUGGUGAAAAUUUUGAGGUUCACUUUAAGAAAACUGGAAGUAAAAUUUUUUAUUCUUGUGGUGAUUCUGUGUUGAAUAUUUCUCGCUAUGCAAGAGUGUUUAAAGCUGAUUUUGAUAAUCCUGUUUCACCUGUGAUAACAUGUUUGGUUGCUAAGUUUGAUAAAGAUGUGAUGUUUUGGCAUCAUAGACUUGGACAUGUUGGUUUUGAUCAUCUUACUAGGUUAAGUGGUUUGGAUCUUGUUCGUGGUUUGCCUAAACUUAUGAAAGAUCUUGAUUUGGUUUGUACACCGUGUCAUCAUGCUGAGAUGGUUGCUUCUUCACAUGCUCAUAUUGUUUCUGUGAUGACGGAUGCACUGGGACAGUUAUUACACAUGGACACUAUUGGUCCAGCUAGAGUGAAAUCUGUUGGAGGAAAGUGGUAUGUGUUGGUUAUUGUUGACGAUUUUUCUCGAUAUUCUUGGGUUUUCUUUAUGGCAACUAAGGAUGAAGCUUUUCAACACUUUCAUGAUUUGUUUCUUCGAUUAGAUCUUGAAUUUCCUGGUUCUUUGAAAAGAAUUCGAAGUGAUAAUGGUGGUGAGUUUAAAAAUGCUUCUUUUGAACAAUUUCGCAAUAAAAGAGGUCUUGAACAUGAAUUUUCUUCUCCUCGUGUUCCUCAACAAAACGGUGUUGUUGAAAGGAAAAACCGUGUUUUGGUUGAGAUGGCUAGAACGAUGUUGGAUGAGUAUAAAACUCCUAGAAAAUUUUGGGCUGAGGCAAUUAACACUGCAUGUUAUAUUUCAAAUUGGGUUUUCUUGAGAUCUAAACUUGGAAAAACUUCUUAUGAACUUCGAUUUGGACAUCAACCCAAAGUUUCACAUUUGCGUGUUUUUGGUUGCAAAUGCUUUGUCUUGAAAUCUGGAAAUUUGGAUAAGUUUGAGGCACGUUCUACCGAUGGAUUGUUUCUUGGUUACCCCGCACAUACUCGUGGCUAUCGUGUACUUAUUUUGGAGACUAACAAAAUCAUUGAGACUUGCGAAGUUUCUUUUGAUGAGGCUAGUCCAGGUACUAGACCCGAUAUUGCAGGUACACUGUCACAGGUUCAGGGGGAGGAUGGUCGUAUUUUUUAAGAUGAGAGCAACGACAACGACGACGAUGAGGUCGGCUCGGCCGGUCAGACCGGGCGCCAGGGCGGUCAGACCGCUCAGGAGGUGCGGUAGGACCGGCCAGGCUCGUCGGGUCGGGUACUGGUGAUGCUGAUCGAGAUGGUCCUUCAGAGAUACAACUUCGACCAGUACUGAUACAGACAUGGAUCAACUCAGAAGUGCUGCUUCUUUGCACAUUCAUGACGACAUCCGCCAGAACUAAUCAUUGGUAAUAUAGGUGAGCGGACUACAAGGUCUAAGGUAACGACUCAUGAUGUUUGUGCAAAUUCUGCAUUUGUUGCUUCUUUUGAACCCAAAGAUGUGUUACAUGCAUUAACUGAUGAAUCGUGGAUUAACGCCAUGCAUGAAGAACUUGAAAAUUUUGAGAGAAACAAAGUUUGGACUUUAGUUGAACCACUUCUGGACAUAAUAUUAUUGGAACCAAGUGGGUUUUUUCAAAAAUAAAUAAAAUGAGGAUGGUUUGAUUGUGAGAAAUAAAGAUAGACUUGUUGCUCAAGGUUUUACUCAGGUGAAGGGUUUGGAUUGUGAUGAAACUUUUGCUCCUGUUGCUAGAAUUGAGGCAAUUAGACUUUUGUUAGCUUUCGCUGCUUCAAAAAGUUUUAAAUUGUAUCAAAUGGAUGUGAAAAGUGCUUUUCUAAAUGGUUUUAUACAGGAGGAAAUUUAUGUCAAACAACCACCAGGUUUUGAAAAUCCUGAUUUUCCCAAUCAUGUUUUUAAAUUGUCUAAAGAUUUGUAUGGUUUGAAACAAGCACCUAGAGCAUGGUAUGAUAGGCUUAAGAACUUUUUGCUUGCAAAAGGUUUUACAAUGGGAAAAGUUGACAAAACGCUUUUUGUUCUUAAGCAUGGUGAUAAUCAACUUUUCGUUCAGAUUUAUGUGGAUGAUAUCAUCUUUGGUUGUUCGACUCACGCUUUGGUUGUGGAGUUUGCUGAGACUAUGCGUAGGGAAUUUGAGAUGAGCAUGAUGGUUGAGUUAUCAUACUAUUUGGGAUUGCAAAUUAAGCAAACACCUCAAGGUAUUUUUGUGCAUCAAACGAAGUACACGAAGGAUCUUUUGAGACGGUUCAAAAUGGAGAAUUGCAAGCCAAUUUCAACACCAAUUGGUUCUACAGCUGUGUUGGAUCCUGAUGAAGAUGGUGAAACUGUUGAUCAAAAGGAGUAUAGAAGUAUGAUUGAAUCUUUGUUAUAUCUAACUGCUUAUAGGCCAGACAUACAAUUUGCUGUGUGUUUGUGUGCAUGUUUUCAAGCUUCUCCUCGUGCUUCACAUCGUCAAGCGGUCAAGCGAAUAAUGAGGUAUUUGAAUCAUACACUUGAGUUUAAAAUUUGGUAUUCUACUUCAUUUUCUAUAUACUUAAGUGGAUAUUCCGAUGCUGAUUUUGGUGGUUGUAGAAUUGAUAGGAAAAGUACUAGUGGAACAUGUCAUUUUCUUGGUACAUCAUUAAUUGCAUGGUCUUCUAGGAAACAAUCUAGUGUUGCUCAAUCAACUGCUGAAUCUGAAUAUGUUGCUGCUGCUAGAUGUUGUUCACAGAUUUUUUGACUUUUAUUUACUUUGAAAGAUUAUGGUCUUACUUUUUAGAAAGUACCUCUCUUUCGUGAUAAUACAAGUGCUAUUAACAUUGCUAAGAAUACUGUUCAACACUCACGCACAAGGCACAUUGAUAUUCGCUUUCACUUUUUGAGAGAUCAUGUUGAGAAGGGAGAUGUUGAAUUGCAGUUUUUGGACACAAAGUUGCAACUUGCUGAUAUUUUCACUAAACCUUUGGAUUCUAAUCGAUUUGCUUUUCUUCGUGGUGAAUUGGGCAUAAUUCAUCCUUUUGGCAUGGUUUAAGGGGGAGUUUGUACCUCAUGGUUUUAUCAAGCAAUAAUAUGACAAUGAGAAAAAUUGAGAAAAAGAGAGCUUUCUUUAUACAUGUGGUAUUUUCUUGUGCAUGCUAGCAAUACUUUGAAGGUUUAUUUGUCUCGCAUAGCUUGCAUGUAUUCUAGUCUUUUCAUGAGAUUUAGAUGUUGCUUUUAAGGGAGAUGAUGCAUGACACUUAAAUUCUAUACUUGAAUUAAGCAAAUAUGCAAUGUUGAUGCUAGCAUAUGGUUUGAUCUAUAAAUGCUUUAUAUAUAUGCUUUAUUGAAUUGUUAUUGCUCAAAGAUCUUUAAUUGCUCAUUGUGAAAAAGAGAAUAAAAAUAUGAAAAAAAAUGAAUACCGAAUCCUUGGAAACAGUCUUGACGACAAGGACGUAUUCGAUGUGAGCAAAAUAAUGGGUGCCGAAUCCCUGGAAACAGUGUUGACGACAGGGACGUACCCAGAAUAAAAGAGAAAAAUAUGAGCAAAAAGGCUAAAGAAAACAAAAAGUUAAAAACUUCUCUUGGUUGUUUUGUGCAAAAGCUAAUUUGAGAAAGAGUAAUAAAUGCAAUAGGUAUAUGUGUAGAAAGAGUAAUAAAUGCAAUAGGUAUAUGUGUUUAGUGUUUAUUCUUCAACCUAUGUGCUUGUUAAGAUGUUGCAUUAUAAAUCGUAUGAAAUCAUGAAUUUUGACUGUUGAUUCAAGCUUAAUUAUAAAAUCUUUGGUUCAUGCUUAUACUUUUAUGCAUGCUUGUUAUACUGUAGAUGGGUUCAUCUUCUUUUUAUUGCAAUACAUGACAUGAUAUGCUAUAUGUAUGCUAAGCUCUUAAACAUUAAUGAACAUAGUUCCUAUGCUUGAUGAAAUCAUUGUCAAAAGGGGGAGAAGAGAUGAGUUUUGGAAGAAGAUUUUUGGAGUUGUUGAGAAGAGCAUAUUUUUUAGUUCAUGAUGGAAUUUCUUUCUUUUAAAAAGGGGGAGAAGUUUUCUUUUGGAUUUUUUAGCACGAUGUGUACAUUUGUACGAAGUGUGCUUUUUACCACUUUUGUUUUUAUUUUUCCAAAUACAAAAACAUUUUUGAUGGGUUUGCCAAUGUGUUCAUCAAGGGGGAGAUUGUAAAAUCAAAGGUGUUUUUGAUUAUUAUUCUGUGAACAAUUGUCAUUGGAGAUUAUUGGUUUUGUUAUUUGGAAUUUAUUCACGAAGUGGUUUUGGAGAUGAUUGGAUUUACAGGUGAAUAUGCAGGUUCUGUUAUUUUAUGUGGACCGGUUAGACCGGGCACUGUGUGCCGGUCAGACUGGCGGUAUACGCGCGGUCAGACCGGCCAGCCCGCGGUCUGACCGACCGACGCUGUGUCUGUUUCGGUUUCGGGUUGUUUGUUUGGAUAUCCGUGAUUAUUUCAUGAUUAUGGCUUCUAGGUCGAUACUAUACGUAUGUAAUACUGUUGUUUGCUACUAAUGAGUCAAGGUGGAGAUAGCUUGGUCUCGGAAUAUCGUUUCUUUGUUUAUUUCAUGUGUAGGUGACUCGAUGCCUCGGGAGAGUAUUUGCGGUGAUGGACCGGGAGUCGGCUUGGGGAUAAGACGACGUUCGUGGUGGUCAGAGAUCAUGCGGGAUACUUAGGCUAGAGUUGAUGCACGUGGUUGAUGGAGAUUCCAUGUGGCAUACGAUGGAGGUAUAUUGUGCGUAUGGGAUGCGCAGUCAAAUUUGGAAGGAGUCCAAAUUUGGUAUGAUUGGUUAUGUAAAGUUUGUGUCUUGAACUAGAGGGUUUCCUAAGGUGUUUAGGACUCCUAGUAUGAGUUUGGUUCGUGGCUUUAGGCUGCCUACCUCGGGUAUAAAUAGAGGUGGAGCGUGAGGCUUCCCGGUAUCGCUUUUGAGAGCAAUUGAGUUGAGUUUUGAGUUAGGGUUUCGAGUUUAGUCGAAACUUUGUAAGGAGUGCUGUUGGUGCACUUUGUAAACAUAGAGAGAAUCAAUAAAGUUGUCAUCUACUUUAAGAGUUCUUCGAUUUGUGUUUCACCGGGUUUCGGCGGUCCGACCAGCGGGCACACGGCGGUCAGACCGGCGGCGACAGGAGUCGGCAGCAGGCGAUCUCGGCGGUUCGACCGAUCGAUCUACAUCGGUCAGACCGACAUUCAUCAGGCGGUCAGACCGGCGCAUUCACUAUGGCCAGACCGACUUCCGUUGAAUUCGAGUGUAAUUUUUAUUUCCGCUAAAAGUUUUCGGUUUUUGGGUAUACCAACUAUUCACCCCCUCUAGUUGGCUUAGUUAUUGUGAUUCGAUCCUAUAGACUCCAGCUAUAUCCAAUGGCUAUUAUUGACUGAGUGACGUGGCUUAUUCUAGAACCUUUUCAAGUUUCACUUUUCACUCCUAGAGAUACGAGAGUGCUUGCGAUUCAUCUCCAAUCUCCAGGAGAUUACUCGGUAUGCAUCCAUGCACGCUGCAACAUAUUCCCCACUAAAUUGUGGCCUGCAUUGCUUGCGGCUCUCAUAGUUCCAGGAGGAAAGCCCGCCUCUGCAUCAACGGGCAUAGAGUAACGAUCUAACGCCAUGCGGAUCGACUCCCGUAUAUGCCUCCUAUCCUGAGUAUAUAUAUAUAUUCACCUCGCAAUGCAGGUGGUUGUUUCGUAGUUUGGCUAGCAAACUAUUUAUUAUACUAGCAUCAGGUGCAUGGUGAACAAGUUCUCGGCGCAUAUAUAGCUGACCAAUUCUGGCAGAAGGCACGUUGAUGCCAAAUCAUGUCCUACCAACUAUUUGUUGGGUGUUUGCAUUGAAGCCAAAAUUAACAGAAGUCAAUAGAAUCAAGGUAAUUCUACCCUGCUGAAAUAAUGUGUUUUUCAUGAGUAAUUAGCCUAACGAUGCUCAUCCUAAUUUGUGGUAAUGGUAGCUCAACACGGUAUUAUUAAAAAGCCAGUAGAUCAAUUAACGGUGGCGCAAAUAUGGCACUGCGCACUGAAUAUUAGUUCGACCUUCACACAAAGAUCCCUCCUUCCAGUUUUCCCUUUUUUACCACUCCACCUUUCCUUCGUAUCCCAAAUUUUCUUGGUCUUUUUUUUUACCACCUCACCUUUUGUGUUUCUUUUUUUUCUCUUUUCCAUCUCAUCCACGCUUUAUCAAACGGCCUGGUAAAAAAUGAACCAGCUAGAUUUUUCCGUUUUUCAUUUCUACUCUCGAGUUUUUCUAUUUUUUUGUUUUAGUAAAGUAUUUAUCAUGUAGUUCUUUUCUUUCGACGUUUUCUUAUUUUUUAGUGUAUUCCCAUGUUUUAAAAGUAAUGAAUUUACUCUGUGAUGUUUUCCGUUUACUCCCAGCCUCCCAGAUCUACUCAUUCAAAAGUAACAAAUUUACUCGCACGAAUGUAUCCUUCAAAUGUAACAAAUGUACUUGCAUGAAUGCCCCCACAUCGUAUGGCACUAUUCAUAGAUGGUCGUAAAAGAAUUACUACCAGCUUACAAUGCUAGUAAUUCUUUUACAAGUUAUAAAUAUUUUCUAGAGUUUGUGGUCUGCGAGUAAAACAAUUACCACAUUACUCUCGAUAUAGCCCAUGAUCUCGUGCCACCAUGUAGUAUUAUGUUAACCGAUGUGUUCAAUACACAAUAUAAGAGAAUUAUUAAUUUGUAUCACAAAAUAGCAGUACAAAUGAAAAAAUUUACAGGCUCAAUUACACACGAGUGAUAAAAUUACUCAUAGGUGAAUCAAACUAGAAAAGAAAAAAUGAUUCAGCCAAAAAUCCAUCGUGAAGCUGAGAUCCUGGUAGGAUUGUUAGAUCUUGCUAUAUGGAUGGAGAGGCUAGUCUGUGUCUUGUGACUCGUAGUGGAGAGGACAACCGGGUGGCGAGCGUUAGUUGACGAUGGAAUCAAGGAAGGAUGUAAUGUUGUGGUAUAGAGAUGAGCUCGGCGUUACACAGUAGCAACCAUCCAUCAUCUAGCAAGCACAAAAAUAUGCAAAAACAUUCUUGUUCAUGUCAUAGAGACGACGAGCAAAAGAAAAAUAGCAAACAACCUCCAUGAUCGGCGGACUCUACCCUAUCCUUUACAGCUAGCCACAUGGAGUACGAUCUACAAAUGUAGAACUUUUGUAGCCCAUCAAUUCUGAUCAGGUAAUAUUCGAGAUUGCACAUUAAUUUGAUUUGCAAAAAGAAAUUGGGGUUGCAUGCAUGAAGGUGAAGGAGAGUAUAUAUAUGCAAAUAGGAGUAUCAUUUGCUUACUUGCUUCUUCUGUCAAUGCCACCGACAUGGAGCAGCCGACGGUUGUUGCUCUUGGCCCAAGUGAACACCUCCUUGCUGGUUAAGGUGUUGCCCGAUGUCUUGCCGCAAGGUCCGAAGCAGCGCCUUCGAUUCAACCGCUAGCCAUCGGCGUCAACCGCCACGGUGCCGUCGUCCUCCUCCAUGGCGCGUCACCGAUUUCUAGGCUGCGAUGGUGGAUUGAUUCAUAUUUGGAAAAAAAAGGAAAGAAUGAAGUGGGGGCGAGACCGGUUGGGAGCAGAAUGACAGGACGUGGAGUGAGGCGGGUCUGGGUUGAUACAUGUUUGGUACUCAGAAGUCGGAAUACCAGUACCUCUAGUAAUCAAUUAUUUCUUUCGGUAUAUUAACUCCUAAAAAAUGCUAACAGGUUAAGCCACAUCAUCAACACAUUAGAGCCAUUGGAUCAAAAGAUCAUCUUUGUUCGAAUGUGUUAAAUAUGUGAUCCGAAUUUUGGGCCCACAAUAUAUUCGGAUUAGUUUCCUAGUAGGAGUCUUAUUAGGUGUCUUUCUUUUAUCCCCUAUAUAUAUACUCUUAUAAGCCGUACGGGAAGGGGUGACGUUCCCAUUGUGAUUCCCCUACGUUUGUAAUCAUCUCCUCUAUAGUGAUCAUUGCCGGUCGGCGCCCGUGGUUUUUUCCCGCAAGGGUUUUCUACGUAAAAUUCGUGUCUCCGUUGUGCAUCUAUUUUCAUAACAAGUGGUAUCAGAGCUUUGGAGAUCGAUCUACACGUCACGCAGCCGCCGCCGAUUCGUCGAGGCGCCGGAUCAUCGAGUCGCCGGAUCGAUCUGAUCGGCGUCAUCCCUACCGCCUGCGCGAAAUUAGGGCAGCAGUAGCCCACGUCCUGGAAACGGCACACGCGUCAGGAGAUUGGCAAGCAGCAGCAGCAAGCCGUCUACGCGCACGUCCAGGAGUAGCAGCCGGCGUGAAUACAUCCACUAAAUCGCACGGUUCCCGAGUCUGAAAAGGAAGUCAACGAGGGAAGCGAUCAGGUUCCUGUUCACGUGAUUUUCUAUUCACGUGGAAUUGCUACGCGCACACAAGCUUGUGUACCAGGAAGUUUCAGAUCUACCGCUACGUGCACAGGAGAAGUGUACCAGGUUUCGCGUUUUGCUAGGUUUACCCUAAUUUCUUUCUAGCAAAUUCAGGAUUAAUUCCCAUGGCGAGUUUGAAGUAUGAUCUACCGCUCUUGGACCGAGACACAAGAUUCUCACUUUGGCAAGUGAAGAUGCGAGCCGUUCUUGCAUAGCAAGACCUCGAUGAUGCGCUUUCUGGAUUUGACAAGAGGACACAGGAUUGGUCCAACGAUGAGAAGAAAAGGGAUCGUAAGGCUAUGUCAUAAAUUCAUCUUCAUCUAUCAAAUAAUAUUUUGCAGGAGGUGCUUAAGGAGGAGACAGCCGCUGGGCUGUGGUUGAAGCUGGAACAAAUAUGCAUGUCUAAGGAUCUGACCAGUAAGAUGCACCUGAAGCAAAAGUUAUUUUUGCACAAGUUGCAAGAUGAUGGGUCUGUCAUGGACCAUCUCUCCGCUUUCAAGGAAAUUGUUGCUGACCUUGAGUCUAUGGAGGUAAAGUAUGAUGAAGAGGAUUUAGGCCUUAUUUUAUUGUGUUCAUUGCCUAGCUCAUAUGCAAACUUCAGGAAUACUAUUCUUUAUAGUCGUGAUACUCUAACUUUGAAAGAAGUUUAUGAUGCUUUGCAUGCCAAAGAAAAGAUGAAGAAGAUGGUACCCUCUGAAGGUUCAAAUUCACAAGCAUAAGACUUGGUUGUUUGGGGCAGGCAACAGGAGAAGAACACAAACAACAAAUCAAGAGAUAAAAGUUCAAGUAGCUACCGUGGGAGAUCAAAGUCCAGAGGCAGGUAUAAGUCAUGCAAAUACUGCAAGAGAGAUGGACAUGAUAUCUCUGAGUGUUGGAAGCUAUAGGAUAAAGACAAGAGAACCGGAAAAUAUGUACCAAAAGGUAAGAAAGAAGAGGAAGGUAAAGCCGCAGUUGUUACUGAUGAGAAGUCUGAUGCAGAAUUGCUUGUUGCUUAUGCUGGUUGUGCACAAACUAGUGACCAGUGGAUUCUUGAUACUGCAUGCACCUAUCACAUGUGCCCGAAUAGGGAUUGGUUUGCCACCUAUGAAGCUGUGCAAGGUGGUACUGUUUUGAUGGGUGAUGAUACACCAUGCGAGGUUGCAGGUAUUGGAAUUGUUCAGAUCAAGAUGUUUGAUGGUUGUAUCAGCACAUUGUCAGAUGUGCGGCAUAUUCCAAAUUUGAAGAGAAGUCUCAUCUCUUUAUGUACUCUUGAUCGCAAAGGGUACAAAUAUUCCGGUGGAGACGGAAUUUUGAAGGUAACUAAAGGCUCUCUUGUUGUGAUGAAAGCUGAUAUUAAAUCUGCCAACCUGUACCAUCUGCGAGGUACAACUAUAUUAGGUAAUGUUGCAGCAGUUUCUGAUUCAUUAUCUAAUUCCGAUGCUACUAAUCUUUGGCAUAUGCGUCUUGGGCAUAUGAGUGAAAUUGGUUUGGCAGAAUUGAGCAAGCGAGGAUUGCUAGAUGGACAAAGCAUCGGGAAGCUCAAAUUUUGUGAGCAUUGCAUCUUUGGCAAGCAUAAGAGGGUGAAGUUCAACACAUCUACACAUACUACUGAAGGUAUUCUUGAUUAUGUGCAUUCUGAUUUAUGGGGGCCUGCUCGUAAGACAUCUUUUGGAGGUGCUCGUUACAUUAUGACUAUCGUUGAUGAUUAUUCGCGAAAAGUUUGGCCUUAUUUCUUGAAGCACAAAUAUCAAGCUUUUGAUGUGUUUAAAGAGUGGAAAACUAUGGUGGAAAGACAAACUGAAAGGAAGGUGAAAAUCCUUCGUACUGACAAUGGGAUGGAGUUCUGUUCUAAGAUAUUUAAAUCAUAUUGCAAGUCUGAAGGCAUUGUGCGUCACUACACACCUCAACAAAACGGCGUAGCUGAGCGUAUGAACAGGACAAUUAUAUCAAAGGCCCGUUGUAUGUUGUCUAAUGCAGGUUUACCUAAACAGUUUUGGGCGGCAGCUGUUUCCACUACUUGUUAUCUUAUCAAUCGAUCACCCAGUUAUGCCAUUGAUAAGAAGACUCCAAUUAAGGUAUGGUCUGGUUUUCCAGCAAAUUAUUCAGACUUAAGAGUAUUUGGUUGUACUGCUUAUGCUCAUGUUGAUAAUGGUAAAUUGGAGCCUAGAGCUAUUAAGUGCAUUUUUCUUGGUUAUUCGUCUGGUGUGAAAGGCUAUAAGUUAUGGUGUCCUGAAACCAAAAAGGUUGUGAUUAGUAGAAAUGUUGUCUUCCAUGAAUCGGUUAUGUUACAUGACAAACCUUCUACUAAUGUUCCUGUUGAGAGUCAGGAGAAAGCAAGUGUGCAGGUGGAGCACUUGAUCAGUUCAGGGCAUGCACCAGAAAAAGAAGAUGUUGCUAUUAACCAAGAUGCACCUGUUAUUGAAGAUUCAGAUUCUUCUAUUGUUUAGCAGUUUCCAAAACGUUCUAUUGCAAAAGAUAAGCCCAAAAGAAAUACUAAACCUCCUCAAAGAUAUAUUGAAGAAGCGAACAUAGUUGCUUAUGCUUUGAGUGUAACAGAAGAAAUUGAAGGUAAUGCCGAACCUUCUACAUAUUCUGAGGCUAUUGUUUCUGAUGAUUGCAAUAGAUGGAUAACUACUAUGCAUGAUGAGAUGGAGUCACUUGAAAAGAAUCAUACUUGGGAAUUGGUGAAGUUGCCAAAGGAGAAGAAACCUAUCCGUUGCAAGUGGAUCUUUAAAAGAAAGGAAGGUAUGUUUCCAAGUGAUGAGGCAAGAUACAAAGCAAGGUUAGUUGCUAAAGGUUAUAGCCAGAUUCCAGGUAUUGAUUUCAAUGAUGUCUUUUCCCCUGUUGUGAAGCAUAGUUCAAUUCGCUCUUUAUGGGUUGAAGUAGUCACCUAGACAGUGGUAUAAGAGAUUUGACUCUUUCAUGCUUUCUCAGAAGUUUAGAAGAUCCAAUUAUAAUAGCUGUGUUUAUCUUAAAGUUGUUGAUGGUUCAGCUAUAUAUUUGCUUCUUUAUGUCGAUGAUAUGUUGAUUGCUGCAAAAGAUAAAUCAGAGAUAGAAAAGUUGAAGGCACAAUUGAGUAGUGAAUUUGAGAUGAAGGAUUUGGGUGCAGCGAAGAAAAUUCUCAGUAUGGAAAUUACUAGAGAAAGACAUUCUGGCAAGUUAUAUCUUAGUCAGAAAGGUUAUAUUGAAAAAGUUCUUCGUCGUUUCAAUAUGCAUGAUGCAAAACCAGUGAGUACUCCUUUAGCUGCACAUUUCAGAUUAUCUUCAGAUUUAUGUCCACAGUCAGAUUAUGAUAUUGAGUACAUGUCUAGAGUUCCUUAUUCAAGUGCAGUUGGUUCACUUAUGUAUGCCAUGGUAUGUUCUCGUCCUGACUUAUCACAUGCAUUGAGUGUUGUCAGUAAAUACAUGGCUAAUCCUGGCAAAGAGCAUUGGAAAGUUGUUCAAUGGAUUUUCAGAUACCUACGUGGUACAUCUAGUGCUUGUUUGCAGUUUGGGAGAUCUAGAGAUGGACUUAUUGGUUAUGUGGAUUCAGAUUUUCCUGGAGAUUUGGAUAGGAGAAGAUCGCUCACAGGUUAUGUUUUCACUAUUGGAGGAUGUGCUGUUAGUUGGAAGGCAAGUUUACAAGCAACUGUUGCCUUAUCUACUACUGAAGCAGAGUAUAUGGCUAUUUCUGAAGCUUGUAAAGAAGCUCUUUGGCUUAGAGGUUUGUACACUGAGCUUUGUGGAGUUACGUCUUGCAUUAAUAUAUUUUGUGAUAGUCAAAGUGCAAUAUACCUUACAGAGGAUCAGAUGUUCCAUGAGAGAACAAAGCACAUUGAUGUGAGAUAUCACUUUAUUCGAGGUGUGAUUGCCGAAGGUGAUGUCAAGGUAUGCAAGAUAAGUACUCAUGAUAACCCAGCUGAUAUGAUGAUAAAGGCAGUUCCUGCUACUAAGUUUGAGCUUUGCUCAAGCUUGGUUGGUGUUAAAGUAUAGUCCUAGAGACUAUUUGGCGCGCGGUGAUUUUACCUACAUGAGGUAUUUUUUGGUGAUUGAUGUUUUUUAUGCUACAAGAGGAAAUUCGUCUCAAGGUGGAGAUUGUUAAAUAUGUGAUCCGAAUUUUGGGCCCACAAUAUAUUCGGAUUAGUUUCCUCUUAGGAGACCUAUUAGGUGUCUUUCUUUUAUCCCCUAUAUAUACUCUUGUAAGCCGUACGGGAAGGGGUGAUGUUCCCAUUGUGAUUUUCCUAUGUUUGUAGUCAUCUCCUCUAUAGUGAUCAUUGCCGGUUGUGCAUCUAUUUUCAUAACAGAAUGACCCUUCGAUCACCCUUCAUUAGAGCUGCCUUUCUUCCCUGCCUUCACAACUAAUGGAAGCCGAGCAAUUCUCAACUGAUGUACGCAAUAAAUAUGCAUAAAGGAAGAUAAAUACGCAAAAAGCAAUUUCCAAGCCUUAUCGCCUUAUAUAUUUGCUCCAGAAUCACCAAAUAAGCUUAGCAUCCGAAUUGUCUGGCAUGGAUAAAAGAUCCUGGGCUGCUUUCAUAGCCUUCAUCAGAAGUGCAGAACAUCGAUUCAUCACGGCAGCGUGGCUGCAACGUUUUUGUGCCUCUGCAGCUACUACGGCAACGCUGGCGUACACAUGUCCACAACUCCACACAAUUGUUUACCUUUUAUAGCCUGGGUUCUAGUGUGAAGAAAAGUGUUGAUUGUGUACCGGUCUCUACAUGAGGAAAUCAUCGAAGUGGUGCAAUCCAUUUGAUCAUCUAAUUUCCUAAGUAAUCUUAAUUUGGUAUACACCAAUCUCCAGAUGAUCAAGGUUUCGUUCUAUUUGCUUCCAUAUUUAUCUGCUGGUGAGAUAUUUUUUGCAGCCUCUGUAGCUAAGUUGGAUGCAAGAAGAAUUCAUUGCAUCUGGAAUUAUAUGAACAAAAUGAAUCAGAGAUGAUUAAUUUCUCUUCCAUUCAACAUUGUAUAUGCAGUUCACCAAUAAUGAAAUAUUAGCUCUUCAAGCUAGUUACUGCAAGAAUCUGCCAAGGUAUGAUCCAAAGAUGCUUAGUGCGUUUUUUUCUUGAUAUUAUAUAUGUUCAAGGGAUGUUCAAUAAUUAUACGUAGUAAAAAAAAGAGAAAUAUGUUUUUUUAGAAUGAUUUUGUUUUGUUCGUUCAUUGAGUAUCAGCAAGGAGAAAUUUGUUUGUAAGACAGUGAAGUCAAAGAAAUGCAUUCACGCUGCCUAUCUUCUAAAUUGAUAAAUAUAAUACGAUUAAACUGUAGGAUCAAAUAACAAGAACUAAGCCUACACGGGGUAAAUGGUACCAACACUAAAACUGAGAACUUUUUGCAGAACUAAGAGUUACCCUCGAAAUCUGCCGGAAGUUGGUCGGACCGGUGUUAGAUCUCCGGUCUAACCGGUGAUGAUGUUCCGGUCUGACUGCCCUGCUGAUACCUGUCGCCCCCUUCGCUGCCUUCGGUUAAACCGCCCUGAGCCCGUCAGUCUGACCAGACAGUAGUCACCGAUACCCGAGUCAACAUAAAUCAAUGAUUUCUCUAUGUAGAUGAAAGUUUACAAAGUGCAACAACAAUAGUCCUCUUAGAAAAUUUGACCAAACUCGAAACGCUAACUUUUCCCUAAACUCCACUCACACAUAAUCGAUACUGGGAGGACUCAACCCAGCCCCUCUAUUUAUAUCCGAGGUAGGCAGCCUGCUGUCACAAACCUAACUUUACGAUUUGAAUUUCAUUCUUCCUAAGUCUGGACUCCUUCCAAAUUUGACUCCUUAUUCCAUACGCACACAAUCUCCCAUCAUAUGCCACAUAAAAUCUACAUCAACCACGUGCAUGGUUCUUUAGACUAAGCAUCCCAUAUGAUAUCGUGAUCAUGUGGACAUCAUUUUCUUCCAAGUUGACUCUUGAUCCAUCACCGAUAAAGCUCUCCCGAGCCAUCAAGACACCUACACAUGAUUCAAACAACAAGAAAUCAUAUCCAAGCACAAAUUCUCUCCGACUUGACUCAACAUUAGCACAUAACACUAUUACAUAUGUAGAAAUCGUGUAGAAACCAUAAACAUAAACUAACCAUGAGCAUAACACAACCCAAAACGAAAACCAACUUAGAGCCGGCCAGUCAGACAGUCGGGCUGGCCAGUCUAACUGCACAAACCAUGAUGUUCUGACCGGCCACCACUGUCUGGUUUGACCGGGCUAACCUAGUCAGCAGCAGCAGCAGCCAAUAAUCUCAAAAUAUCAAAAUCAAUAAUAUACAAGCCUAACAUAUACCGUGGGGGCCUCCCUCACUGUGCUUUAAUAAAAAAAAUAUAUACCAGCCAAUUGUUCAUCAUCAAAAUAUAAUCAAAACACACGGUGAUUUCACAUAUACUACCUUGUUUCGUGAUAUGAAUAUAGUCAAAACACACUUUGAUUUCACUUAUGCGAUGUCCUACAGCAAAUACAUGUUCUUGUGGUCUCCCUCAGCCAAUUAAACGAUUUUUGAGUGUCCUAUAGCAAAUUUUUCCUAAAAAAAUACUUAUGGUUGACAAAGAAUAUAAUUUGUAUAACUUUUUGCCAAAUUCUAGUUAUUGCAUGGAGAUAUAAAAAAACAUUUUUGGCUAUGACAUAAUGAAAUUUUGAAAUAAAAACAUUUUGGAAUUUAAACAUUUUUUUUCUAAAUUCACAUAAUUUGCUUUUACGGGAAGAUAUCUUGGCAGGAGUCCACGAGUAGUAGAAGAUCAAAAUUUCAGAUGAACCACGAGAAAUUUAGCACAAGGGUACACUACUUUUAAAAUGUUUCUGCCGGGCCCCUCCUCUUAACUCCACGGCAACGCAAAAGUGGAACCAUUGGUGGAUAAAUAUCAAUGUUCCAAGCCACGCACGCAACUGGCUUGGCAGCCAUAGAUGGAACACCCAACACAAGCUUAGGACAUAGCAUGCCUAGCACAAAUAGUGAAACGGUACAGAGUCUCAUGAACUCGGAAUGGAAGGCAUUAGGGGUUCAACGAGGUUGGAAAAAUCUCUCGGUGCUACCUCCGGUCCAGCUGUUACAUAGCUCAAGCUACUGUGGCUAGCCAUACAUGGCAGAAUCUGUCGCAGUUGUGAUGACUCAUGAGGAAUCGUGAAGAGAAGAAGUUCUAUGCCAUGAGAAUCAACUAUUCAACUACCUUACGGUGGUUGUUUCAUAGAGUGUGUUUAGUUUACGAUAAAAUUGGAAGUUUCGUUGAAAUUGAAAUGAUGUGAUGGAAAAGUUGAAAGUUUCAUGUGUAGGAAAGUUUUGAUGUGAUGGAAAAGUUAGAAGUUUGAAGAAAAACUUUGUAUCUAAACUCGGCCAUAGUUUAGCUAGCAAACUCCUAAUUAUGCUUGUAUUGCGUGCAGGAUGAAUAUGUUGAUGCCAAAUUAUGCUCGUUGAUGCCAAAUCUGGUCCUACCAACUAUUUAGAAGCGCCAAUAGUACUUGUUGGGUGUAUGCAUUGAAGCCAAUAACAUAAGUCAAUAGAAUCUAGGCAAUUCUACACUGCUAAAAUAGUGUGUUUUUCAUGAGCAAUUAGGAGGUUCGUCCUUAUUUUGCGGUACUGGUACCUUAACACUAAUAUAAAACAGAUAUUAUUAAAAAGCCAGUAAAUUAAUCAAUCAUUUCUUUCUAUAUAGAUGGUAUACCCAUUAUAAAUAUUAACUCCUUUAAAGAAGCCAAUAGAUUAAGCCACAUCGUCAACACAUUGGAGCCAUAGAUCAAAGAGGGCUGCCUUUCUUCCCUGCUUGCACAAUGAUGGAAGCCGAGCAAUUCACAACUGAUGUACGCAAUAAACACAUAUAUGAACGACGUUAUUAUAGGUGCCGGUACCAAUGACUGGUUACAGGAGCCCAUACCAAUGACUGGUUACAGGUGCCGGUUCUUAGUUCUGUACUGGCACCUGUGGACUCAUAUGAUGCCCAUACCUAUGACUGGUUAUAGGUGCCAGAUUUUAAUUUUAUACUAACAAAAGAUGAAAAAUACUUUAUAUGUGUCGGUUUUAGAUAAAUAAUUGGUGGAUAAAUGCCAAUGUGCCAAGCUACGCACGCAACUGGCUUAGCAUCCAUGGAUGGAACACCCAACACAAGCUUAGGACAUAGAAUGCCUAACACAAAAAGUAGAGAGUCUCAUGAACUCGGAAUGGAAUGCAUUAGGGGUUCAACUAGCUUGGAAAAAUCUCUUGGUGCGCUACGUCGGGUCCUGUUGUGACAUACCUCAAGCUACUGUUCUGUCAGAGCUGUGAUGACUCAUGAGGUAUCGUGCAGAGAAGAAUUUCUACGUACAUUAGGAAUUAAUCUUGUCUAGAUCACCUGCCAUGGAGGUAUGUGGGGCUUAUAAUCCAUUAUUAUGAUUAUGGAGGUUUUAUAUCUAUCAAUGAAGAACCAUGUAGAUCUCGUUAAAGAGAUAAUUAAUACUAACACAUCUAUUAGUUUAAUAGACGGUCAUCGACAAAUGUAAGGCUAAUCAGGGUACAUUUUGGAACCACCUACUUGGACUAGCAGACCCUACGAUGGGCAUAAUAAGAAUAGAUAUCCAUUAAGAGGGAGGCAGGGUAUGGCUCAUGCAAAUGAUCAGAUGACUAACAUAAGAUUGAUUAAGGUAUGAUUAGGGUAUAGUAUGGUCUCAUGUGUCAUCCAUAUUUUUAGCAGUUAAUAUAUCACAGUAGGUAGUAACUAAUUAACUAGACAGAAAGAAAUGAUCCAUCUCUCAUUCCUAUUGUUUACCAGUUGCCUCUAAUCCAUAUCAACUCAUGUCUGGCCCGGAAUAUCCAUAUCUUGAGUAUGCAAUUAGUGACUGAACCCUCCAUCUCCAGCGUGUGGCUAGCAUAUUCACUGGUGGUUCCGUUCAGCCCCACAGAUGUUAAUCGGCAAAAGUGAGCUACUAACAGCCGCAUCGAAUUAAUGCCUAAUGACAGCUUCGGUUCAAAGAGUAGGUAUAGGUUAGCUGCCUGGGUAUAUACAUAAUACCAUCGUUUAUGAAAUUGAAGUGAUUUCCAUCCUGGGUUUUGUGUAGUUCUACUAGUUAACUCCUAUACUCAAAGUCUCGUAAGUAUGCCGCUUGCUCUGGUUUACUGCCCAGUCUAGCAACUAAAAUAGCCCUAGCAACCACUUAUUGAUCGAAUGGCUAUAUUUUAACAUGUAAUUCCUUGUCGUUCACAAGGUUCUUUUCUCUUGUCCACCAUAAUAAACAGAAAAAUAAAGGAGCAAUUGCAAAUUUACCACUACUUUGAAUCGUUAUUGUAAAACUGCCACUAGAAAAUUGCAAAAAUACCACUAGAACUGUCCUUCGAGUGGCAUCCUUGCAAUAUUGAAAAAACCGGUGGCAAAUUUGCAAAUGCCCAAAAAAAAAACACACUCUUCUUGGUAACCUGCAACAAUUAUUUCUCCUAAUUUAUAGCACACCCUGGUCAUUCAACUAAAAAUAUAGGGUUCAUUAGAUCCAUGCCACUAAAAUUUUGCCGGUUUAAAAUAUACCAUUACAAUAUGUAUAUUUGUAACGAUGCCACUGCUACUUGUUCCUAAUCUUAGUGGUGCCACUGAGACACAUAUUUUGCAUGUAUUGGACAAAAAUGCCCUCAUCUUCUAUCUCUCUCUUCCCGAUCUUCUACCCUCUCUCUCUUCUCCACUACGCCGCUCGCUCCACUGCUAUCCAUGCCGCCGCGCGCUGCAGCUUGCUCCGCCACCGUGCCGCUCACUCCGCCGCUGUCCCCACCACUCCUGAUGCUGCUCGCGCUGCCGCCGCGCCGCUCCUGCUGCAGCCGCCACUUGCUGCCGCUGCGCUGUUGCUGUUGCCGCUGCCGCCGCCGCUGCGCUGCUGCUGCUGCUACCACAGCCGCCGCCGCCGCUGCUACAGCUGCCGCCACCGAGCCGUGUCGCGCCGUCGCUGAUGCGGCCACCGCCGCCGCCGACGCGCCGCGCUGACGCUACUGCUACCACCGACGUGCCACGUCGCCGCUGAGAAGGAGGAGAGGAGGAAGGAGAAAGGGAAGAAGGAAGAAGAGGGGAAAAGGGGCGGUUUGGUCCAAUUUUUUGGGAAAUGCAUCCAAGGGGUAAGUAGUGGUAUCUUUUGAAUAUGUGUGAAAUUAUAAUGGUAUAUUUUCAAAUACAUCAAUACUAGUGGCAUAUUUCAAAACUGGUAAAUUUUUAAUGGCAUGUAUCCAAUUAUAAUAACCGCAAUAGAAGCUUGGUUUUUACGCUAUCUGUGUCAUUGUGUGAUCAUGUUUUUGCAGUUUUUGUAAGCAAUAAAUAAAUAAUUUAAAAUUAAAAAUGUUAGCUUAAUUUCAAGUUUUCUGUAUAGACUUUACCACAUAUUUUCUAAACAUCAUUAAUUUAUGGUUACAAUGGUUCAUAUAGCUGUAGGUGAGUUGACCCGCAACUCCACUUAUAGGCCAAUUAGGUAAUUGACCUAUAAGUCGAUUUGUGGGUCCACCCAUUCGUUCUCCUGACUCGUCGGAGGAGAGGUACCAUAUAGCAAAAGCAGGCCUAGUGGUAAGGGAAACACCAGUGCUGACUGAUCUCGAUGCCUUACAUGUUGAGUUUGUGAAACAUAUGCAUGCCCACAUAAUCAACAAAGUAUACAUUAUAUCUAGUUGAUUAUUAAGUCUUUAGUCUAGAUUUGGUGCAGCGUAUGCUCUCUUUCUGAUUGUCAGGUUCAAAUGCGAGACAUUCUUGGUUGAUCUGCGAAAGGAGUUGAGGCCCAUAUGGUUGGAUUUCACAUGUUGCUCUGUAGUCUAUUCGUGUCUGCGUUGGCAUUUCUCCAUGUGUUCUUCACCUGCUAGCUGAUUUACUUAUGACUGGUUAAGGAACUAGUUGUCUAGUUCUUAUGUUAAACUAAUAAUGUUGUGUUAAAUGAAAUUGUAUUGCGAAACUGUUGUUAGAUUUCGUUGUAAUCAUGUGAUGAGUUCCUUUGGGUAUCUAGAUUCCUCUGUUCAUCCCUCCGUUUUGCUGGCUGGCUGAGCACUUUGUGAAGAAGCAAGACCAAGCGCGUCACAACUCAAGUCGUGCACCAUGAUCACGACGUGCGAUAGAUGUCGUUGUUGUCUAUGGCGUGUAUUAAUUUAGGACAUACUGGCCCCAUAUCGAUUUUGUUUUCAAAUGGCAAUAGGAAAAACCGGAAAUGCUUCAACACAAAGAUCGGUGGUUUUUUAGUUCAUCUUUUGUGCUGCCAAUUCACGCAAGUAUGUGGAGGUGAAACUUGAAACCUAAUCAAUCCAUGAAAUGGUGAGCAAAUUUCAACUACAGCGUUAUGGGAGCAUGUUUUCUUUGGCAAUACCUCUGCUCGAAAUUCAUGGGUUUAUGUGAUUACUAACAACACUGUUGCUUAUAACACUAAUUGUUGCAUAUGAAUAUUUUGAUAACAUAGAGGAUGAAAGCUGGCUACCAUUAAUUCAUUUCUACAAACACAACGUUUCAUUCACCGAGGAAGCGAAUAAGUAGGUAGGCUUCACAGCUGGUGCACCUAGAAGACAUAGCAAAGGGCGUAUGACUAACUAGGGGUGUGCCCUAGAACCCCUUCUUCGCAGUACCAUGCUGGCAGGAUGUGCAUGAUGUCACAGCCUGAAUUUCGUUUCAGGAUUUAUAAAUUAUCUAAUAAAUUAAUAAUAGAAUUUAUAUUAAAUGUUCUUUAAUUUUCAAGUAAAGUUAAAUGUGGGAAAUAAAAUUUUCUAAAUUUAAAGCAUGGUUGGAUUUAAUUUUAUUAAAUUCUCCAUGAUUAAUUAUACUCUCUGAAAUUUUCUCUGAUUUUUUCUCAGAGCUCAAUUCCUAAAUGAUACAAAGAACAGUUCAGUAAUUAGUAAUCAAUUAAUGAUCUAAUUAUAAUUAUGUUAAGUACUUUUCUUGUUUAAAAUCCUUAAUUUAUAAAUUGUUGUCUAAAAGGGAAUUAUUAGAAAUGAUCUUAAAAGCCUAGAAGAGAAGAUCUAAUUUUAAUUUGUUAAAUCUCAAUAUAAAAGUGGGCUAGAUAAAAUUUUGUUAAAUACUUCUCUUGUUUCUAUAGUUCCUAGAUUUUUCUAGGAUUUAUUUGAGCCAAGGAAGUAUUUUUAAUAAAUGAAAUUGCAUUUCAUGAAUAAUUAUAAUUGAAAAAGGUUUUAAAAUCCUCUUUUGGCUUUGGGCUGAAAGUCGGCCCAAAACCCUCUCUCUUUCCUCCCCGGCCCAAGCCGGCCCGCAACCGAGCCACCGCUCUCCUCUCUCUCUCCCGCUGACAGGAGGGCCCCACCUGUCAGGGUCGUCGUCAACCUCACGCCGCCGCAGCCGUGCCCUAGCCACCCGCAAGCCGCCGCCGCCCUUCCAAAUUCCGUCGCUCCUUUCCAUCUCCGGCCGAAUCGAUAGAGGGGAAAUGAUCCCCGCGAUCCACUCUAUCUUUUCCCUUUUGGAAUCGUCGGCUAAUUUCGUUUGGAAAUCGCCGGAUUUGAGAUCGAACCGGAUUCGAUUUUCUUCCCCGAACCCUAGACUUUCCUUCGCGCCGCCGACCGCCGUGGGCCUUCGCCGCCGCCCCCUAGCCCCUAUAAAAGGACCCCCGGUGUCUCCUCUACUCGCCGCCACCCUCGCCUUUGCCCGCUGCCGCCUGUAGCACCCUAGCCUCGUGAGCCCGUGCGCCGCCGUCGCCGCCGUUCGUCCAGCCGUGCGCCGCCGUCGCUCCGCUCGUCGUCACCGCUCGGGGAGGUUACCGCCGUGGUCGCCAAGCCGUCACCAAUCUCGUCCGCCCCUCCGUCAUCGCCGGCAGACCACCGUCGUCGUCAACCCGACCGUCAUCGCCGCUUCUUCCUCGUAGCCAUCACCGUCCGGUCGCCGUCCGCCGCCGUUCAUGCCUCGGUAAGGAUCGCCGCGUCGCCCUCUACCCGUUGGUGCCCUCCGUUCGCGCCGCCGCGCCGUCGUUCGCCGGCGAGCAUGUGCCACCCGAGCCGUCGCCAGUGAUGACGUCAUCGCCGACGUCAUCGUCGCCGUGUCUCGUGGACCGCCGUGGUCUGGAUCGAUCUCGGCCGUUCGUUGUGGAUAGGGUUGAUCUAGACCGUCCGUUCCGUAGACCGUUCCUGUGCACCCGGUCCACCGUGAACCCGAGCCGCUGACGCAAUAAUCCUCUUUUUCUUUUCAAAAAUAAUUCAUUAUUGCGUCAUAAUUCAAUAAAAAUCCAUAUAAAUGAUUUAAUCCGAUUUAAUCUUUGAAAAUUCAUAACUAAUUCAUCUUAGCUCGGAUUUAGUUGGUUCAAGUCUCUAAAGUUGUAUAAAAUAAAGAUCUACAUAUUAAAAUUAUCCAUAAAUAGAAUUAAAUUUAUUUAAUCCUUUUUAAAUGGGCUUUAAUUAGAUUAAAUCUUGUAAAAUUCAUAUUUAAUUCAUAUGAAGUCAGAAUGAGGUCGUUCAAGUCUCAUAAUUCAUCUAAAAUUAUGAUUUACAUGUUUGUUGAAUUUAUAUGUAUUGUUUAUUUGGAGUUUCUUACUGUUUUCCUUGUUUUGCGUGUUAGCUUGUCGUUUCCGUCGUUUCGAAGGUUCGUGAGAGCGCCGGAAGUGUUCAAGAAGAUUAAUUGAAGACCGAUUAUUGCAAGGCAAGUCACACAGAUCCCAAGCACAGUUCCUUUGAGCAUGUUGAUCCUAUAUUUAAAUUCUCUAUUUAUUUCAACUGUGCAUUUAUUUUCGAAUGUUACUGGGUGGUGUGAAUCUAUUCCUUUGUUAUGGCCUGUUUGCAUUGAUUAUUCUAUUCCUUGAUACCUUGGGAUAUUAUAAUUUGACUAGUUGAGCUUUAUAUAUAUUGGUUCAUCUAGAUGUUAGACAUAGUUGCUUAGCCAUGCUUAGAAACAUUAGCACACAAUCGGGAUAACUUAUGAUUCACUAUUAUUUAAUGAUGGCUUAAUGAUAGUUCACGAUGGUCAAUCGUGAUUGGUUAAUUAAUUAAAUUGCCAACUAAAACUUGAUAAUGGUGGGUUGUGAGCACAUGGUUUUGAGAGUCGUGCUCAUGACAAUUAAGGACCGGUUCACGAUUUUCGGUUGUGAAACAUUAACCGUGCCAACCACAAGCCAGCGUGGGCAACGGCUUUACGUUUUGUAUAGCAUGGUUCAUUGCGGAGCACCAGACUGAGAAGUGGCGGAGAUAAGCCCACGAGGGUCGCUGGGGAGUCCAUGCCUUGUUUAUAAGGGGGUGACUAUGAUCCGGGAAUGGUGCACUGUGGUGAGUUGUGUUGUGCAGAUGGUAUUGUCACAGCCUCUAUUCGGGUACUUUCCAGUAUCGCGACGCAUGGUAGACAUGAUGUUGAGGCUGUGUCUUGUGGGUACAGUGGUACACCUCUGGCCAGAGUAAAACUAUUCGAAUAGCCGUGCCCGCGGUUAUGGGCGAGUUGAGCAAUGUCUUUCGUGAUUAGUCUCACACUUCUCACCAUAAUAAAUGAUGAUAUAAUUGGUAAUAAUUUGUUUAGCUCCUGGUUUGGAGAUAGAUCUGUGCAGCCGGGUAUGGUUGUUCAGGAUGGUUGGGCCUGUGCAGCAUGGGUGUGCUGUUCAGUGUUGAUUAAUAUUGAUGAUUAAUUACUCUAUUGUUUUAUAAUUCUCAAAUGUUUGCUAAAUGCUGCUUUUGCAAAUGAGCCCUAUAUUAUGCUAUCCUUUGGUAUCCAUGUGUACUUGCAUAUUUGUUGUGUGGCUUGCUGAGUAUGUCAUAUGCUCACCUUGCAAUAAUCAAUCAAACCUCAAUUGAAGACAAGUUGCAAAGGAGAAGACGUUUGGCUUAUACCCCAGUUGAGCUGCCUGUGGGAGUGGAGCCGGAGCUUCGCUAGACCGUAAUUCCGCUGCUGUUUUCUUUUCUUUUGUAAGUAUGUAACGUUAUUAUUAUGAUGGAUUUGUAUAUUAAAUUGUCAGUUUGUGUACCUCGGCUGAUUCCUGGACGAAGAUUUUAUGCACAAAUAAGUUCGGAAAUUACUAGUGAAUUUCUGGGCGUGACAAGUUGGUAUCAGAGCCAUCUUGACUGUAGGAUGAGCCAAAUGGUCAAACCUUAAGGACUAAUUUUCCGAAAACAUGAUUUGUGAAAAUUUUCCUUUCUUCCUUCUCUAGAAUUCUCUAUAAAUCAUUUUAUCAUCCUCUCCCCUCCUGCUUUCAACUUGAGUAGUUCUGAAACUAGUUGUUUAAACUAGAAGACGUUGAUGUGGUCAACCUAUGGAGGUCAGUCAAGUGGAUCGAGGAUGAACCGAAGUGCCAAGUGGUCAAGAUGGAAUGAAGUUUGGAUCCUACCUUAGAACCUAUGCCGCCAAACUAUCCUUGAAGGACAGUUAGUAGGGUAGAACGUUUGUUGCUUGCUUGUGUGUAGGUAUGGUUGCAUUCCCAUCAUUGGUGUUGUUCAGUGAUGAGCGUGUAACUAUACUGGGUUGCUUGCUUAAUCAACUUGAACAAUAUAAUGGUCUACACACAUCAGAUCAGUGUUAACCUGGUUAAGGUCUUGUCUUUAGUGUAACCUCUCUGCUUCCAUCUUCUCCAAUAUGCAACAGAUGGUGAACACUCGCGCCAGUGGAAGUGGAAACAAUAACAAUGAAGGGAACCCAACUCUGGCUCAAGUUCUAGCUCAAUAGACUUAGUUAAUGAACAUGAUGAUGCAACAGAUGCAGAACCAGCUCAACCAAGGGAACAACAAUGCUCCACCGCCUCAGAACAAGCUAGCUGAUUUUCUUCGUGUGAGGCCGCCUACCUUUUCUAGCACUACCAACCCAGUGGAAGCAGGUGAUUGGUUGCACACUAUUGAGAAGAGGUUGGAAUUGCUCCAGUGCACAGAUCAGGAGAAAGUCGUGUUCGCUUCACAUCAGUUGCAAGGAUCUGCUUCAGAAUGGUGGGAUCAUUUCCGGAUGAACAGAGCAGGAGGACAACCAAUCACUUGGGAAGAGUUUACAAAAGGAUUCAAUAAGACACAUAUACCUGCAGGAGUUGUUGCUUUGAAGAAGCGUGAGUUCAGGCCAUUGAAGCAAAAGGAUCAUACCGUGGCAGAGUAUCUUCAUGAGUUCAAUCGUCUGGCCCGUUAUGCUCCAGAAGAUGUGCGUACUGACGAGGAAAGGCAGGAGAAGUUCUUGGAAGGCCUGAAGGAUGAACUGUCAGUUACGUUGAUCUCACAUGACUAUGUUGAUUUUCAGCAGCUGGUUGACAAAGCAAUUCGACUUGAAGACAAGAAGAACAGGAUGGACAACCGUAAGAGAAGAAUGACUGUUUUCCAGGAGGCACAAAGUAGUAGCCAGAGGCAGCGUAUCAAGCCACUCCAAAUUGGUGGAUCUUCUUCUGCAAGUCAAGGACAGUCGCAACAGUUGAACAUCGGUGGUGAGAUCAAAUCAGAGACUAAGGAAAGCAAUGAAGUUAACAUCCAGCAAGUUACCCAAUCGGUGCCUGUGGGAGUGGAGCCGGAGCUUCGCUAGACUGUAAUUCCGCUGCUGUUUUCUUUUCUUUUGUAAGUAUGUAACGUUAUUAUUAUGAUGGAUUUGUAUAUUAAAUUGUCAGUUUGUGUACCUCGGCUGAUUCCUGGACGAGGAUUUUAUGCACAAAUAAGUUCGGAAAUUACUAGUGAAUUUCUGGGCGUGACAAUGAUGAACACACUCAACAGCCCUCCACAGCUGGCGACUCAAUCCAAUGGUUUGUGGAUGAGCACUGCUCGAGCGUUACAAGGCGUGAAUACAUGAUCUAAUGAUGCGUGAGUUAAAUCCCCGAGGUCUUCCAUUCCAAGUUUGUGCAUGUGUGCUCGCGUGCAUUAUUCUCUCUCGAUCUAAUAGCACCAUGUCCACUGCCUCUAUAACUUCCGCGCCUGGAGUGUGGCUACUGGAUAGCUAAGGUGACUGCUACUUAUUGACCUGAUAUUUCUGAAUUCUGAUGCACUGUAAAUUAUCCCCACCUAUGUGGGUUCAAUUUGAGAAUAGUUUGGUACGAUCAGCCUUCAUUAGCCAAUCGUCAAGACCAAUGGAUCGAAUUGAGGCUGUUCAUACAGAUGCAUGGCAUAUCAGUGCCAUCGUGUUUUGCACUUUUCCUUGUAUCCAUGAUUUCUCAUCUGAUUUGUGGUGGCGCUUUCUAUAACUCCGAAUAUUCUUAGAUAAAUUUUUUAUAGUUCCUGAAGUACCUGCUUGUAUAUUUCUGUUGCUCACGGAUGAGAUCUCACCGGCCACAAAUCAAUUUUGUUGUCCUCUAUAUGGCAAUGAAGAAAAUUACAAAAAUCCAUAGUGUUGCAGCUGGAAAAAAACUACUCCCUCCGUUUCUAAAUAUUUGGCACCAUUGACUUUUUAGCACAUAUUUAACCAUUCGUCUUGUUCAAAAACUUUUGUAAAAUAUGUAAAACUAUAUGUAUAUAUAAAAGUAUAUUUAACAAUUAAUCAAAUGAUAGGAAAAGAAUUAAUAGUUAUUUAAAUUUUUUUGAAUAAGAUGAACGGUCAAACUUGUUUAAAAAAAUCACCGGCAUCAAAUAUUUAGAAACGAAGGGAGUAUGUUGUUUGUUGGUCAUUUUCUCUGUUUCUAGUUUCUGCCUAUCUCUCCAGAUGAAAGAAACAAUUGAUGUAGCUAGAGAGCAAAUUCUAGCAAAACCCAUUAUGUCAGCAUGUUUUAUUUAAGGUAAACAAAAGAAAUGAGAAACAAAACAAGCAUGCCAUUUAUACGUUAUGUGCAUAACGCAAAUUAUUGGUUUUCACUGUAAAGCAAAAAUUAAUGACCACAAUAGUUGGUUUGCAGUAGUUGUGCUCAAGUAAGCAAACAACUGAACCCUUCAUUACAAGAUCCGCUCCAGUUGGUUCUCCAAGGCAAAUAGGCUAUGCCACAAUAAUUCAGCCGACUCAAUCUGACAACAGUAACUUGUUGCUCUAACUAUCUGAGGAUGCAUGCAGCUUUAGUAAGAUGAAGACACACAAAACAUGACCGUGCUUCCUGAAUCCCUGAUGCCUUCCAUUUCAAGCUUGUCACACGCAUCCACUAUCAUGCUUUCUUGUAAUACCAUCAGUACGUACAAUCUACUAUGCGUCUAAUACCAUUAUAUUGCAUGUCCUUAACAACCCAAAUGAAUGGAAGUAACGAUGACAUCCAUGAACACAACACACUGCACAUGCGAAUGUUACUGACAAGAAUAUAUAUUGUUGGAGGCAUGUCAUGAAGCCCUUCGGUCGGACCUGCCGAAACUAUAGUACCAGCAAGGAUUCAAGCCAAAGACGUCAAGGCCAUUCAGGCGAAGCCCUAUGGCGAAAGCCAUAAGCGAAGAUGGCGAAGGCUGGAAAGCCGCGUCGGUAUUCCGAAAGUAAAGGCAUCUCGGGCGAAGGUAUCUCGGGUGAACUACAAAGACUUCGCCAUGACGAGUUCGGCAUCAAGGAGGCCCAACAGGCCGCCCCCGGCCUUUUAGGCCCGUUUGCCAUAGACCAGGCCCAGCCUAUCAGCCCAUUAAAGGCCCAUAUGUGCAAAUGACACUGCAUACCCAUGUAAAUGUCCCUUUCAUAAGGGCAGCCAUCUAAAAUCCCCUGUAACCCUAAACCCUAGAAGGUGCAAGCUUGUGCUAAGGCUAUAAAUAAACCUCUAGGGCCAUGUAAUGGGGGAUCCCCAAAAAAUAUUUCACGAAUCAAUACAAUUGCUUUUACAUUCCAACUACUGUUGAGAGAACCACGCCUUUCGACAUGGCAUAGUUGUCCAUUCGACAACAGCUGGCGCCGUCCAUGGGGGACCCAGACCGAAAAGGCGAAAUGGGACCCCUUUCACCACACCCUUCGCCACAGUACCCGCGUGGUAUGGCGACAAGGGCUGGGGGCGAAAGUGAGUUAAGUCCAAGCUGGGGGGCUACGAAGCCGCCCAAGCCUUUGGACACCUUUCGCCACACGCCACGCCCUUCGCCAUAGUACCAAUAAGGCACGGCGUCAAGGGCUGCGGGUGAACAGGUUUUGCCAACCCACGCCUUUGCCAUAGUGCCAAUAUGGCACGGCGUCAAGGGCUGCGGGCGAAGAGGUUUCGCCACACGCCAUACCCUACGCCAUAGUACCAAUGAGGUACGGCGUCAAGGGUUGCGGGCAAACAGGUUUCGCCCACCCACACCCUUCGCCAUAGUACCAAUAAGGUACGGCGUCAAGGGCUGCGGGGGAACAGGUUUCGCCACACCCACGCCCUUCGCCAUAGUACCAAUAAGGUACGGCGUCAAGGGCUUGCGGGCGAAGAGGUUUCGCCACAUGCCACACCCUUCGCCAUAGUACCAAUAAGGUAUGGCAUCAAGGGUUGGGGGCGAAAAUAAGUUGCUUCCAAGCUGGGGGGCUACGAGGCCACCCUAGCCUCUAGAAACUUUCGCCCCACCCACAACCUUCGCCACAGUACCCGCGCGACACGGCGAAAAGGGCUGGGGGUGAAAGUAAGUUAAGUCCAAGCUGGGGGGCUACGAAGCCACCCAAGCCUCAGGACACAUUUCGCCACACGCCACGCCCUUCGCCAUAGUACCAAUAAGGCACGUCGUCAAGGGCUACGGGCGAACAGGUUUCGCCAACCCACGCCCUUCGCCAUAGUGCCAAUAUGGCACGGCGUCAAGGGCUGCGAACGAAGAGGUUUCGCCACACGCCAUACCCUUCGCCAUAGUGCCAAUAUGGCACGGCGUCAAGCGCUGCGGGCGAAGAGGUUUCGCCACACGCCAUACCCUUCGCCAUAGUACCAAUCAGGUACGGCGUCAAGGGUUGCGGGCUAAGAGGUUUCGUCCACCCACGCCCUUCGCCUUAGUGCCAAUAAGGCACGGCGUCAAGGGCUGCGAGCGAAUAGGUUUCGCCAACCC